rnacentral:lncRNA from 1 species
UUUUGUAUAUAUUAUUGUUUUUUACUAUUAUUCUAGUAUUAUUUUUUUAGUAUAUUAUUCUAGUAUAUUACUUGGCUUAAGACUUUUUAGUAUAUUAUUCUACUAUAUUAUGAAUUGUAGUGUUUUGUAUAUAUUAUUGUCUGUACUAUUAUUCUAGUAUUAUUUUUUAGUAUUAAUUUUUCAUAUUAUUUUUUUAGUAUUAUUUUUUAGUUUGGAGCACUCUAGCACUUAUAUUAUUCUAGUGUAUUUCUUAUCUUAUAUAUAUAUAUAUGUAUGGUUGCAGACAUAGAAAUGGCCGGCCGUCCUCACGAUGAUCCUGAAUAUAUGGAAGAUGCCAUUCAAAAUAUGAUCGACGACGGUAGUCAGUACUUUAUUGAUUACAACGAGAUCAUGCAAGACUAUCCGACUGAGCAACAAGAGGGCAAUGCCCUGAGCAACAUGAGGGCAAUGCGCCUGAGCAACAACUUGUCGUGCAACAAGAAGGAAAUACCGGCGAGGUAUGUAAAUGUAAACAUAUAUAAUACAUCUCUUACAUUAGGUUUUAGACUUACUUGGUUAUUAAUUUAGUAUUUUUGUUUCUAUAUCUACGUGUAGCCUUCAGGAUCGACCUCUACAGGGAGAAGCAUACCUCCACGAGGGCCAAAGAAGCUGGAUGGCCGCUAUGUAAUCUCCGAGUUUGAGAUAGCUGUUGACACUUGCUAACACCACUUGACUACUAGGUUGUCAUCCCCAGCAUGGCACUAGAGUGUACUAUGGUAUUUAUACGCACACAGAUAAAUCCGCAAGCACACGGAUACCGUUGUAGCUUUUAUCCGGUUAAAGGUUUUAUCGUAUCCACACAGAAAUAGGAGAACUGAUCUACGCUCUAACUUAACCUAGAUAGAUAGGUAGGUGUAAAUAGGAAAGAUGGUAGAAUUGAAUAAGAACAAUAUUAAAGGUAAGAUAACAAUGGGUGAUAAUAUGAGAAUAGAGAGUAGAGCAAUUCUAGUAUAUGGGCGAUGGUAGCAGAAUAGAGAGGAUAACUAUGGUUUCUCUACUUCAAAGGGGUAUGUCUAUGUCUGGGACGAACCACGUGAUAAGAAUACACCACAAAGGAUGCUUAUCCAUAGGCCGAUAAACCCUAUCCGUCCUGCUAACGAGAGGUGGACUAUAGAGGACCAACGUAACUGUCACCUACGCGGCCUACCACACGAUCCAGCUAGACAGAGGAUAUCCACAAGUAAUCUAGGUCUAAGCACCACGCUUACACCUAUACCACAACUCUAACCUAUAGGGUCCUAUAGAUUAGAAGUACUCAAAAGAGUUGUAAACCAGAACAUACAUGGAUAGUAAUUGCAUAAUAAAAUAGAAGUAGAUUACUAGAGUCAUCCCAUGAGCAAGCUUGAUUAGAGCUUGAUCAUGGCGAAGUACAACCAGAGGAAGAACCGACAGGCUGGCCUCUCCUCCAAUCCUCCCUCGCUCUCCAUCUCGCUACUAUCUAGAUCUACUCUAGUUUAGAGAAGAGAGGAGAGCCCUCAUCUCGAAACCCUAGCUUUUGCUCUAUCUAUGAAUAAUGAAUAGGGAUGAAGGGGUGUCUCCUCCAGGGGCUAGGGGGCCUGCUUAUAUAGUCCUUCCAAAUGAAUGUGGGUCGUCGGAUCAAACCGACCUUAAUCGCACGGUUUUCCUUGAUCCUUUAGGUCGGUGGAGCAUAAUCCGCGAGACUCAACCUGAUUGGUUCCUGUAGCAGGGCGGGCGCCCAAGGGGGGAGGGCGGGCGCCCUGUCCCCGAGCCCGCUCAGCUUCCCGUUCGUUCCCGUGGCUUCUAGAGUCUUCUAGAUGAUAGAAAAUUGCGCGGCACGUUAAUAUCUCUAUGUAAACCCGACAUGUGGGCCUUUCCUCCAUAUUUCCUGAUAACCCCCUGCAGAAAUAGACAAACACCAAAACUCGUAGAAUUCUGUCAGAUAAAACCCUAAGUCUGAGUGUUGGUUGCAUUUGGAUCCUUUUCUUUAUUUAUUUGAUGAUUAUAUUUGGUACUUAAGGACCGUCAACAAUAGUGUCGGCGUCUAGACUCGUGGUCUAGACACAAACAAGUAUAAGAAUGCGUGACUGUCCUAGCCCGGAUGGUGAUGCAAGUGGAACACAGAGAGUUUAUAUUGGUUCGGGCCGAGGACGCCCUACGUCCAGUGAGAUUGGGGGUCCGUAUUGCCUUGCACCCAAAGGUGCUUGUAGUAGGGGUGUACGAGCAAGUUGCGAGAGAGGGCUGAGUCCUAGGUCUCGGCUUUGUGAUGUGGACAGAGCGCUGCUGGCUACCCUGCGUGAGAACUCGCUUGGGGUUGCGGUGUUUGUGUGUGUAUGAACUUGUGCUAUGUGGAUGAACCUGUCUUAGCUGUGAGCCCUGGUUCCCCUUUUAUAGUCUCAAGGGGAGGCAGGUAUUUACAUGAGUGAUUGGAGAUUUACUCUGCUGAGCGACGAAGCCACAGUGCCGACCCUGUAGAAACUCGCCCAUCCCGUCCUUGAGGUAUGGCUGACAGCAUGGUUGCUCCUGUGGGGGGUUACCGAGCCCUGUUGGAGUCGUGGGGGUCGGAUCGGCGAUACUGCAGCCUGUCAUGUUAACAGUGAGAGAAGACAGCAAAUAGUGACGCUGAUUAACCUCUCCCAUUCCCCUUUCACUGUGAGGCGGUACACUACAGUAAAAGAGGUAAGGUUGCAUAGAGAAAGAGGUAAGGCUACAGUGACCGGGGUGGUUGGAAUAGUCGCCACCAUGCCUUGCUGCGAUAUGGGGGUCACUGCGCCUAUCAUGUCGUGGGUACGGGCGUCGUGCGUCGAAAGCCUUGUACCGUGAUGGGGGAUCGGGCGAAACGGCACCGACGCCCGAGCCCUAGAGGGGUCCAGCGAGGCGGAACUUGCGUCCGAGGCCCAGCGGGGUCGGGCGAGGCGGAGCUUGCGCCCGAGGCCAAAAGGGUCGGGAGAGCCGUGGUUUGGUCCCGAGGCCAAGGAACCGGACGAGACGGGGCCCACACCCUGGUGAUUACGGGUGGUUUGUUUUGUCUUUUGUGAUUUUUAUUCUGAUUUGGGUAUCCCUUUUUAUGGUACCCAACAAAUAGCUACAGGCAGACCACUUGGUGAACAUGCAAAUAAAUAUGUUAGUCACUGUGGAUACCUUGUGAGAGAUCAAAUACCGAUCAAUGCUCGUGAAUGGAGAGAGAAGCGAGGUGCUCCUGAAAUCAGUUUUGUCUCUGAUCGUGACAAGAAGUUAGUUUGGAAAGCCGUCAUGGACGUUUUCACCUUCAACACCAACGAUUAAGAGUUGAAGGUGAAAAUUUAUGACUGGACUAUGAAGAAGAUGGCGGUACUGUUCCAGAAUUGGAAGAAGUCUUUGUACAAUAAAUUUGUCAAGAAAAACGAGACUCCAAAUUUCAACCUCAAGCAAUAUGUAAAGCUGAGGGCCUUCUGGGAUGACUUCAUGCAGUACAAAACAUCAGAAGAGGACGAGGAACGAGCCAUUAGAAACAAAGAGAAUGCAAGUAAAAAGACAUACCACUAUCAUAUGGGAUCAGGUGGUUAUAAGAGUGUUGUUCCCAAGUGGGUCCGAAUGGAACAGGAGAUGCUUGCUAGGGGGGUCACACCCGAGACAAUAGCAAAGAAUUGGAGCGAGCGCGCUAAGAAUUGGUUCUAUGGUCAUGGGGGAAGCAUGGACCCAGACACCGGGGCGCUAGUUUGGGGCCAAGAAAUCUCUAGAGCAGCAGAGAGACUAGUCUGUGCACGAGAGGCGGUUCAGUCUGGUGAGUUCAGGCCUAAUAGGGAGAAGGAUGAACUCACCUAUGCGCUUGAAAAUCCUGAGCACGGUGGGCGUACGAGAGGCUAUGGGGCAGUUCUGUGGCUGCAAUCAUUCCAAGCUGAUCAAGAUACCUACAGAAGCCGCCAGAGAAAGAAGGAUGAGGAGGCAGAGUGGAUCCACCAGCUGGAAGCUUUUGUUCUGCAGUCAGAAGAGCGCGAGAAAGCUCGUGAAGAAUGGAUGCAGGCAGAGAUUCAAAGGCUAGUGCAAGCAGCACUUAGUCAAAUGACGAAAGGGCAAGGUACAUCACAGCCUGAGGUCAACGUUAGCCCCCUAGGCCAGUUGAAAAGCAGCUGCGCAUCCACAGAAGUACCAACCAUUCAGGAUGACACGAAGCUACACUUUCCCGUGGAUGAUGUUACAAAGGCUUUUACUACCUGUGAGCUGCAUGUACCAGAUGGGAAUGCAACAAAAAAGAUGGCUAUCGCUGUUGUCAACCCUAUCGACCGAACGAGAACUCCAAGAAUCCAUAAUCGACCAGUACCUGGUGGAUAUGCUAGCAUCUCGGUUGAUAGGGUUGAGAAAGGUUGUGGCAAUGUGCCUCUAGAAAUAGAAGGGGGAGACGGAGAGAAGACCUUAGGUGAAGCUGAGAAGACGUUUAUUUGUUGGCGCAAGCACUUCAUAAUUAUUCCUCACCAUAGGUUUGUGCGUGAUUUUACUUCUUAUAAUAUUUAUUAUGUAUUGAAUUUAAAAAAAGUUUGCUCACAAAACUUGUAAUUGUUUUCUUUGCAGGGACCCCUCCAACCUAAGUCUCGUUCUCUCCCCAGCGCAUCAUAGUGCUGCGGGCGGUGACAAUGUUGGAUCUCCUCCAACACCUGCGGCGGCCACACCGACCCCGCCACCGCCUCCACCAAGGUCUCCACCUCCUCCACCGAGGUCUCCAACUCCUCCACCGCGUUCUCCAACACCGAAAAGAUCGGCCCCACCACCUCCACCACCUGCACCACCCUCUCCAAAGAGUACACGGUCGGUCCCCUCGCCUUCAAAACGAGGUAGUCAGAAGCGGUCCGCCCAAGAACGACCGAAGUCAUCGGUCCCACCUCCAAAGAAGGCUGCCUCAGCAAAGAGAGCUAAGACACCAGAGAAAUUACCUUAUGAAAAGAGUGAAGAGGAGGUAAUUGCUGCAUCCAAAGCUAAGGUGAAACAAUUUUUUGAUAAAUUGAAGGAGGACAGGAAAAAGCGGCUAAACACAGAAAAGCCGUACUUUUAUGUAAAGUCAGAGGAACUGAGGAAGAAGGUGGCGGACCAGCAAAAGAAGCAGCGGGAAGCUCAGAAAAAGCCAGCACUUUCGGGCUAUGAGCGGACUCUGGUCAAGUCUUCACAGCCUAGAAAGAGAGUAGGAAAGGGGGUCCCACAGCUCGGAGAAGUAUCAAAACCGGUGCCCCCUUUGAUUGUGCCAAAUCAAUACGGCUCAAAUGAAGACUUGAUGCCAAAGAAAUCCUUAGCGUUGUCUGAGCUAGAUUCACUUGAGCAUUACUUUGGACAGAGCGGUUUAAAUAUUGAAGACAUUGCCGCAAUUAUUGGAUGUCAAACAUUUGAAAAGCUGAGGUAAUUGAUCAAUGGAGGGCAAGAUAUGAACCGGGCAAGAGUCUAUUCAACCCUCAGCGUCUACAUGAGCUCGGCACACAAAUAUUUGCAAUAAACAAGUGGUGCAUUGAGGCGUCUAAAAGGGGAGAUAAUUGGAUUUCUGUUCGUAUUAGAUAACAUCACUACUUCCAUGGAGAUGACCUCAUAUACGUGCAGUUCGAAGAAUUGCACCAAUUAUGUCACCUCGACGCUCUCGACAAAUCUCUUGUCAGCUACUUUUGUCUGUAAGUAUUUCUUUCUUUUUAUUAAACUUCUAACUUCUUUAAUUACAUGUAUAUAAUCCUUACACACUUAGGAUUUGUAUGUAUAUAUGCAGGCACCAAAUGAGAGAGCUCAGAAUCAGAAAUGACAAUAGUAUUGGGUUCGUUGACCCUUAUAUUGUUUUCAAGGCUCCGCAGGCAGUGUGGACAGCAUCUCAUGAGACAGAAGUCUGCACCAAUCUUAUGAGGAUCUUUGUGAACCAAAAAGAAAAACAAAAAAUACUCUUCCCCUUCAACUUCGAGUGAGUUAUAUAGUUAUUAAGUGCAUGCAUAUUUUAUUUUACUUAUUAUUACUCGAGACAAGUUUUAUAUAGUUAUAUAUAGGCCUGACUAUAUAUAUGUGUAAAUAGCUUCACUGAAUACUCAUGGUCAUUGAAAUUCUUAAGAACCGGUUGAUAAUCUUUGACUCAACGAUAAAACCACAAGAAAAUUAUCAACAAAUGGUAAACAUUAUUCAAAGGUACGUAAUGUCGAUCUCAGCUAGAAGAAUAUCAUAAUACGACUAUGUAAUUAUUAGUUCACGAUCCACAAUGGUUGUGUGUAGGGUCUGCGAAAGAUUUAUUGACCAUGAACAUCUCAGUGGAUGUAAAGCGCCGCUUAACAUAAUUCAUCCACGAGUAAGUUUUACUAGCUAGCAAACUUUCGCUAACUUUUAGCCUUCUUAUUGUCGUGGUCGUGAAUAUUAUAUAUAUAUAUAUAUAUAUCGUACAGACAGUGGACAAGAAGGGGGAACAACCUAUGUGCAUAUUACGUGUGCAAAUUCAUGAUGGCAUAAGUCAAUCAAACACCCACAGAGACGCUCAGAGUACGUUACAUGUCUCUUUUCAUUAUCUCCUAAAUUAUAUUGAAUAACUUAGAUAACUAAUAUUUUUUUUAUUUAUUUCAAAUUAAAGACGGAAUGGUUGAGGGAAAAGGUCAUGUAAAAAUACCGAAUCAAAGCUAUCCAAGAGACGAUAGCAGGAUUUCUCCGCGAGCAAGUGAUCAAUCCAAAUGGCGAGUUUCACUUCAACGACAACGAAACUCUUAUUCCAAACAACGAUGAUCAUUUGUAUCGUUUUUAGUUAUUGGGAGAAAAAACUCUAUGUAUAUAUGUGUUACGAAUUUUGUACUUAUAAAACUAUAUAUAAAGCUUUUUACAUAUCUAUUUAAUUUUUGAUGUGGCCUAUUUAUUUUAUUAUAGGCAAAGCUUAAUUAUAAAGCUAAGCCUAUAAUUUUCAUUUAUAUAUGCUUAAUAUGCGUGUAAUAUAAAUAUAUUAUUGUAUCAGAAAAAAUAUGUAUUGAAAAACCUAUUAUUAUUAUAUAAAAACAAUAAACAGAACCGAAGAAGUGACAAAAAAACCCUUUAACACCGGUUGGUAAUACCAACCGGUGUUAAAGGGUCCUGCAACGUGGCAACCCUGACAAGACCCUUUAACACCGGUUGGUAGUAUUACCAACCGGUGUUAAAGGGGGGGGCUUUAGCCCCGGUUCCCCGGACCGGGACUAAAGGCUGGGCCUUUAGUUCCGGAAGGGCAGCACCGGCUCGGGAACCGGGGCAACAGGCCCUUCCCGACCGGUGCUAAUGCCCCAACAUGCAGCGGUGAAUGUUGCAUUUUCUGUAAGAUGGUAUUUCAUUUGCACAAGUUAUUGGACAAAAUUUAGAAUGCGCGCGCUGAGGACAACAUUGUUUACACUUUAGAAUGUUGCAUUUUCUGUAAGAUGGUGUUUCAUUUGCACAAGUUAUUGGACAAAAUUUAGAAUGCGCGCGCUGAGGACAACAUUGUUUACACUUUAGAAUGCAGAGACUCAUGUACUGUGUAGAGAGCACAAGAAAAUGUUGGCAUUAUUAAAUAAGAAAAACAAGGACAGGCCAGAUAGGGGAAACUGAAUGUCAAAUUUGAGUCGUGAAAAGAAGCUAAAGAAAACCCAAAAAUAGAAUUGAAGUGAUUUAUUUUACAUGGCAUUUUGUAGGAUAGAAAAUUUAUUAGAUGUAGUGAACCACGUGCUAUGAGAUGCUAAUAAGUCUCCAUAAUUCCUACGAACAGUAACGCAAUGGAAAAAGGCAUGCAUGUACAUAUUGAUUUUUGCGCCUCCAUUAAUUCAUUUUUUAGAUAAAAGAUAGUUUAUAUCCGGCUUCUUCUAUCAACUGAUAGAAUCAGAUUAAUAAUUACAAAGAGUUCUUGACAACCAACAUCCGACCAAGCAAAACGAAAUAAAUUUUGAACUAAACAUGACCAAUAUAUCUGGCAGCCAACCAUCCACGGGUGCUAAAAAAUUGCAGAGCUCAUGUCUCGAAGUAAGUUCCAACAUGGAUCAGCUGCUCUCGAUGAUCAUCAUGCCGCUGCAAAUUUGUCCAUUGACGAAGCCAGUGUGUUCCUCUGAAGAGUACCUGCAAGAAAGAUUUUGGUCUACAUUUAUCAAAAAUCACUUUGUUUCUUGUUAGCCAAAUUGUCCAGCAAAGCGCUGCAGCUGCUGUUAAUAACAAAGAGUUGUCAAUUUCAUUUCCAAUUUUUGACCAACGCAAAAAGAGAUCAGUCUCGCCAGUUGGAGGUGACAACCCAAACAAACAGUGAAGAGCGCGCCAUAAGAACUUAGUAUGAACGCAGUCGAAGAAGAGGUGUUGAAUGGCCUCCGAAACAUGACAAAAACAACAAUGUUUGUCGCCAUCCAAGUUACGUUUUACUAAGUUAUCCUUAGUUAAGACUUUACUAAGUUAUCCUUAGUUAAGACUACACCUUUCUUCAGGUACCAAACAAAUAUUUUAAUUUUCAUCGGUACUUUAAUUUGCCAAAUAUCUUAUGGCACCCUAACUCCAUUGUUAAUUAACGCAGCAUAUAUGAAUUUGACCGUAAAAAUUCUAGAUGCAGAUAAGCCCCAGAUGAACUCAUCCUCCGUUAAAUUUAAGUCAUGUAUAGAAGCAACGAUCCUAUUCCACGCACUUAAGUUCGCCCCCACUAAAUUCCUUCUAAAAGAAAUAUUCAAUGGGAUUGAACUAAGCACUUGUGCUACAGAGUCAUAUUUCCUUCUAACAAUGUUAAAUAAGGAAGGGAAUUUAUCUUUAAGCAGCUUAUUACCCAACCAAGUAUCAACCCAGAACCUGGUUUGACUUCCAUCAUUGAUCUUAAACGAGCCAAAUUCCAUAAACAAAUCUUUAAUGUUCAUUAAGCUUUUCCAAAAAUAUGAAUCCGUUGAUUUUUUAACACAACUCCCUAAAGUCUUGUCCUUGAUGUAUUUAUUUCUCAACAGUUCCUGCUACAUGCCAUCUUCAUUCAGCAGUUUAAAAAGCCAUUUGCUCAGCAAACACUUAUUUUGAAUAUCCAAAUUGUAUAUGCCUAUUCCACCUUGGUCUCUAGGUUGGCAUAAAACCUUCCAUUUAGCCAAUCUAUAUUUCUUUUUAUGUUGGUCAUUUUGCUAGUAGAAACGGGACCUAAAGCAGUCUAUUUUUUCAAGAACACCUCUUGGUAGUUCAAAAAAAAAGACAUCAUAAACAUCGGUAAACUAGUCAGCAUCGAAUUUAUUAAAACUAAAUGUCCCCCUACUGUAAGCAUUUUCCCUUUCCAACCACUCAACCUCUUUUCAAUUCUAUUCUCGAUCUCCUUCCAGUCCUUUUUAUUGAGUUUUCUAGUGUUCAUAGGUAGUCCAAGGUAACGAAAGGGAUACUUUCGAACCGCACAGCCAAACAGUUGCGAAUAAAACUCUUCAUGUUCUUUUGCCUUGCUAAAGUAGAAAAAUUCACUUUUGUGAAAGUUUAUCAUUAGGCCAGACAAUUGCUCAAAAGUGCUCAGCACAAUUUCAUGUUUACUGCCUUUUGAAAAUCAUGGCUCAUAAAGAUAACUGUGUCAUCCGCAUACUGAAGGAUGGAUAACCCUUCCUGUAUUAAAUUUGGAAUGACCCCCUUUACCUGUCCUGCUGCUUUUGCUCUAGCAAUGAGUAUAGCCAACAUAUCCGCUACUAUAUUAAAUAGUAUGGGCGACAUGGGAUCCCCUUGCCAUAAACCAUUCUUUGUUUGGAAGUAGGAGCCUAGCUGGUCAUUAACUUUAAUAUUAAUAUUACCUCCUUCUGUAAAUGUUUUCACCCAUUGACACCAUUUUUGUGAAAAAACUUUCAUUCUCAAUGUCUGUUGUAAAAAACUCCAUUUAACCUUGUCAUAUGCCUUUUCAAAGUCUAUUUUAAAAAUUACCCCGUCUUUCUUCUUUGUAUGAAGUUCAUGCAAUGUUUCAUGUAAAAUUACAUGCCACUUCCAGUAUAGCAAAAAGGCAGUUUGAGUGGGUCUUAUGAUCUUCUUUGCUAUGGUAGUUAAUCUGUUAGUUGCGACUUUGGUGAAGAUUUUGAAGGAUACAUUCAGUAAACAGAUAGGUCUGUAUUGCUGAAUCACCUUCGCAUCCUCCUUCUUGGGUAAAAGGAUAAUGGUUCCAAAAUUAAGGCGACUCAAAGACAAGUUCCCUUGAUGGAAAUCCAGAAACAAGUCCAUCAAGUCAUCUUUUAGUACAUUCCAAAAAACUUGAUAGAACUCUGGACGAAAACCAUCGGGACCGGGGGCCUUAUUAUGUUCCAUUUGGAAAAUCGCAACUCUAACUUCAUCCUGCGAGAAAGGUACGGUUCUACUGAGAACUAAUUUUCCAAUUGGGAGACUUGUGGGAUAUCGUCAAUUUGGGUCUCAUCUAAGGUGAAAUAGGAUAUUUUAGGUGGACCAAAAAGGUUCUUAUAAUAACUCGUGAUAUGUCCCUUAAGCUAGGCAUCAGUAGUAAUAGUACUAUUCUCAUCUUCCAACUGGAAAAUCCGAGUCUUGUGAUGUCUACCAUUAGCCAGCAAGUGGUAAUAUUUCGUGUUUGCGUCACCCUCUAACAGAUGUUUAGCUUUGGCUCUUUGGUACCACUUUAGUUCUUCCUCCCUUAGAAGGUCCGCUAAUUUCACAUUCAGCACAUGUCUUAGGUCCAACUCAGGUUGGCUAAGGGUGGCACUUUCUGCCUUUCUAUCCAGAUCAUCUAAUUUAUUCAAAAUAUCUUUCUUUUCUUUCUUAUAAGUGCCACUCACAUUUCUCGCCCACCCUCUAAGAUGCUGGUGCAACUUUCUGAUCUUUGUUUGCCAUCUCUCAAUGGGCGAGCUAUUGACUACUGUCUCCUGCCACACGUUCUUAACCAUAUCACAAAAUCUAUCUCUCAGCAACCAUCCCAAUUCAAACUUAAAUUGAGGUUGAUAUGUAGGGGACAGAUUAUUUGUGGAUAGGAGCAGAGGUGUGUGAUCGGAGAUUUCUCUAGUCAAAGCGUGCACAGUGGUAUGAGGGAAUUUAUAUUCAAAAUCUGCGCAAACAAGGAUUCUAUCUAAUUUUUCAAAAGUCUGAUUCCCUAAAUGAUUAGCCCAAGUAAACUUCAUGCCUGUCAUUUCUAUCUCUCUGAGAUAUAGGGAGUCAAUCACCGCAUUAAACAUAAAAGGCCAUCUAUCAUCAAAAUUAACAUUAUUUUUCUCAUCUGGUCUUCGUGGAAUGUUAAAGUCACCACCUAUGACAAUAGGUAAGGUGUCUUUAGAACAAACACGAACCAUCUCUGACAAACAAUUGGAUUUAUGCUCAACAUGUACAGGGCCGUAAACCGCAAUCAGAUUGAAUUUGAAGUCAUCCUCCCUAUUCCUAACUUUAAAACGGAUGAAGAAAUCACCCUCCUCAAUCUUGCCUAUGUCAAAAAUUUAACAGAUUAACCCCAAGUAACAUGCCACCGGACCUUCCGCAUGGAGCCAUACAGUGCCACAAAAAAUCUCUGCCAGCACAGAUAUUAUUCAAGGUGGACUGUGGAAAAUUAGCUCUACCGGUUUCCGAUAAGGCAAUAAAUUUAAAGUUUUUUCUUUUGUUAGAUCUGACAGGAAUAUGUAUUUCUUACCAUCUGCAAAACCCGUUACAAUUCCAAAAAAAAUUCCUUUCAUCUUGACUGAUUUUGUUUAUUAUUAUUUUUUAUUUUCUUUGUGCCUCUGCAGUGUGAAAUAUUCAUCAUUUGAAGAAACCGAAACCACAUCCUCAAUUUCUUUCUUAUCAUUAAACAUUAAAUUUUUGCUAUCAACCAUGCGCUGAUAUUCUGUACUUCUUAACAGCUCUAAGGAAUUAUUAAUUUCAAGAUCAUUAUUUCCUAACAGGAUCCCGAAAGACUUUGUUGAAUUAAAUAGACAGGUAUCAUAUUGGAAAAUAAAAGAGUUGGGCUGUACAUUUUUACCUUUGUCAGAUGCGAAUUCCAAAUUUUGGCGGGCCUUUAGCUUGGCCGCCUUCUCCACCGAAUCUUGGUCCGCUGUUGCAGCCGUCCUCUUGCUUGCACGUUCGGGUGACACUGUCCCACCACUUAAUGUUUUCAUCUUGCUACAUGUGCUAGAGUCCUUUGCAACGUUAACAAGUUGUGCCUUCCACUGACCACCACUAUUUGUUGUCAAUAUUGCCGCAGAUUUGGAAUUUGCAUUCUUUUUAUUUAUUUUAUUCGAAGAACCCCCAUCUGAACCGCCCUUGGCCCUUAGGGGGUUGUUCUUCCUUUUCACCAUCAAUUUCCAUAGCCUUAUCACCAAUUUCAUUAUUCUUUGGAUCAUCAACCUCUUUUCCUACAAACUCAUUUUGAGGGUCCUCAUCUUCCAUGGUAGAAUCCAGAUCUAACAGUACACCCUCUUGUCCCCCUUGCUCUACUCCAAAGUGAAGCUGAAAAACAUCAUCCCCAAUGACCACAUCCACAAAAACUGGAAUAAGACUGGGGUCAAGUACCGCUACCUUCAUUCUUGCUCUACCAAAAGCCUUGGUAAACUUUGUGUCUACCGCUCUCGGAACACCUAGGUAGAAGCAAUUGCCCAAAUAAUGGGGAAUUCCCUAAGCUCCUUGGUCGUCCCUUGAACUGCACCCACACCUUUUCAAUUUCAUAUUUAUAGUAUCAUCCUCAACACUCUUCUCUAACUUAAUUUUACCUUGAACAGUUUUUGUGUCCAUAGUGCCCCAAUUCACUAUUGUUGCCAGCCAAUCAGAAGAUGGAAAAUUAGUGGAGAAAGUAUCCUUGCCCUUCUCCUCAAUUUCCCACUUGGUUUUCCCUGGUAGUAGGUUUUCCAGUUCCACUGCCAACAUCUCAGCAGUAAAAGAACCUUCCAAUACAUGUACCACAGCAGUUGUGUCAUCUUCCUUAACCUUGGGAAAAUCAGUGAAAACAGAAAUAUAGUAGAAGCCCAACCCCUCAACACCAUAUCCAUAUUGUAAAGCAGAAAUGUUUGUCUUUUUCAUAUUUGGGCAACUUUUUGCGACACGGUCACCACAAUAAACAUCACAACAUAAAACAGCCAUGCACUCAUGUAUGGUAUGGCCUUUGGUUAAACAUUGGUAACAAAAAGGCUUGCCCUUGCUCUUUUUAGCACCCUUAUUAGAAGACUCUGGCACAUCUAAAAUCAUUGCAUUAUUUUUACUGCUUGGUGGGACAGUGCUUUUAGGUACCUCGUUCAAAGCCUUGUUGCCUUCCACGUUCUGGACUUGAGGCAGCCUGGCCAUGCUCCUGACCAGCGGCAGGCGGCUGAGACUGUUGCCCGGUCUGCUGCAGGUGACCGGCCGUCGGCUAAUCAAGAGCAGCAGCAGCCUGCGCAGGUGCAGGGGCCUGCUGUUGGUGCAGCCCUCCUGCUGGAUCGAUGUAGCCGUGGGGAUGGGCGCCUGUUGAUUCGUCGGGUUAGCUAGCUGCCCACCGUAGGCGCCGUAGUGCCCACGGCCGUCUCCAAAACCUCUGUUGUUGCCAUGGAGACGACCGUCGCGGCCAGAACCAAAUUGGCCCUGGCCCCCGUAGCCCUCGUGACCACCAUAGCCGCCAAAGCCACCUCUGCCAAACCUUCCACGCCCACCUCCGUGACCUCCACCAAAACCGCCGCCACGGCUACCAUACCCGCGACCCCGAGGUUGGUAACCAAAGCCACGGUUACCCCCCCCCGUCCUCCAUACCUUGGAUCGAAGCCGGAGUUAAACCUAGGAUUAAAGCUUCCUCUUCCACCCCCGCGAACUCCAAACCCUCCAUUGCCGCCUUCCUGCGCCAUGCUCCCUUCACGAACGACCUGGGCGAACGUUCUGCGUGACGAGGAAGAGGUCGGCGGCUGUGUUUUCCGUCGUGGAAUAGUUCACGUGCCCGUGUGCCGGAAGAAGUUGCACUGUUGACCACCAACCUGCUGAACAAGAUUCAUCGGCUGAUUGACCAAUCCUUGAUUUUGAAACCCUGGUUGCAUUGGUCCUUGCUGAAAUCUCAUAGCCUGAUGAUUCUGUUGAGGCAUUUGUGGAAAGACGAACUGUCCUGUCCAUCCAUUGUUAACAUUCAUCAGCGUAUGUCCUGCCGAUGGCUGAUAGAUGGGCAUCAUCAUUGGAUUGGCAUACCCUAUCUGCGUCAUAAACCUUUGAUGCGUCGGCAGCGGAUCUGCCGAUGCGUUAGGCAUCUGGAAUGUUGGCAUCUGAGAAUUUCCAGUAAAAGGUCUUACAGUAGUGGUUGUAGAAUACUGAGGAUUCUGAGUCAUCGGCGAUACUGGGGGUGCCAAUGUCAUAGGAGCCUUGUCUGCCACGUCAGCCACUUGAGAUGUCCCAGAACUAUUUGCACCAAAGUCCGGGGGCAUACCAUAUCCCCACCGGUUGGGAGGAACUUGACAGUUUUUAAAUAGAGAUCCUAACAUUGCCGAUGCCAGUAGAUCUGUAGCAAGUUGAACUUGUCCCUCUGAUGUUGCUGGAUCCUGGAUCAGUCCUCAUCGGUGUAGAUUGCCCAUUAGUCAUCCCUAAUGUGCUUGGAGGAGAAGUAACUUCUGUACCCACAACGGCAAGAGUAGCCGAUGGAGCCGUAACCGAUGAUGAUCCUGGCUGAUGAUAGGCCGGGCCCACAUAAGAUGGUGGUAUCUGUCCUUCUUUGAAAGUUCUAGCCACAGCAUUGAAAACUGUAUUGGACAGCACACUGGAUUGAUUGAUUAAAUCACGAUUAAUAGUAUUGUCAACCAUCUCUUGUAGUUUACCAGGAUUGGCUUCAAAAGUGAUUUGCCGAGGCAUCGGCAAUGCUUCCUUUUGGAUCACCUCGCCGCUCCUGUUGACACUGAAGGAUUUCAAACAUAGCUGCUUGUAUUCCUCUAUAGCUUUUACCAUAGCUUGCUUCUGCUCAUCUCUGAGAUUGGCUUCCGUCACGGGGAUAAUGUUAUCCGUAUCGAAAUCAGUAUUCGACAUGUUGAUCUUGACAAUGAAUCUGAGUCCCACCGGGGGUGCCAAAAGAUGUGUUGGUGCAAAAGUGGAUCUGCAAACACAAAGGGCUAAUACCCGAUUCAAUGUUAAGGCGUGUCAGCCGAUUUGACCUUACAACCGGCAAAGGUGAUAAUUCGAAUACUUUGGUCCCGCCAACAGCGAUACGCCCGGAUGCCACGGCCAAGAGGUAUUCAUGCGGAACUUGAGAACUCGCCGAGUUUGACUCAAUGAAUUCCUAAGAACUCGUAGGUAAAAAAGAAAAUAUACGAGGUGACGAAAUCGUCGAAAAAGUAGAUGCUGGAAUAUAUGUAAAAAUUUGUGUUUGAUUGAUUGUGUUGUCUAUUACAUUGCUACGGGGUCUAUAUUUAUACCCUGUUCAAAAGAGUUACAACCAGACACGACUAAGACUCUAAUUACAAAUUGAACGGAAUCUGUAUACAAAACAAACCCUAAUAGCUAUGGAAAACGUUAAUCUAUCCACCACAGGCGAUCGGCACACCGUCACCAUCCUAUCAACAAUUCCUGCGCCUCCUUCUGUUAUCAUCGGCAAAUCGCCUUCCAUCGGCAUCGGCAACCACCAGUAUCGGUCAUCGGCAUAGAUCAAUCACCAACCCUGGACUUGACCACAUUCUGCUGUUUCGUCAUCGGUAUCAAUCCCCAUCGGCAACUCCUUUGACAACCAGUCACCACUCUUUCGCCUGCCGAUCUAUAUUUCAUUAACUCCCAGAUACGUGUCCAAAAACGGUAUCAACAGUUGUCUUCCCUUCGCUUGACAUGGUCACCAUGAUAUAAAUAUGUUUAAGAUCUAUCGCAAGUUUGUUAUGGGAGGCACCUAAUUCCAGUUUUGGUGAGAUGUUGCUCUCAUGUCGCAACAAUACACUCGUGUGAAAGAUAAAUACGGCAAAAGCCGUACCAACAGGUCAACAUGUCAAUGUAAUUAAACGUCUAAUCCAGAAACUUCUACGAGUCAGUGAGUGUAUGCAUUGUUUAUUUUGUAUAAGCAUAUAUUAAGAAACAAAGUUUACAUAGUUCAAAUGCAAAUUAGGUACUCUUUGUUACCAGCAAUGGCUACAUUGCAUAUGUUAAGGGUGAGCACUUUCACACUGGAAAUCGAGCACGCCGAACCACCAAAAUUUUUGGUUUUUUUGGGGUCGAUGGCCGGUUCGCUUGGUGCUUUUUUCUUUUAAUAACUCGUUGUUCGGCUUCGGCUUAGAGGUUCAGAAAAGUGCAAAUACUGCAAUGCUUUGGAAACCAGAAAUCAUCUGUUCUUCAAUUGCGUUAUUGCUCACGUCAUUUGGGUUUUGGGUUAGGAUUAGUAUAAGGAGGUCCGAGAGACCUAUUUCGGUCACUCACUUUUAAAACAUGAUGUUUGGAGUUUAUGGAAAGUCAGAGAUGACUGAGUGUUUAAUAAUGUUUUGAUCAAAUCCCCCAAAACAAUUGCUUACAAGGUUGUUGGGUUCCUAAUACAGUGGACGAAGAUGCAGAAAACGAAUGGAGGAUGUUAUCCUGAAGCUGCAGGAAGGACUGCUGGCUUGGUGAUCUGAAGACGGCGUUGGAGGAGCUAGGUGCUUUCUGGUUUUGUUGUCUUUUGGGCUUAUGCCAGAUACGAAGUUAUUGUAAUUAGAGCUUUGCUGUGGUACUCCCAAAGCCAUUCAUUUAAUUAGAUCGGAUGGUUAAAAUCAUCUAUUACUUUCUAUGAGGUAAUAGGUUAAAUAAAGAAAGUAUUAGAUACAAAGAUCAUUUUUUUAUUUUAAUUGAUGCACAUAUGAUAUAUUAGAUAUGGUGAAUCUUUUUAUUUUGAAACUUUGAAUACAAUAUAACUUAAUUAGAAUAAACUAGCUAUUUUUUUGAUGCACUUGUAACUCAUGCACGCAACUAGAUUUAAAUGUGUGUGUAUGUGCAUGUUCGAUUAUAUACCGUGUUGGUGUGUAACAUGUAUUAAAUUGCUAUAAAGUUCACAACUCAAUUAACAUGCUAGAUGUUGAUAUUUUUCAUGUAUGUAACAUAUGUUUUUUAGUCGAGUAUGAAACAUAACUAGUGUACCUUUUUAACAUAACUUAAUAUUAUAACAAAAAUUGACCACUUUUAAGACAAAAAAAAGAUUAUAUAGAAGGAAAACUAUAGCGAGAGUUAUGAAAGGAAGAAUACGGCUAUGGACAAGAACAAGGAAAGGGUUUGUCUGCCCACCGGAGUCUCCCCGUGAUUAGAGGGAUUUAAAAAAAGAUUAUAUAGAAGGAAAACUAUAGCGAGAGUUAUGAAAGGAAGAAUACGGCUAUGGACAAGAACAAGGAAAGGGUUUGUCUGCCCACCGGAGUCUCCCCGUGAUUAGAGGGAUUUGAGGAUAAUUUUUUAUUUUCUAGAUUUAUUAAUUAAUGUAAAAAUCUAAAAAAAUCAAUGGCUUAAAUUUAUUUGAGAUAUUACCUCCUAGUAAAUAAUGGGUGUACCGUAGCAUUACCCUUGUAAUUAUUGUAAGACAAGUCUCAAUGAUAAGUUUUGUAGCAUUGUUUGCAAGAGUGUUUUAUCAUACGAAAUAAAAUGAAUCUGGAAUGAAACUAUGGUCUCAAAAGCAUUUAAUUUUAAGACUCAUAGAGAGUAGGUAACUGUGCCAACAGAGUUUUAUUGCCCCUCUCUUUUCUUAAAUAUACUGUCAUGUCAUCAAAAAUGCUUAUGUGACAACCUAUUUAAUACAAAUGAAACUUAUUUAAAAUUUUCUAUUAAGAUUGACCUAAGCUGGUUUUCCCAGAAGAUACUUUGGUUUCAAUAUAAAGCAGUGCCAAAUGUUCCCUUUGGUAUAAAAAUCUAGUUCAUAUCAAUUAAUGGUCCCUCCUUUGGGCGUCUCAGCCCACCACACACCAAGACAACAAUGCUAGGCCCAACUAGUGAUGGCACCCCAAUGGAUAAAGGAAAGAAAGACUCUCCCUACGAGGCCCCUGCAUUAGCAGCAACACCGAGCGUCACAUGGGGCUCGGCGACCUUGUCGCGUAUCGAGCCCCGAUUUCAUGACCCUUGUAUGCCAUUAUGAAAAAUCGACUUCAAACCAGAAAGCUAUUAAAAAGUUGUUUCGCACCGCUAUAUUCAACUUUAUCUUCGGCUAUACCCGUGUGCCAUUCCGUCAUCAUUCCGUUUAUUUUCUUCCGUUUAUAGAGUUACAUGUAGGUCCCGAGUAACACAAUGUCUUUAUUGCCCUUCCGGUCGCUCUGCACUGUUUUUACUCGCGCCGAAGCAACCUCCCGAUUCCGCCUGCCCGUGGUCUAAGCUGGCGGACGCUCAGCGCUCUCCCGCCCAGACACCCUGGCCGAGGCCACUUCCCACCUCCGGAAGAACCUCGCCUACUUCCGCGUCAACUAAGCCGCGGUCACCGCGCUGUGCCUGGCCGCGUCCCUCCUGGCGCACCCGUUCUCGCUGGCUGCGCUGCUGGCGCUGCUGGCGGCGUGGUGCCUCCUCUACGUGCUCCGCCCCGCCGACGCGCCGUUCGGCCGCACCUUCUCCGACCGCGAGGUGCUGGGUGGCCUUGUCGCCGCGUCCGCGUUCGUCGUCUUCCUCACGUCCGUGCGCUCGCUCAUCUUCUACGCGCUCCCGCUGGGUGCGGCGGUCAAGUGUGUGCCCACGGCGCGUGCCGCGUGCCUGAGGACCUGUUCCUCGACGAGGCUGACCAGGCUGCUGGUGGCGCCGGAAACCCAUUGCUGUCGUUCAUCGCCUCCGCCACCGGAGGCCGUGUCUCUCAUUGCCGCUCGCCACCGGAGAGACACGCCUGGUGUUCAUUGCCGCGUCGAGAGACCUGGUUGCCCCUAGGCAGAGUAGGGGAUGGGGCGGGGGCGGGGGCGGUGGGCCCUGGGGAUCCGCGCGGUGGCGCUGGUCCUGCUCGUGGUCGCGGCUGCUGCCGAAGCCGCCGCGGGGAUCCUGAUCCGGACGAGCUCGAGCGCGCAUUAGUGUCUCCGCUCUGCUCCGCGUAGACAUACAUAGAUUGGAACGAAUAUGCCUAACAAAUAUCUCCAAGAUCCACCAACGUUUGAAGCCACGUGAAUCGGAAGAGGCGGACAACGGGCGGAUAGAUUGGCGGUGGCGGACUGAAAUUUUCCUAAUUUAGUAUCAGGGAUAGAUAGAUUAAUAUUCCAUGCAACUGACCGACUAGCCGGAAGUAAUAUCGUGCACAUAGAGAUCACAACGUUUUCCUUGUAUAAUUAUUUUAAUAAUUAUCAAUUUCGUAGAGUUCCAAAAGAAUACGUUCCAACAACACCUGCGUUCCAAAAGAAUAAGUGUCAAUAAUAUGUGCGGAAUAAAAUUUUCUCAUAUUCAUCUUGUAACACACGGUUAUUUUUUCUUUUAAAAAUAAUCAUCAAACACCUGCAUUUGCCAUAGUAGUAUCCAAAAUAGACAGUCAGUGGCGCACAGUAUUUUGAUUGGCUCGUUCAUGGCGGUAUCCAAAAUUGGCAGUCAGUGGCACUGGGGACAAAAAAAUUUUUGCUGUCCACACCAAGUAGUCCAGAGGCAUUCAAGUCUAUUGCCAGGUCACUUAACUGCCGUUAGGCUUCAAAAUGGACGGAAUGACACACGGGUAUAGCUGAAGAUGAAGAUAGCGGUGCGAAACAACUUUUUAGUGGCUUGCUGGUUUGGUCCAUCUUUGAUAAUGACAUACAUGUAAAAUGCUCCGAUUUCUUGGUGCGUUCUGGUUUCGAAUCGUUUGAUGAAAUGUUUCAAGAUAGUUCGCUCUUUGGGGCAGAAAACAUGGCUAUACAACAGCAGACCACACAAUUGCUGUGCAGCUAGCCUAGCAGUCCUGCACAGGCAUGCACAAGCAGGUGCAUCACAGCAGAGCAGGCACAACCACAGCCCAUGAGCUUGCUUGCAACAACAGGCCGGCUAAUGGGGAUGGGAAUCGGCGGAGCAGAGGAGGGAGGGAUGCUUGAAUCUGAGGCACGAAUUGGCGGAGAAGAGGAAAGGAGGCACGCACGAAUCGCCGAAGGCCGAUCGGCGGUUUUGAAUAGGAACAGACUGAGAGGAGGGAGGCACAAAUCGAUGGACCAGAAGGGGCCGGAGCAGCUGGAUUCCGGCAGUGCGCCGGCGAGGACCAGGUGCGCUCUCUUCUCUAUCCCCUGCGCUGUGUAUUGGAUUGGGGUCGCUCGCUGUGCUCUCUUCUCACUGUAGUCUCCUGUAUAUAUGACUCUUUUCAGGCUAAAAAAAUUACUGUAGUCUUGUGACCAAGAGAUGUGCAAGUAACUCUUGAUUUUCGGGUGGAAAUGCCUCAUAGGUAACUAUUAUAGUGACUAUAUUUGGUCAGGAUGGCAUCUUUGAACAUGACAAAGGAACAAUCAUGCUUCUAAAUUGCUAUUGGACUCUAAAGGUCUAAAAUGUCAGUUCAGAGUUUAUUUCAUCUAUCACAUGAAUUAUGCCGAUUACUCUUGUAUGUAUGGUUCAUUACUUGUACUGUAGCUCGACUAUUAGGCCUUGUUUACUUCCACCCAAUGUUUUCAAGACGUCCGAUUAAUCGCGACUAAUCGUCCUGGACGGUUGGAGGUACUCGACUAGGCCUCCGACUUGGCCAGAACGACCAGGAAACUGGUCGUCCGAUUAGUCGUCGUCCAGUCGCGAUUAAUCGUCCGUCCAGGUUGUCUGGCGUCCAGUCAGGAGAUGGUCUAGGUAGUAGAUGGGCUGCAUCUCAGAGUUGGGCCUAGCAAGCUGCCUUAUAUUUUGGCCCAAGCCCAUUAGGGUUUAUGUUGUCUACCCCUCACGGCCUCACUCAUUUCAGCAAACACAUUCACUCCUCUCCUCUUCCGUCCAGCAGCAGCAACCACCUCCAUUGCUGCCCUCCUCUCCUCUCUUUCUGUCUCCCAGCUGCUCCUCCUCCUCUCCUCUCCUCCCGUCUCCCAGCUUCUCCUCCCUCCCUUCCUCCCUUCCAGCUGCCCUCCCUCUCUGUGCAAGGGAGGAGGACUGCACGACGAAGAUGCUCCCUUCAAGCGUGCAACGUGCAGCAGCCAGCAAGACAAGAAAGGGCUCUGCAGCAGCCAGGUAAGUGGCUAGCUGACCUAUCUAGACUCUAGAGCCUAGAACAUGUAUAUAUAUAUGGUAUAAUGUGUAUUGUAUAUAGCUACAUAAUAUAUAUGUUAUAUAUCAGUUCCCAUAUGUAGGGGACGACCAGGGGACUCGUCCAGGGUCGAUUAAUCGUCCUGGACGACAACUAAUCGUCCUGGACGACCUGGACGGUCCCCCAGCGUCCAGACACGACCAGCCGUCUUGAAAACAUUGCUUCCACCAAAAAACACAAAAAUUUUCAAGAUUCUCCGUCACAUCGAAUCUUUAGACGCAUGUAUGGAGUAUUAAAUAUAGAUAAAAAUAAAAACUAAUUACACAGUUUGGUCGGAAUUGACGAGACGAAUCUUUUGAGCCUAGUUAGUCCAUGGUUGGACAAUAAUUAUCACAACCAAACGAAAGUGCUACAGUGUCAUAAAAAUUUUUCCUUACGGAACUAAACACGGCCUUAUUACAAUCUAUUAUACUCCUGGUAAAAAAUAUGCACUUUGUUGUUAGAAUUUGAUCUGAUUAUUUUUUUGUUGACGAAAUCUGGAGAGGCCGAAGCCUCUACAGCGACUUUAUUAAAGAUAAAAAAAAGAGAAUUUUUACGAAAGAAGCACGGGGGCGGGGAGAGGAACAAGAGAAAGAAGCAAGGCUCUCAGCCCAGAACUAGAUAAACUAGGAAACAAGGCUCUCAGUCCAAAGAACUAGCUGAUCAUGAGAGCUAGACUUGACCAUAUGUUGUAAAAGACCCACUUCUUUUAUCAGGGUUCUUCGACAGUUUGGGAUCGAAAUUUGAUCUGAUUAUUUGAUAAAUGUCAUAGUUAUUCGCUGAAACUCUUUAGUAGAAUAGGGGUCUGGCAAGCAUGGAAAAUUCUCCAUUGACCACGUUUCUUCUAGGCACCUUCGUUGCUUUCUCAUGGCAUUCCUCAUCCACAUAUCGGUCAUCCCAACUGGUAAGUCAGCGUCUAGUCCAGAGCUACUUAUUUUUGGGUAUGACAGCAGGGGACAAAUGUUUUUUUUUUGACGGCAAAAACUGUGGGGAGGUCCCCGCAGUGUCAAAACUUUUUAUAAAUUGAAAGGAGUUCCAGAAAACUUAUAGUGGAAUCUACACACCACGGGAUCCCAGAAAGUAAAGGAAAACACACACACACUUCUUAGACGUGGAGAGAUGGCUCAUGCACUCAUCUUUCUUCUCGUGGAUCAUCUUCUCAUCUUCCUACUGUGCAAUCCAAUAGCAUUCUUAGCUGCGGACUCGACCAAUAAUUCAGAGAUCGAACUGCAAGCCCUUCUCAACUUCAAGCAAGGCAUCACAAAUGAUCCUUCUGGCGCCCUUAGCACAUGGAACAUUAGCGGCUCAUUCUGCACAUGGAGUGGGGUCGUCUGUGGUAAGGCCCUUCCCCCUUCCCGUGUUGUUUCACUGGACCUGAACUCUUUGCAGCUGUCUGGGCAAUUAUCCCCUUAUCUUGCUAAUCUUACUUCUAUAACACGGUUAGAUCUUGGAAGUAAUUCGUUGGAGGGACCCAUCCCUAAGGAGUUGGGUACACUUCCUAAGCUUCAAGAUCUGAUCCUUGCAAAUAAUAGCCUGUCUGGAAUUAUCCCUGCUAGUCUGUUUAAGGACUCAUCUCAACUUGUCGUUAUUGACCUUCAAAGGAAUUUCUUAAAUGGGCCUAUUCCAGAUUUCCAUACUAUGGCAACUCUGCAAAUUCUUAACCUUGCAGAGAACAACCUUUCAGGCAGCAUACCUCCAUCAUUAGGAAACGUCUCUUCCCUCACGGAAAUACACCUUGAUUUAAAUAUGCUAGAUGGAUCAGUUCCAGAGACUUUAAGUCGAAUUCGCAACCUUACUGUGCUGAGUUUAGAUUACAACCAAUUUGGGCAUGUCCCAGCAGAACUCUACAAUAUAACAUCGCUGAGAAUCCUUGACUUAGGCAAUAAUGAUCUUUCUGGACAUUAUAUACCAGCCAGCCUUGGCAACUUUUUACCAAACCUUGAAAAGUUGAUCAUGUCAGGUGACAAUAUCACAGGACUCAUUCCACCAUCACUAGCUAAUGCAUCAAAGCUCCAAGAGAUCGAUCUUUCCUAUAACACACUAGCUGGCCCAGUUCCACUUCUAGGAUCUUUACCUCACUUACGUAUACUAAAUCUAGGAAGUAACUCACUAAUAUCUGAUAACUGGGCAUUCAUUACCUCUCUCACAAAUUGCUCCAAUCUAACAAUGCUGAUAAUGGAUGACAACAGGCUUGACGGAAGUCUGCCAAUUUCUGUUGGCAAUCUUUCAUCAAGUCUGCAGAGAUUAUACCUUGGAAAGAACCAAAUCAGUGGCAAACUACCAGAACAGAUAGGCAAUCUUCCACAGCUCCAAUUGCUUGCCAUGGACCAAAACUCGAUAUCUGGAGAGAUUCCUUUAAGCAUUUGGAACCUAAGUGUCCUAGUAGUUCUAAAACUAUCCCAGAACAGAUUGUCAGGUCAGAUUGCACCUGCAGUGGGUAAUCUUCUGCAGUUAACCCAGCUUUCUAUCGAUAGCAACAGUUUAAGUGGAAACAUACCAGCAAGUUUAGGGCAGUGUCAGCGAUUGACAAUGCUAAACUUGUCUUCUAACAACCUUGAUGGAUACAUACCAGUUGGACUGGCAAAUAUCACAACCCUUUUUAGUUUGGACUUGUCGAAGAACCAUCUUAUUGGAUCAAUACCACAAUCCAUUGGUUUGCUCGAACAGCUUGUCCUUCUAAAUAUUUCCCACAAUAACUUGUCUGCGCAAAUUCCUCCUUCACUCGGAAAAUGUCUUUCCAUCCAUCAGAUUGAUCUCUCUCAGAACAACUUAACAGGACAAAUUCCAGAUUUCUUCAACAAAUUCACUUCAUUGGAGCUACUUGACCUAUCCUACAAUAAUUUUGGGGGGCCAAUUCCAACCGGAGGAGUAUUUCAGAAUACCACAGCAGUAAUCUUAAAUGGGAACAUAGGGCUCUGUGUAAAUGCAACUACCUCUGCAUUUGUAUUCCCUGUUUGCCCCAGAAUAGCAGCUGGUGGAAUAAGAAAGAAUGCACACUUCUUGUUAAUAGUAAUUCCACCGAUUACUAUUGCCUUAUUCUUAUUCUUAUGCUUAUGCUUAUGCAUCAUUGUCGCCCUUCUGAAGAGAAGAGCACACAUGGAGACUGCUCCAUGCUACAAGCAGACGAUGAAGAAGGUAUCCUAUUGUGACAUUCUUAAAGCUACAAACUGGUUCUCUCCUGUAAACAAGAUCAGUUCAAGCUGCACCAGUUCUGUCUACAUUGGCAGGUUUGAGUUUGACACAGAUUUCAUAGCCAUCAAAGUGUUCCAUCUGGAAGAGCAUGGUUGUCUAAAGAGCUUUCUUAUGGAAUGCGAAGUGUUCAGAAACACCCGCCAUCGCAAUCUUAUGAAAGCAGUGACCUUAUGCUCAACAGUGGACAUGGAAAACAAGGAGUUCAAAGCUAUAGUUUUCGAUUUUAUGGCCAAUGGAAGCUUGGAUAUGUGGCUGCACCCAAAAUUGCACAAAAAUAGCCCCAAGAGAGUUUUGAGCUUGGGCCAGAGAAUAAGAAUAGCUAUGGAUGUGGUUUCUGCUUUGGACUACAUGCACAACCAACUGACACCACCUCUAGUUCACUGUGAUCUGAAGCCAGCCAAUGUUCUUUUGGAUUAUGAUAUCACAGCUCGAGUUGGUGAUUUUGGAUCUGCAAAGUUUCUCUCUUCAAGUCUUGGUAGCCCAGAAGGUUUUGCUGGCGUGGAAGGAACUAUUGGAUAUAUUGCGCCAGGUAAAUUCUCCUCUGUUAUAUGUUUCAUAAUAUAUUUUUCUUUGCUAACAUGGAAUUGUUGUUUUUUCAGAGUAUGGAAUGGGGUAUAAAAUCUCGACUGCGUGUGAUGUGUACAGUUUCGGUGUGUUGCUACUUGAAAUGCUCACCGGAAAGCGACCCACUGACAUAAUGUUUACUGAUGGUAUGAGCCUUCACAAGUUGGUGAGCUCGGCAUAUCCAAAUGGACUUCACGAAGUUUUAGAUCCCUACAUGUUCCAAGAGGAAGACCUUGUAUUUGCAACACUAACGCUGCAGUGCUAUCUGGUACCGUUGGUUGAAGUUGCCCUAUUAUGUGCCAUGGAGCUUCCCAAAGAUCGACCCGGGAUACGAGAUAUUUGUGCGAAAAUAUUAGAGAUCAGCGAGGCAUUCCUCAAGCCCCGGUGUCUUUAUUGAAUAAGGUCCAACAAUGUGGACAGUUUAUCAUUUGCUAUAAACUAGAACAUCUUAAAGGAAAAAAGCUACAUUUAUGCUCUUCAAUAUACUCCCCUCUGCAAAAAUGUAUUUUCAUGGUCCCCAGGAGAAGGAUGGUUGCUAUGUUUCUGUAAAGUUAUUCUCAAACUAAGUUCAGUAGUUACUUUUACUUCAGAAAUCUUGUUUGGACUUCUAUAUACCACUAUCACAUAUAUAAUUUUUAGAGUCGUCUCAUUUUUUUCAUGCGACAGUUGUAAUGUCUUUAAAUUUCGGCUCCUAAACUCGGCUUUCAUUACUCGACUGCCUAAGAAAGUGGAUGCGGUGGAAAUCAAAAUUUUUCGGCCUAUAAGUCUUAUUCACAGCUUUGCCAAAUUGGUUACUAAGCUCAUGGCUAACCGGCUAGCUCCUCUUCUGCCAUCCUUGGUUUCUGCGAACCAGAGCGCAUUUGUGAGGGGAAGGAGAAUACAUGACAAUUUUAUGCUGGUUCAACAAAUGGUAAAAUCCUUGCAUAAAAAGAAAGAGGCGCAUAUCCUUCUUAAGUUGGACAUCUCCAAAGCGUUUGAUUCAGUUUCUUGGUCCUUCCUCUUGGAGGUUUUGCGCAAGGUGGGGUUUGGUCAGCGGUGGCGGGACCUCAUUUGUCUAAUUCUGUCCACAUCUUCGACACAGAUCUUAGUCAAUGGAGAACCGGGGGACACUAUUUAUCGCCACCGUGGUCUUAGACAGGGAGACCCACUUCUCCAAUGUUGUUUAUUCUAGUCAUGGAAAUCAUGAAUUCUUUUUUUUUGAAGGAAAAUGGCAUCUCUGCCUUUCAAUUAAGGUAGAAAAAGGAAGUUUUUUACAAAGAAGCCUCCCGAGGGGGAGAAAAAGGUUACAGGUGUAGCAAAAGGAACAAAGACACCAAACAGCGCUCUAACCAAAAGUUCUUAGCGCUCUCCUCCUUUGGUCGAUGUCCUCCUUGAUUCUUGCCGCUACUUCCCUUGCUGGUUGAAACACAUUGUUGAGAUACGCCGGUUGCGUUCCUUCCACAAAUUCCAGCAGGUAUAGAUGACCAUGCCAUUGAACUUCCUUCUUUGGUCUUUGCUUAUUUGCGGAACAACCUGUUCCCACCAAGUGCGGAAGUGGUUUGGUUCAUCCUGCAUCUGCAGUAGGUCAGUAUUGAUGCCUUCCCAAAUGAAGACUUGGUUCCAAACGGCUUUGGCGAAGGCACAAUUGAAGGAGAGAUGUAUGGGUGUUUCCAAAGGGCCAUUGCAAAGCACACAAUGUUCGUGGCAGGGCCAUCUUCUCUUCUGCAGAUUGUCUGCCGUCAGGAACUUUUCUUUGAUCAAAAUCCACAUGAAGACCUUGCAUUUAUUUUCUGUGUCCGCUUUCCAGAUCAGAUUGGAGUUGAAAGUGCUGUAGGCACCCUUGAAUAGUAUUCUGUAAGCUGAUCUGGUCGUGUAGGAUCCAUCUGCCGUCCAUCUCCAAGUGAUAGUAUCAUUGACGCCCUCUUGUAACUGAACUGUCUGGAUUCUAAGCCAAAGGGAGAUGAAUUCUUCCACCUGUUCAGCUGUGUUGAUCCGGCUGCUGAGCCUGCUCACCCAGUUGUUAUUCCGCAGCUCCUGCCUCACUGAUCUACCUUUUCUUGCCACCAUAAGAAAAAGGCUGGGGGCGAGGUUCAUAGGGGCUUCUCCCUCUAGCCAGGCAUCGGUCCAAAAACGGGCCUUGUUUCCAUCUCCAAUUGUGAUCAGCGUGGAUGCUUGGAACAGUAGUCGGUCCUCCCUGCAGCCACUUUGAUGGGUUUGUUGCAGCCUCUUGCUGUUCAGCAAGCACGACAUCGGGUAUCCUUUUAUGCUGAUGAUGCGGUGGUAUUUUUAAGACCCCACAAUUUGGAUUUGACCACUUUUAAGCAUCUCCUAGAUUUGUUUGGCCAUGCCUCAGGUCUGAGAACUAAUCUGGCCAAAAGCUCAGUUUCCCCUAUUCACUGUUCUGAUGAGGAGCUAGCUCUUACGGCAAGCGUUCUCUCCUGCUCCAUAAAGGCAUUCCCUUGCACAUAUCUUGGCCUCCCACUCUCAACUGGAAAACUAACUAAAGAGGUGCUGCUACCUUUGGUGGAUAAGGUGGCUGAUUAUCUCCCUGGAUGGAAGGCCUCUCUUAUGAACAGGGCUGGAAGGUUAGCCCUGGUUAAGGCAGUGUUGACUGCUAUCCCUAUUUAUCACCUAUUAGCCUUGGACCUUCCAAAAUGGGUGAUAAAAGCCAUUGAUAAAAAGCGGCGAGGUUUUCUGUGGAAGGGCCACGAGCAGGCCAAUGGUGGCAAUUGUCUGGUAACUUGGGAAAAGGUUCAGAGGCCACUUGAAUAUGGUGGGCUUGGGAUUCAUAAUCUUGAUCUUUUUGGUUGCGCUCUUAAGAUCCGCUGGCUGUGGGCACAAAAGACAGAUGAUGACAGACCUUGGGCAGGCCUUCCUAUUACGGUUCCUCAUAAGGCCAGGGCUCUAUUCCAUGUUGCAGUUGAUGCCAUAGUCGGAAAUGGAGAAAAAAUAUUGUUCUAGUCAGACAGGUGGUUGGAUGGGCAUACCUUGGCUGAACUAGCGCCUAAUUUGCACAAGGGGGUUCCUAAGCGAACAGCCAAUAGAAGGACCGUGGCCCAGGCCCUGCAUAAUAAUAAUUGGACCCAGGACUUUAAGGGAGCCCGUACAGUUGACGUCAUGAUUGAGUACUUCCAGAUUUGGGAUAUGGUGGAUGGCUUCCUGUUGCAUCCUGAAACUCCAGACCAGUUUAGAUGGAAAUUUUCACAAGAUGGUUCCUACAGCAGUAAAUCGGCCUACGCUGCCUUUUUUGAAGGAUCCAUCAAGUUUGGCUCAUGGAGAAGAAUCUGGAAAACUUGGGCUCCUCCGAGAUGCAAGUUUUUUAUCUGGCUGGUCUUUCACAACAAGGUUUGGACAGCUGACCGUUUAGCUAGGAGGAAUCUUCCCCAUCCUGAGGCAUGUCCACUGUGUGAUCAGGAGGAUGAAUCAAUAAAUCAUUUGCUAGUGGGCUGCGUUUUUGCUCGACAAGUUUGGGCUAUGGUUUUGCAACAGUUAGGGCUGCUGCAGUUGGCUCCACAUCCUACUUCAUCUCGUUUCUCAGGAUGGUGGAAGAAAACAACUGCUGCUGUCCCCAAGGAGGCGCGUAAACGUCUCAACUCCUUGAUUAUUUUGGUGGCUUGGGAGAUUUGGAAGCACCGUAAUACUUGUGUUUUUAAUAAUAGGCGGCCAAGUAUUCAGAAAGUCCUUUGGGCUAUCAGUUGAGAGGGAGGUCUCUGGUGCUCAGCAGGGAACUCCAAACUCCGGGAAUUGAUUGUUAGGUUGCUGCCUGUUGGGGUUUAAGGCAUGGAGGUUUUUUGGGUCGUUCGCUGUUCUUAGUGUGGCGAUUCUGUAUCCUAGUGGCUAGUGUGGGGUGUGUGACUUUUUGGGUGUGUGAGUUGGGUCUCUUGACCCAUGUAACUUUUUCCUCUAUCUUAAUGAAAUGAUGGGCAGUUCUCCUGCGCUGUUCGAGAAAAAAAAAUUCUAGUCGCACCCUACAACUAACUUUGUAGUGUGGUGGUAUGUGAAAUCCUACUCUUUUUUUUGUUGUUGUUUCAUGAAGCCACUUGGUGCGACGUGGACAGAUGAAACGAACUACUUGCAUCCUCUUCCAUUUACAUGUCCAACUACUAUGAAAUCUCAGAUCUCAAAUAUAGUUGCUAGUAACGUCAAUUCUUGAAUCCCUCACCUUUUGAUGCAAUUCCACUUCCCAUCAACCUUGUUAAAUGUUUAUGUUUCUAAAGUAUUUCUCAAAUCCUGUGGAAACGUGUAGGGAAUUUUGUCUUGACACACAAGAGUGUUGCAUAUCUUUAUAUAUUAACAGGAUGAAAAAUGGUAAAAGCCCCUAAAAACAGAACCAAAUCAGACGCUCAAAUUCUCACUCUUUCACAAACACACAUCUUAGAAACAAUUUUUACCUUUAAACUAUGAAACCAGGUAACACACACCCUCGACUAGCUUCAAAAGUGGUUUUAUAUUUUCUAAUAAGAAUAAAAAUCAGGUUUAUUCUUUUAAAAAUCAUAAUUAAUUUAUUGUAAAUGAUAAAAAAUGGCACUAGUCCCAAUUUUCUUCUAAAAAGUGUCAUAUAUCUUAUGGUGCUAUAUUUAGAGUUAUUCGAUUCUUACUUGUUUUAAACAAAUAGUGGACUACGAACAAUAAAGCAAUACGAACAAAAAUAAACCAAUUCAAAAUACUUUAUAUACAUAUAGAUGAUAAACAAGUAGACAACAUUUUUAGAGAAGAAAUGUACUUGUAUCAUAAUUUCCUUAUUUAAAAUGAAUUAUUUAUAUGACUUUUAGAUAGUAGAUUUUUAUUAGUUUUACAAGAUACAAAAUCACCUUUGGAACCAACACGAGGACUAAAUUUGUCCGAUUUGGAUAACUGUUGUAUAGUCUCAGCCUCUUGGGAAUCUUUCCCUUGUCAUAUGACGUUGCCCUUUGAAACUGCCGGACAUGUAGCUGCAAUCCUAAAUAAGUUGCGUAUAUUCAUGAAAUUUGGAUGGUUACAAAAUGGAUGGGUUUUAGACGAUGCAAGUUUUCUUUCAGCACUUUGCACAUUUUAUUUCUGAAAUCUUUGUUGUUUUCUUAUCAAAAAUCCAAUUUUGAGUAUUUGGAUUCAUAAAUGGUACAGAUACAUAUCAGGAAAUAUCUAUCCUGUUUUCAUCCCUACAAAUCACGUUCCCAGGUCUUUCUUCAGUUAAGUCAAGUCAAUCAUGCCUUCAACUCCAGCCCAGCGUGUAGUCCAGGGCAACUUAAUUUUGAGUGCGACAGGCGACAGCAGGGGACGAAUGAUUUAUAGUGGAAAUAAUGUACACACCCGGGAUCCCAGAAAGGAACUGGAAAAAAACAAAACACACUUCUCCGACGUGAAGAGAUGGCUCAUGCACUCAUCUUGCUUCUCCUGUCUCAUCUUCUCAUCUCCAUGUCCAAUCCAAUCACAAUCUUAGCAGCAGAAUCGGCCAAAAAUUCAGAGAUCGACCGGCAGGCCCUCCUAAACUUCCAGCAAGGCGUCAGCGAUCCACUUGGCGUCCUGAGCUCAUGGAGAAACGGCUCAUACUGCAGCUGGAGAGGGGUCACCUGUGGUAAGGCUCUUCCACUCCGAGUUGUUUCACUAGACCUGAACUCUCUACAGCUUGCUGGACAAUUGUCAACUUCUCUUGCUAACCUUACUUCGAUAACACGGUUAGAUCUUGGAAGUAAUUCAUUCUUUGGACCCAUCCCUGAGGAGUUGGGCACACUCCCUAAGCUUCAGGAUCUGAUCCUUGCAAAUAAUAGCCUGUCUGGAAUUAUCCCUGCCAUUCUGUUCAAGGACUCAUCUCGACUUCAAGUCAUCAAUCUUAAAAGAAAUUUCUUAAAUGGGUCUAUUCCAGAUUUUCAUAAUAUGGCAAAAUAUGGCAACUCUGCAAACUCUUAAUCUUGCGGAGAAUCAACUUUCAGGAAGCAUACCUUCUUCAAUAGGAAAUAUUUCUUCUCUCUGCUCUAUUUUGCUAGACCAAAAUAAACUUACAGGAUCAAUUCCAGAAAGUUUGGGUCAAAUUCCAAAACUUCUUGAACUCGAUCUGAGCUUCAAUAACUUGUCAGGGUAUAUCCCGUUGCCUCUUUACAAUAUGUCUUCACUCAAACACUUCAGUUUAGGCAGCAAUGGCCUUGUUGGGCAGUUACCAUCUGACAUUGGUAACUCACUACCAAAUCUCCAGGUGCUUGACCUAUCAAAUAACUCCUUGCAUGGUCGUGUUCCGCCUCUUGGGUCGUUGGCAAAAUUGCGUCAAGUGCUUUUAGGAAGGAAUCAGCUAGAAGCAUAUGACUGGCAAUUCCUUUCCUCACUAACAAAUUGCACACAGCUGACAAAAUUGUCCCUGGAGGGAAAUAUGAUGAAUGGCAGCCUACCUGGAUCAAUAGCUAAUCUUUCCACAAGCCUUGAAUAUUUAUUGCUUGGGUCCAACCAAAUAUCAGGCUCCAUACCUGUUGAGAUAAGCAAUCUUGUUAAUCUCACUAUGCUUAGCAUGGAAAACAAUUUGCUCUCAGGAAGUAUACCUGCUAUGAUUGGGAAGCUGCAAAACCUAUUUGUCCUGAACCUAUCCAAGAACAAAUUAUCAGGUCAGAUCCCUUCCUCAAUUGGUAACAUUAAUCAAUUGGGAGAGCUUUUCCUCGACGGCAAUGACUUGAAUGGAAACAUACCUAGUAGUUUAGGUCAGUGCUUAGGGUUGCUUCAGCUGAACCUAUCUGCUAACAAACUUAAUGGAUCCAUACCAGAAAAACUAUUUUCUGGACCUUCCCCUUUUUUGGGUCUGGACCUCUCCCACAACAAUCUCACAGGAAAAAUACCGGAGGCUAGUGGGAAACUUGAACAUAUCGUUCUUCUAGAUCUUUCCAACAAUCUGUUAUCUGGAGGUCUCCCUGCAAUAUUUUCGUACUUGUUCUACCUCCAGUAUAUUAAUCUUUCUCGAAACGACUUAUCGGGUAAUUUGCCAGUAUUCAUUGAAGACUUCAUUAUGUUGGAUCUGUCUUACAACAACUUUCAAGGGCAAGUUCCGACACUUGGGGUCUUUAAAAAUUUCAGUAUCAUACAUUUGGAGGGCAACAAGGGGCUGUGUUCAAACUUCUCCAUGCUAGCUCUGCCACCUUGUCCAGAUAACAUCACAGACACUACUCAUGUCAGUGACAUCACAGACACUAAGAAAAAGAAACAUGUGCCACUUCUGCCAGUAGUGGUGCCAACGGUCACGGUAGCUUUCCUGCUAUUGUUAUUUUGUUUAUUCAGUCUUUGGAAGAAAAUACAAGUGCAAACAGCCGCACGGCACAGUAAAAUAUGCAGUCUGUUGCAUCUUGUUACUCAUUGGAAAAGAGAAGGAGUUUGUAUAUUUCCACAGCUUGGUGCAUUGAGGAAUGCGUUGUGUUUUCUCACUCGUGGGACAGGAAGAGAUGUGGAAAUAUUUCCAAGCCACCAGGAGACACUGAAGAAGGUAUCCUAUGGUGACGUAGCUUAAGCUACAAAUUGGUUCUCGCCAGUCCAUAGAAUCAGUUCGACUCGUACCGGAUCAGUUUAUGUUGGCAGGUUCAAGUUUGACACUGACAUUGUGGCCAUCAAAGUAUUCAAUUUGAAUGAACGCGGUGCGCUUGACAGUUACUUAACAGAGUGUGAGGUGCUAAGAAUUAUACGCCACCGAAAUAUUCUUAAAUCUGUGACUCUGUGCUCAAGUUUGGAUGCAGAAAAUAAUGAGUUCAAAGCAAUAGUCUUUCAGUUCAUGGCUAAUGGCAGCCUUGAAAGGUGGCUUCAUCCUAAUCGACAGACUGAAAGACCAAAGAGAAUAUUAAGCUUGGGACAACGAAUAUGCAUAGUAGCAGAUGUGGCUUCUGCUCUGGAUUAUCUCCACAACCAACUGGUACCGCCUUUAGUUCACUGUGAUUUGAAGCCAAGCAAUGUUCUUUUGGAUUAUGAUAUGACUGCACGCCUUGGUGACUUUGGUUCAGCAAAGUUUCUCCCCCCAGAUUCUGGUUGCCUGAAACACUCAGUUCUUAUCCAAGGAACAAUUGGAUACUUGGCACCUGGUAAGUUUGAUCCCAUUUCCCUUUUUUUGCGGAUUACGCAAGAAUUUUAUAGUACUAAGAGCAUUGCAAAUUUUGCAGACUAUGGGAUGGGCUGCGGAAUCUCCACACGAGGUGAUGUGUAUAGCUUUGGAGUGCUUCUCCUAGAGAUGCUUACAGGAAAAUGCCCGACGGAUGAAAUGUUUGUGGACGGACUUAAUCUUCGCAAUUUUGCUGAAUCCAUGUUCCCAGAUAGGCUUGCAGAGAUUCUGGAUCCCCAUAUGUUGCAUGAGGAAUCUCAACCGUGCACAGAAGUAUGGAUGCAGAGCUACAUUAUUCCACUGAUUGCCCUUGGCCUCUCAUGUUCCAUGGGAUCUCCAAAAGAGAGACCUGAUAUGCGAGAUGUGUGUGCAAAACUCUCUGCUAUCAAAGAAAGCUUUUCUGAAGUCUCAUGAUCAAUUAUCGAAUUCCCCUUGAUGGUGUUAGUAUCAUAUGUGUAGACUGCUAAUUUGUAAUUGAGAGGGCCUGUCUAUUUGACUGACUGAAUUAAUGUUUCCAGAGAAGAUUAAGAGUUGGCAUGAGACAAAUCAAAUUCAUAUGUGAAUAGGAGGUAUUGAGCUUGAUCUGUUUCUUAUAUUAUGCACGAAGUUUGGAUGUGUUUUGAUCAGAUUUAAAAAAAAAACAAUCUAAAUUUCAUAAAAAAAGAGAGAAAAUUUUGGCUUGUCAAUGAUCAAUAUCUAGGGAAUUUUUUGCUGGCAGUGCAUUAACGCUGAAAUACCAGAGAACUUGGCUCUUUCAAUCAUUUAAUUAGGACGGACAAAUCUGAUUGCCAAUAUCGGAAGAAAUACUUUCAACAUAGUCCAGUAUAAGAAAUUAACGAGUGCCGAACUCUUCGGAGGUCCGUGAGCUGUUUCCGAUGCGGUUGCUGGUGGUGGUGGUCGAAGUUGAAGGUUGCUGACGAGACUUCCUCUAGUUGGGUUGAAAAAUCACCUGUAAUGGAUUCCGAAAACAUCCUGCUGUGGAAUAUAUGUGGGCUAGGCUAAACUCCUCUCCACAUUAUGUCAUGUUGUGUAGUACAUGAACGGGUGAGAAUUUUUUUUUAUUUUUAGCCCAAAUUUAGAACAAAUACAAAAUUUGACCCGGUUUACGAACCUGCCAGCCCGUACUGACGUGGACCCGCCAUGAUCCAUGGCGGGGUAUAACCGCGCCCGUUAAAAACGCGUUCAUUUGCCCACCUCGGCUCAUUUCUCUCCCUCUCUCACCCCGAGGGCCUCUCUUUCUCUCCCUCUCUCACACCCGAGCGCCGCUCUUCUCCAGUGACCCUCCCCGCCGUCCUUCAACCCCACCCCUUCCCGGCACCCCUCCCCGCUGCAGCCGGCCAUUGCCGAUCCUUGUCCCGGUCACCUCUCGUUUGAAUAAGGUAAAUUUCUUAUUUACUUUACGUUCAUUUGUUAAGUUCAUUUGUUUAGCUAUAGUAUGUUUGGUAAAUUUUUUAUUAUGUUAGUUUGUUUAGUUACAGUAUGUUAGUUUGUUUAGUUAUGUGAUUUGUAUUGAAUUAUUUGCGCGUUUUUAGAUGGAGGACUCGUAUCGUGAGUCGAUUUGGCGAAAAAAGGGUCGUCCUAGAAAGUUGUACCCCGACGUGUCUUGCAAGGAUGCCUCCGUGCCUCCCAAGGAACCUAUUCCUAACUGUGAUUGUGGACAUCCGACACACGUGAGCCAGUCGAGAUAUCUGGAUACUGCGGCACGUUGCUUCUACAUAUGUUAUAGUUGUAGCGUACGUCACUGUUGAAAGAUCCUAAUAUGGCUAGAGGGGGGUGAAUAGCCUAUUUAAAAAUUCUACAAACCCACUAGAGCAAGAGGUUAGUAAAUAACAAAGCGAAGCUUUUUCUCUAGCUCUAAAGGGGUGUUUGCAAGCCACCUAUCCAACAAUUCUAAUUAAUAUAAUCACUAGGCACACAAGAGCUAAGUCACUACUUACACUUGAAAGCUACCUAAAGUUUCUAUACAAGUAAGUAAGCUACUCUAGAUUGCGGGAAUGUAAAAAGAGAUGGUUUGAUCUUUAUACCACCGCGUAGAGAGGAUGAACCAAUCAAUAAUAUGAAGUCCAAUCACCGGGAGAAAUCCAAUGAACAAUCACAAUAGAGACACACAAUUUCCUCCCGAGGUUCACGUGCUUGCCGGCACGCUACGUCCCCGUUGUGUCGACCAACACUUGGUGGUUCGGUGGCUAAGAGGUGUAGCACGAACCUCGUCCUCACUAGGACACCACAAGAACCUACCCACAAGUGAGGUAGCUCAAUGACACGAGCAAUCCACUAAUGUUGCCUUUGACUCUCCGCCGAGGUAGGCACAAACCCCUCACAAUCACCGGGAGAUGGCCACGAACAAUCACCAACUCAUGCCAAUCCUCCUCCGCUGCUCCAAGCCGUCUAGGUGGCGGCAACCACCAAGAGUAACAAGAAAACCGCAGCUAGAACGAUCCCCAAGUGCCACUAGAUGCAAUCACUCAAGCAAAUGCACUUGGAAUCACUCCCAAUCUCACAAAGAUGAAUAAUCUAUGAAGGAGAUGAGUGGGAGGUGUUUGCUUAGGCUCACAAGUAUGUCAAGUAUGCUAGAAUGCCAAGAGUGUGAGCCCUAAGCCGGCCAACACGUAUUUAUAGACCCCUCAACAAAAAAGAGUCGUUGGCUCUUUUCACUGGGCAAAACACGGGGUCACCGGACGCUCAAUUCCUGCGUCCGGUGCUCCAAUGUCAGCCACGUGUCGCCUUUUGAAACGCUCGUGUCAGAGUCUAACGGUCACCUGUAGUGCACCGGACGCUGAGCAAGCGCGUCCGGUGCACACCCGUCUAAAACACAGAGAGGUCUGCAAACGCGCGAGGUCACCGGACUUUGAGCACCGGACGCUCCAGCCUACGUCCGGUGCUCACCGGACUUAAACCCAGGGAGCACUGCAAAACGCGCGGACAUCGGACUCAGAACACCGGACGCUCCAGCCUGCGUCCAGUGUCUGGUGUCUGGUGCCUUACCCUAGCUGAGCCAGGCACUGACUGCACCGGACGCUCAGACUUCUCUAAAUUUCCCACUGGCGUAAUAGAAAAUAUGCACUUCAUUUUCUCGAAAAGCGCCGAAUCUCGCCUCGCAAGCUCGGCAAGAGGGAGAGAGAAACCCACCCUCUCUCUACCCUUCAAACUCCACCUCCUUCUCAAAGUGUGCCAACACCACAACAUGUGUACCAACAAGUGCACGUGUGUUAGCAUUUUCACAAUCAUUUUCUUUGAAGGAGUUAAGUUAGCUCACUAGGUUCUAAAUGCAUGCACAUGAACAAUGACACCUAGUGGCACUCGAUAACCGCUUAGCCAAAGAAUUCCCCUCUUUAUAGUAUGGCUAUCGAUCCUAAAUGUGAUCACACCCUCUAUGGUGUCUUGAUCACCAAAACCAAAACCCUAAGCAAUACCUUUGCCUUGAUCUCCAUAGGGUUUUGUUUUUCUCUUUCUUCUUUUCCAAGUUGAGCACCUGAUCAUCUUGUGGUCAUCACCAUCAUCACCAUGAUCAUCUUUUGCUCCAUUACUUGGCAUGUACCAACCUCAUUAAGUCUACACAUACUUAGCAUAGAGGUCAGUACUAGGGUUUCAUCAAUUAUCCAAAACCAAACUAGGGCUUUCAACUGUGCCCUCUGUUUUUCUUAUUGGUUUUUUGAUGUUUUAUUCCCAAUGAGACAAUUGAAACUCUUUUGUAGCCCUACUUCCGGUGCUUUUUCUUCCAAUGGAUCGACGGGCUGGAGAAGUUUGACCCAAGAAUUCUGCUUUUCUACCCCAGCGUUGAUCAUUGCAAACGUGAGUUGUUUACUCGCUGGGUUCCGCCCCCCUAACCCUCCUCCUAUGACGGAGGAAGAGAAGGUCGUUGCCUCUGCACGACGGCUCGAGGAUCCUCCAAACUGUCAUUGCGGAGAACAAGCCGUGGUAAAUCCACGAAAUGAACAAGAGUUCAUUUGUCCUCUGCGGCGUGAAGUAAGUUUUGAGUUAACCUUCAAAUGUCACUUUGUAUAUGUGUGUUCUAAUGUGUUGUUUUUGUAGGAUCAUGAUUUUCCAAAGUGUCAUUUCGCGGAGUGGGUCUAUGGUCCAAAGAGCCAUUGGCCAGAGCCUGAGAAGGAGGAGAAGGUGCCAGAGUGGAAGAAGAAGAGGAGGUCUAUUGCGCCUCCCGUGAUGUGCAAAUGUGGUGUUGAAGCUAGCUACGGCCUAGUCCCUUCAGGUCUUGGUAUUGGCCACUUCUGUGGCCACAUGAUUGACUAUGAUGAGAUUUGCUAGGACUGUGGAUAUUUAGUACUAAUGUAUUCAUAUAUUUGUUUUUGUACACUAACUUUGUAUUCAUAUAUUUCCUGUAAUAGAGCACUCAAAAAUGCAAAUGGGAAUCAUCUGAUGAUGUGUUUAAGUUCAAGGAUGAGUAUAAGACAAGAGUAGCAGUUCGCAAGAUGAGAGGUUAUCCUGCUAACUAGGUCACUGAUUUUGUGAAGGACCAUAAGAAGAAAAUGCUUGCAUGGGCCCAGGAGUUGCGUGUUCAUAACCCUGCGAGUAUUGCAUGGAAGAAGUGGUCCGAGGAGAGGGAAAAGGAGGUAUAGGAGUACCAGGCAAGGAAGGAUGGAGAGGAUGCAAGGAAGGCUGCGGAGGAGGCUGAGAGAGGUGAGAUGCAAGGCUUGAAUGAUACUAUUGCCUCAUUAUGUGCAAGUGAGUCAUUACGUUUUUGAAAGUCAAACUUUUUGUUUCUCUUGAACGAACAUCUUGUUAAUUCUUUGAAUUUUGUACUUACAUAGAUUGGAUGCACCGGGAACUGGCAAACAGAUGUGGGUCGUGCUAAGUACACGGAGAAUAGGAUAUUAGGGUGGGACGCUGGAGUUGGUGGCACCGCUAGCCGUCCGAUUGUGGUCGAACCGAGCUAGUGGAAGACGAUGACACCGGGGGGAUAGGCGAGCUCAUUCGUCUUGCCGAGGAUUUGGGCUACCCUCAGGUCUGGAUAAGGCACGUAGUCCUCACCAUAAUAUGGAGGCCACUGCGACUCAUCAAGGUACGGCUCGAAGCUCUUCUCUGAAACAUUUAGGGUGUUCGCAUGGAGAUACAAGGCUGACAUGUAUGGUUCAACUGUAUGGUCAAAACCUCUAAGCCGACAAGACAUAAUCAUGUGUGAGCAAGGGGCAUGCAUGAUCUGAGGGACGUUGCAACUGCAUUCUACUUUUUCAAGAUCCACACGGUACGUUCGCCCACCAAAUCGUUCGCCCCCAAGGUUUGUGCCCCCUCUAGCUCGUAGGCUAAAAACAAGCCUAUCUCGUCCAUAGGCCUCGUCAACCUGUUACUUGGACAACUCCUCAGCCUCCUGCAAAUAUUCAUGUGCAGCCUUCCCCCAUCUUUCAAGCUCCUCUUCAUUCCUCAGGGCUAGACCAUACCGCGUAACAAAAUAUUCAUUGCACUUCUUACAAGAGAACUCAACAAUACCGGACACUGGUAGAGAGCGAACGUCUUUGAACACACGAUUGAAAGACUUAGAGGAGUUUGUUGUCAUGAUGCCAUACCGAAAGCCACCCUCAUCAUAUGCUAAUGCCCACUUGGCUUUAUUUUCCAUCUGCUGAUCUAACCAUGCCUUGCCCGCUCGGUUCAGCAUCUUCUGUAGUUCCACCAUUGUCUCCUUAAACUCGUGUUCCGUACGUUUAUUACAAAGCUCCUUUAACUUGUCUGCCACCUCCUUCUUCCGUUGACAACGCCAGAAAUUUGCAGCAAAAUGCCUCAUGCACCAACAGUGCACUAGGGGUGGGUGCCCAUCAAUGUGUUCACCGGCAGCAUUAAGAAUUUCAAUGUGAUGAUCUGAAAUUAAACAAAUGGUGCGAGAAGGCCCAAGCACAUGAACACGGAGCAGACGCAUGAACCAUGACCGUGAAUCAUUGUUCUCCCCCUCGGCCAAAGCAAAAGCCAGUGGCACAAUCUGGUUCUCUGGGUCUACAGCAGCAGCCAUCAUCAAUGUGCCCCUGUACUUGCCGGUGAGGAAUGUGACAUCAACAAUAACAACUGGCCAACAAUACUAAAAUGCAUGCUUGCACUGAUCAAAAUACCAGAACACACGGUAUAGAAUAUGCCUCAACGAGUUCUAAAGAUACAACCCUCCUAUGUAUAUGAACGAUCUCAUGCCAGGGUUGAAGUGUUGCAUUGCACACAAAAUGCGUGGAACCCUAUUAUAGGCUUCCUCCCAACUACCCCAGCGAAUUGCCAGGGCAAUUUGCUUUGCCCGCCAAGCCUUUCCAUAAGUGACCUCAUACCCAACAAAAGUGACUAUGGUCUCUUGCAAGAAAGACAUCGAUACGUCGUUGCCCUUAUCUACAAGACCCAAUAUACUGCGAGCAAGAUACCAAGCCGUCAACUGGGGAUGGUACCGUUUGCCCUUGUUAGUCUGGCAUCUCUGGGGCUGCUCCACUGAAGUUACCUUCCACUUCCCAUCACUCGACCGUUUCCGUCCAUUCAAUUUCCACGAGCACGGGAACCCUGCCUUGCAUACUAUGUGGAAUUUUACAUCCUUGUCGGAAUGCCGAACCGUGUAGAGCCUAUGAUACACAGCAUAGUCCUGAAGGAACAACUUCAUCUCAGACAUCGUAUUGAAAAGCAUUCCCUUCCUGAGUAUUAAAUUUUGAUGGUUGUACAAUGAUUCCUUACAUAUCUGCAAACCCGUGUCACAAACCGCCAUAUGCGACAUGCUGACAUCCAUAUAAUUUGGAACACCGGUAAAGGGCAAGCCAGCCUCACUCAGCUGUGUAAGCUCUACUGAUGUAUAAGAGGGUUGUGCAACGUAAGGUUCCGCCUCCCUAACCCGGCCCCAUCCUUCAUAUUCCUCUCCAUCACCUAGAUACCCUGUGGCUAAAGUGUCGUGAGUCUGCAUGGCAUGAGGUACCUCAAGUGGCACUUCUGAGGGCAUGCCACAAACCGGUGUACACAUGCAGGUGGACCUCCUUCCUCAUUUUUUGAUUCGUCAGAAUCAGAGCUAACAUCAGCACCAAUCAUUUCAUCCUCUGCCGCCUCAUUCUCCUCCUAUUUAAACUCGUCUAUAUCAAAAUCAUUGCUUAUAUGACCAACUGGAGGAGAAUGAACCCGCUCCUGCGUCCAAUUACCGUCCAAGUCCAUACUCUCUAUAGUUUGUUGAACCUGCACACCACAAUCUCCUUGAGUACCACCGUCGAAGAACGACUCCUCAUUCUCAACAUGCUCCAACACCAACUCAGCCAUGCCGGCAUUCGAACCACUCAGCUUGGUUGCACAAGUCCAUCAUCACAUAGUGUGCCCUAUUCUUUCCAACGUCAAACCUACCCUUAAGUGUGAAAGCAUCGCCAAACUUCAAACUCAAACGGUCACAUAGAGCGCUGAAACUAGGGGGGCCAUCAAACCAUUCUAAUUCCUCAUACAUAUCCUCAGACUGACAAUCCUCUCUCCUAACACUUCCUCCGUAAAAAACUCUUACACCAUAAUCCCUCUACAAAACGACAUCAACUAAUCAAUAUGGUAGUAACAAAUACUAAAUAACUAACUAAGUACAACACUAACUAAUUAAAGUUAUUACCUAUUUCUGACAAAACCAACUAACUUACUAACUAAAUUACUAAAUAACUCUAAUAAUAUUAAAUAAUAAUAGUAAUAACUAAUUACUACAUAACUAACUCUAAUAAUAAUAUUUAAAAAUAAUAACUUAAAAAUAAAUACUAAAUAACUCUAAUAAUAUUAAAUAAUAAUAGUAAUUAAUAACUAAUUACUACAUAACUAAUAACUAAACAAAGUUUAACUAAUAAAAAUAACUAAUAAAAACUGUUAAAAAAUAGCUAAUAAUAAGAGUUUAAAUAAAAAAAUAUACCUUCACCACAAACGCCGGCCGGCUGGGGCACGGCGCGACCUACGGGCGCGCAGGCGACGGCGCGGGCGGCGGUGCGGCGUGCGAGGGGGUGGGGCGGCGUGCGCGGGGGCGAGGGGGUCGGAGCGCGGUCUAGUCGGAUGCGUGAGGAGGAGGGAAGAGAAAGGAGACUGCGCAUUUUUGUCACGGGGCGAACCCCGCCGUGAUGGGUGGCGGGGUACGCCCCCUGCCGCGCCAGCCAGGCGCCACGUGGCGGCCCUACCCCGCCGCCAUGCAUGGCGGGGUGCAGUGCAUUUGCCCGCCAUACAUGGUGGCGGGUCCAAACGGGUUAGUUUUAAAAAAAAUUCAAAAUAAGAUCAAAUUUGUAUUUUGUUUCAAAUUUGGGCUAAAAAUAAAAAAAAUCACGGAUGACGCUCGAGCGGAUCUAUCUUUUGAAUGGUAAUUUAAAUAGAGUACAAGAAUAUUUCAAAAGUACUUUAAAAUAGUCUUUAAACGGUUUUCAAAGUAUUGUUUAAAAAGGGUUUUACAAAUGUGUUUGAAAAUCAAGUAUUUCAAAUAUAUUCUCAUAGUUCGUAUUUUUAAAGUUCAAAAAGUUUAACAGAUCAUAUAAUUUGAACCUAGUUUAAAAUUGUGUUUGAAGAAUUAUAAAAUCCUCCUUUUUAUCUGCGGCAAAUUUCAGCCUAGAACUCAUCUUCUAUUUUUUUUGUUCUUUACUUUUAUAUAUAACUAGCCGGGAUCGCCGUGUAGUUGCACGGGGUACCAACCUGUUGGUGCAAAAGCUGAUCUGCAAACACAAAGGGCUAAUACCCGAUUCAAACGUUAAGGCGUGCCAGCCCAUUUGACCGUACUAUCGGCAAAGGUGGUAACUCGAACACUUUGGUCCCGACAACAGCGAUGCGCUCGGAUGUCACGGCCAAGAGGUAUUCACAUGGAACUUGAGAACACGCCGAGCUUAAGUCGAUGAAUUCCUAAAAACUCGUAAUGAAAAGGAAAAAGUAUGACAAAGUCGUCGAAAAAGUAGAUGCUGUAAUAUGAGUAAAAAUUUGUGUUUGAUUGAUUGAUAGAUAUCUCAUUACAAGGCGCUAGGGUCUACAUUUAUACCCUGCUCAAAGAGCUACAACCAGACACGACUAGAACUCGAAUUCCAAAUUACACAGAACCUGUAUACAAAACGAUUUAAACAACUAAGGAAAACAUAAAGCUAUCCCCCCUGACAAACUGGAGCUCCUCCACAAACCGAUCGGCAACUUCCAGACUCUUCCCCCAUGUCAUCGGCAGACUCCCUUGUCGUAGCCAUCGGUACAGACACGUCGUCACCUGUGGACUUAGUCAUGUUCAACCAUCCUUCCAUCGGCAACCACUUCCAUCGGCAACUCUCCCUGUAGAUCAAGCACCACCAUCUCAUCUUGCCGAUCCACACUUUACCGAUCAUGGACACGUGCCCAAAAACGGUGUUAACACAUGCCCCCCAAUUUCAGAGUAUGAGAUCAUUAAUGCUCCGAAAUUUUCUGCAGUAACGAUGCCUUUUCCGCAAUUAAUGCUCCUAAUCUGGUAACCGACAGCCUCAAUCCGAACAACUCCGAUCCUAUUAUUCUCCAGAUUCCUCGAAAUCCUCAACUUCCCCAAACGGACAUUUCCGCUUUAGUCGCACAUCGGCAAUAUGACCGUUACAGAGACUUGCCGAUGGACGUCCAUAUCUUAUCAUUCCAAACGGCUAUCUCCACAUUACUCUCCCAUCGGCAAUAUGACCGUUACCAGGCGCUGCCGAUGGACCGACCAGGAGAUCCCGCACAGUAAAAUAUCUCUGGAUAACGACCGCUUCCCGUCAAAUCACCUGCACAAUCCCUUGAUUACCGUGCGAACAGUUACCAUAUCUACCCGAGCACCCUCGGAUUUCACAGAUACGGCAAAGAGAUAAGUCAAUUUUGCCCUUGCCCGUUUUGUCCUAUAAAUAGUUCCUUCUCGGGUACUCCUUCUCCAUCACAUCAUUCCACACCUCGGACUUUUCUCUCCCGGCGGCGGCGCUGUUCAAGAGCCCCAAGAUCGCUGCCGAAGUCCUCCUCCACCAACUCCGAAGCUCUCGAUCAUCCUCCCCGUGACAAGAUGGCCGUCAACUUCGUCAUCCCUGAGGUCAGUUCUUCACUCCAUCCUUCGUACCUUUUUCACACCCCUGUUCAUCCACAAUCCAUUUUACUGAAUAUUUUCUUUCUCUUUCUUUGUUUCCCCCUUUUUCCUCCAAAAUCACUAGGAAUUGUCUAACAAAAUUGUCAUCCCCACCGAUCAACCACACCUCCAAUGCCUUGGCCCGUUAGGGGAUUCAGAUCCAACCGACCUCAUUAACGCAGAAACCAAUAGGAUUCCUUUUAGAGCCGAGAACUUUUCUUUGGAUCUGUGGAAGGAUACUUUCCGUUCCUGGCCCAACCCUAUUGUGGGAUGGACGGAUUGGUUUCUUAGGGUCAGCAAUUCAAACGAAGUCCAGUGGGGUGAGAGAAAGCUAGACCAAUGCAUUAGAUUGUCCAUCGCUGAUAUGCACAGGAAUGAAUCACUGCUGAUAGCUGCAUCAUAUUUCUGGUCAGACACGCUCAACGCCUUUAUUUUUGGCCACGGCCCUGCUUCCCCUACUCUUGCCGAUGUGGCUAUGCUUACCGGCCUAGAUGUAUCUUCUGCCGAUAGCACCCAUUUUUUCGACACCAAGCCCAGUGCCAAAGUAGAAACCCGUUCCAUCGGCGGCUGGUCAGGGUAUAUUCAGAAAUAUAAACGAACAGGCCCUGUCAACAUAAAAGAGCAGACCUGCUUCCUGAACAUGUGGCUAGAUAAGUUCGUGUUUUGCGGGCGAUCGGCAGGACCAACCUCGGUCCACUUAGCGGCAGCUGAAAAUCUGGCCAAUGGUGGCCGAUUUCCCCUCGACCGAUACCUGCUUGGUGUAGCCUACCACCUCCUUCACCAAGUGACUAGGAAACUCUUGCUCGGCCAGUCUAUCAGCAACUUGUGAGGCCCCUGGUGGUUCAUCCACAUGUGGCUCAAUCUUCAUCUGCACAAGUGCCUUGAGUUUGACCUGUUCGCACAGCGUUUUUCAAGGGACAUAGCCGAGAACCAUGUGCUGGACGAGGAAGAAUCGGCAACACGCUCUCCCUUGAACUUCGGUGAAGCUGUCAUAGUUCUGCCUGGUACAGGGGGUAAUCCAGAUCAGGUCAGCCGAUUCUUCCAAACCUUGUAUGAAGGUUUGGCCAGAGAUGAGCGAGCGUGGUUGGCCUACGAUGACCCAGACAAUAUGCUUCCCCUGGUUUUCAACCCGUUCAAUGAUGCCCUUGGCAAGGACAACGAAGUGAUGAUGGCAUUGGUGACUCCUAGAGCCAUACCGGUGAACUUCUUUAGUAGUGAGAAAACCUCCCCCCAGACUUAUGAGUUCUACAAUCCAUCGGCACUAGCUCGUCUGUUAGCUUUCGACCAGCUGCCGAUUGCACUCUGCUAUGCCGAUGUAAUAAAGCCCAGGGAAACCAUCACCAGCCUCCUGGAAUGGAUUCGAGUAGCCCAACUGCCAUCGGGUGCCGAUACAGACGUAGACUUGUCGGAGUGGGUUCCAGCCGCCUUCAUCACUCAGGCGUACAAGCAGUGGUGGGCAGAAUGGAAGGAGCAUCUAUUCUGCAAAUCGGCCCUCACGUACCGCGGUAUGAUCGACCCCGAGUACAAAGUCCCCGAUGAUACUGUAAGUGUCUUCAAACCGAUGUUCCAAUUCUUCCAAUUUCAUUUCCAUCACUGAUUUACUUUUGUAUCAUUUUGCAGGUCGAUAACACCCCUCCAUCGGUCAGUAGAAGUGGCAAGCCGAUUGAUCUGUUUGCAUCAGGUCCAAUUUCUUCAAUCGGCCACAACGCCCCUACCCUGGCUGCCAUCGUGCAUCGAGGUAUACGCCUCAAGAAAGUUACCACCAGGAGAACUCAGACAUCACCAUCGGUAGCUGCUUCCACUCUAGCACAGGCUUUUAAGGUAACUGUCAAACCUCAUCAUUCAUACCGAUCUUACUUUUACAUCGGCUGCAUUUGUACUCACAAAUUCUUUUUUCUGUAACAGCAAACCAGUGCAUCGGCAAGAACCAAGAGCCAAGGUGCCGAUGCCCCCCAGUCCAGCCAGCAAAAGAGAAAGGGUGCCAAGAGUACCAGGGCACAAACGAAGUGCCAGAAAGUGGCAACUCCCCCUCCUCCUCCUCCGGUAUCUCCCAUUCCGGUGGAAUCCUCUCCUUCUCCUCCAGAAACAGAUACUCAGCAAGCACCAUCUCCCCCUCCAAUGCAAGAAGCACCACAGGUGGAAGAACCUCAACUGGAAGAACCUCAACAGGAAGUACUUCAGCCAGAAGACACAUCGACUGAUGUUCAUGAACCAACUGCCGAUCCAGCAGGUUCCAUUAUAGCAUCGGUGGUUUCUUCCAUUCAGACAAGCACUGCCCUUCCUCAAGGUAACACAUUUACAAAGUUAGCGCCGAUGAACCUAUUUUUCCCAUCUUAUAACCACUUGUAUCAAUCUUCAGCUGAUGUAGUUCCAUCGGCAACUCUGGCCGAUCAACCCGUGGCUCCAUCGGCAUCUUCCAGUAAGCCAUCCAACCUCUAUUAAUAUUAUUUGCUGAUGCUCUGACCAUAGAAUGACUCACUUUGUUUCCUUUCCAGGAGCAGGAUUCCCCCGACAGCCUAUUCUCCUUUGCCAUUGAUAUCUCCGAAGAUGAGGGUGAGGAAGCAAGUUCCUCCCGGGCAGUUGGGAUCGCAUCGGCAGAGAUUAGGGCCAAGCUAGAAGAACUGUCGGCUCUCCUCUAUCAAGACACGGCUCAAUUGGUCGAUGACUCUGACCCGGCCAAGGUUCUGUUCAAGACCCUCAGAGGCCAGAUCGUUGCCGAUGCCGAAGAAACCCUCUUCCAAGCCGCACAUCUGGAGAGUCGUCACCUGCAGUACCAGAGGGCCGCCCGGCGCCUUGCCGAUAGAGCCGCUCAGACCCGGCUUUCUGAAGAAAUGAUGAGAGAGAAGCUCCUGACCGAUGAGAAGCACAAGAACAUCGGUACCUUGAAGUCUUCAGGAAACGCACUGAAGCAAAAGAUCUUCGACCUAUCGGCAAAACGAGAAGCCCUGCUGGCAGAGCUCAAGCAGGUGGAGGAUGCCUUAUCCCAAGCCCAACAGGAAGAGAGUCAACUGCCAGAGACCAUCAAACUCCUUGAACAAGAACGAAACGCCCAUGGUCGCAAAGCUUUGCAGUUGAAGAAGAAGCUGAAGCCGAUAGAAGGUUCUGCCGACGACAAGUCAAAGAGAUAGAAGCAGCCAACCAAAUCCGGCUGCGCGCCAUAUCGGCGAUCCAGGCACUGCUAAGCAUGUGAGUUCUUCAUCGGCAACACACCUACCUCUCCCUGCUCUUCAACUUUCUUGAUGUUUAGUCUAGCCGAUAGGACUGUUAUCGGCAACUUUUGAUACAUUAAGUCCGGCCCCAGAUACAUUUUAAUCCAGCCGAUAGGAGUGUUAUCGGCAUUUAAAUUUCAUGCAUCGACCCGUAUGCUGGGGUAGUACUUCUUCAAAUAUUUGCCAUUUAAUGCUCUGGGAAAUUCAACUCCUUCGAGAGUUUCUAAAAUGUAGGCGUUACCAGGGGCCGAUCGACUUAUCCGAUAGGGACCCUCCCAAUUAGGAGACCAUUUUCCAAACUUCGAACUUUUAGUCCCGAUCGGUAAAAUCAAUUUCCAUACCAAGUCUCCAUUGACAAACUCCUUAGCCUUCACUUUCUUAUCGUACCAUCUGGCAACCCUUUUCUUAUUCUCUUCUAUACUCAUCAAAGCCCUUAGCCGAUGCCCUGCUAGAUCAUCCAACUCAUCUGUCAUCAAAGUAGCAUAAUCAUCGGCAGCCAACUGAUCUUGAAAAGACAGUCACCUAGAUCCAGCCUUAAUUUCCCAAGGCAACACUGCAUCAUGUCCAUACACCAACUGAUAAGGCGAAACCUUAGUUGACCCAUGACAAGCCAUCCGAUAGGACCAUAAGGCUUCAUUUAACAAUGUGUGCCACCUUCUAGGAUUUUCUUCAAUCUUCCGUUUAAUAAGCUUAAUGAUUCCUUUGUUAGACGCCUCGGCCUGCCCAUUAGCCUGAGCAUAGUAAGGAGAGGAAUUUAACACUUUAAUCCCCAUACCGAUUGCGAAUUCAUCAAAUUCUCCUGAUGUGAACAUAGUACCCUGAUCGGUAGUAAUUGUUUGAGGAAUCCCAAAUCGGUAAAUAAUAUGCUCCUUCACAAAAUCAAUCAUAUCGGCCGAUGUGACUUUCUUCAAAGGAAUAGCUUCAACCCAUUUAGUGAAAUAAUCAGUGGCAACUAGAAUAAACUUAUGCCCUUUGCUAGAUGGCGGAUAAAUUUGACCGAUCAAAUCAAUAGCCCAUCCCCGGAACGGCUAAGGUUUGAUAAUGGGAUUCAUGGCCGAUGUGGGUGCUCUUUGAAUAUUGCCAAACUUUUGACAUCCUUGACACCCUUUGAAAUAUUUAAAGCAAUCUUCAAGUAUGGUCGGCCAGUAAUAUCCAUUCCUCCUAAUCAUCCACUUCAUCUUGAAAGCCGACUGAUGUGCUCCACAUACCCCUUCAUGGAUUUCUCCCAUCAAACUUCUAGCUUCAUCAUCACCCAAGCAUCGGAGAAGAAUCCCAUCAAUAGUUCGGUAGUACAAUUCAUCUUCGAGGAGCACAUACUUGGUGGCUUGAAACCGAACUCGCCUCUCGACUUUCUUGGAUGGAUCUUUCAAAUAAUCAACGAUUUCUUUUCUCCAAUCAUCGGCACCAAUUGCCGAUAUUGCGUCAAUCAUAGGCUGAUAUCCCGAGGCAUGCUGAGCCAACCGAUUGGCCUCUUCAUUAUGCAAUCGAGGAACAUACUCUAAUCGGAAAUCCUUGAAUUCCUUCAAUAAUUGCAUACUCCGUUCGUAAUAAGUUAUGAGACCUUCACUUCGGCAUUCAUAGCUUCCAGCUAAUUGAUUUAUAACCAACAUAGAAUCCCCGAAGACCUCAACAGCAUCAGCAUGAACUUCUCUCAACAACUCUAAUCCCCUUAUUAAGGCUUGAUAUUCAGCCUGAUUAUUCGUUGAUGUGGCAACAAUCGGCAAGGAAAACUCAUACUUCCUUCCCAGAGGGGAAACUAAUACUAUCCCGAUUCCUGCCCCCUGGUCACAUGUGGAUCCAUCAAAGAAGAGCGUCCAAGGCAUAAUUUCCAAAGCCUCCACUGUACCGCAAUGUUGAGUUACAAAAUCGGCCAUGAUCUGCCCUUUAACUGCCUUAGCCGAUUCAUAAUGCAGAUCGAACUCCGACAGCGCCAAAAUCCAUUUACCGAUCCUGCCACUCAUAAUCGGCAUGGAUAGCAUAUACCGGACCACAUCAUCUUUGCAAAUAACGGUGCAUUCGGCCGAUAACAAGUAGUGCCUUAACUUGAUACAAGAGAAAUAUAGGCACAAGCACAGUUUCUCAAUAGCCGAAUACCUGGCCUCAGCAUCAAUCAACCUCCUGCUUAAAUAAUAAAUUACACGCUCCUUCCAUUCAAACUCUUGAAUUAAAGCCGAACCGAUGACCAUCUCAUCGGUAGACACAUACAAUCUGAAGGGCUUCCCUUGCUGAGGUGGAAUUAGAACUGGAGGAUUUAUUAAAUAAUUCUUGAUUUCAUCCAGAGCCAACUGCUGUUCCUUCCCCAAACAAACUCUUGAUCGGCCUUUAACUUAAGAAGAGGGCUGAAAGCACGAAUUUUGCCAGACAAGUUAGAUAUAAACCUUCUGAUAAAAUUUACCUUGCCGAUCAAGGAUUGGAGCUCGGUCUUGUUGGUAGGGGCUACUAUCUUAUUGAUGGCAUCAAUAGAUCUUCGACUGAUUUCAAUUCCCCUCUGGUGCACCAUGAAACCAAGAAAUUGCCCCACCGAUACACCAAAUGCACACUUAUUGGGAUUCAUUUUCAAACCAUGCUUCCUUGUGUAUUCUAACACCUUUCGUAAAUCGGCAAGAUGCUUUGCGAAGUCUCCAGACUUAACCACCACAUCAUCAAUAUAAAUCUCCACCAGCUUGCCGAUGAACUCAUGAAAUAUAAAAUUCAUAGCCCUUUGAUAAGUAGCACCAGCGUUCUUCAAGCCAAAGGUCAUAACUAUCCAUUCAAACAACCCAACAUGACCAGAGCACCUGAACGCAGUCUUUGGAAUAUCUUCUUCAGCCAUGAAUAUUUGAUUGUAUCCUGCAUUGCCAUCCAUAAAGCUAAUAAUCCGAUGCCCGGCCGCAGCGUCGACUAGCAGAUCGGCAACUGGCAUUGGGUAUCCAUCCAUCGGUGUAGCCUUAUUAAGAUUCCUGAAAUCAAUGCAGACCCGACGCUUCCCGUUCUUUUUGUAGAUCGGAACAACGUUGGAAAUCCAUUCGGCAUACCGACACUGCCGAAUAAACUUGGCUUCAAUAAGUUUGGUUAUCUUGGCCUUGAUGUCAGGAAGAAUAUCAGGAUUACAUCAGCGAGCUGGCUGCUGAUGAGGCCGAAAUCCAGAUUUGAUGGGUAGCCGAUGUUCAACAAUCGAUCGGUCCAAACCAGGCAUCUCAGUAUAAUCCCAAGCAAAGCAAUCUUUAUAUUCCUUUAACAAAUCAGUCAACUAUUGCUUACACUCAGAAUCUAACUUAGCACUAAUAAAAGUGGGUCUAGGCUUAUCACCACUACCUAUAUCUACUUCUACUAGAUCAUCGGCCGAUGUGAAUCCCUGGCCUAAUUUUCCAUCAUCGGCGAACCUAUCCAUUAAAAACCUUCAUCAGAACCGACUGCUUGGAUCGGUGGAAUCUCGUAAUCGGCAACCUUGAGAAAAUCCUUUUCCCAAACUUCUCCCGAAAUACACCUAGUCCUUUCAUAGGUGUCCGCCUCUGCCGAUGCGAUGACAUAAGAAGAAUCUCCUGGGACAAUUUCAAUCUUGUCACCUACCCAUUGAACCAAGCAUUGGUGCAUUGUAGACGGGAUACAACAAUUAGCAUGAAUCCAAUCCGUUCCCAACAACAGGUUGUAAGCACCCUUUCCACUGAUCAUGAAGAAGGUUGUCGGCAAGGUUUUGCUGCCGAUGGUCAACUCUACACAUAUUGCCCCCUUGACCGGAGACACAUUCCCUUCAAAGUCUUUGAGCAUCAUAUCGGUCUUGGUCAAAUCCUGAUCCCCUUUCCCAAGCUUCCGAUACACUGCAUACGGCAUGAUAUUGAUAGCAGCCCCACCAUCAAUUAGAAUCUUGGUCAUCGGCUGCCCAUCAACCCUUCCUUUGACAAACAGAGCCUUGAGAUGUUGCCUUUCAUCAUCGGCAGGUUUCUCGAAGAUAGCUGUCAUCGGAUCCAGAGCCAAUUGAGCUAUUUGGUCGGAGAAUUCUAACUCAUCAUCACUGGAUGGCGCAAGGAACUCCAUCGGCAACAUAAAGACCAUGUUGACAUCUGCCGAUGGACCUUCCCCCUUGGGAUCUGAUUGCUGCUGAUCCCCAGACUGGCCAGAGUCCUCGCCCUUGCUUAACCCUUCUCGCCUUUCGCGCUGCAGCCUCCUUUUCUGUGUCCUGGUCAACCCCUCUGGACACCAUGGAGGAAGCUGCUGCUGCCUUGCUGUUGGGCGACGAUUUUCCCUCGACUCCAUCUGAUGCGUAUUGGCAUCCCUGUAAAAUAUGAACUAAUCGGGAACCCGUGCAUUAGCCAUUUCUUCGAGUUCUUCCAGGUUCCUGGGAAAAUAUUGAACACGAUCACCAAGCCUGUCGUGCACGCUGAGCCUGCCCCCCAGCCGGUCGUGAACAGACACUCUUCCUCUGAUCGGCCCAUCACAUCGCCGAUUGUCGUCGUGAUAGCGCCGAUCGGAUCUAUCAUACCGAUCAUAACCGUUGCACUCAGGGCAAUCUCUGACAGUAGGAAGCUUGAUAUUCUCUUCCCAGCAAUGAAUGAAGAACGGGCAAUUCCAGUGAUCCCUGUGCCGAUUCCAUUCUUGCCGGCGUCUUUCCUCUUCCCGACGAUAAUCCUCUUGCUGGCGCCGGUACCGAUCUUCACGUUGCUGCCAAUUCUCCCGAGGCCUUCUGUGGGUUAUAACGAUGCUAGAUCGGGGAGGCCUCCCUGAGCUGGUUCCUUCCUGGACCAAGCCUCUUCCUCUCGCAUCGGCAGUAGUGUCCUGAUGCUGAGGAUCCCCCGAUGCACUUCUUUCGGCUGCUUCCGAUGUUAAGACCUUGGCCUUUCCCUUACCAUCCAACAUGUUCGUUGGGAAAGGAUGUUGAUCGAUCUUCAUCGGCUUCUGGGUCUUGGAACUGUCAAAUUUGAUUCUCCCAGACUCUAUAGCCGAUUGCAGCUGCUGUCUGAAAACCUUGCAUUCAUUGGUGUCGUGAGAAGUUGCAUUGUGCCACUUGCAAUAUUUCAUCCUCUUUAACUCCUCAGCCGAUGGGAUCAUGUGAUUAGGAGACAGCUUAACCUGACCUUCCUGAAGUAGAAAGUCAAAUAUCCUAUUGGCCUUAGCGGUGUCAAACACAAACUUCUCUGGUUCUUUAUGUCCAAAAGGACAAGACAUCGGCUUCUUAUUCUUCACCCAUUCUACCAAGCCGAUGACUGGCUCCUCAUCAGAAUCUAAGCUUGUUGCUUCAUCAACGAACGAUACCUUUUUGUUCCAUGCUCUCUCUUGGGCUCAAAAGGCUUGAUAUCUUGAUCAGAAAUUCUCUGCACCAAAUGACUUAAGCUUUCAAACUCCUGAGAGGCGUACUUGUCCCUUAUGUGUGGCAACAAACCCUGGAAAGCCAAAUCGGCUAGCUGCCGAUCAUCCAGAACCAGACUAUAGCAUUUAUUCUUGACUUCCCGUAUCCUCUGCACAAAACUUUCAACCGAUUCAUCAUUGCGUUGCCUCAACUUGACCAAAUCGGUGAUCUUCUUCUCAUGGACCCCAGAAAAGAAGUAUUUGUGGAAUUGUUUCUCCAGAUCGGCCCAAGUAAUCACUGAAUUGGGAGGCAGUGAUAUGAACCAAGUAAAAGCCGAUCCAGACAACGAUGACGAGAAUAAGCGAACCCUUAACUCGUCCCUAUUACCAGCUUCACCGCAUUGAAUGAUGAACCUGUUGACAUGCUCCAUGGUUGAUGUGUCAUCCUGCCUAGAAAACUUAGUAAAAUCCGGUACCUUGUACUGAUGUGGAAGCGGGAUCAAAUCAUAUGCGGGAGGAUACGGUGUCCGUUAAGAGUAAGUAUUGACUUUGGGCUUUAUCCCGAAUUGGUCUCUCAUUACUUCAGCAAUCUUAUCGGCCCAAUAGGCAUCGACAUCUUGCCGAUGAGGUGUUUGCGGAUCCGGCACCUGCUGGUAAGCUUCCACGUGUCUGUGUGGUGCAUGAUCUGCAUGAAACAUCGGGUUAACCAUUUGGCCCCCAAUCUGCGGACCACCAAGCUGUUGCCCACCAAUCUGUUGUCCGCCGACCUGUUGCCCAAGAUUCAUUGGCUGGUUGGGAAUCCCCUGAUUCUGGAACCCGGGAUAGAUCUGUCCUUGCUGGAACCCUGUAGCCUGACGAUUCGGUUGGGGCUGAAAGAGCAUCUAGGCCCCUAGUGGUUUCGGUGAUUAAUGACAUUGUUGAUUACUAUGACUAACGUGUGUUUUGCAGAGGCAAAGUCAUAGGUAAGGUCAUGGUAAAUAGGUACUCGAUGAACAGGGACGUACAUGCCUACUUAAUAGUGGAAAUCGUUUUUGGUUUUCAAAGGACGGAUGGACAUCGUCAAGACUAGACUAGGUCUAAGUGCCAUAUGGUGAAGAAGGGCACUUAGAGUAGUUCAGGACUUUGUUCUCCUUUGACCGUACUAUUAAGAGGGGCUUUGAUCUAGUAGCUUGACUUAGGCAAGGCUUUAGGUUUAGGUGUGGUGCACACUUGGUAAAACUAGCACUAGGCAGCUCAGAGAUAGUCCUUAGAUCGAGAGGAACCAACUUCGUUUUGGAGCGAUCGCGUUUCGACGAAGUUUGGGUGCCCAAAGGGGCACCGGACGCUCUGUGAGUGCGUCCGGUGAGGUCCUUAGCCGUUAGAACAGUGCCGUGCUUAGGGUUAGGCACCGGACGCUAGCACCGGACGCACCGGGUAGCGUCCGGUCCCUUACCCAGGAAGGUUGCAAGCCUUCCCUGAGCACCGGACGCUAGCACCGGACGCGCCGGGUAGCGUCAGGUCCCAUGCGCAGGGAGCAUGUAAAGUUUUCCCGAGCACCGGACGGUGCACCGGACGCUGAGAGUUAGCGUCCGGUGACCUGUCAGAGAAAAGUGCAGGUAGCCGUUAUGUCACACCGGACGCUCGGUGCAAUGCGUCCGGUGCAACAUAAUGUGCGUCCGGUGACCCCGGUUUCAGUGGAAAACGGUUGGCCGACCUUUGGACUUCGUGGAUAGUAUUUAUACUCCUCCACCUCGUCCAUAAGACCUCUCUUGCCCAUUUGAACAUCAGAGAAACUUGUUGUGGAGCAAGAGAGUUGCAAGAGCCUAGAGAGGAUUGAGUUUUGAGUGAAUUCUUGAGAGAAUCCUCCUCUAGUGAGUUCCAAGAGUCAAGUGUGCAUCCACCACUCUCUAGUGACUUGUUUGGGUCAAGUGAGAGUUCUUUGCUUGUUACUCUUGGUGAUCGCCAUCACCUAGACGGUUCGGUGGUGAUUGGAGGCACGAAGAUCACCCGGAGUUCUUGUGGGUGGCUUGUGUCAAGCUUGUGAGCGGUUUUGGGCGAUUCACCGCGACGGAGUGUCGAAGAAUCAGCCCGUAGAGAGCACUUGGUCCUUGCGCGGACCAAGGGGGAGCAAGACCCUUGCGCGGGUGCUCCAACGAGGACUAGUGGAGAGUGGCGACUCUCCGAUACCUCGGCAAAACAUCGCCGAGCACUUUCUUUCACUACUCCUUUACUUUCUAGCAUUUACUUUGUGCUUUUACAUUCUUAGAAUUGCCAUGCUAGAAUAGGAUUGGAACUAGGUUGCAAAACUUUUAUCCGGUAGCUUUCUAGGACACUCUAGGCCCAAGGGGUGGAAUUGGAGCUUAUAGGUUGCUUAAAUUUUAAGAGAAGCCCAAUUCACCCCCCCUCUUGGGCAUCUUGAUCCUUUCAAUUGGUAUCAAAGCCUAGUGCUCAUUAUUUAGGCUUCACCGCCUAGAGAAAGAUGUCUAACGGGGAUGGACCGCCACCCAUGUUCGAUGGGGAUGACUUCCCGUAUUGAAAAAUACGGAUGGAGUCAUACCUUGAGGCAUGCGAUGUAAAGUGCCUAAAAGCCGCGACCGAAGGGUUUGCCCCUCCGGAAAGAGCCACCGCUCUUACUCCACAAGAGCAAGAAAACGAGAAGUGGAAUGCAAAGGCCAAAAACCACAUUUUUAGAGGUCUUUGCAAAGAGGUGUUCAACCGUGUUCGGAGCCACAAAACCGCCAAUGAACUUUGGAAGGAACUUUGUGCGCUCCAUGAGAGAACUAAGAGUGAACGCGAGGAACGCUAUCACCUAGUGAUGAACAAGCUUAAUACAUUUGAAAUGCUUCCUAAAGAAAAUGCUAAUGAAAUGUAUUCUCGCUUGAAUGUCAUUGUAGAGGAGCUAAAUGGACUUGGGCUUACACAAAUGAGUACGGCGGAUGUAGCAAGGAAGAUACUAUGUGUGCUUCCCAUUGAGAAAUAUGGGCACAUAGUAACCGUGCUUCAUCAAGGCGAUCUUUCCACCGCUACACCAACCACCAUAUUGGGGAAGAUCAAUGCUCAUGAGAUGUACUUGCACAUGAACCCUCAAGAUGGCUCCUCGUCGGCCAAGAAAGAAAAGAAGGACUUGGCUCUCAAGGCUUCUCACAAGGGCAAGGCCAAGAAGAUCGAAGUUGAGUCAUCAACUUCAAGUGAUGAUGAUGCAUCCAUUGCCCUCUUGGUGAGAACAACCACCAAGAUGUUGAAGAAGCUCAACAAGAAUGGAGUCAACUUUGACUCCAAGAAGAAGAAGUUCUUCACAAGUAGCAAGAGGAAGCCCAUCUCCGAGAUGGAUUGCUACAAUUGUGGUGAGCUUGGUCAUCUUGCUCAUCAAUGUCCAAAGCCCAAGAAGGACAAGUACAAGAAGAAGAACAAAGAGCAAGAUUUCUCAAGUGAUGAUGAGAAAAAUGACAAGAAGCAAUACAAGAAGAAAGGUGGCAAGAAGAAGGAGCACUACAAGAAGAAGAAUGGCAAGGCUUAUAUUGUUGGUGAUUGGCUCACCGACAUUGAAAGCUCAAGUGGUGACUCCUCCGGCAAUGAAAGUGAUGAUGAGAAGGUUGCCACCAUCGCCAUCGAUGCUCCAUCACCAUCAUCUUCACCACCAUCUACAUCCUCUACACACCUAUGCCUUAUGGCCAAAGGUGACCGGAAGGUACAAAGUGAGGAUGAGAGUAGUGAAAGUGAUAGUGAAUAUGAAUCACCCUCUUAUGAUGAACUUGUAAAAUUGCUAAACAAAUACACAAAAGUCAUAAGAAAGACUAGAAGUGAAAAUGAAAAGCUUGAACUUGAAAAUGAUACACUUCUAGCAAAGCUUAACUCUAGUGAUGAGCUUAGAGAACAAAAUGACAAGAAGCAAUACAAGAAGAAAGGUGGCAAGAAGAAGGAGCACUACAAGAAGAAGAAUGGCAAGGCUUAUAUUGUUGGUGAUUGGCUCACCGACAUUGAAAGCUCAAGUGGUGACUCCUCCGGCAAUGAAAGUGAUGAUGAGAAGGUUGCCACCAUCGCCAUCGAUGCUCCAUCACCAUCAUCUUCACCACCAUCUACAUCCUCUACACACCUAUGCCUUAUGGCCAAAGGUGACCGGAAGGUACAAAGUGAGGAUGAGAGUAGUGAAAGUGAUAGUGAAUAUGAAUCACCCUCUUAUGAUGAACUUGUAAAAUUGCUAAACAAAUACACAAAAGUCAUAAGAAAGACUAGAAGUGAAAAUGAAAAGCUUGAACUUGAAAAUGAUACACUUCUAGCAAAGCUUAACUCUAGUGAUGAGCUUAGAGAACAAAAUGAGAUCAUGACCACUAAGCUCAAGGAGCUCAAACUCUCUCUAAAAGAGCUCAAAGAAAAACAUGAUAAACUUGAGAGUGUUCAUGAUGAGCUUAUCACUAGAUAUAGAGCAAUGAAAGAAGAACUAACAACUCUAAAAGCAAACUAUGACAACCUUGAGAUUGCUUAUGAACUUGCAAUUGAUGAAACACAUGUUGCUACUAACAAUGUUGCUAAGCUUGAUGUAGCCACAUCUUGUGAUGACUUACUUGUGGAGAGCACAAGCAAAUGUGUUGAUUGCAAGGGCAAAAAAGUGGUAGUGGUCGAGAGUUAUGAGGACACUAUCAAGCUCAAGAAUGAAAUUGUCAUGCUCAAGAAAGAGUUGCAAGAACAAGCCAUGCACAAGACCAAUGUGAUUGAGUCACUUGAUCAAGACAAGAAGCUUGCAUAUGAGAACAAGUUGCUCAAGGAAGAAAAUCAAUAUCUCAAGCUUGGUUUGAUGUAUGUCAAGCAAGAAGAAGAUGAGACAUUCAUCUUGGAUGAGUUAGCUAGCAACAAUGACCCAAUCAUCAAGAAGCUAACUCAAGAGAACAACAAGCUCAAGAAAGAGAAGGAACACCUAACCAUGGGGUUAGCAAAGUUCACAAAGGGGAAGGACCUUCAAAGUGAGCUUUUUAUGAACACCGUCAUGAAGAUGGACAAGAGUGGAAUUGGCUACAAGGCUCAUCAAACAAAGCUCAUCAAGUCUCUAGCCACUCAUGAUCAAGCAAGCAAGCCAAAGCCAAAAAGAUGUUUUGAGUGUGGUCAAGAAGGACACUUUGCUCAUGACUGUAAGGCACCACUACCACCACCCUUGCCCAAGCAUGCAAGACCAUUUGCCUUCAAUGCUCAUUACAUUGUAAGGAAAGACAAGUGUGGCAAGGUCAAGGUUAGCUUCAUGGGGCCACCAAACAAGCAAAGGCCAAAGAAGAUUUGGGUGCCAAAGCAACUAGUUGAGAAGGUCAAGGGCCCUAAGCAAAUGUGGGUCCCUAAAUCUCAAGCUUGAUCUCUUGUGUGUAGGUGAACUACAAGACCGGUGGAUCACAUUGGGUAAUUGAUAGUGGUUGCACUCAACAUAUGACCGGAGAUCCCCGGAUGUUCACCUCUCUUGAUGAAGAUGUUGACAACCAAGAGAAGAUCACAUUUGGUGACAAUUCAAAAGGCAAGGUCAAAGGAUUAGGAAAGGUUGCUAUAUCAAAUGACAACUCCAUCACCAAUGUGCUCUAUGUGCAAUCCUUGAGUUUCAAUUUGCUCUCGGUUGGACAACUUUGUGAUCUUGGAUUUGAAUGCCUAUUCAAGAAGAAGGAAGUAAUUGUGACCAAGGAAGAUGACAAUGAAGUAAUUUUCAAAGGGUUCCGGCACAACAACUUGUAUGUGGUUGAUUUCUCAUCCGAUGAAGUUGAUGUCAAGACUUGCUUAUUCACCAAGACUUCACUUGGGUGGUUGUGGCAUAGAAGGCUAGCACAUGUUGGAAUGAGCACGCUCAAGAAGAUGAUGAAGAAAGAAUUGAUUAGAGGCUUGAAGGAUGUGACAUUUGAAAAGGACAAGCUUUGUAGUGCAUGUCAAGCGGGCAAACAAGUUGCAAACACUCAUCCAACCAAAGCCUAUCUCUCUACUUCAAGAGUGCUUGAGCUACUUCACAUGGAUUUGUUUGGACCAACCACAUAUGCUAGUCUUGGAGGCAACAAAUAUUGCUUGGUCAUAGUUGAUGAUUUCUCCCGGUACACUUGGACAUUCUUCUUGCAAGACAAGGCCAAAGUUGCAUCAAUAUUCAAGAAAUUUGCAAAGAAUGCAAAAAAUCAAUUUGAUGUGAAGAUCAAGAAAAUUAGAAGUGACAAUGGCAAAGAGUUUGACAACACCAACAUUGAAGAGUAUUUUGAUGAAGUGGGAAUCAAGCAUGAGUACUCCUCAACAUACACACCACAACAAAAUGGGGUUGUAGAAAGAAAGAACCGGACAUUGAUCACCUUGGCAAGAACAAUGCUAGAUGAGUACAACACUUCGAAGAAGAUGUGGGCUGAGGCAAUCAACACGGCAUGCUAUGCUUCAAACCGGAUCUUUCCACACAAGUUCCUAAAGAAGACACCAUAUGAGUUGCUCAAUGGGAAGAAGCCCGAUGUCUCAUUCUUUAGAGUGUUUGGGUGCAAGUGCUACAUCUACAAGAAGCGCCAACACUUGGGAAAGUUCCAAAGAAGAUGUGACAUUGGCUACUUGGUUGGCUAUUCAUCAAAGUCCAAGGCAUAUAGGGUCUUUAACCAUGCCACAAACAUGGUUGAAGAAACAUUUGAUGUUGAAUUUGAUGAAACUAAUGGCUCCCAAGGAGCAAGUGAUAAUCUUGAUGAUGUAGGUGGUGAACCGUUGAGGGAUGCCAUGAAGAACAUGCCCGUGGGAGACAUCAAGCCUAAAGAAGAUGAUGAUGAUGUGCAAGUCAUUGAGCCACCAUCCACCUCACAAGGUCCACAAGAUGAAGACAAGGAUGUGAGAGAUGCCCAUGAAGACACUCAAGUCACUCAUGAGCAAGCGGUGGCACAAGCACAAGAUGUUGAUGCUCCCCAACCAACCCCUCAAGUGGCACCAAGAAGAACAUCACAUCUCCUCCAAGAUCACUCUCAAGAUCUCAUCAUCGGGAGUCCAUCACGUGGUGUAACUACUCGUUCUAGACAUGCUUUAUUUAUUGAACAUCACGCUUUUGUGUCUCUUGAAGAUGAACCAAAGACUAUAGAGGAAGCUCUUCGUGAUGCGGAUUGGAUCAUAGCCAUGCAAGAGGAGUUGAACAACUUCUCUCGCAACCAAGUAUGGACAAUUGAAGAGCGACCCAAAGAUGCAAGAGUGAUUGGAACAAAGUGGGUCUUCCGGAACAAGAAGGAUGAUCAAGGCAAAGUGGUGCGCAACAAGGCAAGACUUGUGGCAAAAGGCUUUUCACAAGUGGAAGGUCUUGACUUCGGUGAAACCUUUGCACCGGUGGCAAGACUUGAAGCAAUUCGUAUCCUACUUGCAUAUGCAUCUAGUCAUAACAUCAAGUUAUUUCAAAUGGAUGUGAAAAGUGCCUUUUUAAAUGGUUAUAUUAAUAAGCUUGUCUAUGUUGAGCAACUCCCCGGUUUUGAAGACCCUAGGUACCCCAAGCAUGUCUACCGGCUGUCCAAGGCUCUCUAUGGACUCAAGCAAGCCCCUAGAGCUUGGUAUGAGAGGCUUAGGGACUUCCUCAUUGAGAAGGGCUUCAAGAUUGGGAAAGUUGACACAACACUCUUCACCAAGAAAAUGAAUGGGGAAAUCUUCAUUUGUCAAGUUUAUGUUGAUGAUAUUAUUUUUGGCUCUACUAAUGAAGAUUUUUGCAAGGAAUUUGGUGAUUUGAUGUCCAAGGAGUUUGAGAUGUCCAUGAUUGGCGAGCUAUCCUUCUUCCUAGGAUUUCAAGUCAAGCAAAUGAAGGAAGGAGUCUUUAUCUCCCAAGAGAAGUACACUCAAGAUCUUCUCAAGAGGUUCAAGAUGAUGGAUUGCAAGCCAAUCAAGACUCCCAUGGCGUCAAAUGGGCAUCUCGACUUGGAUGAGGGAGGUAACCCUAUUGACAAGACUCUCUAUCGCUCCAUGAUAGGAAGUCUACUCUACCUCACCGCAUCUAGGCCCGAUAUAAUGUUUAGUGUGUGUAUGUGUGCAAGAUAUCAAGCAAUGCCUAUGGAAUCUCACUUGAUUGCGGUCAAGAGAAUUCUUAGGUAUCUAAAAUACACACCUUGCCUAGGCUUAUGGUAUCCCAAAGGUGCAAGAUUCCAACUUGUAGGCUAUUCCGAUUCGGAUUAUGCCGGGUGCCGGAUUGAUAGAAAAAGCACAUCCGGAGGGUGCCAUUUCCUAGGUAGAUCACUUGUCUCUUGGAUGUCAAAGAAACAAAAUAGUGUUGCUUUGUCAACGGCCGAGGCAGAAUACAUAGUCGUCGGUGCUUGUUGUGCACAAAUACUCUACAUGAAACAAACUUUGCUAGACAUGGAGUAGUACUAGACAAAGUACCUUUGUUGUGUGACAACGAAAGUGCCGUAAAACUUGCAAACAACCCGGUUCAACACACCCGCACAAAACAUAUUGACAUCCGCCACCACUUUCUUAGGGAUCACGUUGCUAAAGGUGACAUAUCCCUAGAGAAUGUGGGAACGGAAAAUCAAUUGGCGGAUAUCUUCACAAAACCCCUAGAUGAAGCUAGGUUUUGUAUGUUGAGAAAUGAACUUAAUGUGCUUGACCUAUCCAACUUCACUAAAAGAUAAAAGUUGUGUGUUGAAUCUUGUAAUUAAACUUUUGCUUUGCAUAUCAUGCAUACUAAAACUAAAAAUACAACUUGCAUGUAGAGCUUGUCUAACAUGGUUAAGAUAACCCCCUUGAGUGUGUGAAAAAGCUUAACCUUGGAUCAAACUUGACAAGCAUUAGUUUACUUUCAAGUAUUGCAUUACAACUCAUUUCAUAUGCAUGCUUGUUAGUUGACCAUUUCUUUUCGGUUAUUCGUUGAGCAUCCGCUGUGUUCGUCCAUAGAUAGGGGGAGCAUUCAAAGCUCAUUGUGAUUCCAACCCCUAGCUUUAUGGCCAUACGAUGCUCCUUGAUGUUUUUUCUCGAUCUAUUUUCAUAAAAAUCUACUAAGCCUAUAGCUAAAUAUUUUGUGAAAAUUUGAGGGUUUGAGAGAAGUCACUCAUACCAGUUCCAUUUGGUGUUUAGUUGUGUGCUUUUGGAAAUGGAACUUGGUUGGGUCAAAGUCGGACAAGGUGCUUAGUUGAAAAAGUGCUCAGAGGAGCACCGGACGAUGCACCGGACGCUGCCCCUGUGCGUCCGGUGCGGUGAGUGUGCCAGACUGCACUCACCGGACGCAGGAACAGUGUCCCUGCAGCGUCCGGUGAGGUGCGUCCGGUGCUCACCUGGUGUGACCUGAAGCACCGGACGCUAAAGCCAGCGUCCGGUGCCCAUCGUCCGGUGCAAUGCCAAUUUGCAGACCUCUCUGCGCAUGAGUCCGGUGGUCACCGGACGCGUCCGGUGCCACAUUAAGAGCGUCCGGUGACCCCGCGGCGGGCGGAUAUAGCCCGCGCCCAGGGGCUCUCCGCGGCAGUUUUUUCUCUUCUUCCUCGUCGCGCCCGUGCCCUAAGCCGCCGUAAUCCGCCGCUGCCUUCGAAGCUCAUCGAAUCCGCGGCGCCCUCGGCUUUCCUCCUCGCGACAGAUCUGCUCCAAGGCUCUCUCUUUCCCCCCCUUCUUGCCAGAACUCUCUCCUCUGCGAAGGGUUAGGGUUUGGGUAAGAUCCUUUGAAAGCCCUAGUUUGGUUUUGGAUAAUUGAUGAAACCCUAGUACUAACCUCUAUACUAAGUGUGUGUAGACUUAAUGAGGUUGGUAUAUGCCAAGUGAUGGAGCAAGUGAUGAUCGUGGUGAUGAUGGUGAUGACCACAAGAUGAUCAAGUGCUCAACUUGGAAAAGAAGAAAGAGAAAAACAAAACCCUAUGGAGAUCAAGGCAAAGGUAUUGCUUAGGGUUUUGGUUUUGGUGAUCAAGACACCAUAGAGGGUGUGAUCACAUUUAGGAUAGAUAGCCAUACUAUAAAGAGGGGAAUUCUUUGGCUAAGCGGUUAUCAAGUGCCACUAGGUGUCAUUGUUCAUGUGCAUGCAUUUAGAACCUAGUGAGCUAACUUAACUCCUUCAAAGAAAAUGAUUGUGAAAAUGCUAACACACGUGCACAUGUUGGUUCACACGUUGUGGUGUUGGCACACUUUGAGAAGGGAGUUGAAGUUUGAAGGGUAGAGAGAGGAUGGGUUCCUCUCUCCCUCCCGCCGAGCUUGCGAGGCGGGAUUCGGCGCUUUUCGAGAAAAUGAAGCGCAUAUUUUCUAUUGCACCGGUGGGAAAUUUUGGAGGAGUCACGGGAGUGUUCCUCGCAGAGAAACACUCACCGGACGCUGGCCACUGAGGCACCGGACGCUAAGUCUGAGCGUCCGGUGCAGACAGUGCAUGGCCCAGUUAGGGUAAGGCACCGGACGAUAGGCACCGGACGCUGGCUUGAGCGUCCGGUGUGCGGGCGUUUUGCGACCCUCUCUGCGCAUGGGUCCGGUGAGCACCGGACGCUGAGGGUGCGUCCGGUGGCUUGCGUCCGGUGACCCUACGAGUUUGCGGAACUCUCUGCGCAUGAGUCCGGUGUGCACCGGACGCGUCCGGUGCUAACUUGCUCAGCGUCCGGUGCUCUGCAGGUUACCGUUAGACUCUGACACGCGGCUGACGUUAGAGCACCGGACGCUGGUGUUGAGCGUCCGGUGCCCCUUUAACAGCGUCCGGUGACCCCGCAGUUUGCCCAGUGAAAGAGCCAACGGCUCUAUUUGUUUGAGGGGUCUAUAAAUAUGUGUUUGGCCGGCUUGGGGCUAAUUCUCUUGGCAUUCUAACAUACUUGACAUCCUUGUGAGCCUAAGCAAACACCUCCCACUCAUCUCCUUCAUAGAUUAAACAUCUUUGUGAGAUUGGGAGUGAUUCCAAGUGCAUUUGCUUGAGUGAUCGCAUCUAGUGGCACUUGGGGAUCGUUCUAGCUGUGGCUUUCUUGUUACUCUUGGUGGUUGCCGCCACCUAGACGGCUUGGAGCAGCGGAGGAGGAUUGGCACGAGUUGGUGAUUGUUCGUGGCCAUCUCUCGGUGAUUGUGAGGGGUCAUGUACCUUCCCCGGCGGAGAGCCGAAAGGUAACUCUAGUGGAUUGCUCGUGUCAUUGAGCUACCUCACUUGUGGGUAGGUUCUUGUGGUGUCCUAGUGAGGACGAGGUUCGUGCUACACCUCUUAGCCACCGAACCACCAAGUGUUGGUCGACACAACGGGGACGUAGCGUGCCGGCAAGCACGUGAACCUCGGGAGAAAAUUGUGUGUCUCCUUUGUGAUUAUUCAUUGGAUUUCUCCCGGUGAUUGGACUUCAUAUUAUUGAUUGGUUCAUCCCCUCUACGCGGCGGUAUAAAGAUCAAACCAUCUCUUUUUACAUUCCCGCAAACUAGAGUAUCUUUCUUACUUGCAUAGAAACUUUAGGUAGCUCUCUAGUGUAAGUAGUAACAUAGCUCUUGUGUGCCUAGAGAUUAUAUCAACUAGAAUUGUUAGAUAGGUGGCUUGCAAACACCCCUUUAGAGCUAGAGCAAAAAGCUUCGCUUUGUUAUUUACUAACUCCUUGCUCUAGUGAGUUUGUAGAAUUUUUAAAUAGGCUAUUCACCCCCCCCUCUAGCCAUAUUAGGACCUUUCAUCCUUGGACUUUGCCCUCAAGGUAUUUGAUCGUAUGUGUCAACGGCAUUCGAUUUAGUUUUUGAUUUCUAUCUCGAUUGCCUUCUCGUUGCAGCAUCUUGAGGAAAAGAUUUGCAUUCUUCGGUGGUUAUCGAUUGAAAGGUUUCGUCCGGAACGCAUCUCGUCCGUGGAUCGUAAGCUUUUCGCGUCCAUAUCUUAUCUAUCCUUGCGAUCUAUAGGUUUGUCUCAUCUCUAGUCGAUAUAUUUUCUUAUAUAUAUCCUAUCUUGUCAAUUUCCUGCAGCGCGCUAAUCUCCAUUGUCAGUCGGUUGUCUGUCGGACGCUUGUUUGGCAAUGGCUCGUACCAAGAACGUCAGUGGUCCGACAGCUGGCUCAGGAGGUUCCCCAGGAGGCGAUGGUGGAGGUGAUCCUCCUCGUCGCCUAUCAGCAGCAGAGAAAGGCAAGGGAAAGAAGCUGGCCACCAAGAAGCGCAAGGCCAGUGACAGAGAUGCAGAGGUCGCAGAGGCAGUGGCAGCAGCAGCAGAAGCCGCAGAGAGAGGUGGUCGAGCAGGUGCUUUGAGGAUUGGAGAUGAUCUUACGCCGCGACAGAGGCGUGCAGUGCUUGAGGCAGAGGCAUUCCACGGAUCCCCUCCAGGCACUGUAACGAUUGGAGGACAGAGGGUUAGGCUUGUGGUCAGGGAUCCAGCUCAGGAGGAUCCGGACACUGAGACAGAGACCCAGGCAGAGGGUCCAGCAAAGGGACAGGAGCAGGAGCAGUCACUGCGGAGGUCGACUCGUGCUCAUACUCGGGCCCCUCCCUGGACUGGUUCGUAGGGACAGUCUACCUCCACAGCUCGUGCCACUUCGGCGAGAGGCACUCCAGCUUCCCGCCAGAGGCCAGUCAGGAUCCACAGGGAUCUCACUCUUGUGUCAGCACGAGAGAUCCAGCAGCUGCGAUUUGUUCCGUUUCCGACUUGGUUUCCAGCUGCCAGGGAUCCCAGAGCCGGUGCCCGUUUCUACACCGUCGUCCAGGAGGACAUUCACAAGACAUUGGUUCGCUCUCAGUCUCAGUUCAGGGAGCACAGGGUGAUUGACCUAGAGAUUCUCGGGAACGUGGUCGGGGCAGAUAUUCGUCAGUAUUUCACUUACCUCCACGGACUCCCAGAGCUGCUAGCGCUCUCCGGUACUUAUUGUGAGCAGUGGGUCAGAGAGUUCUAUGCGUCAGUUUGGAUUUCUCCAGAUCACAGCUAUAUCCACUACGCACUGGCAGGGACUGACUACAGAGUGACAGCACAGUUGGCCAGACAGGUGCUUGGACUGCGAGCCUCUCCCACCAGGAUUCACCAGCUGUGCUACGGGAACGUGGAUCCCCCUCGUCGUCCUCAUGGUGGUGAGAUACCACCGGUCGACUUCGUGGCUCCAUGCUUCCGUGCACCUUUUGGGGAGGGCUCCAGCAGGACAGUGGGAGACUUGACACGCCCAGCCAGGAUCCUUGACUUCGUGUUGAGGAAGACUCUUCUCCCCAGGACAGGCUACAGAGACGGUUUCACUCGCAUCCAGCAGUGGUUAGUUGCUCACCUCAUCUCCCAGACAGAGUUUGACUUGUGGGAUCUGAUUGUCUCAGAGAUAGAGGACACCAUCUCAGAGAGCUUCAGGGGCCAGCGUCAGUUGCCCUACGCACAUUGGAUCACCCUGCUUAUACUUCGUGCUAGGCCACUGCCCCUACCAGCUCACUUGCACAGGGAGUUGACAGAGUCCGACACCGUCUUCCCCCACUACGACCCUCGGCAGAUGUUGAGAGCGCACCACGACCUCAGAGGUGCCCCUCCUCCUCGUGCUCCACGUGGACCGGUGCCCCCGCCUUCUCCUAGGGGCACCCACAGUACAGCAGCGGUUGCAGAGACAGAGGAGCAGCAGGACAUAGCUAUUGGCGCAUUUGCAGAUGCAGAGGCAGAGGGCGAGUUCGACUUCGCCUCAGACAGCUCAGAUGAUGACUAUCAGCCGCCAGUGACUAACCUUCCUCCCAGAGCUCACGACCACGAGGCAGGCGGUUCUUCGAGUGCUUCAGACCCCACCUUGCUUGCUAUUCUAGAGGGGAUGAGGGCAGAUCAGCGCCAUGCAGCUGAGGAGCAGGCAAGGCGCGACAGGGAUCAGGCUGCCAUCAAUGCAGCCAUGCAGGCCAGGCAGGAUGAGCUCCAGCGUCAGCUUCUCACCUUUCAGGAGCAGCAGCUUGCUUUCCAGGCCCAGCAGACAGCGAUGAUGGCCGCUCUCAUGGCCGCCUCCGGGAUUCAGCUACCGCAGAUUCAGCUCCCAGGCACGUCGUCCGUCAAGCCACCUACUCCUGCGCCCCAGACUCAGAGUCCGUCACAGCAGCCGCUCCAGCUACCCGCUCAGAGUCAGCCGUUUUCGACGCCUCAGCACCAGGUCUCUCAGGGUGCUAUCUCUUCAGGCUUUGAGCAGGUACCGCAGUUUACCCCUCUUCGCUCCAGAUUUACCCCUCAGUCAGCUUCAGCAUCACAGCUUGUGUGGGACUCACAGACAGAUCCGCACCUCAGCUUCACCUACAGUGCUCUGACUGGUGACCCUACGCCUCCUCCUCUGCAGGCUCCUGCAGUCUUUAUGGCGCCAGUUACCACUACAGAGCUUCUGUCGUCGUCAGUAGCGUCGUCCGAGCAGCUUGCAUCGUCUACUACAGUACCAGAGACGACAGCCACAGCGACCGAGUCCGUGCCAGCUUCGUCAGCCGGACUUGAGAAGCCAGCACAGCCUGUGACAGCACCAGAGCAGACCUGGACCGCUUCUCCAGCACCUGCAGCUUCAGAGGGUCACUCCACCUCCUCCGCCUCGACGGCCGACAGUUUAGAUGAUGCAGCUCGCUUCGUAGCCGUGCCGAGGGACUCUACUGCUCCGCCUCCUCCACCGACUUCUUAGGUUUUUGGCGCUUGAUGCCAAAGGGGGAGAGAGUGCAUAUGAGAGAGUUAGGAGUUAGGGGGAGCUAGAGAGGGUAUUUAGGAGUUUAUUCUUUUGAGACACCUUUAUGUGUGCUACUCUAUCAUGCAUCACGUUUAUUUUUAUGCAUUGCACUUGUGUGAGAUACUAUGGUUAUGAGACAUGAUUUGUGCCUUAUGUGUUAUCUUAAUGUCAUGUGUUUGGCUCAUAUUUUCUUUGCUUCCGCGUUUCUACUCCGAUGUAAUUAUGAGCCCUAUGUUUAUAUCCUAUCGUAUAUCACUCACAUAUUUGGAUGCAGGGUAUUGGAUUUGGUUGAUAUAAGCAUCACUAAUUCUUUUGUUCUUAUUGUAUCAUGCUUAUUGAAACCAAGUCUCUUUAAAAACCUCAACUCUUUUCAUACUCGAGGUUGUCAUCAAUCACCAAAAAGGGGGAGAUUGAAAGAGCAUCUAGGCCCCUAGUGGUUUCGAUGAUUAAUGACAUUGUUGAUUACUAUGACUAACGUGUGUUUUGCAGAGGCAAAGUCAUAGGUAAGGUCAUGGUAAAUAGGUACUCGAUGAACAGGGACGUACAUGCCUACUUAAUAGUGGAAAUUGUUUUUGGUUUUCAAAGGACGGAUGGACAUCGUCAAGACUAGACUAGGUCUAGUGCCAUAUGGUGAAGAAGGGCACUUAGAGUAGUUCAGGACUUUGUUCUUCUUUGACCGUACUAUUAAGAGGGGCUUUGAUCUAGUAGCUUGACUUAGGCAAGGCUUUAGGUUUAGGUGUGGUGCACACUUGGUAAACCUAGCACUAGGCAGCUCAGAGAUAGUCCUUAGAUCGAGAGGAACCAACUUCGUUUUGGAGCGAUCGCGUUUCGACGAAGUUUGGGUGCCCAAAGGGGCACCGGACGCUGCACCGGACGCUCUGUGAGUGCGUCCGGUGAGGUCCUUAGCCGUUAGAACAGUGCCGUGCUUAGGGUUAGGCACCGGACGCUAGCACCGGACGCACCGAGUAGCGUCCGGUCCCUUACCCAGGAAGGUUGCAAGCCUUCCCUAAGCACCGGACGCUAGCACCGGACGCGCCGGGUAGCGUCAGGUCCCAUGCGCAGGGAGCAUGUAAAGUUUUCCCGAGCACCGAACGGUGCACCGGACGCUGAGAGUUAGCGUCCGGUGACCUGUUAGAGAAAAGUGUAGGUAGCCGUUAUGUCACACCGGACGCGCGGUGCAAUGCGUCCGGUGCAACAUAAUGUGCGUCCGGUGACCCCGUUUUCAGUGGAAAACGGUUGGCCGACCUUUGGACUUUGUGGAUAGUAUUUAUACUCCUCCACCUCGUCCAUAAGACCUCUCUUGCCCAUUUGAACAUCAGAGAAACUUGUUGUGGAGCAAGAGAGUUGCAAGAGCCUAGAGAGGAUUGAGUUUUGAGUGAAUUCUUGAGAGAAUCCUCCUCUAGUGAGUUCCAAGAGUCAAGUGUGCAUCCACCACUCUCUAGUGCCUUGUUUGGGUCAAGUGAGAGUUCUUUGCUUGUUACUCUUAGUGAUCGCCAUCACCUAGACGGUUCGGUGGUGAUUGGAGGCACGAAGAUCACCCGAAGUUCUUGUGGGUGGCUCGUGUCAAGCUUGUGAGCGGUUUUGGGCGAUUCACCGCGACGGAGUGUCGAAGAAUCAGCCCGUAGAGAGCACUUGGUCCUUGCGCGGACCAAGGGGGAGCAAGACCCUUGCGCGGGUGCUCCAACGAGGACUAGUGGAGAGUGGCGACUCUCCGAUACCUCGGCAAAACAUCGCCGAGCACUUUCUUUCACUACUCCUUUACUUUCUAGCAUUUACUUUGUGCUUUUACAUUCUUAGAAUUACCAUGCUAGAAUAGGAUUGGAACUAGGUUGCAAAACUUUUAUCCGGUAGCUUUCUAGGACACUCUAGGCACAAGGGGUGGAAUUGGAGCUUAUAGGUUGCUUAAAUUUUAAGAGAAGCCCAAUUCACCCCCCCCUCUUGGGCAUCUUGAUCCUUUCAGGGGUGUUUGCGGAAAGACUUGCUGCCCAAGCCAUCCACUAUUAGCAUUCAUCGGUAUAGGCCCUGCCGAUGACUGGUAAUUGGGCAUUAUCAUUGAAUUGACAUACCCUGACUGAGCCAUAGACCUCUGUUGCAUCAGCAUUGAGUCUGCCGAUGCGUUAGGCAUCUGGAACAUUGGAGCUUGAGAAUUCCCCGUGUAAGGUCUUGCAGUAGUAGUUGUAGUAUACUGGGGACUUUGAUUCAUCGGCAUAUUAGGAGGUGCCGAUGUCAUAGGAGUCUUGCCUCUCAUAUCAGUCGUCUGCGACGUACCUGGGGUUAGCUCUGGAGGCAUACCAUAACCCCACCAGUUAGGAGGAGGAGUCAAUCCUGACAUUGCCGAUGCCAACAGAUCUAUAGCGAGUUUAAUCUGCCCAUCUGAAGUCGGCGGAUUGGUUGUCAUCGGCGUAGAUUGUGCAUUGGUGACUCCCAACGUGCUCGGAGGAACGGCAGUCUGUGCUCCCAUAGCGGCUGUGGCAGCCGAUGGAGCUGUAACCACUGGUGACUCCGGCUGGUGAUAAGUGGGGCCCACAUAAUCUGGUGGCAACUGUCCUUCCUUGAAAGUUCUUGCCACGGUAUUGAAAACCAUAUUAGACAGCACACUAGCUUGAUUGAUCAAAGCACGGUUGAUAGCGCUGUCAACCAUCUCCUAAAGUUUGCCAGGAUUGGCUUCAAAAGUAACCUGUCGUGGUGCCGGCAGUGCAUCCUUCUGGAUCACUUCGCCGCUCCUGUUUAUGCUGAAGGACCUCAGGCAUUGCUGCUUGUAAUCCUCCAUGGCUUUAGCAAUAGCUUGCUUCUGCUCAUCCUUGAGAUUGGCUUCCGUCACGGGGAUGACGUUCUCUUGAUCUAACUCAGAAGUCGACAUGUUGAUCUUGAUCUUGAAUCAGUCCCACCGGGCGUGCCAAAAGAUGUGUUGGUGUAAAAGCUGAUCUGCAAACACAAAGGGCUAAUACCCGAUUCAAACGUUAAGGCGUGCCAGCCGAUUUGACCUUACUAUCGACAAAGGUGGUAACUCGAACACUUUGGUCCCGACAACAGCGAUGUGCCCGGAUGUCACGGCCAAGAGGUAUUCACGCGGAACUUGAGAACACGCCGAGCUUAAGUCGACGAAUUCCUAAGAACUCGUAAUAAAAAGGAAAAAGUAUGACGAAGUCGUUGAAAAAGUAGAUGCUGUAAUAUGAGUAAAAACUUGUGUUUGAUUGAUUGAUAGAUAUCUCAUUACAAGGCCCUAGGGUCUACAUUUAUACCCUGCUCAAAGAGCUACAACCAGACACGACUAGAACUCGAAUUCCAAAUUACACAGAACCCGUAUACAAAACGAUUUAAACAACUAAGGAAAACAUAAAGCUAUCCCCCCGUGACAAACUGGAACUCCUCCACAAACCGAUCGGCAACUUCCAGACUCUUCCCCCAUGUCAUCGGCAGACUCCCUUGUCGUAGCCAUCGGUACAGACACGUCGUCACCUGUGGACUUAGUCAUGUUCAACCAUCCUUCCAUCGGCAACUCUCCCUGUAGAUCAAGCACCACCAUCUCAUCUUGCCGAUCCACACUUUACCGAUCAUGGACACGUGCCCAAAAACGGUGUCAACACAACCAUUGAGAAAUAGUGAAAGACUUGUGAUAUUGUUUAUAAGCGUUUAUAACCUAGGGUACCUCCUAUCAGGGAUUGUACUGUUCAUGGAUCCGAUACUGUUGGCAAUUAAUGGGUGUGCACUGUUCACCGGGCCCGUUACUGUUAAACAUAACUUGUACACACUUUUUAUUGGAUCUGUUACUAUUUAGCAUAACAGACGUAUUGUUCAUUGGAACAUAAUGGGUAUGCUGUUCACUGGAGCCAUUAUUGUUCUACUUGACGGGUGCACUGUUCGCUAGAUCCGUUACUGUUAAUCUCUACAACUAAAAAGAGUCGGAAGUCAUCGUCAGCCCUCCCUGAUCGCCCCCCCUCGCGGUAAUCACCCCGCGCUAAUCGCCCCCCCUCUCGCGACCCAUCGCCCUCCCCCCACACGCAACCGUCGUCGUGGCCUCGUCUCUCCCGUGGUCAACCUGCGGUCAGAAUCUGUUCCUCCCACGCCGCAUCCCUCACCUCGCUGCGCCGCAUCCCUCACCUCGCUGUCCAUCCGCGCGAAGCUGCGCUCCAUCGCCGCGGUCCAGGAAGUCGCGCCACCCGCCGUGGGAGCCCUCCGCCAGCGCGAACGCCUCGCGCACGGACACGGCGUCUUCCAUCUCCCUCCUGCGGCCGGCCACCGACGCGGCGCCGUGCUUGCGCGCCACGAGCAGCUCCCCGGCCUCGAGGCUCCGCUUCCUGCACCGACGCCGCCCUGCUCCGUCCAGGCGCCUCCCCCACCGACUUCCAUCCAGGCGCUGCUCCGUCCUCCGCCUCCCCCACCGACGCCGCCCAGUCCCUGCAGUGCCUCUCCUUCCCUCCCACGACACCGCCAACUACAACGGCGAGGAUCGAGAUGGCAGCAGGGAUCCAUGCCGCGCAGUUCCCAGCGAAGCCCGACUCCCCGUACGGCACGGUGCAGCCGAGCACCGCCGGUGGCCGCGGCCGCAACUGCCCGCCCAGCGCCGCCCGCGCCUCGCCUCUACCGAGGUCACCACGCCGCUGCCACGUGCGACGAUGGCCGCCGCCCCGUUCCCCAUCAAGGUCGCGAGGCACGCAGAUCCGUGCUUCAUCCACGAAAUCUGGGCAGUACAUAUUUCUUUUUGCAUUUCAUUUGUUUCGAUCAUUUGCUUUAGAAGUCACCAAUUGAAUCUAGGCUAUCAAUUUUGAUGCACGUUAUAUGAUUGGAUGAGAUCUUGGCAAAAUUAUGCUCCAUUCCCGUACAUGAACUCAACUGAGACAGCCUAAGGUAAGGGAGUUGGAAGAAAGAAAGGGACUGUUGCAAAAAUAGGUUUCCAUUAUAUGAUUGAAGGGUUAACCAUUUGCAUUUAGUUUUUUUGGUUUUGUCAACCUGUGAGUUAGUAGAAAUUAUGGAAGGACCACUUUUGUAGUGUUAGAAGAGAAUUUCAGACAGCUACAUGCUUUAUUUACAUGCUGUGUUUGUUAUGUAAAGCUGUAAGAUUAGGUACUUUAUCAUAUAUAGAUUUUGCUCGUGUUAUGUAAAAAUGCAAAAUAAUAACAAUAAUAUUAUUGUGCUUUUUAGUUGUAGGAGAUUUUGUAUUAACUUUGUGAUGUGAAUAACCUUCUACAAAAAGGAAGGUUAUAAGGAUCAAUUGCUUAUUAACACGCCAUCACCACUGCUACUGGGAGAAGUUAGUAGGUAAGUCAUACAUGUUAGAAUUCUUCCACUAUGCAAGUUUCUCAUAUGUUUUAUCUACUGCCUUUGUGUGCUGAAAAAAUUAUCUCAGUUCUACAUUGCUGAUUUUUCAAUUUCGUAUAAGUAUGCAAAGAAUUGGAUGAACAAGAUUUGCAAUUAUUAAUCACAUAGGAUUAGAUAGCUUUUAGGAUGAUGAUGAACCAAAGCAAGUGGAAGAGCACUCAGAGGAGACAAUUUUGAUUUUACAUAGUGACGAGGAAGAGCCGAUGCAAGUGGAUCCACUUUGUUUAUUGUACCUUUGAGCAGUCUGCAGUACAAAAUCCACUUCUGCAGAAAUGUAUAUAUAUAUCUUUUUUAUUGCUGCAGAGGUGCAUGUACAAAUAUCAACAGUUGUAGUUUUUGUUAUUUGCAUUAUGCUAACUAAACCCCUGUGAAUUUCAUCCACUUCUCAGAUAACAAAUGAGCUUCUGUUGAAUUUUUUUCUCAAAGCAUAUGGGUUCUUGGAGUGUGCUAUCCAGCAUGGUAUUCCUAGGAUAUUUCCAGAAAAUAGGUGAGUACAGGACUGCAGGUACCAUGUUAAUCCAUGUGAAUGGUUUAUACAGGAUGCUUAUUAACUUGCUUGUGACAUGGGUAUAUUUCCUAGCUCAUAGACUGCAACAGGUCAAUUGCCAUCUCAGCGGCAUAAUUAAACAUAACACUUAACAUUAUUCAAGCUUAGCACCUAGACUGCAAUUUUGGAACUGACCCCCCCCCCCCCCCCCCCAAAUUAUUCAAAUAUAUAAUGAGAGUUUGUCCAAUUCUUUUAAUAUAGUGGCAUGUUUCUCGGCCUCAAUGGGGAAAAUGGUAUGCUUUACUGUUAUAGUUACAUUCAAACUGUCCUUGCUAAAUCAGCUUAUAUCUAUGCACGUCUUCAUAGAACCUGUGAGCUUUUGUCUGAUUCUACUCUGCAAUUAUAUAUAUAAAAGCCAGAUUGAUAUUGUUUUAUUUUCUAUGAUUUGAUAAUGUAGAGAUCAUAAAAAGCAUAGAUAAAAAGCAGCUUGAACUCGUGCUAGAUUUUUCAGCGAUGAUGAUGAUGCUAACCUGAUUUUCAGUAGUACAGAGGGGUACAUAACCUUAUUAGUUAGUGCCUGCAACGUUGUAGUAUUAUUCUGCUACUUUUUAGGAUUAGUUUGUUGAGUACAAAGUGUAUGAGUCUUUGAUCGCUAAGAUAUGUGGAAACCCAUUGUGAACCUUUCUUUCAAUGUUUAUGCAUGGAAAAUAUUUGGCUCAUGGAAUCCUAUGUUUCUGUAUUGGCGUUUUUUUCUCUAUAUGUGAAUACAUAUCACUUAUUGAUUCUAUUAAGACAGUAUCAGUCAACAUAAUACAAGUUCUCUCGUAUAUCUUUAACAAUACAUGCCUAUUUAAUAUUCAUUCCAAGUGAUGGUUCUGUUAUCAUUGCCAAUUUCUCCAUCCCUUUUUAUCUGCUUAAAUUUACUGGAGUACCCUAAGUACGCUUGAUCCAAGUACAUGCAGCACCCUAAGGAUUUAUCUCCUCGAUUCCCUAACAAGAUGAGAGGUCAGUUGGCUAUAGUUUUUAUAUUAAUUUUUGUUUGCUCUGCUUAUUAAGUUUUGGAUUCAACUAUAUUUGCAUUCCAGCCACAGACAUGAGUGGAUAUUAAACCAAAUAAAAUUAAGCUGAGGUCAAGCAGGUAUACUUGCAAUACUAUGCUUGACACUAACAGCUGCAAUAGUGCAGGUAUUGGAGCAAUACUACUGUUUUUUCCUGAUAAGAUUUAGCCUCAUGUUUUGUACUAAAAAGCAACAUGCUUAUAUUCUCAAAAGAAUUUAACCAAGAAACAGCCACACAGAUGGCUUGAACGACGCGAGUAUGCAGUAAAUCCACAUGGUUUAUUCAUUUUGUAGCUGAUUACAUUUUUUAUAAUUUUAAAAUUAUAUAUGACUUUUGUUCCUAAAUAAUUGCUCUUUCAGAAUGCAUCUAAUUUAAUAGUACUUGGUUAACUGCACUCUUGCUGAUUUAGUUAAUUCAUUUUGUACUUUUGUUUUUUUAGAUGCAGCACUAAUAUGGAAAUAGCAUCUGAAACCGUGAUGCCAUCUUCAAUGGUGAUUUGUGCCAUGGUUUCAAGACGCUGCACACCUCCUAAUCCAAAGGUCCCGGCUUGAUCUUGGCAACCUUGGCAAUUUGGUUCUUCCUCCAUGUGCACUCCACUAUUUUUUCAAGAGUAAAAUCUCUUCCUAAUUACAUUUCAAGAUUAAUAUUAAGAUAUCGCUGAAAUACUAAAUUAUGGGUCACUAUAUAUUUGUCCUCUUAAGGUAAACCCUCUCUCUUCUUACAGUUAGAUCUUUUCUAUUGUAUAUUUGAUCUAAAUAUUAAAUCCAGAUUGGUUAGCAUGUUAGUGACCCGCGUUGGACCUUAUAAGGCACCAUUGAAAUUAUAGAAGUAUUUUAGUAUUGCUCGACAUUAAUUUUGUUAGUAUUUGUUAUAGAUCAUAUGUUUCCUUAGCAUUUGUAGAGGAAUUGGUUUUUGAUAAAAAGAGUAACAUAUAUGAUGCUUAUAGGUCAUUUUACAACUCUUCGAAUGAAUUUUAGCAUGUCUUGUUUCAAAUCUGUUGCACAAGCUCUCCCUACAUAUGUGAUGAUCGUGUUCAAACUUCCAUUGAACUUGUGCGAUGACCUGAUGAAGAGCAUUGUCUUUUGGUGGGGAGCUAAAAAUGGCAAGUGGGAGAUCCAGUCAAUACCAUGGGAACAAAUCAUACUUCCUAAGAGCUCUGGAGCUUUGGGUUUCAAGGAUUUAAGACUUUUCAAUAACGCUUUACUUGCUAGACAAGCACAGAGGCUGGUGGCCUUCCCAUAUAGUCUAUGUGCGUGUCUUUUGAAAGCUAAAUAUUUCUCUCAUGUAACUUGUUAAUGUUCCAGCAGCUGAAAGAUACCAAAUAUGGAGACGAAUUGGUUAUGGCUUGGAGAUAAACAUGGUGUGCUGUACAAAAUUGGUGACGUGAGAAGUACAAGGAUAUGGAGGGACAACUUGAUUCCUCAGGGAAAACUUGAGACCAAUAGGUAGUGCCUCUGUUUGUCGUCCUCGAUGGGUGCAUUGGUUAAAUGAUUCUUAAGGAGUGAUCGGAAGUGUUCCCAAGUAAAGAAAUCGUGCAAUUAAGUGCCAAAUACUUUAGUUUCUUUAGCUAGACGCUGUAAACAUUAUGUGACUUGGCAAGGACAAGUGUCUGCAACUCUGCAUGUGCUUCCUCCUUACAUCAUGCCGAUUGUAAUUCGUUGAUAGCUAGCUAAUAAAGCUUCUCUCUCUGCUUGAAAAAAACUCUUUGGAUGAAACUGUAGCUAGAAGAUUUGCGAUGUUACUGAAACUUGAAGAUCAAGCAUCAUGGUGAAAGACAACAUGAGUGCAUUGCAUGGCAUUAUGAGACUGUUGGAAGUUCAAUGUCUGUCGCUUCUUCCAUGCCCAAGAGACACUGCUAUCUCUUGAGUUUGACGCCUUGAUCACAACAAUUGAUAUUUUACAACAUAUGUUACCUGGUGAAUAUCUUUUCCCAUUGUAACACAUAGAAAUCAUGUUGCCUAUCGUUCACAUGCCCUUUCUAGAGGUGUGCGUGGUGACUGACCAUAUUACCUAAAGGUAUUUACAAUAGAGUUUGUGAGCUUGUGAUGUUGUGCUCUCCAUGAUUAUAUAAAUUUUAUGAAUUUUGUUUUUUAGAUUAAAUAUCACUUUAAUAUUAAUAUCUAAUUUUUAUAUUAUUAUUAUCUUAUCAUACGAUCCGUGUGUUUUAAAUAUAAAAUAUUAGUUAUCCCGUAGCAACGCACGGGCACACUACCUAGUGUAUAAUAAAAUAUGUUGUUAAUAUACAGUAAAAUGUGAGAAAGAUGGUAGUAUACGAUUAUAAGGGUAAGUGAAAAAUCACGCGUAAUGGAUUCUGAAAACAUCCCGCUAUGGAAUAUAGGUGGGCUAGGCUAAACUCCUCUCCACAUUAUAUCAUGAUGUAUAGUGCAUGAACCGGAGGCCGUCGAGCGGAUCUAUCUUUUGAAUGGUAAUUUAAAUAGAGUACAAGAAUAUUUCAAAAGUACCUUAAAAUAGUCUUUAAAUGGUUUUCAAAGUAUUGUUUAAAAAGGGUUUUACAAAUGUGUUUGAAAAUCAAGUAUUUCAAUUUUAUUCUCAUAGUUCGUAUUUUCAAAGUUCAAAAUGUUUAACAGAUCACAUAAUUUGAAUCUAGUUUAAAAUUGUGUUUGAAGAAUUAUAAAAUCCUCCUUUUUAUCGGUGACAGAUUUCAUUCCAGAACUCAUCUUCUAUUAUUUUUUUUUGUUCUUUACUUUUAUAUAUAACUAGCCAAUUGCACGGGUAGCAACCAUUGAGAAAUAGUGAGAGACUUAUGGUAUUGUUUAUAAGCAUUUACGGAACGAGAUCCUCUGCUGUGAGGGGCAGCGACUGCUUCCUGCAGUCAGGGGUAUCUCACCGUUCACUAAAAUCGAACGGCAACUGAUUCCCAACGCUCUGUUUAUAUCUAGCAUUGUUUAGUUUACUUUAAAAUCUUAAAUUUUUAAGAUUUCUCGUUAUAUCCAAUCUGUAGACACAUGCAAGAAAUACUAAAUAUAGACGAAAUAAAAAUUAAUUGUACAAUUUAACUAUAAUUUACUAGACGAAUCUUUUAGACCUAGUUAGUUUAUGAUUAGACAAUAAUUAUCAAAUACAAACGAAAAUGCUGCAGUAGUCAAAGCCAAAAAGACUAAAAAAGGCCCGAGUCUUCUGAGCGCCGCUGAGCCUUGGCCAACUAACACAACAUUGUUGCUGGCGUUUUUGGCGCAAGGUAGGCAUGCUCUUUAGGCCUUGUUUAGUUCCCGAGAAAUUUUGUAAAAUUUUUCAGUUUGUCUAUCACAUCGAAUCUUACAGCAUAGAAAUGAAGCAUUAAAUAUAGAUUAAAAAAUAACUAAUUAUACAGUUUGUCUAAUUUGCUAGAUGAAUCUUUUGAGCCUCUGUUCGCUUGUCUUAUAAGCCAUACUUUUUUUUGUCAGUCGACAGUAUUUUUCUCUCACAAUAAAUUAGCAAACAUUACUUUCAGCCAUGACUUUUUAGAUAAGUCAUGAUUGGAUAAUAUUUGUCAAAAAUAAACGAAAGUGCUACAGUGUCCAAUCGUGCACUAACUUGUUCGCCGGUCUCAAAAGCCAUGGCUGAAAGUACUAUUCGCUGAUUUAUUGUGAGAAAAAACACUACUGGCUGAGAGAAAAAGUACGACUUAUAAGACAAGUGAACAGAGCUGACUCAAAAAAUUCGUCAAACAAAUUACAUACAAACUGUAUAAUUAGUUAUUUCUUUAAUCUAUAUUUAAUGUUUUAUUUAUGUGUUGUAAAAUUCGAUGUGAUAAAAAAUCUGAAAAAUUUUACAAAAUUUCUCAGAAACUCAACAAGGUGUCUGAGCAUGCGUACCUCGCGCUAAAAAUACCAGCAACAACAUUGCGUUGGUUGGCCAGGCCCAGCGGCACUCAGAAGACUCGGGUGCAAGCAUUUGGAGUUAGUUGCCGUUCGAUUUUAGUGAACGGUGGAUGCCAUGAACUGCAGGGAGCAGUCGCUGCCCCUGACUGCAGACGAUCUAGUUCCAGCAUUUACACCUAUCGAGGAUUGUAUUGUUCAUGGAUCCAAUACUGCUGGCAACCAACGGGUGUGCACUGUUCAUUGGGUCCGUUACUGUUAAACAUAACUGGUAUGAACUGUUUAUUAGAUCCGUACUAUUCAGCAUAAGCUAAGCCCAUCUCCUCUCUCUGUGUCGCCAACGGGUGGGCCCCGCACUCAGUUGUCUUGCACCUUCCGCCGCCGCUGGCCGGCACAUCCAGUUCCACCAUUGCUGUGCGGGCAAUUUAAAUAUUUGCCCUCCUUACGGAUGGCUCCUCCUCACUUGCCUCUCUUAUAAGUGCAAUUAAAGAUUUGCCCUGGGUAUCUCUUCAGUCAUAUAGAUUUACCCAUUUUAGUUAUGUGGCAGUCCAACUCAUCAUGCAAGCUUGGAUUGGCUAUGGAAAAAGACUGUAUUGCCCCUCCCUCUGUUUUUUUGCUCUACAAUGUGAAGAAAAAAAGGGGCCGACGAGUUGGGGAGGGGAGAGGGGUGUACUGCGUGUUGAACCUGGGGUUGUGGAGGUGCACAUGGAGCCGAGGGCACCUGGAGCCGAGGGCCUCUUCUCCUUGUCGCCGGGCACCUGGAGCCGAGGGCGGACAGGGAGGGGCGCGAGGGAGCUGAGGACGGACGGGCAGGGGCGCGAGGGAGAGGGCGGAUGUGGAGGGAGGCCGGAGGUCGCCGCUGUCGGGCGCGUCGCCGGAGAGAGAAGGGGCGCGUCGGGCUCGCGGUCUGGAGGCGUCUGUGUCGGGGGGCGAGAGACGCGAGAGGGGCGCCCACGCGAGAGACCGAGCGAGAGGGAAGGAAGAGAGAAAAAACAGAGGGAGGGGCAAUACGGUCUUUUCCCAUAGCCGAUCCAAGCUGGCAUGAUGAGUUGGACUGCCACGUAGCUAAAAUGGGCAAAUUUAUAUGACUAAAGAGAUACCUAGGACAAAUUUUUAAUUGCACUUAUAAGAGGGGCAACUGAAGAGGAGCCAUCCGUAAGAGGAGCAAAUAUUUAAAUUGCCCGUCCAUCAAUCGAACCCCACCACCGCACUCCCAUAACUUCCCCUCCCAAACCUCGUUCUUCAAUCGCCCUGUUCAAGCACAUAAUGGCAUCUAAGCCGGCAAUAACCAACGCCAUUACUGCCGGACCAAGCUCCACUACUAGCCAUUCCUCUCUCCUGGAGCACCCCGCGCACUCACUACCACAGCGCAGCCAUCAUUGGUCCCCUUGUCCGCUCCAUCACCAUCAAUCGCCGCUGCCAAGCUUCACAGUAUCCAUGGCCGCCGCCUCGAUCUCUCCUUCCCGACUAUCUCCGUUGCGUAGAAUAUUGCAACACUCGCCUCGCCAGAGCCAUACUAACCUGCAACCGCUUCUUGUUCUUGCCGAGGACCACUGUCUCCAACUUCAAUUGGAAUGCUGAAUCUGGACAGAUAGGCAGACUAGUCCUGCUUGUUCUUGUGACGGACUGUGAUACUGGGUCAAAUUUGGCACCUUUAGUUUCCAAUUUUAAUCCAAUUGUUAGUUGUUACAACAAUUCUUUUUUUUAUGAAGGUGACUACUAUUGGAGCUUCGAUUCAGUGGCACGCGUUUUCCUAGUCUAGUCUAGUCAACCGUAUCGUCAACUCCAUCACAGCAGACACUCCCUCCGUCCAAAAAAAGUGUCGUUUUAGAUUUUUGUGCCACAAGUUUAACUCGAUUUAUAGAAAAUAUGUGCAAUAUUUGUGUCUCUAAAUAAAUUUGGUAAAAAACUAGACUUAAGAUCUUUUCAAUGAUACCAAUUAUGUACUAUAAAUAUUAAUAUUUUUUACUAUAUAUUUAGUUAAAAUUAUUUUUUAGAAAGUGCAAACGACACUUAUUUUGGGACGGAGGGAGGAGGGAGUAGUCGUCAAAGAUAUAUGAGCACGGGAGCUUUGAAGCUCCUAUCAGAGCACUCCAAGUUUUGCACUCUACUAGUUCUUUUAGCUCCUUGUAUUUCUCAGAAGCUAUGUGCUCCAUCGUCUCCCUUCUCUAUUGCUUACUUAUCCUCUUGUCUAUCAAUAUUACAGUAGUCACAUCUGCUGAAGCAAACAAAACAGAGAUCGACCGGCAAGCACUCCUUUGCUUCAAGUCCGGCAUCUCCUCCGACCCUCUGGGCGUCUUGAACUCAUGGCGCAACACCUCACGCAACUUCUGCAACUGGUCAGCAGUCACUUGUGAUGUGAGGCAUCCAAUCCGUGUGGUCUCGAUAGACCUCACCUCCAUGCAUCUCACUGGACAGAUAUCUGGUUGCAUAGCAAAUCUGACAUCUCUGUCGCAGAUACACCUCGCAGACAAUAGCUUAUCUGGAGCCAUUCCUGAUGAGCUGGGUAUGCUUCCUGGUCUCCAAACUCUGAUGCUUGCUGGCAACCAUCUUGAAGGUAAUAUCCCUGAUUCGCUAGGCUCUAGCAUGUCUCUCAGCUAUGUUAAUCUUGCAAACAACAGUCUCACUGGUAGUAUCCCUCACUCGUUGGCCAGUAGCUCCUCACUCAGCACGCUAAUCCUCUCGCGUAACAGCCUUACUGGUGAGAUCCCGGCUAAUUUGUUUUAUAACUCAUCUGCCCUUACUACGGUUGAUCUCCAGAUGAAUUCUUUCACUGGUGUUAUCCCACCUUUUGAUAAGGUCACAGCCCUCAAGAACCUUUGUGUUACUGAGAACUUCCUUUCUGGAGGUAUACCUCCUUCGAUAGGGAAUAUUUCUUCUCUCCGCUUUGUAUUGCUAGGCCAGAAUCUACUUACAGGAUCAGUUCCAGAAAGUUUGGGUCACAUUUCAGAACUUUUUGAACUGGAUCUCAGUUUCAAUAGCUUGUCAGGCUAUGUCCCCAUGCCCCUUUACAAUUUGUCUUCACUCAAAUACAUUAGCUUAGGCAGCAAUCGCCUUGUUGGGCAGUUACCAUCUUACAUUGGCUACUCACUACCAAGUCUCCAAGUCCUUAUUAUGCAAAGCAACAAUCUGGAGGGCCUGAUCCCUGCUUCACUAGAAAAUGCGUCAAAUCUCCAAGUGCUUGACCUAUCAAAUAACUCCCUGUAUGGUCGUAUUCCAUCUCUUGGGUCGUUGGCAAAAUUGCGUCAAGUGCUUUUAGGAAGGAAUCAGCUAGAAGUAUAUGACUGGCAAUUCCUUGUCUCCCUAACAAAUUGUGCACAACUGAAAAAAUUGUCCUUGGAGGGAAAUAUGAUGAAUGGCAGCCUACCUGGAUCAAUUGGUAAUCUUUCCACAAGCCUUGAAUAUUUGUUGCUUGGAUCCAACCAAAUAUCAGGCUCCAUACCUGUUGAGAUAAGCAAUCUUGUUAAUCUCACUAUGCUUAGCAUGGAAAACAAUUUUCUCUCAGGAAGCAUACCUGAUAAGAUUGGGAAGCUGCGAAACCUAUUUAUCCUGAACCUAUCCAAGAAUAAAUUAUCAGGACAGAUCCCUUCCACAGUUGGUAACAUUGCCCAACUGAACCAGCUUUACCUUGAUGACAACAUGUUAUCUGGACACAUACCAGCAAGUCUAGGACAGUGCACAAGGUUGGCUAUGUUAAAUUUAUCAGUCAAUAACCUUGAUGGAUCCAUACCAAGUGAAAUCUUCAGUAUUUCUUCGCUUUCUUUGGGAUUGGACUUGUCAAACAACAAUCUUACAGGAACAAUACCAGUAGGAAUUGGAAAACUGAUCAAUCUUGGCCUACUGAAUAUUUCGAGCAACAAGUUAUCUGGUCAAAUACCAGAUGAUCUUGGCCAGUGUGCUUUAUUAUUAUCCCUUCAGAUGGAAGGCAACACGCUCAGUGGGUUUAUUCCUCGGUCUCUCAUUGAACUGAAGGCCAUUCAACUGAUGGAUCUCUCUGAAAACAACUUAUCUGGUAACAUUCCGGAUUUCUUCAAGGAUUUCAAAACCUUAUAUUAUCUUAAUCUAUCAUACAACAAACUAGAAGGACCAAUUCCAACCGGUGGCUUCUUUCAAAAUUCAAGUGUUGUAUUUUUGGGUGGCAAUAAAGGACUCUGUUCAAGGUCCUCCACACUAGCACUACCAGUUUGUGAUGGCGCUGGCGCCACUGAACCAAAGAAACACGGUGUACCACUGCUGGUGGUAGUGAUACCAUCAGUUACUAUUGCUUUACUGUUAUUGUUAUGGUUUUUGGUGACUCUUUGGAAGAAAAGAGUGUUUGAAUUUCCAAGUUGGGAGGACAUACUGAGAAUGGUCUGCUUGGUAGCUGAGACAGAGAGAAGAGAAGUAAAAACUUUUCCGCACAGCAAUGAAACUCUAAAGAAGGUAUCAUAUAGUGACAUCCUGAGAGCUACCAAUUGCUUCUCUUCAGUCCAUACAAUCAGCUCAACCCGCACCGGAUCAGUUUAUGUUGGUAGGUUCAAGUAUGACAAGAGCCUAGUUGCCAUCAAAGUAUUCAACUUGAAUGAACCUGCAGCAUACGAGAGUUACUUUAUAGAGUGCGAGGUACUACGAAGCACACGUCAUCGUAAUUUGAUGAGACCUGUGACUUUAUGCUCGACAUUGGAUACAGGAAACCAUGAGUUCAAGGCGCUAAUCUUCAAGUUCAUGGUUAAUGGCAGCCUUGAAACCUGGCUGCACUCUGAGCACUACAGUGGUCUGCCGGAGAGAGUGUUAAGCUUAGGCCAGCGGAUACACAUCGCAGCAGAUGUGGCUUCUGCUCUGGACUAUGUCCAUAAUCAAGUUAGUCCUCCUUUGGUCCACUGCGAUUUGAAGCCAAGCAAUAUCCUUUUAGACAAGGACAUGACCGCUCGUCUCAGUGACUUUGGGUCUGCAAAGUUUCUAUUUCCAGGGCUCAGUGUUCCAAAAAGCCUGGCUGAAGUUGGUGGGACAAUUGGAUAUAUGGCACCUGGUGAGUAUACUUUUUGCGGUUAUUGAGAUCAAUCAAUAGUUUUUCUUGAACUUAAAGCUGUUUAUUCCGUUUUGCAGAGUAUGCCAUGGGCUCUGAAAUCGCCACAGAAGGUGACGUCUAUAGUUUUGGAGUGCUUCUUCUGGAGAUUGUAACAGGAAAACACCCCACGGAUGAUUUGUUUGUCGAUGGACUUAACCUUCACAAUUUUGCUGAAUCCAUGUUCCCAGAUAGACUUGCAGAGAUUAUAGAUCCUCAUAUGGCGCAUGAGGAAUCUCAACCGUGUACAGAAGUAUGGAUGCAGAGCUGCAUUGUUCCCCUUGUUGCGCUUGGCCUGUCAUGUUCCAUGGAAUCUCCAAAAGAUAGACCUAGAAUGCAAGAUGUGUGUGCAAAACUCUUUGCUAUCGAAGACGAUUUUCAGAAGUCUCAUGGUCAGUUAUUGAACUCACCUUGUCCUUGACAGUGGUAGCAGGAUGUUGUAGUUAGCUACUGAUUCAUAUAACUGCUGAUUUGUAAGUGGGGGGCUGUCUAUUUUGACUGAAUGAAAUAAUGUAUGAAGAGGAGGUUAAGAUCAGGUAUGUGAUUUGCUGAGAAGACUACUCAAAUUCAUAUGUGAUGAGCAGCUGGUACUAAGCGUGAUUUUGUUCUUACCUGUACAUGCUCAACGUCACUUAACCAGCAACAAAACCUCUGUUUUUUCCCCAGAGCACUAACCUGGUCAGUAUUCUACUUAUUUUCCAACGUUUGGUCAUUUUCUACUUAUCCAUGCCCCUGUUAAGGCUAAGCAAGUUCGGAUGUGUUUUGAUCAAAAAUUUAAAAUUUCAUCCAAAAAAUCAAUUUUUUGGCCUGUCAAUGAUCAACACCAGCUAUUAUCAGCCUGAGCCCUAGAUCAGUAGCUUUCUUUUAUUUAACAGGCAACUUUCACCAGAGUACUGGCUCGGUUCAUCUUUGCUACCCGUGCAUUAGUUAGCGCUGAAACGGCUGAGUACAUGGCUCUUUACAAUCAGUUAAUCAUGAUGGAUUUCACGGGAAAAAAAACAAACCUGAUUUGCAAUAUGGCAAGAAAUAAUUUCAGAAUUAUUGUUUGAACAUAGUCCAGUAUAACAAGCAUCCUUUUCGCCAAAUUUGAGAAUGUUGGCAGAAAAUGUUUCCUGUACUUCUAACAACCCUUCAUCUAAUAGUUAAAUGACAAUAUAGUGACCGUGUACAAGUAUUCGUCACAAACUUUUUCAAAAAAAAGAAAAAGAAAGAUUGCAAUCAACUGUGGAAAAAAUAAAAACUGUGUUCUGGUGGCUUCAGUUACAUGCUGUGCUGAAGCCUGUUGCACAAGCAGCAGGUUGCGACUUCAGAAAUCCAAUUCAGCUGUCAGGGAGUUUAGCAAUUGUGCAUGAUGCCGUUAUGAGAGUAGAGGGUUUUGUUUUUGUGUUUUUUUUUUUUUGGGGGGGGGGGGGGGGGUGGCGGGGGCAUGAAUGGAUAGUCCAGAAAGGUGUCGAUAAUUGAUAGUAUAGAAGAAUAUCUUGCAUCUCAAAUAUGGAUUGUAUCACUCUCUAGCCUUCCUCUAGACGUGCAAAUUAAGAAUUAUUUUGUUCAUCCUUAAUCUCUUAAUAAGGGGGAAACAGGGCUGCCAUGGGCAUAUAUUGCCAAAUUAAGCAUUGCAUCAUGUAUCAUUGCUCGUUUGUUUCAGGCGUCUAUUUAAUCUUUUAAGAUUAUUAGCAUGGAGAAAAGAAGCGUGUGCGAUUCUGCAUACCUGUAGAAAAUUCCUUGAACUAAGAAUUGUCCUCAUCCAUCAGUUGUUUUUUAUGAGUAGUAGCACUAGUUUAUUUUCCUACAACUCCUUGACGUAUGACCCGGUAGCCGGUUAUAUGAAGAGUCAACUAAAGCGUGCUUGGAGUUGAUACACUUGUUUAAAUAGCACUUGAGUCUAGAACAUUUGCUUCAAAGACAACUAUAAAAUUGAAAUAGCAUUGAAAUCUCCAAUAUGAACUGGUUAUUAGGUGAUAUUUUAUAAUCAAAUAUCGUGGUGAUCAUGGCGAAUCAAUCAUUGUUAAUGAUUUGAACUGAUAAGUUGAGUCCACUUGAUGCACAACUAAUUAAAAAAAAUCAAGAUCUAGUGAAUUUGUAUUGUAUAAACACAAGAUAAUAAUAUAACAAAUAUAUCAAUAUGGUACAGACACGAGAUAUAAUAUAUUAAAAUGGCAGGACAAACUGUGUACAGAUUUCUUAUCUCACGUCCCUCUCAUUUUAGAUGUUCACUUGUUCUGUUCUAGACUUUUAGCACAACCCAGAGGACGAUGUCAUGCACAAGAGGCAAAGGAGAAAAGUACAAGUUUCUCUACUCUGCAUAAAUACUAUCUCAAAACAAACACAUGACAUGGGCAAAUGCGGGCUGUGGCCUCGUGCACACACAAAAAUCACAAAUCAAAAGCAUCAUCAGAACAGAGACAUGGUUCCUGGGGUUCUUGAUUCCAAAUCUCCAUCUCCUCAUCGCCAUGCAUACUUCUUCCUGUGCAGCCUAUUCAUAUUACUGUCCACCAACACAGUAACACUCUCAUCAGCACAAGCCAGCAAUAGGUCCGAGGAUGACCGGCAAGCCCUCCUUUGCUUCAAAUCUGGUCUCUCCGGGAACUCUGCUGGUGUCCUUGGAUCAUGGAGCAACGAGUCACUGAACUUCUGCAACUGGCAAGGGGUCACCUGCAGCACGGCCCUCCCAAUCCGCGUGGUAUCCUUGGAAUUAAGGUCAGUGCAACUCAGAGGAAAACUAUCAAGUUGUAUAGCAAAUCUUACUUCUCUAGUGAAGAUGGACCUCUCAAACAAUUCGAUUUCUGGGAACAUACCUGAUGAAAUAGGUUCACUACCUGGACUUCAAACUUUGAUGCUUUCUGCCAAUAGACUUGAAGGUAACAUCCCUCCAUCAUUCGGCAUGGCUGCAUCUAACAAUUCAUUGCUUACCACUCUAAUCCUCUUAAAGAACAACCUAUCAGGGGAGAUCCCAGCUAGCCUGUUCAAUGGUCCAUCCAAACUUGUCGUGGUUGACCUUCGAUCGAAUUAUCUUUCUGGGGUAAUUCCAUAUUUUCAUAAGAUGGCAUCUCUGCAAUUUCUUGGCCUUACUGGAAAUUUGCUUUCAGGAAGUAUUCCAGCAUCUUUGGGAAAUAUUUCCUCCUUAACUUCCAUCUUACUAGCACAAAACAAUUUAAGAGGACCAAUUCCAGAAACUUUGGGUCAAAUCCCAAAGUUGAACAUUCUAGACCUAAGCUACAACAGAUUGUCGGGGAACGUCCCAGACUUGCUGUACAAUGUCUCAUCACUCAUUUCCUUCAAUAUAAGCAAUAACAGGCUUGCUGGAAAGAUACCAUCUGAUAUUGGCCGCUCACUUCCAAACCUCGUGUCAUUGAUCAUGAGAGGCAAUGCUUUCACUGAAGAGGUUCCAGCUUCAUUGAACAACAUUUCAAUGCUCCAAGUGAUUGAUCUCUCAAGCAAUUCCCUAAGGAGCUCAGUGCCAUCUCUUGGAUCCUUGGGAUACCUUAAUCAACUGCUUCUAGGAAGUAACAAGCUAGAAACUGAAGACUGGGCGUUUCUUACCUCCCUAACAAAUUGCAGGAAAUUGUUAAAGAUAACACUGGAUGGGAAUGCUCUGAAAGGAAGUCUUCCAAAAUCACUCGGCAACCUUUCUACAAGUAUACAAUGGCUAAACUUCUCAGGUAAUCAAAUUUCAGGAACUAUACCAGCUGAGAUAGGAAAACUUGUGAAUCUCAAUCUGCUUGCCAUGGACCAAAACAUGCUUUCAGGAAUCAUUCCCUCCACUAUUGGGAAUUUAACAAAUUUGGUUGUCCUGGCACUGUCCAUGAACAGAUUGUCAGGUGAAAUCCCAUCCACAAUUGGCAAUCUUCCUCAACUGAACAAGCUUUACCUGGAUGACAACAUGAUAUCUGGACACAUACCAGCAAGUCUAGCACAGUGCACCAGGUUGGCUAUGUUAAAUUUAUCAGUCAAUAACCUUGAUGGAUCCAUACCAAGUGAAAUCCUCAGUAUUUCUUCGCUUUCUUUGGGGUUGGACUUGUCAAACAACAAUCUUAAAGGAACAAUACCACCACAAAUUGGAAAACUGAUCAAUCUUGGCCUACUGAAUGUUUCCAGCAACAAGUUAUCUGGUGAAAUACCAUCUGAACUUGGCCAGUGUGUUUUAUUAUCAUCCCUUCAGAUGGAAGGCAACAUGCUCAGUGGGGUUAUUCCUCAGUCUCUCAAUACACUGAAGUCCAUACAACAGAUGGAUCUCUCUGAAAAUAACUUAUCGGGUUACAUUCCAGACUUCUUCGAGAACUUCAAAACCUUAUAUCAUCUUAAUCUAUCAUACAACAAACUAGAAGGACCAAUUCCAACCGGUGGUAUCUUCACAAAUUCAAAUGCAGUCAUGUUAGAAGGUAACAAGGGGUUAUGUCAACAAAUUGACAUAUUUGCAUUGCCGAUCUGUCCCAUCACAUCAUCAACAAAAAGAAAAAUUAAUGGACGCCUGCUGCUGAUAACAGUUCCACCAGUUACUAUCGCUUUAUUGUCAUUUUUAUGUGUUGUUGCCACUAUUAUGAAGGGAAGAACAACCCAACCAUCUGAAAGCUACAGAGAGACAAUGAAGAAGGUGUCUUAUGGAGACAUUCUUAAAGCUACCAAUUGGUUCUCUCCAAUCAACAGGAUCAGCUCAAGUCAUACAGCAUCAGUAUACAUAGGUAGGUUUCAGUUUGAUACAGACCUUGUUGCCAUCAAGGUAUUUCAUCUUGAUGAGCAAGGUUCUCUAAAUAGCUUUUUCACAGAGUGUGAAGUCCUAAAACAUACCCGGCAUCGCAACCUUGUUCAAGCAAUUACCUUGUGCUCAACAGUUGAUUUUGAGAACAAUGAAUUUAAAGCUCUAGUAUACGAGUUCAUGGCAAAUGGUAGCUUGGACAUGUGGAUACACCCCAGGCUACACCAACGUAGCCCUAGGAGGGUGUUAAGUUUAGGUCAAAGGAUUAGUAUUGCUGCAGAUGUGGCUUCUGCUCUUGAUUAUAUGCACAACCAAUUGACACCUCCAUUGAUUCACUGUGAUUUGAAGCCUAGCAAUGUUUUGUUGGAUUAUGACAUGACCUCGCGCAUUGGGGAUUUUGGGUCAGCAAAAUUUCUUUCUUCAAGUCUUAAUAGCACCCCAGAAGGAUUGGUUGGAGCCUCAGGAACCAUCGGAUAUAUCGCACCUGGUAAGCUGUACAACUCAUUCUUUUAUGGACUAUUAAACUUUUAUUUUUGCUAGUUUAUGCAUAAAUGAUGUUAUUACUCCUGUUUUGCCAGAAUAUGGGAUGGGAUGCAAAAUCUCAACCGGUGGUGAUGUUUAUGGUUUUGGGGUGUUACUACUAGAAAUGCUCACGGCAAAGCGACCAACUGACAGACUAUUUGGCAAUGACCUCAGCCUUCAUAAGUAUGUAGACUUAGCAUUCCCUAACAAAAUUAAUGAGAUUUUAGAUCCCCAAAUGCCACAUGAGGAUGUUGUUGUUUCUACUCUAUGCAUGCAAAGAUAUAUCAUACCAUUGGUUGAAAUUGGCCUUAUGUGUUCCAUGGAAUCACCGAAAGAUAGACCGGGAAUGCAAGAUGUUUGUGCAAAACUUGAGGCCAUCAAAGAGGCAUUUGUCGAAACCUUUUGAUAAUUGCAAUGGCAAUGCAGUUAUGGAGAUGGAAUUUUGGCAAGGAACAAUAAUAAGGCGACUGGAGGGAUGUAUCAUGCACAGGGAGAAAGAAAAUGGCUCUCUAAUGUAGGAUAUAUCUUUGCAUGCAUAGAUGGCCAAAAGUCAGAAACACAAAGCCCGGAUAGAUGGCUACUAUGCUCAUCGAACAUCUCUGCAUUGGAAUCUGUAAUAACAUUUACAGUCAAAUAUUUACUCAAAGUGAUAUUUUUUCUAGAAGUUAUUGAUGAGUGAUGACGAUAUAUAUAGCAACCUUCCAAGGCAUGACGACCUCUCUUAACUAUAUUUUAUAUUUAUUCUCAGGAUUUGUAAUUUAUGCAAAAUCACACAGUAAUGGUUCUCCAAUUGGAGGUUUUUGUACUUUAGCUUUUGUAAUUUGUGCUAUUAUGUACUUUGAUUCUUUUUCCCAUUUGAACAGUAAUUUUUUAAGUUUAUAACCACACUCUGGUUGCUGGCUCCACCAUUAUUUGUAACACUAUGGGGGAGGGGAGGGGGGUUCUCAUGAAACUUAAGUCCACUUUAUUAAGUUCUGAAGGAAACUUGAGACGAACCGUCCUAAACACUGUUCAGCUUUGCAGAAGAGCUCAUCAUUCCUUGCUGGACCAGCUAGAAGCACCAACAAUGCCCCUUAUUCUUUGUAGAUGUAUAAUUUCCAAAGUCUAAACCUAUAAAUUUAUGUACCAGUUAACAUCCUAGGAUGUGGUUAGCAUGAAUACAAAUGAAAACCCUAGUGAACAGUAAAAACAUUUACCUUCAAGGUCUUGAGUGCUUUGCAAUAAUCGGGUUAUCCCAGUAUGUGCAUCAACAUACACAUAGCAGUAUCAACCCAAUGUACAGCAUAAGAAGCUUGUGCCCCCUUUCUUCAGCGGCACCAAACCUCAUUCAUAAGCAUUAGAAAUGCCCUCCAAAUAGCCAAAUAGACUAUAAAAUGUUUUCAGACGUGAUCUGUAAUAUGAAGAUGAAACAUGGUCAUAGGAAGCUCGAUUUUUUCUUCUUCUCCAUGCACUUUUUUCUCCAGUUCAAGAAGUUCAUUUUCUCCCCAGUUCAACAAAUUAAGUGUACUAAUUUACCAUGGAUUAAGGAACUUGAAACUAAGACAUCCCAUAAUGGCAAUUGCAAAUUGUAAUCUACAUGAAUCAGUUCGCACCUCAAAAAUAAUAUGGAGGGGAAAUAGAAAUCGGCUUGCCCUCCGGCCUAUUUGAUCAAAUAUAGUGAAUUUGACAGCCCCGGAUUUGUUCAAUUCUUGAACGAACAUUCUUUGACCUCAUUCUUAAGGCCAAUCUCAAUGCAUGUUUCAUGAGAGUGUCAUGCACAUUAAAUAGGAUGCCACAUAAGCAAAAUUGCUGAGUUGGCAGGGUUAUUAAAUGAAGGAGUUUCAUCAGAUGAGAGAGGAGUUUCAUCUCCAUGAAACUCAUAUGGCUCGGUUAUCUAGUUUAUACUCUUGGUAACUGUGCCAUGAAACUGUGUAUUGAGACUGGCCUAAGCCGAAACUGCUACGAACUUCGCACGCAUAACCAUGAAUGCAGAGAGAGAAAAAGGAACCCACUUCAUCCGAGACAGAGAAAAGAGGAGCGGUCGGGCCACAAGCCAGCAGCGGCGCAGUCAAAUUCGCCGCAUUUUGGAGUUAUAAGAACAUGUAGUUGAGCGAGCAAUAUAGAAGAGGCUGAUAAAGUGAUAUGCUCGGCCCCAUGAGAGCGGCCACGAGAGCAGAGCGCGGUUGCUUUACCUAACAGCAUUGGCCAAAAUGGCUGGGCUUUGGGCUGCUUUGGGCCUGGGACUAGAGUUUCCAGAGUAUACUUGGCCAUGAGGCUCGAGCCUGUUGGCCCGGCCCAAAGCCCAGCCAUUUUGGCCCGGCGGAUGCUUUGUGUGCUCGAUAAGAGGUCCUAAUAUGGUUAGAGAAGAAUAUAAAUAAUCUAUUUAAAAAUUCUAUAAACUUACUAAAAUAAAUGAUUAGUAAAUAAUAAAGCAAAGCUUUUUACUCUAACUCUAAUGAGGUUAACAAGCCUCAUAUACAAUAAUUCUAGUUGCUAUUGUCACUAGGCACACAAAAGCUAUGUCUCUACUUACACUAGAGAGCUACUAAAGUUUCUUGAGAAAAACUUGUGGUUUCUGCUGAUAUGGAUCGACAUGUGUUUGAAACCACCUCGCUUGUCGUGCUCGUUAGCUGCAGCAUCACCCUGCUCAUCCACCCCACGCGGCUGCGACACAGGCAGUGCAGCCGCACCCGCUCACCGCUAAGCCCAAGGAUGAGCCGGACCCCGAUGAUGACGCGGAGACCGCCACCUGUUGUUGCUGUUGCUCACCACCUUGCUCACCAUGCUCGUUGGUUUGCGGCGUCGCCCUGCUCGUCCGCCGCUCCUCCCCGGCCCGCUCGGCCGCGGCAACCUUCUGCUGCUGCUCACCACCUCGCUCGAUGUGCUUGUCCAGCGCUCCUCCCCACCCUGCGCGGCCGCAGCACAGGUGGCGUAGCCACGCCCACUCGUCGCCAAGCCCAAGGACGAGCUGGGCCCCAACGACGGUAGGUAGAGGGUCACCGUCUUCUUCGGCAAGCUGAUGGCGGGGCGUGAUGCCGCAGGACGUACGUGCUACUCCUAUGCAAUGGCGGUGGCAAACGUGUAGAUUUGGCUGCAGAGACAUUGGCACCGCUUUGCAAUUUCUCUCAUGGAUGGCAUCACUCGUGAAGGGGGCGAUGUGCCUUGCGCGGAGCAGGGCUGCUUUCCUAUAGCCUGCAAUCCUGCACACGUCAAGACACGAGCGGCAAUUGUUCACUUGCACGCCCGUCUGCUAUCAUGGAAAUGUACAUCGCCCAGUAUGGCGGACGACCGCCUAUGUCUGUGUAGUCAAAUCACGCAUCACUUGCUAUAGAACACUAACAUCUUCCCCCGCUGCAAAUUUUCUUUCAAGUAAAUCGUGUCUUCCCAAGCAGCAUCUGCUGCUGCCUCGGGAGUGGAGUGCGGACACGUUGAAGAGACAUUUGGAGUGGUGUUAACGUUCCUAGUAUUGGCUUUUAGGGUAGAGAUAUAAAAGCGAAAGUUUAAAGCGUUGACUAUCUAUCUUGAAACGGAGGUACAUCAAUGAGCCGUGGCUUUUCCUUGUUGCAAAAUGCAAAGUAUAUUACGGUGGAAACAAAAAAAAAAGCUCACGAGGACACCAGCAGAAACCCAAAGUCCAAACAGGGCCGGAGGGGCCCCACCGCCACUCCUGGUGUGCGCUCCCACGGUAGCCGCCAAGAGGCGAAAAGGGCGCACAGCUCUUGCGUUUUUUUGACCCGAGCUGCCAACGGAGCGGCACAACACAAGGCAUCCUCGCAUUUUUAUUUCGCGCAGCCCGUCCCCCCCCGCGGCUGCCUGCCCUGCCCUGCCCUGCCCCUCGGCGAUCUCAAGAGCCCCCGCCCGCCCCGCCUCUCUUCCUCAGCCCCCCACCUCUUCGAUACCCCCGAUAAAACCCCGCCCCCGUAUCCACCUGGCCAUCCCCCUCCCUCCCUCCCUCCUCGUUUCCUCCAAGACAAGCAACCAAGCAAGCAAGGCAAGCCGCGCGCCCACGCCCGCGCCCGUGACCGACUGAGGGAAGUACGGCUCCGACCCCAUGGCGCUCUCCUGCAUGAGGUGCCCCGCGGGCGCCACCGGCUCCGCCCGACGCGCGCCGUUUGCCACGGCGGCGGCCGCGGUCUCCUUCGCCAGAUGCGGCGGCCUCGGGAGGUCCGCCUCCGCCGCCGCUGCCGCGUGUUGGCGCAUCCACGCCGUCGCCCCGCAGGGAGGUGCGUCUCCUCUUUCGUUCUGCUCCUCGAAUUGAAUGGAUGUCGUAUUAUAGCUCAGACCAAAUAAGUUGUGCACGAACUGCUUGCAUGUAGAGAGUAACCAGCUGAUGAAGGACAAUUGACACGGAUGAUAUGCCAGUGUUCUGUUUUCGUGUAGGGAACUUGUCUCGUGUUUAAAUUUUGUCGUUUCACACAUUUCAGAUUCACAAGUGUUUGGUAUGGUAAUGUCCUUUUUAUGAUUAAUUAAAUUGGUGCUAGUUUCUUUUCAAUCGAUGCACUGAAAAAGCUCCGCUACAUCACUCUGAUAGCAUGCAUCAUUCAUUUCUCUGUUUACAGUUACCACAAACUAGAGUAGAAAUUUAGUUUGUUUUAACAGCAACAACGAGGCCAUAUGUUUGGGGUUAGGCUACAGAUGAAUCCCAACAAGAGCCACAAACAGAGAUGAUAAAAAGUCCAGAGGUCGUAGUUAUAGUAAAAAAAAAGUACCCUGUUUGGUUCAGGCACUUUGAUUGCUAAAAUCAUACACCAUCUAAAAUAUCUGGUGCAUAGUGAAUGUUUCAUAUGGUCAUGCAUUAUCAUACACACUUUUUUCAUCUGACCAUUGUCUCUAAUCAUCAGCGAAAGCUCCCAUGACUGCUGAUGUGAAGCAUGUUGUCACACCUCCUGCCUCACCAAAGGUGGAAAAUGGCUCUCCGUCGGAAAUCACUCUGGAUGAAUUUGAAGACUUGAGUGCUCUAUGCAAGAAUGGCAAUGACGAUUCUACUGUUAGCAUCACUGUAGUUGGAGCAUCUGGUGACCUUGCCAAGAAGAAGAUAUUUCCUGCCCUUUUUGCUCUCUACUAUGAAGAUUGCCUUCCCAAGGCAUGUGUAUAUAUAUAUAUCUCCAUCUCAUUAUAGCAUUUGCACCUAUUUUUGUUAAAUCUAAAUUACAGUAUUUUGUCCUCUAGCAUUUCACCAUCUUUGGCUACGCACGGAGCAAGAUGACAGAUGCUGAACUGAGGAACAUGGUUAGCAAAACACUGACUUGCAGAAUUGAUAAAAGGUACUGGAGAAGAUUUGCAACCUUAUGACUAUUCUUUAGAAAAUGAAGUUUUCUUUAAAUGUGAAUGCACUUUGCUCAUUGGUCCUCGUACUCUGUUGUCUCUUUCCAGGGAAAACUGCAGUGAGAAAAUGGAAGAGUUCCUCAAAAGAUGCUUCUAUCAUUCAGGCCAAUAUGAUUCAGAAGAACAUUUCCUAGAUCUAGACAAGAAGCUAAAGCAACAUGAGGUUUGUGCAUUUUUCUCUUCAAGUCAAAUUGCAAAUCCACCAUUUGGUUUUAUUUGUUAAGCUUAAGAUUGUCCUGCUUCUAAUCAUUUGCAUGCAUUUUCCAUUGAAUUACGUAUGUUGAUCAUCCUUGACUCCUUGCUCAUUUACAUUUCAUUUUCUGAUGGCGUCACAUUCUCUCAAAAUGGUAUUGCCAAAAAAUGUGGUUUGUUGUUUGUUUCCAUCUUACUUAAUUUGUAGCCUCUUUAAUGUGCAUGUGCAUUCUUUGCGUGAAUGUCUGUACCAGUGAACUUCUGGUACAUUGAAUUUACAAAGAAUAAUAGAAAAAUCCUUUCUGUUAAAGAAGCUAAUACAAUAUACAAAUUUUUAUGUUUCAAAAUCCAUCAUUAUCCAAAAAGAGUGUACAUUCCUUGAGGAAAUGCUUGUACCGGUAAACUUAUGGCACAUAGAAUUUACAGAGCAUAAUUGAGAAACCCCGUAUCUUAAAAAAGUAACUGCAAAAAAAAAACAAUUCUUUAUUUGGAAAAAAUGUUCGGAGUAUAUUAAUUGUCAGGAAGCUUACAUCCUACAAAUACAAGAAGGCCCCUAAUAGAGACAAAAAUUACAUUGAAUAAUACACCAGGACCUCCAUUACAACUUCGCCUUCUCUGGACAAUUUGGCCACAUGAUAGACUGGCUUGGUGAUGCUCGUCAGAGAAGAUUACAGAAGCCAGAAAUGAAAUCUCCUGCCCAAUACAGCAAAGAAGCUCCAAUACUUGGGUGACCACAAGAGCCAAUGCCUUGAACCACCUCAGAAGUGUAUAUAUCUCUGAACGAACAUCUGACACCAAUUUUGCUGGAGUAGGAGGAGCAAAUCUGAUGCCUCCAACUAUGGACCAACACAGCAAGAGGCCCAGAAGAUGGAUCCACAGGUACCCACAUAAGGGGAUGAUAACCAUCCAACCCCACAGCAAUAGGGUUAGAUAAGCAUACGUCUGCUGAAGAAGGCGCUGUCACUGGAGUAAACCAGGAGCAAAAAAGCCUGCAUGAAACCAUCAUCAUCGUCAUGAUUCCAGCAGGAAUCAUAGGACCUAGUGGCUAUAGCCCUAUUCUAUGUGACCUAUCUACCAAGCUGGCCAUUGGGAUGCCAACUCCCCUCCCCCUCCUGAUACUGCAGCCAUCUGAGAGCCACCCCUGUCUUGUGAAAGAGAUGAUUUCUGUUUUUCCUUUAUUCUGCGCAUAUUUUUUUUAUGUUUCAAAAUCCAUUCCCAUUAAAAAGGAUAUAUAUAAUUGUGAGCUGACAUUCUGACUAAAUCCUUGUUCUGUUGCUGCAGGGUCCCAGAGUUUCUAACCGCCUUUUCUACUUGUCAAUACCUCCUAAUAUAUUCUUGGAUGUUGUAAAAUGUGCAAGCAAAUCAGCAUCUUCGGUGAAUGGUUGGACAAGAGUAAUUGUUGAGAAGCCCUUCGGUCGAGACUCCGAAUCCUCUGCUGCGUUAACAAGAGGUCUAAAGCAGUACCUUGUAGAGGACCAAAUUUUCAGGUGAAGCAUCUCAUGGAUUUGUAACAUUUUCUUGUAUAUAGACUUGGUAUUUUGUUACCAUCCCAAUUCUCUGCAAAUAUCAAAGCAACUUGCCAAAGGAAAAGAAAACGGGAAUUUGAAGACUGUUAACUGCUUGCGAAAAGCUUAUGAAUUUUAUGAUCCUUUUUGUACAGGAUUGACCAUUACUUAGGAAAAGAACUGGUGGAGAAUUUGUCUGUCCUUCGCUUCUCGAAUCUCGUUUUUGAGCCGCUCUGGUCAAGACAAUAUAUAAGAAAUGUGCAACUUAUAUUCUCAGAAGACUUCGGUACUGAAGGACGUGGAGGGUAUGAUUUUGAUGGUUAUUUAAUUGAACUGUGGUAGUUGCAUAUGAUUGUAUCUUAUUUUAUUGUUUCAAUUUGCAGAUACUUUGAUGGCUACGGUAUUAUUCGAGACAUAAUGCAGAAUCAUCUCCUUCAGAUACUAGCCUUAUUUGCAAUGGAAACUCCUAUCAGUUUGGAAGCAGAGGAUAUAAGAAAUGAGAAGGUUCGUACCAUGCAACUAGCCAUAGGCAUGGAACAUCACAUAGUUAUUGUACCUAAGAAAUGUAGUUCUGAACUUAAAAUAGCUGUUAUGGGCAUGCAAAUAGAGAGAACUAACUAGGCAGGCAGGGACUCUUUAUUUCUCUCAUUCAAAAUGACUUUUGACUAUAAUUCAACGAAGAAUAUACUGAUUUUAUUGUCUAUGUUAUUUGCAUAUGUGUUAACUGUGCAUUUAUAUGCUUAUUAUGCCAUCAUAAAAGGGCUGUAUUACAUUAGUUCUUAUUCUUAUUUUCUGCCAGGUUAAAGUUCUUCGUUCCAUGAAGCCAUUGCAGCUGGAAGAUGUGGUCGUAGGACAGUAUAAAAGCCACACAAAAGGUGGUACUACAUACCCUGGGUAUACUGAUGAUAAGACAGUGCCCAAGGAUAGUGUGACUCCAACUUUUGCUGCUGCGGCACUUUUCAUAAAUAAUGCCAGAUGGGAUGGAGUUCCGUUUCUUAUGAAAGCUGGGAAAGCUUUACACACAAAACGGUAUGUUUCAUGUAUUUACUGUAACAUAUGAUGCGAAAAUCUUCUAUUUACUUGGUAAAGCAGGUUCUAUGUAUGGAUAUAAACUCGUCUGACUUAAUUCUGAGACGAAAACAUUAAGCAAGAUGGAUCAUAUUUCCUAAUAUAAUAUUUCUCUCUCCAAUGCAAAAUUGCUUCAUAAAUCUCUGUUUUUUUUUCAUGUCAAAUGAAAGGGAGAAAACUCUUAUGUUGUGAUAUUUUGCAUGCCAAAUAUUCUUACAUGGAAAAUGAAAAAAUUGCAGAGCUGAGAUUAGGGUACAGUUCCGACAUGUUCCUGGAAAUCUCUACAAGGGGAGUUUUGGCACAGAUCUUGAUAGGGCCACUAAUGAGCUUGUGAUACGUGUUCAACCGGAUGAAGCUAUUUACCUAAAGAUUAACAACAAGAUUCCUGGUCUCGGUAUGCGACUGGAUAGGAGUAACUUGAAUCUCCAUUAUGCAGCAAGGUAAGUUUAAUUUAGCAGCAAUUACAUUUGUAAACCUGGACUACUAUUUUAUAGUAUACCCAAAGUAAUUCUCUAUUCACAGCUGUACCACAACGAAUAUGGCACAAUUGUUACUCUAGUGUCACUUCUUUUCCUCUGAUUUAUUUCAGUACCUCAUUCACUCUAGUUUCCAGUCUAGUUCUCUCACUCCUUUUUCCAGUCCAGUUUUCUCACUCCUUUUUUUUCAGUCUAUUCCAUGGUUGCUCCUUGCUUUUGUUGGAAUAUAUUUGGGUGAUGCUUUCCAAUUUUAGUAUGCUUUUGUGGUUUAUGAAUAAUUAGCUAUGAGUUAUUUGCAUGCUAUGUAACAUCUGUGAUGCUUCUCUCCCCCAACCUCUCCCUCUCUCUCCACGGUGGUUUUAAUUUUUCUGUCUUUUAAAAAAAAAUCAAUUAUGCUUGGCAAUGCUAUUAGAAACCAUCUAGUACCUAUUUUGUAACAUGUACAAGUUUCAUCGUAUUAGGGAUUGAAAUUGGAUCCUUUCUGAAAAAAAACGAGUAGGGCUUCCCUCUGGCUUGCAGGGUUUCUUGCGGUUUCACAAAUCUUGCUGCAGACAUGAUAUAUUUGCUUAUGAGGCAUCAAUCCAUGCUUGUAUUUGUCACCCCUUGUGAGAAGUGCUUACUUUCUUGUCACAGUACCCUAAAGUUGCCUGUUAAAUGUUGUAUGCCAUGUCUUAGGUACUCAAAGGAGAUACCGGAUGCUUAUGAGAGACUCUUGCUUGAUGCCAUCGAAGGUGAGCGCAGGCUUUUCAUCCGCUCGGAUGAGUUGGACGCUGCAUGGUCACUCUUCACACCCCUCCUGAAGGAGUUGGAAGAGAAGCGGAUAGCUCCUGAGCUCUACCCUUAUGGAAGCCGUGGACCUGUCGGCGCUCACUAUCUUGCCGCGAAGUACAAUGUAAGAUGGGGCGACUUGAGUGCAGAGCACUACAAGGCAUGAAACGAAGAUGGCUAUAUCUUUGUAAUGUUCUUGGUUUUCCAUUUCUGUAAGUUUGCACGCCCUGGUAGUGGGAUAGAUGCAAGAGAAAAAGAAGAUAAGAAUAAGGCGGGCAGUUAACUAGGUUGGAAGGCAUAAUUACAGCUGUCAAAAAUAUCUUUUCCUCAGAAGGACGAACUGAAGAUCUGCCAAGUUGAUCUCAUUUUGUGAAGUGAUCAUUGAUGGAGUUGGGCCGUCAAGCUUGUCAUGCUGGCGCCAUUUUUCUCUACCUGAUGAGUGCAAGAAACGGUCGACAUAUUUCUGCAUGGCUGGUGCCAUUGCCAUUUGUUAGCUACUUCACAUGUUUAGACGUUUAGUUUAGCAAGUCGGUGAGCUUUGGCUUGAACUAGUAAAAAUUUGUACUAAACUAAACCGUUUUGACAAGGAUUUGCAUUGAAGUUAGAAACCAAUAGAACUUUUACCCACUUUCAAAAACACAAAUAGCUAGGUUUUAGAUCAAAGGCCCAAGGCCAAGACAUGAAAAAUUAGCUAAUUACGUUGGAGCUGGCACAUCUUGCAGGCAGGGCUAUUGGCCAUAACUGGCUAAGGCCCACGCCAAGCAAGGUCCGAAGUCCAAGCCUUUUAGCCUACAUUACAAAUUUACACAUAAAGGAAGUGAACCUAGCCACCUAGGCUGCAGCCCAAUAAUACAUGGUCGGCCCAAAAGGGUAUGAACACGAUUAAUUUAGUUAUAUUUUCAAUACCAUUAUGAAUUUAUGAUGCCUCUGCUUCCUCUGAAUGUCCUCAUCUAAGUGAAUUUUAAAAUUUCCUACUACAGUUUGAUAUUUUAAAAUUUCCUUUGAAUGUCCUCAUCUAAGUCAAUACCAUUAUGAAUUUAUGAUGCCUCUGCAUCCUCUGUUAAGACUGAUUAGGGAGAAUCAUUCCUUGUUUUGUUCACACUUCAUCCCCACACUCACCCAUUAGUGUUGCACUUUAGCAACUCUAACAAAAAUCCUACCAGUAAAACCUAGCCAGAGCUCUAAUGUGUAGAUAGGGUUUGGUAAAUUACCAUUCUUUACUAUCAAAUUUACCCAAAAACAUAGUAGCAGACACUAUGAGGUAUAUACUGCUCUAGCAGGUCACCUAGCCCAUGGCCUACAUCCAUAAAAAGGCCUUCCACAGAGUUGGCUUGUAGUUAUGCUUCAAAUGGAGAGAGAGUUUUGAAGCACCACUUUCUCACAUUGCGGCUAGUGAUAUCGAUGCCAGGAAUUUGAAGAGCAGAGCAAAAACAAAGCAUUGGUUCCCAAACCAUGGAAUGGAAUAUUUUAUUCGUUGCCAAUUGAUUCUCUCAUUUAGUGUCAUGGCCAUGCUAGUUAUUUGUGCUAUUGUUGAGCCAUCCAUGGGUGUGGGUACCUACACAUAUGUGUAACAAAAUAUGUGUCCCAUGAAGAUAAAGACGCCGGUGCAUUUAGGAAGACGACGUCACAGAUAUAUCGUGUGGCGCGUGGCACGAUAUCCCCUUCACUGCAGUGUAGGCUCUUGUGAUUACAAUGUAGUUAAUUGUGGGUGGCAUCACGAAUGCAAGAUGAGUGAAAACAUCAGCUAGAUGGAAAAGGUGGGAGCAUCGGGGCUGUCAUGCUUGCUCGGUGUGCACGGGAAGGGAGGUCAAGGGCACUGCUCAACUCAAGCAGACGAGGGGUAGGGUCGACAUGGGUCAAGUUGUCGAGGCUAUGAUGAGGUGCUGCUAUGGUGACAUUGUGGUGCGUGUGGCUUACAUUGUACCAUGCCCACCAAGGUAGUUGGACACGGGGACCCGAGAUGGGAUACCCUUGUCGCGUCAUAGCUACUGUCUCUACUUCCGUUCGCUACCUUAGCCCAUCAAUAUAGCCCGAUAGGAUUGGACGACUGAGCUCGAUGUGACAUGGAAAGGUUAGAGAGUAGAGUCGUCUUGGAGGAGAAGAGUGUGAUACAGGAGUCAGUGGUAGAGCCAGAAAUUUUGUGGAGCCUAGGUGAGACGCAACAAACUAUGUAGAACAUAUUUGGUAAAGCUCCGGCACCUCUUUGCUGAAGGUGUGUAUUUCUAAGUCUUGCACGUUGUAAACAUUUUUCACACCCAACAUUGGACAAUAGUAUACUAACAUAAAUCCUUUGUAGAUGACCUAUUUGAUGAGGAGGAUAGGACGAGGGGACCUAGUGUUGGGAGAGAACUUGUUCAGAUGACUCGCUCAAGGAAGAAAAGACUUCCUUUGGUUAUUGAGCCAGAGAAGAGAAGACCAAACUCAGUGGUGAUUGCUGCAAAAUUUGCAACUGUGUGCAACAUUGCAGUAAGGAGUAUUGUUCUGGUAUUUCCACAUUGUAAGGAAUACAAGAAUUAUCCUAAGCUGAUCAAUUCGUACGUAAAUAGAGUUGUUGUAAGUGUUCAAACUUGCCUCUUUCCAUUGUUUAUUUGCAACAUUAACAUUGUGUAUUCAUAACAAUUGGCAAUGUUGUUUAUCGUUACCGGACAAAGUUUCAUACGGAUGAAAAUUCAGUUCUAUGAAAAAAGCAUGUGUGGCUAUGAUGAAGAAAGCUGUUCGCCAGCAGCGCUACAAGCUCAAAAUGAAGUAUUUCGAUGCUUUGCCACUACAUCAGGUGCCCAAAACAUCCCCUGUGGACACAAUGACUGAUGAGUAGUGGGAUAAACUUGUAGAACACUGGAAAAAUGAGAAAAAAAUGGUAAGAACAUCAAACUAUUCUAAUCUCAUCAUGUUUGAUGUCUUGUGUGCUUAGGAAUAGAACUGUGUUGUUGCUAUAGGUGACUUGUGAGAAGAACAGAGAGAACAGAAGCAAAGUGCAGUUCCAUCAGACCACUGGUUCUCGCAGCUAUGAAAUGCAGAUUGUACAUUUGGUGAGUACAACUCAUUGGCACUUUCAACUAGAACAUGUUGUUGGAGCUUCAAUUGCAAGAUGCUAUAUAUAAACAUGUUGUUUGUGAGGUCUUUCCUUCUUUGCAUAUCUAAAGCUUUGUAUGUAGCUAUGGCACAAAGAUUAGUAAUAGUUGACAAAAAAUUUGUUGUUGGUUGUGAGGUCUUUUCCCUAGAACAUGUUGUUUGUGAGGCCUUUUCUUCUCUGAAUAUUUAUAAGAGCUUUGUAUGUAGCUAUGGCACAAAGAUUAGUAAUAGUUAACAAAAAUCUGUUGCUGGUUGCUUGGUUUUCAAAGUUAUAUCACUGCAUACUAAACUUGGGGCUGCAAAAUUAGUUACACCACUAACACUAGAAAUUCUAGAAAAUGUUCUAACUUAAUUUGUUUACUGCCUUUUAUCUUGUUGAUGCAAAAGCUGAUCUGCAAACACAAAGGGCUAAUACCCGAUUCAAACGUUAAGGCGUGCCAGCCGAUUUGACCUUACUAUCGGCAAAGGUGAUAACUCGAAUACUUUGGUCCCGACAACAGCGAUGCGCCCGGAUGUCACGGCCAAGAGGUAUUCACGCGGAACUCGAGAAUACGCCGAGCUUAAGUCGACGAACUCCUAAGAACUCGUAAUAAAAAGGAAAAUAUGACGAAGUCGUUGAAAAAGUAGAUGCUGGAAUAUGAGUAAAAACUUGUGUUUGAUUGAUUGAUAGAUAGCUCAUUACAGGCCGUAGGGUCUACAUUUAUACCCUGCUCAAAGAGCUACAAUCAGACAUGACUAGGACUCGAAUUCCAAAUUAAACAGAAUCCGUAUACAAAACGAUUUUAAAUAACUAAGAAAAACAUAAAACCACCCCCUCGUAACCGAUCGGGACACCGCCACAGAUCAACCGGCAACCUCCACGCUUUCCUUUAGAGUCAUCGGUAGUCUUCCUGUUAUAGCCAUCGGCAAACACCAGUAUUGAGCAUCGGCAAGAACACGUCACCACCUCUGGACUUAGUCAUAUUCAAUCGUCUCUUCAUCGGCAACUAUCCUCAUCGGUAACUCUUCUGCAUGCUAGUUACCGCUGUUCCACCUGCCGAUCUAUACUCUACUGGUCCUAGGUACGUGUCCAAAAACGGUGUCAACACAUGCCCCCCAAUUUCGGAGUAUGAAAUCAUUAAUGCUCCGAAAUUCUAUGCAAUAAUGAUGCUUUUCCGCAAUUAAUUCUCCCAAUUUGGUAACCGACCGUUUAAAUCUGAACAACCUUGGCCCAAUUAUCCUGCAGGUUCCUCGAAUUCCUCAACCUUCCGAAAUGGAUCUCUCCACUUUAUGCACCCAUCGGCAAUAUUACCGUUAGAGGGAAUUGCCAAUGGACCGACCAAGAAAUCUUGCACAGUGGAAUAUCUCCAGAUCACGACCGCUUCCUAUCAAAUCACCUGCGCAAUCCCUUGAUUAUCGUGCGAACAGUUACCAUAUCCACCUGAGUAUCCUCGGAUUUCACGGAUACGGCGAAGAGAUAAGUCCAAUUUGCCCUUGCCCGUUUUGUCCUAUAAAUACUUCCUUCUCGGGUACUCCUUCUCCAUCGCAUCAUUCUACAGCCCCAACUCUGCUUUCCUAGCGGCAGCACUGUUCGAGAGCUCCAAGAACUUCCUCUAACAACUCCCAAGUUUUCGAUCUUCUCCCCUACGAGGAGAUGGCCAUCAACUUCGUCGUUCCUGAGGUCAGCGUACUACCCUUUUUCUGUACUUUUACUGUACCCCUGUUCAUCCGCAAUCUUCCUUACAGAAUCCUUUUUCUUUUUGUUCUUCUUUUCGUUCCCAAAAAUUUCUAGGAUUUGGCUGACAAGAUCGUUAUUCCUACCGAUCAACCCCAUCUCCAAUGCCUUGGUCCACUAGGGAACUUGGAUCCCACCGAUCUCAUAAACGCAGAGACAAACAGAAUCCCUUUCAGAGCCGAGAAUUUUUCUUUAGAUCUAUGGAAAGACGCCUUCGUUCCUGGCCCAGUCCUACCAAGGGAUGGAAGGAUUGGUUUCUGAGAGUCAGUAAUUCAAAUGAAGUCUAAUGGGGUGAACGGAAAUUAGAUCAGUGCAUUAGACUGUCUCUUGCCGAUAUGGAGAGAAAUGAGUCGCUAGUGAUAGCUGCCUCAUACUUCUGGUCAGAUACACUUAAUGCUUUCGUGUUUGGCCAUGGCCCUGCUUCCCCUACACUUGCCGAUGUUCUCAUGCUCACCGGUUUAGACAUAUCCACUGCCGAUACCACCCACCUGUUCGACACCAAGCCCAGUGCUAAGGUAGAAACCCGUGCUAUCGGCGGUUGGUCAGGGUAUAUUCAGAAGUACCGCCGAACAGGACCUGUCAAUAUAAAGGAACAGACCACCUUCCUAAACAUGUGGUUAGAUAAGUUUGUAUUCUGUGGUCGAUCGGCACGACCAACUUCUGUCUACCUAUUGGCAGCAGAAAGGUUAGCUAAUGGUGGUCGAUUUCCUCUUGGCCGAUACCUGUUCGGCUCUGCUUAUCACCUCCUCCAUCAAGUAGCCCACAAACUACUGCUUGGUCAAUCCAUCGGCAACUUAGGGGGUCCCUGGUGGUUCAUCAAUAUGUGGCUUAGUCUUCACAUGCACAAGCGCCUUGAGUUUGACCUUUUUGCUCAGCGCUUCCCUAGAGAUAUAGCCGAAGAUUAUGAACUGGAUGAGGAAGAAUUGGCAACUCGUUCCCCUCUGAACUUUGGCGAAGCCGUCAUAGUUUUGCCUGGCACAGGUGGCAACGCAGACCAGGUCAGCCGAUUCUUCCAAACUCGGUAUGAGGGUUUGACCAGGGAACAACAGACAUGGAUGCCUUAUGAAGACCCAGACACCAGAUUCCCUCUGACUUUCCACCCCUUCAAUGAUGCUCUCAACAAGGAUCGUGAGGUGAUGAUGGCAAUUAUCACCCCUAGAGCUAUACCGGUGAACUUCUUUGGCAGUGGGAAAACUUCUAACCUAACUUAUGAGUUCUACAAUCCAUCGGCAUUAGCUCGUCAACUAGCUUUCGGCCAACUGCCGAUUGCACUUUGCUACGCCGAUGUGGUAAAGCCAAGAGAGAUCACCAGCCAUCUGGAAUGGAUCAGGGUAGCCCAACUUCCACCAAACGCCGAUACAGAUGUUGAUCUAUCGGCUUGGAUCCCAGCUCUCCUCAUCACUGAGGCAUACAAACAGUGGUGGGAAGAAUGGAAAGAGCACCUGUUCUGCAGAUCGGCUCUUACAUACCGUGGCAUGAUCGACCCUCAAUACAAAGUCCCCGAUAGCACUGUAAGUACUUCUGAACCGAUGUUUCAAUCCUUUCAUUUUCACUUUCCAUCGGUAUCUUCCUUGUUAUAUGCAGGUCGAUGACACACCCCCAUUGGUCAGCAGGAGUGGCAAGCCGAUUGAGCUCCUUCCAUCAGGCCCGAUCUCUUUGAUCGGCAACAACGCUCCAACCCUGGCUGCUAUAAUGCAUCUGGGUGUGCGCCUCAAGAAAGUUACCACCAAGCGGGCGAAGAUAUCUCCAUCGGUAGCUGCUUCUACCCUAGCACAAGCCUUCAAGGUAAAUUUUCGAAUUCUUUCACUCAUACCGAUUCUGUUUUUACACUUAUUACACUUAUGCUCAUAAACUUCUCACUGCUGUAUCAGCACACCGGUACAUCGGCAAAGACCAGAAGUAUGACUGCCGAUGCCCCCCAGUCCAGUCAACCGAAGAGAAAAGGUUCCAAGAGUACCAGAUUACAAGCAAAGCGCCAGAGAACAGCGACGCCUCCUCCUCCUCCAGUAUCUCCAAUCCCAGUAGAAUCAUCCCCUUCUUCUCUAGAUACCCAGACUCAGCAGAUUCCAUCUCCCCCUCAGUUACAAGAAGAACCCCAAGUGGAAGAACUCCAGCCAGAGGUACCUCAGCCAGAAGAAAUACCGACUGAUGUACACGAGCAGACCACCGAUCCAGCAAGCCUAAUCAUAGCAUCGGUAGUCUCCUCGAUCCAGACAAGCACUGCACCCCCUCAAGGUAAUAUACUUUCCAUUUACUGCCGAUGAACCUAUUUUUCCACUUUAUUAAUCACUUCUGUCAAUCUUUCAGCUGACAUAGUUUCAUCGGCGAUCCCAGCCGAUCAGCCCGUGGUUCCAUCGACGUCAUCUAGUCAGAGGCGAGAGAUAGCCCUAAAACAAGUGAGUUCUCUACUUUCAUUGUCAUCAGCACUUAAUCAUGGAAUAACUUAUUUUGUUUUCUUCCUUUGGAACAGGAUUCUCCCGACAGCUUGUUCUCCUUCGCCAUCGAAAUCUCUGAAGAUGAAGGCGAGGAGGCAAGUUCUUCUCGAGCUAUUGGAAUCUCAUCGGCAGAAAUCAGAGCAAAGUUAGAAGAAUUAUCGGCCCUCCUUCAUCAAGACACGGCCCAAUUGGUCGACGACUCCGACCCGGCCAAGGCUUUGUUCAAGACCCUCAGAGGCCAAAUUCCUGCCGAUGUCGAGGAGAUCCUUUUCAAGGCUGCUCACUUAGAAAGUCGGCAACUUCAAUAUCAAAAGGCCACUCAGUGCCUUGCCAAUAGAGCUAAUCACCCCCAGCUCUCAGAAGAAAUGAUAAAAGUGAAGCUCCUUGCCGAUGAAAAGCACAAGAGCAUCGGCAUCUUGAAAUCCUUAGGAGAUGCGCUGAAGCACAAGAUCUCUGAUUUAUUGGCAAAGAGAGAAGCCCUAUUGGCAAAACUCAAACAGGUAGAAGAAGCUUUGUCCAAAGCUCAACAAGAAGAAAGCCAGCUGCUUGAGGCGAUCAAGCUUCUCGAACAAGAGCGAAAUGUCAAAGCUCGCAAAGCACUGCAGAUGAAAAAGAAGCUGAAGCCAGUGGAGGGCUCUGCCGAUGAUGACAUGAAGGAGAUAGAAGAAGCCAACCAGAUCCGUCUGCGCGCCAUAUCAACGAUCCAGGCUUUGUUAAACAUGUGAAUUCUUCAUCGGUGGCAUAUUUGCUCUUUUCUUUUAAACACUCCUGAUAUUUUGGUCUAGCCGAUAGGACUGUUAUCGGCACCUUUUAAAACAUUAAGUUCGGCCCCAGAUACACUUUUGAUUCACCCGAUAGGAAUGUUAUCGGCACUUAAACUUUCUUGCAUCAAGCCAUAUGCUGGGGUAAUAUCUCUUUAAAUAUUUGCCGUUCAAUGCUCCGGGAAAUUCAACUUCUUCGAGAGUUUCUAAGAUAUAGGCGUUGCCAGGAGCAGAUCGAUUUAUCCGAUAGGGACCCUCCCAAUUGGGAGACCACUUCCCAAAUUUUGAACUUUUAGUCCCGAUUGGUAAGAUUAAUUUCCACACUAAGUCUCCAUCGGCAAACUCCUUAACCUUUACCUUCUUAUCAUACCAUCUGGCAACUCUCUUCUUAUUUUCUUCCAUACUUAUCAAAGCCCUUAGUCGAUGCCCUGCUAGAUCAUCCAACUUGUCUGUCAUCAAAGUAGUAUAAUCAUUGGCAGCCAAUUGAUCUUGAAAAGAUAGUCGUCUAGACCCAGUUUUAAUUUCCCAAGGUAGCACUGCAUCAUGUCCAUACACCAACUGAUAAGGCGAGACUUUGGUCGAUCCAUGACAAACCAUCCGAUACGACCAUAAAGCUUCAUUUAACAACGUGUGCCACCUCCUAGGAUUUUCUUCAAUCUUUCGUUUAAUAAGCUUGAUAAUUCCUUUGUUAGAUGCUUCGGCCUGCCCAUUAGCUUGAGCAUAAUAAGGAGAAGAAUUUAAUACUUUAAUUUCCAUACCGAUUGCAAACUCAUCAAACUCCCCUGAUGUAAACAUAGUACCCUGAUCGGUAGUAAUCGUUUGAGGAAUUCCAAAUCGGUAAAUAAUAUGCUCUUUCACAAAAUCAAUCAUAUUGGCCGAUGUAACUUUCUUCAAAGGAAUAGCUUCAACCCACUUAGUGAAAUAAUUGGUGGCGACCAAGAUGAAUUUAUGUCCUUUACUUGAUGGUGGGUAAAUUUGGCCGAUCAGAUCAAUAGCCCACCCCCGGAACGGCCAAGGUUUAAUAAUGGGAUUCAUGGCCGAUGCGGGUGCCCUUUGAAUAUUGCCAAAUUUCUGACAUCCUUUGAAAUACUUAAAAUAAUCUUCAAGUAUGGUUGGCCAAUAAUACCCAUUCCUUCUAAUCAUCCAUUUCAUUUUAAAAGCCGAUUGAUGUGCUCCACAUACUCCUUCAUGGAUUUCCCCCAUUAAACUUCUAGCCUCAUCAUCACCUAAACAUUUGAGAAGAAUUCCAUCAACUGUUCGAUAAUAUAAUUCUUCCUCGAGCAGCACAUACUUGGUGGCUUGAAACCGAACACGUCUCUCAACCUUCUUGGAUGGAUCCUUUAAAUAAUCAAUAAUUUCUUUUCUCCAAUCAUCGGCACCGAUUGCCGAUAUCGUGUUAACCAUAGGUUGAUACCCUGAAGCAUGCUGAGCCAACCGAUUAGCUUCUUCAUUAUGCAACCGAGGAAUAUGCUCUAAUCGGAAAUCUCUGAAUUCCCUUAAUAAUUGCAUACUCCUUUCGUGAUAAGUUAUCAGGACUUCGCUUCGGCAUUCAUAGCUCCCAGCCAAUUGAUUUAUAACCAGCAUAGAAUCCCCGAAGACCUCAACAGCAUCAGCAUGAACCUCUCUUAACAAUUCCAACCCUUUUAUCAAAGCUUGAUACUCGGCUUGAUUAUACGUUGACGUGGCAACAAUCGGCAAGGAGAACUCAUAUUUCCUUCCCCGAGGGGAAAUUAGCACUAUGUCGAUUCCUGCCCCCCGGUCACACGUGGAUCCAUCAAAGAAGAGCGUCCACGGUACAAUUUCCAAAGCCUCCACUGCACCGCAAUGUUGAGUCACAAAAUCGGCCAUAAUCUGUCCUUUAACCGCUUUAGCCGAUUCGUAACGCAGAUCGAAUUCCGACAAUGCCAAAAUCCACUUACCGAUCCUGCCACUCAUGAUCGGCAUAGACAGCAUAUAUCGGACCACGUCAUCUUUGCAUAUAACAGUGCAUUCAGCCGACAAUAAAUAGUGCCUCAAUUUAAUACAUGAGAAAUAUAGGCAUAAAUAUAACUUUUCAAUGGCCGAAUACCUGGUCUCAGCAUCAACCAACCUCCUGCUUAAAUAGUAAAUCACACGCUCCUUCCCUACAAAUUCUUGAAUCAAAGCCGAACCGAUGACCAUCCCAUCGGUAGAUAAAUAUAAUUUGAAGGGCUUUCCGUGCUGAGGUGGAAUCAGAACCGGAGGAUUUAUCAAAUAGUUCUUGAUUUCAUCUAAAGCCAACUGUUGUUCUUUCCCCCAGACGAACUCUUGAUCGGCUUUCAACUUAAGUAAAGGACUGAAAGCACGAAUUUUACCAGACAAAUUAGAUAUAAACCUCCUGAUAAAAUUUACCUUGCCGAUCAAGGAUUGGAGCUCAGUCUUGUUGGUAGGAGCAACUAUUUUGUUGAUAGCAUCAAUGGAUCUCCUACUAAUUUCAAUUCCCCUUUGAUGCACAAUGAAACCAAGGAAUUGUCCUGCCGAUACACCAAAUGCACACUUAUUGGGAUUCAUCUUUAAACCAUGCUUCCUUGUACAUUCCAACACCUUUCGCAAAUCGGCAAGAUGCUUUGUGAAGUCUCCAGACUUAACCACCACAUCAUCAAUAUAAAUUUCCACCAGCUUGCUGAUGAACUCAUGAAAUAUAAAAUUCAUAGCCCUCUGAUAAGUAGCACCAGCAUUUUUCAAGCCAAAGGUCAUGACUACCCAUUCAAACAACCCAACAUGACUAGGACAUCUAAAUGCAGUCUUUGGAACAUCUUCUUCAGCUAUGAAUAUCUGAUUGUACCCUGCAUUGUCAUCCAUAAAGCUGAUGAUCUGAUGCCCAGCCGCAGCAUCAACUAGCAGAUCGGCAACUGGCAUUGGGUAGCCAUCCAUCGGUGUAGCUUUAUUAAGAUUCCUGAAAUCAAUGCAAACCCGAAGCUUCCCAUUUUUCUUGUAGACUGGAACAACAUUGGAAAUCCACUCGGCAUACCGACAUUGCCGAAUAAAUUUAGCUUCAAUGAGUUUGGUUAUUUCGGCCUUAAUAUUAGGAAGAAUAUUAGGAUUACAUCGGCGAGCUGGCUGUUGAUGUGGCCAAAAUCCAGACUUGAUGGGUAACCGAUGUUCAACAAUCGAUCGGUCCAAACCAGGCAUCUCAGUAUAAUCCCAAGCAAAGCAAUCUUUAUAUUCCUUUAACAAAUCGGUUAACUGCUGCUUACACUCAGAAUUUAACUUAGCACUAAUAAAAGUAGGUCUGGGCUUAUCACCACUACCUAUAUCUACUUCUACCAAAUCAUCGGCCGACGUGAAUCCCUGGCAUAAUUUUCCAUCAUCGGCGAACCUAUCCAUUAGAACUCCUCGUCAGAACCGACUGCUUGGAUUGGUGGAAUCUCAUAAUCGGCAACUUUGAGAAAAUCCUUCUCCCAAAUUUCUCCUGAAAUACACCUAGUCCUUUCAUAUGUGCCUGCCUCUGCCGAUGCAAUGACAUAAGAAGAAUCCCCCGGGACAAUCUCAAUCUUGUCACCUACCCACUGGACCAAGCACUGGUGCAUUGUAGGCGGGAUGCAACAAUUGGCAUGAAUCCAAUCUCUCCCUAGCAGCAAGUUAUAAGCACCUUUUCCGCUGAUCACGAAGAAAGUUGUCGGCAAGGUUUUGCUGCCGAUGAUCAACUCGACGCAUAUUGCCCCCUUAACCGGAGACACGUUUCCCUCGAAGUCCUUUAACAUCUUAUCGGUCUUGGUCAAAUCUUGAUCCCCUUUUCCAAGCUUCCGAUAUACUGCAUACGGCAUGAUGUUGAUAGCAGCUCCACCAUCAAUUAAUAUUUUGGUCAUUGGCUGACCAUCAACCCUUCCUUUGACAAACAAAGCUUUAAGAUGUUGCCUUUCAUUGUCGGCAGGCUUUUCGAAGAUAGCUGUCAUCGGAUCCAGAGCCAACUGAGCUAUCUGGUCGGAAAACUCCAACUCCUCAUCAUCGCUGGACGGCGCAAGGAAUUCCAUCGACAACAUAAAUACCUUGUUAACUUCUGCCGAUGGCCCUUUCCCCUUAGGAUCUGAUUGUUGCUGAUCCCCAGAUUGGCUAGAUUUCUCGCCCUUGCUUAGCUCUUCUCGUCUUUCGCGCUGCAGCCUCCUCUUCUGUGUUUUAGUCAACCCCUCUGGACACCAUGGGGGAAGUGGUGACUGCCUUGCCGAUGGACGACGAUGUUCCCUUGACUCCACCCGAUGAGUAUUAGCAUCUCUGCAAAAUAUGAACUCAUCUGGAACACGCGCAUUAGCCAUCUCUUCAAGCUCUUCCUGGUUCCUGGGAAAAUAUUCAACACGAUCACCAAGCCUAUCAUGCACACUGAGUCUACCCCCAUGCCGACCAUGAAUCGACGCUCUCCCCCUAAUCGGCCCAUUAAAUCGCCGAUCAUCAUCGUGAUAGCGCCGAUCGGACCUGUCAUACCGAUCAAAACCAUUGCAUUCAGGCCAGUCUCUAACUGUGGGCAACUUAAUAUUCUGCUCCCAGCAAUGGAUAAAGAACGGGCAGUUCCAGUGAUCCUUGUGCCGAUUCCACUCCUGUUGGCGUCUUUCUUCUUCCCGACGAUAGUCUUCUUGCUGGCGCCGGAACCGAUCCUCGCGUUGCUGCCAAGUCUCCCGAGGCCUUCUGUGAGUUAUCACAAUACCAGAUCGGGGAUGCCUUCCUGAAUUAGUUCCCUCUUGGAUCAAGCCUUUUCCUUUGGCAUCGGCAGCAGUAAUUUGAUGCUGAGGAUCUACCGAUGCACUCCUUUCAGCCGCUUUCGACGUCAAGACCUUGGUUUUUCCCUUGGCAUCCAACAUAUUUGUUGGGAAAGGACGUUGAUCGAUCUUCAUCGACUUCUGAGCUUUGGAACUGUCAAAUUUGAUUCUGCCAGAUUCAAUAGCCGAUUGCAGCUGUUGUCUAAAAACUUUACACUCAUUGGUGCUGUGAGAGGUUGCAUUAUGCCACUUGCAGUACUUCAUCUUCUUCAACUCUUCAGCCGAUGGAAUUACAUGAUUGAGUGACAAUUUGAUCUGACCUUCCUGGAGUAGAAAGUCAAAUAUCCUAUCAGCUUUGGUGAUAUCAAAUGUGAACUUCUCUAGCUCUUUAUGCCCAAAAGGGCAAGACAUCGGCUUCUUGUUCUUCACCCACUCUGCCAAGCCGAUGACCGGCUCUUCAUCAGAAUCUGAGCUUGCUGCCUCGUCAACAAAUGACACCUUUUUGUUCCAAGCUCUCUUGGGUUCAAAGGGUUUGAUAUCCUGGUCGGAAAUCCUCUGGACCAAGUGACUCAGGCUCUCGAACUCUUGAGAAGCAUAUUUGUCCCUGAUAUGUGGCAACAAACCCUAGAAAGCCAAAUCGGCUAGCUGCCGAUCGUCCAAAAUCAGACUAUAGCAUUUGUUCUUAUCUUCCCGCAACCUCUGCACAAAGCUUUCAACCGAUUCAUCAUUGCGUUGCUUUAAUCUGACCAAAUCGGUAAUCUUCUUCUCAUGGACCCUAGAAAAGAAGUACUUGUGGAACUGCUUCUCCAGAUUGGCCCAAGUAAUCACUGAGUUAGGAGGUAACGAAAUAAACCAGGUGAAAGCCGAUCCAGAUAAAGAUGAUGAAAAUAGUCGAACCCUCAAUUCAUCCCUCUUAGCAGCUUCCCCACAUUGGAUGAUGAACCUGUUGACAUGCUCCAUGGUUGACGUAUCAUCCUGUCCAGAAAAUUUAGUGAAAUCUGGUACCUUGUACCGAUUUUGAAGUGGAAUCAAAUUGUAUGUAGGAGGAUACGGUGUCCGAUAAGAGUAAGUGUUGACUUUGGGUUUUAUCCCAAAUUGGUCUCUCAUUACUUCAGCAAUCUUAUCGGCCCAAUAAGCAUCGGCAUCUUGCCGAUGAGGUGGUUGCGGAUCUGGCACCUGCUGAUACACUUCCACGUGUCUAUGCGGUGCACGAUCUGCAGGGAACAUUGGGUUAAUCAUUUGACCACCAAUCUGCUGACCACCAAUCUGUUGUCCAAGAUUCAUCGGAUGGUUGACCAACCCUUGAUUCUGAAACCCAGGUUGGAUUUGACCUUGCUGAAACCCUAGAGCUUGAAGACUCUGCUGAGGCAUCUGUGGGAAGACAAAUUGUCCAGGCCAUCCACUAUUGGAAUUCAUCGGCAUAGGCCCUACCGACGACUGGUAAUUGGGCAUCAUCAUUGAAUUGACGUACCCUGGCUGUGUCAUAAACCUCUGCUGCGUCAGCAUUGAGUCUGCCGAUGCGUUAGGCAUCUGGAACGUUGGAGCUUGAGAAUUCCCAGUGUAUGGUCUUGCAGUAGUAGUUGUAGUAUACUGGGGACUCUGAUUCAUCGGUAAAUUUGGAGGUGCCGAUGCCAUAGGAGCCUUGCCUCUCGUGUCAGCCGUCUGAGAUGUUCAAGGUGUCUUCAACAUCAUCUCUGGGGCAUACCAUAACCCCACCAGUUGGGAGGAACCGAUCCCAACAUUGCCGAUGCCAACAGAUCUGUGGCAAGCUUGAUUUUCUCAUCUGAAGUUGAUGGAUUGGUUGUCAUCGGCAUAGAUUGCACAUCGGUGAGUCCUAAUGUGCUUGGAGGAACAGUAGUUUCUGUGCCCGCAGCGGCUGCUGUAGCCGAUGGAGCUGUGACAACUGGUGACCCCGGCUGAUGAUGAGAAGGACCCACAUAAUUUGGUGGCAAUUGUCCUUCUUUGAAAGUUCUAGCCACGGCGUUGAAAACCGUAUUGGACAGCACACCGGCUUGAUUGAUCAAGGCACGGUUACCAGCACUAUCAACCAUGUCUUGAAGUUUACCAGGAUUGGCUUCAAAAGUAAUCUGCCGAGGCAUCGGCAGUGCUUCCUUCUGGAUCACCACACUACUCCUGUUUAUGCUGAAGGAUUUCAAAUAUUGCUGCUUGUAAUCCUCCAUGGCUUACGCAAUAGCUUGCUUCUGCUCAUCCCUGAGAUUAGCUUCCGUCACGGGGAUGACGUUCUCCAAGUCGAAUUCGGUAUUCGACAUAUUGAUCUUGAUCUUGAGAUGGUCCCACUGGGCGUGCCAAAAGAUGUGUUGAUGCAAAAGCUGAUCUGCAAACACAAAGGGCUAAUACCCGAUUCAAACGCUAAGGCGUGCCAGCCGAUUUGACCUUACUAUCGGCAAAGGUGAUAACUCGAAUACUUUGGUCCCGACAACAGCGAUGCACCCGGAUGUCACGGCCAAGAGGUAUUCACACGGAACUCGAGAAUACGCCGAGCUUAAGUCGACGAACUCCUAAGAACUCGUAAUAAAAAGGAAAAUAUGAUGAAGUCGUCAAAAAAGUAGAUGCUGGAAUAUGAGUAAAAACUUGUGUUUGAUUGAUUGAUAGAUAGCUCAUUAUAAGGCCGUAGGGUCUACAUUUAUACCCUACUCAAAGAGCUACAAUCAGACACGACUAGGACUCGAAUUCCAAAUUAAACAGAAUCCGUAUACAAAACGAUUUUAAAUAACUAAGGAAAACAUAAAACCACCCCCUCGUAACCGAUCGGGACACCGCCACAGAUCAACCGGCAACCUCCACGCUUUCCUUUAGAGUCAUCGGUAGUCUUCCUGUUAUAGCCAUCGGCAAACACCAGUAUUGAGCAAGAGGCAGAAAGAAGAGGAGAGGGCUAAGCAAUUCCAAGAGGCAGAAGCAGCUAGGGCUAAGCAAGAAGAGGAGAGGGCUAAGCAAGAAAAGGAGUUGAAGAAAAGGCAAGCUCACAUUGAUGCACUGAUCAAGACUUUGAUGUCCAUGGUUCCAGGAUGCCAAGCAACACAGUAAGGUUGUCUUGGCUAAUCGGCUCGUGCACUUUGUUGUUGGUUGCUUAUUUUGGUGAUGGAUGCUGUGAUGUGAAGAGGUGGCUGUGUCUUUUGGUUGAACUGGUGCAUGGCUAUGAACUUAUGUGCAUGUGAUCUACAGCAUGGUCUUUGACCUAUGCAUGCACGGCUUUUGGUGAUGGAUGCAUGUUCUGUGAACUAUAUUUAGAUGUAUAUGUGAACUGCAAGUGUUCUGUGAUGUGAUGCUUGCUUUGUCAUGCCAAACUUUAUAUGUAACUAUAUUUAGAUGUAUGUGUGAUGAUGGGAUCUUGCACAUUUGUGUGUAUCUAUGUGAUAUGUGGUCAUUUGUGACGAUACGAAGCAUAUGAAUUUAAAUUUGAAUGUGUUGUCAAUAUAAAUAUAAAACUGGUGUCCAUUUAAAUUUGGAUUUAGUGCAAUUUGUAUUUGAACAUUUGCUGAUAUCCUAUGGGCCAUAAUGGGCCAAUUCUACAUUGUAAUUGGGCUAGCCAAAAAGUGUACUAAAAUAUGGGCCUAACUAAUUUUAAAAAAAAAUACACAAAACAUGGGCCUAUUUGGAGAAAAAUGGGCCAUGGAAAGCCUGUUGAUGAUGUGGCAAGGUGGCGGCCAUGUCAGAUCCAGCAUCAUCAAAUGACAUGACAAUAGCUGAUGUGGCAACAAAACCAUGAUAGCUCAAUUUGUCACCAUAGCCUCCUCCUAUAGUUGCCCUCCAGUUUAUCCAUGACAAUAAAAAAGACCAACCUGUGACGUUCUAUGUCGGUUUGAAAAAUGUAUGACGAGGGAUAGGUGACGUUUUACUAGACCGUCAUCAAUAGUUACCCGUGACGUAUUUUUGCUUGUCCAUGACUAAAUCAAAACGUCACGUAAAGCCAAAUUUCUUGUAGUAGAUGCCCUGGCUCUGCACGUGGAGUACCUUUUUUUUAAGCUGGAACUGUUUCAUAAAACGUUUGAAGAGGAAACAGAAGAAGCUAUAUUUGUGCAGCUCCGAUUUUUCUAUAAAAAGCUCCAGCUUCUUCGAUCAAUAGUAUAGGAAUAGUGAAGACUUGUAGUAGCAAAUAGAGAGAGUUUAUGACUAUCUAUCUAGAUUAUGUUAAAAAACGACCAUCUAUCCAGAGUCCACUGGCACUGGUGCAGAACGGGGCAUUAGCACCGGUCGGGAAGGGCCUGUUGCCCCGGUUCCCGAGCCGGUGCUGUCCUUCUGGGACUAAAGGCCCACCCUUUAGUCCCGGUUCGGGCAACCGGGGCUAAAGCCCCCCCCUUUAACACCGGUUGGUAAUACCAGGGCUGCCACGUUGCAGGACUAUUACCAACCGGUGUUAAAGGGUUUUUUUUUUCACUUCUUCGGUUCUGUUUAUUGUUUUUAUAUAAUAUAUAAUAAUAGGUUUUUCAAUACAUGUUUUUGCUGAUACAAUAAUAUAUUUAUAUUACACGCAUAUUAAGCAUAUAUAAAUGAAAAUUAUAGGCUUAGCUUAAUAAUUAAGCUUUGCCUAUAAUAAAAUGAAUAGACCACAUCAAAAAUUAAAUAGAUAUGUAAAAAGCUUUAUAUAUAUAUAUAUAUAUAGUUUUAUAUGUACAAAAUUCGUAACACAUAUAUACACAGAGUUUUUUCUCCCAAUGUCUACAAACGAUACAAAUGAUCAUCGUUGUUUGGAAUAAGAGUUUCGUUGCCGUUGAAGUGAAACUCGCCGUUUGGAUUGAUCACUUGGUCACGGAGAAAUCCUGCUAUCGUCUCUUGGAUAGCUUUGAUUCGGUCUUGUUGUAGGACCUUUUCCCUCAGUCAUUCCGUCUUUAAUUUGAAAUAAAUAAAAAAGGUAUUAGUUAUCUAAGUUAUUCAAUAUAAUUCAGGAGAUAAUGAAAAGAGACAUGUAACGUACUCUGAGCGUCUUUGUGGGUGUUUGAUUGACUUGUGCCAUCAUGAAUUUGCACACGUAAUAUGCACAUAGAUUGUUUCCCCCUUCUUAUCUUAAACACCACUGUACGAUAUAUAUAUAUAUAUAUAUAUAAAUAUUCACGACCACGACAAUAAGAAGGCUAAAAGUUAGCGAAAGUUUGUUAGCUAGUAGAACUUACUCGUGGAUGUAUUAUGUUAAGCGGCGCUUUACAUCCACUGAGAUGUUCACGGUCAAUGAAUCUUUCCCAAACCCUAUACACAGCCAUUGUGGAUCGUGAACUAAUAAUUACAGAGUCAUAUUAUGAUAAUUUUGUAGCUGAGAUCGACAUUACGUACCUUUGAAUAAUGUUUACCAUUUCUUGAUAAUUUUCUUGUGGUUUUCUCAUUGAGUUAAAGAUUAUCAACCGGUUUUUGGGAAUUUCAAUGACCAUGAGUAUCCAGUGAAAGCUGUUUACACACACAUAUAUAUAUAUAUAGUCAGUCCUAUAAUGUAAAAUAAAAUAUGCAUGCACUUAAUAACUAUAUAACUCACUCGAAGUUGAAGGGGAAGAGUAUUUUUUGUUUUUCUUUUUGGUUCACAAAGAACCUCAUAAGAUUGGUGCAGACUUCUGUCUCAUGAUCUGCUGUCCACACUGCCUGCGGAGCCAUGAAAACAAUAUAAGGGUCAACGAACCCAAUACUAUUGUCAUUUCUCAUUCUGAGCUCUCUCAUUUGGUGCCUGCAUAUAUACAUACAAAUUCUAAGUGUGUAAGGAUUAUAUACAUGUAAUUAAAGAAGUUAGAAGUAUAAUAAAAAGAAAAAAUACUUACAGACAAAAGCAGUUGACAAGAGAUUUGUCAAGAGCGUCGAGGUGACAUAAUUGGUGCAAUUCUUCGAACUGCACGUAUAUGAGGUCAUCUCCACGGAAGUAGUGAUGUUGUCUAAUACGAACAGAAAUCCAAUUCUCUCUCCUUUUAGAUGCCUCAAUGCACCAUUUGUUUAUUGCAAAUAUUUGUGUGCCGAGCUCGUGUAAACACUUAGGGUCGAAUAGACUCCUGCCCGGUUCAUAUCUUGCCCUCCAUUGAUCAACUACCUCGGCUUUUUCAAAUGUUUGGCAUCAAAAAAUGGCAGCAAUUUCUCCAUAUUUAAACCGCUCUGUCCAAAGUAACGCUCAAGCGAGUCUAGCUCAGACAACGCUAAGGAUUUCUUUGGCAUCAAGUCUUCAUUUGAGCCGUAUUGAUUUGGCACAAUCAAAGGGGGCACCGAUUUUGAUACUUCUCCGAGCUGUGGGACCCCCUUUCCUACUCUCUUCUUAGGCUGUGAAGACUUGACCAGAGACCGCUCAUAGUCCGAAAGUGCUGGCUUUUUCUGAGCUUCUCGUUGCUUCUUUUAAUGGUCUGCCACCUUCUGCCUCAGUUCUGAUGGCUUUACAUAAAAGUACGGCUUUUCUGGGUUAAGCCGUUUUUUCCUAUCCUCCUUCAAUUUAUCAAAAAAUUAUUUGACCUCAGCUCUGGAUGUAGCAAUUACCUCCUCUUCACUCUUUUCGUAAGGUAAUUUUUCUAGCGUCAUAGCUCUCUUUGCUGAGGCAGCCUUCUUUGGAGGUGGGACCGAUGACUUCGGUCCUUCUUGGGCGGACCGCUUCUUACUACCUCGCUUUGGAGGUGAGGGGACCGACCGUGCACUCUUUGGAGAGGGCGGUGCAGGCGGUGGAGGUGGUGGGGCUGAUCUUUUUGGCGUUGGAGAACGCGGUGGAGGAGUUGGAGACCUCAGUGGAGGAGUUGGAGACCUCGGUGGAGGAGGUGGAGACCGUGGUGGAGGCGGUGGCGGGGUCGGUGUGGCCGCCGCAGGUGUUGGAGGAGAUCCAGCAUUGUCACCGCCCGCAGCACUAUGAUGCGCUGGGGAGAGAACUGGACUUAGGUUGGAGGAGUUCCUGCAAAGAAAACAAUUACAAGUUUUGUGAGCAAACUUUUUUUAAUUUCAAUACAUAAUAAAUAAUAUAAGAAGUAAAAUCACACACAAACCUAUGUUGAGGAAUAAUUAUGAAGCGCUUGCGCCAACAAAUAAAUGUCUUCUCAGCUUCACCUAAGGUCUUCUCUCCGUCUCCCCCUUCUAUGUCUAGUGGCACAUUGCCACAACCUUUCUCAACCCUAUCAACCGAGACGCUAGCAUAUCCACCAGGUACUGGUCGAUUAUGGAUUCUUGGAGUUCUCGUUCGGUCGAUAGGGUUGACAAUAGCGAUAGCCACCUUUUUUAUUGCAUUCCCAUCUGGUACAUGCAGCUCACAUGUAGUAAAAGCCUCUGUGACAUCAUCCACGGGGAAGUGUAGCUUCGUGUCAUCCUGAAUGGUUGGUACUUCCGUGGAUGCGCAGCUGCUUUUCAACUGGCCUGGGGGGCUAACAUUGACCUCAGGCUGUGAUGUACCUUGCCCUUUCAUCAUUUGACUAAGUGCUGCUUGCACUUGCCUUUGAAUCUCUGCCUGCAUCCAUUCUUCACGGGCUUUCUCGCGCUCUUGUGACUGCAGAACAAAAGCUUCCAAGCGGCGGAUCCGCUCUGCCUCCUCAUCCUUCUUUCUCUGGCAGCUUCUGUAGGUAUCUUGAUCGGCUUGGAAUGAUUGUAGCCACGGAACUGCCCCAUAGCCUCUCGUACGCCCACCGUGCUCAGGAUUUUCAAGCGCAUAGGUGAGUUCAUCCUUCUCCCUAUUAGGCCUGAACUCACCAGACUGAACCGCCUAUCGUGCACGGACUAGUCUCUCUGCUGCUCUAGAGAUUUCGUGGCCCCAAACUAGCGCCCCGGUGUCUGGGUCCACGCUUCCCCUAUGACCGUAGAACCAAUGCUUGGAGCGCUCGCUCCAAUUCUUUGUUAUUGUCUCGGGUGUGACCCCCCUAGCAAGCAUCUCCUGUUCCAUUCGGUCCCACUUGGGAACAACACUCUUAUAACCACCUGAUCCCAUAUGAUGGUGGUAUGUCUUUUUACUGGCAUUCUCUUUGUUUCUAUUGGCUCGUUCCUCGCCCUCUUCUGAUGUUUUGUACUGCACAAAGUCAUCCCAGAAGGCCCUCAGCUUUACAUAUUGCUUGAGGUUGAAAUUUGGAGUCUCAUUUUUCUUGACAUAUUUAUUGUACAAAGUCUUCUUCCAAUUCUGGAAGAGUACUGCCAUCUUCUUCAUAGUCCAGUCAUAAAUUCGCACCUUCAACUCUUCAUCGUUGGUGUCAAAGGUGAAAACGUCUGUGACGGCUUUCCAAACUAACUCCUUGUCACGAUCAGAGACAAAACUGAUCUCAGGAGCACCUCGCUUCUCUCUCCAUUCACGAGCACUGAUCGGUAUUUGAUCUCUCACAAGAUAUCCACAGUGACUAACAUAUUUAUUUGCAUGCUCACCAAGUGGUCUGCCUGUAGCUAUCUCAAACUCAGAGAUUACAUAGUGGCCCUCCAACGGCUUCUUUGGCCCUCGUGGAGGUACGCUUCUCCCCUAGAGGUCGAUCCAGAAGGCUACACGUAGAUAUAGAAACAAAAAUACUAAAUUAAUAACCAAGUAAUAAGUCUAAAACCUAAUGUAAGAGAUGCAUUAAUUAUAUAUGUUUACAUUUACAUAUACCUCACCAGUAUUUUCUUCUUGUUGCACGACAAGUUGUUGCUCAGGCGCAUUGCCCUUUUGUUGCUCAGGGGCAUUGCCCUCUUGUUGCUCAGUCGGAUUGCCUUGCAUGACCUCGUGGUAAUCAAUAAAGUACUGACUACCGUCGUCGAUCAUAUUUUGAAUGGUAGCUUCCAUAUAAUCAGGAUCAUCAUGAGGACGGUCAGCCAUUUCUAUGUCUGCAACCAUACAUAUAUAUAUUCUAUAUAAGAUAAGAAAUACACUAGAAUAAUAGUACAAACAAUAAUAUAUACAAAACACUACUAGAAUAAAUUUGGUGGGUAAACACUACUAGAAUAUAUAUUAGAGACUUAUAUACUACUACUAGUACUACUACAAAUGAAAGUGUUGGAGUGUUCUAAAAAUAAUACUAGAAUCUUUUAAGCCAAGUAACACAUUAGAAUAAAAAACAAUACUAGAAUAAUAUAGUACAAACAAUAAUAUAUAUAAAACCCUACUAGAAUAAAUUUGGUGGCUAAACACUACUAGAAUAUAUAUUAGAGACUUAUAUACUACUACUAGUACUACUACAAAUGAAAGUGUUGGAGUGCUCUAAAAAUAAUACUAGAAUCUUUUAAGCCAAGUAAUACAUUAGAAUAAAAAACAAUACUAGAAUAAUAUAGUACAAACAAUAAUAUAUACAAAACCCUACUAGAAUAAAUUUGGUGGCUAAACACUACUAGAACAUAUAUUAGAGACUUAUACUACUACUAGUACUACUACAAAUGAAAGUGUUGGAGUGCUCUAAAAAUAAUACUAGAAUCUUUUAAGCCAAGUAAUACAUUAGAAUAAAAAACAAUACUAGAAUAAUAUAGUACAAACAAUAAUAUAUACAAAACCCUACUAGAAUAAAUUUGGUGGCUAAACACUACUAGAACAUAUAUUAGAGACUUAUACUACUACUAGUACUACUACAAAUAAAAGUGUUGGAGUGCUCUAAAAAUAAUACUAGAAUCUUUUAAGCCAAGUAAUACACUAGAAUAAAAAACAAUACUAGAAUAAUAUAGUACAAACAAUAAUAUAUACAAAACACUAGAAAAUAAAAUAUGAUACUAUAAAUAAUAUACAACAAAUAUAUACUAAAAAAUACUACUACAAAUAAUAUAUUAAAAAAUAAUUAAUACAUACAUACAUACAUACAUACAUACAUACAUACAUACAUACAUACAUACAUACAUACAUACAUACAUACAUACAUACAUACAUACAUACAUACAAAAAACUAUAAUUCAUACAUACAAACUAUAUAUAUGUAUACAUAUAUAUAUACAAUAUAAUACAUACAUACAUACAAAAAAUAAUACAUAUAUACAUACAAAAAAUAAUACAUACAUACAUACAAAAAAUAAUACAUAUAUACAUACAAAAAAUAAUACAUACAUACANNNNNNNNNNNNNNNNNNNNNNNNNNNNNNNNNNNNNNNNNNNNNNNNNNNNNNNNNNNNNNNNNNNNNNNNNNNNNNNNNNNNNNNNNNNNNNNNNNNNNNNNNNNNNNNNNNNNNNNNNNNNNNNNNNNNNNNNNNNNNNNNNNNNNNNNNNNNNNNNNNNNNNNNNNNNNNNNNNNNNNNNNNNNNNNNNNNNNNNNNNNNNNNNNNNNNNNNNNNNNNNNNNNNNNNNNNNNNNNNNNNNNNNNNNNNNNNNNNNNNNNNNNNNNNNNNNNNNNNNNNNNNNNNNNNNNNNNNNNNNNNNNNNNNNNNNNNNNNNNNNNNNNNNNNNNNNNNNNNNNNNNNNNNNNNNNNNNNNNNNNNNNNNNNNNNNNNNNNNNNNNNNNNNNNNNNNNNNNNNNNNNNNNNNNNNNNNNNNNNNNNNNNNNNNNNNNNNNNNNNNNNNNNNNNNNNNNNNNNNNNNNNNNNNNNNNNNNNNNNNNNNNNNNNNNNNNNNNNNNNNNNNNNNNNNNNNNNNNNNNNNNNNNNNNNNNNNNNNNNNNNNNNNNNNNAGAGCCGGUGUUAAGGGUGACCCUUUAGCACCGGCUCGUGUUACCAGCCGGUGCUAAAGGGACCUUUUAGCACCGGUGCCAGCCACGGACCGGUGCUAAAGGGUCCUGCGCGCGCUAGGGCGGGCUCCUGGAAUUUUCAGGUCCCUUUAGCACCGGUUCCCACUAUGGGCCGGUGCUAAAGGCCCUGUUUUUUAGUUUAGGGUUUUAAAGUGUUUAUAUAUACAGUUUAUAUUAUAAAUUGUAUAGUAAAUUAAAUAUUUUACAUAAUAUUUUUUAAAUAGUGACAUAUAUUGUAAUUUUUUUAAUGUACACAUGAAAAUUUUUAACCUUAAAUAUCUUGUUGUAUUUUUAUAAUUUUCAAUAAUUUUGUAAGAAAUGUUUAGUAUUUUGUUAAUGCAAAAAUAUAUUAUUCCAAUAAAUUUACAAAAACUAUAUCCAAUCAACUGGAAAUCUAUUUUCACAUCAUAUUGACGUUAAACUUUUUAUUUUUGUUAUUGAUUACUCGGAAUGCUAGUAGGGUAUAGUUUUCAUCAAAUAAAAAAUCUAUUUGUCAUAUAAAAAUAUAUAAAAAGUUGUGUAUAUAAAAAGUUUAGAUCUUGAUGAUCUCUAACAACUUUAUAUUCAAAAGUUUUUCAUUUGAAGUCAUCAAAUGGGCCAUUUGAUCAAGUUUGACCAAAGUCAAAGCAUUGGUUUUUACAAAACACCGUUUGACCGAACCCUACAUGGUCCCAAAUGGAAAAGCCAUUAAUACAAAGUUUGUUACACUCAUCAAGUUCUACAUUUUGUCUAAUGGACAACUUUCUAUUUGGAAAAGUUUGAACCACUGAAUUUUGAAUUUUCAUAGAAUUCAUAGCCACGCAGCGGUUUCGGAACCCUAGAUGGUCUCGAAUGGAAAAGUCAUUUAUACCAAUAUUGUUCCACUCAUCAAAAUCUACAUUUCAUAUAUAGACUAUUUUUGCAUUUGAGAAAGUUUUGGAAAGGUGUAGUUGAAAAUCCACAAUUGACACAUAUAGUUUCAUAUAGUUUGUGUAAGAUUCAAGAAUUGGUGUGUAUUGUUAACUUAAACUUUCUCAAAUGGAAAAGUUGUGUAUAUAAAAAGUUUAGAUCUUGAUGAUAUCUAACAACUUGGUGUUCAAAUUUUUUUCAUUUUAAGUAAUUUAGUUUGUCAUUUGACCAAGUUUGACCAAAACCCGUCUUGGAUUUUAAAGAAAUGUGAUUAGGAUUGGCUCAAAAUUAUCCAAAUGUAAAAAUGGACAAUAUAUAAAAUGUAGAUCUUGAUGAUCUCUAACAACUUUAUAUUCAAAAUUAUUUCAUUUGAAGUCAUCAAAUGGGCCAUUUGAUCAAGUUUGACCAAAGUCAAAGCAUUGGUUUUUACAAAAACACCGUUUGACCGAACCCUACAUGGUCCCAAAUGGAAAAGUCAUUAAUACAAAGUUUGUUAAACUCAUCAAGUUCUACAUUUUGUCUAAUGGUCAACUUUCCAUUUGGAAAAGUUUGAACCACUGAAUUUUGAAUUUUCAGAGAAUUCAUAGCCACGCAGCGGUUUCGGAACCUUAGAUGGUCUCGAAUGGAAAAGUCAUGAAUACCAAUAUUGUUCCACUCAUCAAAAUCUACAUUUCAUAUAUAGACCAUUUUUGCAUUUGAGAAAGUUUUGAAAAGGUGUAGUUGAAAAUCUACAUCAUUCUGCAGAGUAGCUAGUUGCUUUGGAUUGAUUGCCUUCUGAGAAAUUGCAUUGAGGAAUGCACAUAGCUUUACGGUGGCUAGACGUACGUGUGGAGGUAAAAUUCCUCUUAAAACGACCGGCAGCAAUUGCGUCAUUAGAACAUGAUAGUCAUGGGACUUUAAGUUCAGGAAUUUCUUCUCUGGCACAUUAAUUAUUCCCUUGAUAUUGGAGGAGAAUCCAGAUGGGACCUUGAUGCUGCUAAGACAUUCAAACAUGCUUUCCUUCUCUUCUUUGCUCAGAGUGUAGCUAGCAGAGCUUAAGUAAUGACGUCCAUCAUCUGUCUUUUCUGGAUGCAGGUUGUCUCGUUCUUUCAUGCGCUGCAAGUCUUGUCGUGCUUCAAGUGAAUCCUUAGACUUCCCGUAGACACCCAUGAAUUCGAGCAAGUUCACACAAAGAUUCUUUGUCAGAUGCAUCACGUCGAUCGCGUUGCGGACCUCUAGGACAUUCCAAUAAGGUAGCUCCCAAAAUAUGGAUUUCUUCUUCCACAUGGGUACGUGUCCCUUAGCAUCCUUGGGAAUAGGUUCACUGCCUCGUCCCUUUCCAAAUACCACUUUUAUAUCCUUGACCAUUUCGAGUACAUCAUCCCCGGUUCGAUUGAGAGGUUUGGUCUGGUGGUCUGCCUUGCCUUUAAAAUGCUUGCCUUUCUUUCAUAAUGGGUGGUUCACAGGAAGAAACCGACGGUGGCCAAGGUACACGACCUUUCAACAUUUUUUCAAAAAUACACAGUCAAGGUCUUCAUAACAAUGUGUGCAUGCAUUAUAUCCCUUGUUUGACUGGCCUGAAAGAUUACUCAGAGCUGGCCAACAAUUGAUUGUUACAAACAGCAAUGCUCGCAGGUCAAAGUGCUCUUGUUUGUACUCAUCCCACACGCGAACUCCUGGUUUGCUCCAUAAAAGUUGAAGUUCCUCAACUAAUGGCCUUAGGUAGACAUCUAUGUCAUUGCCAGGUUGCUUCGGUCCUUGGAUAAGGACCGGCAUCAUAAUAAACUUCCGCUUCAUGCAUAGCCAUGGAGGAAGGUUGUAGAUACAUAGAGUAACUGGCCAAGUGCUGUGACUACUGCUCUGCUCACCGAAAGGAUUCAUACCAUCUGUACUUAAGGCGAACUGCAAGUUUCUAGCAUCAUCUGCAAAAUCUGGGAAUUCUCUGUCUAUCGCUCUCCACUGGGAUCCAUCGGCAGGGUGUCUCAGCAUAUUGUCUAUCUUACGGUCUUCUUUAUGGCACCGCAACAACUUUGCAUUGUCCUUAUUUCUGAACAGACGUUUUAAUCGUGGUAUUAUAGGAGCAUACCACAUAACCUUGGCAGGAAUUUUCUUCCUAUGACGUUCUUGACCCUCAACAUCACCAGGAUCAUCUCGUCUAAUCUUAUACCGUGAUGCCUUACAUACUGGACAUGCAUCCAAAUUCUCGUAUUCCUCCCCACGGUAGAGGAUGCAGUCAUUAGGACAUGCGUGUAUCUUCUGGAUUUCUAAUCCCAAAGGGCAGACAACCUGUUUUGCUUCAUACGUAGUGGUGGGCAAUUCGUUGCCUUUCGGAAGCAUCUUUUUUAUGAUCUUCAAUAACUGCUCAAAUGCCUUGUCAGAUGUACCAUUCUUUGCCUUCCAUUGCAGCAAUUCCAGUGUGGUACCCAGCUUUUUUUUGCCCCUCUUCAGCGGUGGGAUAUAGCGAUUUCCUGUGGUCCUCUAGCAUGCGCUCGAACUUGGCUUUCUCUUUAUCACUUUCACAUUCUCUUUGUGCAUCACGGAUGGCAUCACCAAAAGCAUCAUCGCCCCGAUCAUCUUCUGCCGCUACCUCUUCUUCAUUAUCUCCCCCCAUUGCAACAUCAUUGAAGCCACCGUACUGAGCAAUAAUAUUGGCAUGGUCCAAUUCUUCUUCUUCUUCUUCUUCACCUUCAUCCAUUAUAAUCCCGCUUUCUCCAUGUUUGGUCCAAUAAAUAUAGCUUGGUACGAAACUAGACUUUAAUAAGUGUGAAUGAAGAGUUCUUGAGUUAGAAUAUUCCGUCAAAUUCUUGCACACGGCAUAUGGACAGCAUAUGAAACCGUCCCUCUUAUUUGUCUCGGCCACACUUAAGAAAUAGUGCAUGCCAUUAAUAAACUCUUCGGAACGCCGGUCGGCAUUAUACAUCCAAUUACGUGUUACCAUCUGCAUUAAAUAUAACAUAUAUAUUAUGAAAACCAUGCACACAUAUAGUUUCUCAUCUUAUUGCACAACAUGUCUAAGAUACAUAGUUGAUUAAUUCAGGAAAGCUUGGCUACAACAAAUACAAUCGCAACUAGCACUAAAAAAACCAAAACUAAAAUGCACUUAAGCAACAUAAUUAGUUCGCGUCCGAUCCCAACUAUAAUAGAUAGAUCAUUCGCUUGAUCAACAUCAUUGAACUCCUUUCGUCGGCUCAAUGCCUCACCACCUUCAGCCUCAACCACCUGUGCAAAAGAUUUCUUAAUGUGUUCAGUGUAUUCUUCCUCCCACUACCAACCUGUACAUCCGCCGGUACCGUCCCACUGAAAUUAAAAGAGAGAACCAAAAGUUUAAUUAAUAUCAUUUAAAAAAAUAUGCACAUAUAUAAGCAAAUGUCUGGAAAUAACUCACAUUACGAUUCGGACACUUAUAGAAUAUACGACCCUUGUUUACUCCCUCUUUCGACACUUUGUACUCCAUCAAAAUCUUCUGCCCACACUUGCCACAAGUAAUGAGAGGGAGUUCCGAACGGUAUCGCUUUUGAACCCGUUGAGAAACCGAAGACCCGGUCACGGUUGCCAUCUACUAUCCAUACUCAAUUUUUAAACAAUUAUAAAUUCCACAUUUAAACAUGUAUGAUACAAUGAACAUUAUGUAGUAAUAAAAAUAAAUCAAGUGAUAUUAACAAACCAAUUAAUUUGAACUAUCCUAAUUUCUAAUUUCUAAUUUCUAAGAUCAUAAAAAGAUACUAUAAUUCAUUCUUGCAAACUACAUUAAUACUAGGUCAACCAUGAAAAAUGAUAUAUAUAUAUAUAUAUAUAUAUAUAUAUAUAUAUAUAUAUAUAUAUAUAUAUAUAUAUAUAUAUAUAUAUAUAUAUAUAUAUAGGGAUACUAAUUCAUGUGAAUGAUUCAAAAUAACAAAGUGGAUUUGAGCUAAAAAAUGAUGGGAACAUCACAAGCCAAAAAAAACAUGAAAAAGACAAGAAAGGCUGAAGUUAGUCACCUCCAAGCACGAAGAGACGAUGACGGAGUCGAAGAAGAUCAACGAUGGGCGUUGGAGAUGAAGAACAAAUGAAGAACAAGCAAGAAGAAGCUCCAAGAACAACAAUGGUGAUCUCGGUUUCAAAUGGACAGAGGGGAGGAGGGAGCCGGCCUAUAAACCGGACCUUUAGCACCGGUGCUAAAGGGUUUGCCUCGGCCCGUCGCCCUGGCCGGUGCUAAAGGGGACCCUUUAGCACCGGUUCGUGUUGCCAACCGGUGCUAAAGGGUUCCUGCCCUAACAGCACCUGUCAGUAGCCGUUGGGCAGGACCCUUUAGCACCGGUUCGUGUUACAAACCAGUGCUAAAGGGGUCUUUAACCCCGGGCCGCAAAAAGGCCGAGGUUUUUGGCUAUUUUGGACAUCGACCAAUGCCUCAUUCUGUAGUAGUGUGGGGUGCGACGCAAGCUAGUAGGUAGAGGUAGGAGAAGGGAUCCACUUUUAAGGGUAGUGCAUGCAAAGCAAUUGCAGCUGCAUUUUUCAAUUGUCCCUUCGGCCCUUCCUCAUCUCCAAUAGAUUGCUAAAAUUCAUUUAACAAAUAUCGUGAUUUGGCAACUCCCUAAAAUAUAUAUGGCAAGUGAAAAAUAGACUCUCUCCAAUAGUUUACCAUUUUAACUUGGUAAACUUAAAAGUAAUAGGCCAAUAACCUACCGUUCCCAAUAGAAGGAACAUGCAUAUUAUCUAGAUUUAUAUUUUAUUCAGUUUGUAGUAGAACAAAUGUCCACGACGUUUAUUUUCUUGUGAAAAUUUCGGUUGAAUUUACAAAUAGGAACACAAGGAGCAUCAAUAUUUAUUCAGAAAUAGGAAAUUAGCACGUUGAUUUUAGAGGCAAUAAAUGCUAGUAGACUUGAGGCAGAGAAAUCAGCACGUCAACAGAACAAACCUGCCUGCCACCCAACAACGGCGAAGUGCGGUGCAUCACCUGACACCCGACAGCAGCAUCACAAGACCAGCGGCGAGGUAGCUCAUGAUGCCAAGUGAGAUGCGCGCGCGUAAAGAUGCCGCAUGGAGGGGAAGAAUAGCAAGUUCCUGAAAAUAGCAAUCUCAUUUGAUAAACUGUUGGAGAUAAAAUUGUCUUGUUUUGCUAAAUUUUUAAAGAUAUCAACUUAGUUUGGCAAACUGUUGGAGAUACUCCCUUCCCAGCUUCCCAGGUAGGCCUAUAUGCUGCCUGCUAGCUGCAUCUGCAUGAUGUAUGGGUGUGUGUGUGUGAUGGCGAUUGUGAGCCUGACCACUGGCCCAUGGUGGUCGGCCAUUGGCUCUGCCGGUUAUGGGAGUGGAGUGCGAUAUAGAAAGAUAGAGAGAGAAAAGUUGUCUUAGAGGAAUGAGCAAGAGGUGCAACCGUCGGAGGCCCAAGCCACUAGAAAGCCCAUCUCUUCUCUAUCUCUACAACUAAUACAUCUAAAACUAUUCCGUCCACCUAGCAUCUGGUGUCACUUGCUCCAGGCCCGCCCAACAAUUACGCGCGCAUGCGCCCGCUCCUAGCCCCGCUCGGCACCUGUGCGCCCACUCGUCUCUUCUGUCACCGUGGGAUGGCUCUGCCGCUCGGCUCGGCUCGGUAAAAAGAAGGCAACACAAUCUCCGUAUGAUUUGCCUAAUUCUAAUUCAUCUUCCCUCCGUGAAAAAAUUCCCCGAACCAUCCCUAAACCCUAAAUUAAUCCUCGAUCGGCAGCACAAUCUGCAUGCAUGGUGGCUUGAUUCGUGGCCGCUUCGAUUUGGCCACAUGGGUGUAGACCUUACAGCCGAGCUAUUGAUGAUGGGCGGCAUCAGUAUGGGCCGAGGCGCUGAGCUAUUGAUGAAGUCAGCGACCGCAAUUAAGAGCGUGAGGCCCAGCACGUGUUCGAUAAAAUGUUCCAAUGCUUUGCCUAAAUCUAAUGAUGGGUUCUUGAUGUAGUGGCUGGUAGGAUCAUGUCUACGAAGAGAGUAGUGCCAAGGACACCAAUGUGCUGCCUGCCUGCCCGACCAUCACGAUGCGGAGGUGGAGCUCUAUGUCAUGGGUGCAGACUCUGUCAAUAGCAACCUCGUCACCGUUCGGCUUCGUCUCUCCAAAUACAGAUGUGAGGAGGCUUACAUGUCAAAGAAACCUCUGUUUAGUUCAGAGGUGAUCCUUCCUUUAAUUCUAUCAUUCAAAAUACAUUAUGCUCUCUUUUUACUUUUUUUUUUUGUUCCUGAAUAUAUAAAAAGCAUUCUCGCUUUUAUUUUGUGAUCCAUUUGUGUGUCAGUAUGUCUCUGUGUGCGCAAUGCCCCUGCUUGUCUUCUCUGGUUGGACAAUAGGUGUUGUGCCCAUGGUAAACGCUGAUGUUCUGAGUCUGCAUUGUUUUGUGCAGUUACAAGAUGAGACAUGAAUUUCAGCUGAAGUCUGCGACCUGUGAAAAUGUGAGUGCAAGAUUGAGUUCUUGAUAGUUCAAAUGAUGAUUAAUAAAAUAUAGAGAGAUUUUGUUUCUAUUCAUCUUGUGCUGCUUAGGUACCUUUUUUUAAUUAAAAAACGAAUCUAUGUCCAACUUGAUGGAUCGAAUGGGUUCAUUAGUAUCUACUGAGAGAAUUAUCUAGGGCUUAUAUUCUGUGCAGGGGGAUGGGCAAAAGUGAGGCUUUUCUGCAUGUUCCUCGCAUUGCAGGUCAAGCCAUGCAAGUAGGUGCAUGCAUGUUUAUUCUCAAAGCUCAAGAUUUUGCACUUUUAAUUGCUUGAGUGGGAAACAGUGUAGUCAGUGGAUUAAUAUGGACCUACAAACUGUUUUUAAGGCCAUAUUUUCCUUUUGCAAUCUCAUUUCUCAAACUACAACAUAAUUUUUUGAGCUUCAUAUCUACUAAAUUUGAGGUGCUAAGUUAGCACUCAUAUGCAGUAGUAAUAUAGUUUCUUAUACUUGGACUUUAACCAUGGGUGCUUAAAAAAACUGUAUAUAUGAUCACUUCAUCAUGAUUUAUCUUUAGUAUUCAUGCAGCUUGGAUAUAGAUAUGGUCUCUCUUGAAUUUUUGCUUGCUUCGAGGUGCAUUCGUCCUCCCAUUACUUAUGAUGAUGUCUAAUUAAUUAAGGUUAGUAUAUGCUUAUUUCAAAUAGAUUUACAUUUAUUUUUGUGCCGGGAGCUGUAAUUGUUUUUUCUCACAUGAUUAGCCAGGGUCACACUUUGCAUCUUUGGAGAUUGGAGCAUUAAUGCAAUAAUAAUGGUGUGCCAAGCACAUGUUUGUUGAAUUUAUGAUUUAACCAAAAUUUGCUAAUUUAUUGCUAGCAUGAAAAACAUUAUUAGAAUUUCCUUGCUGUUUUUUCAUGCAGUUGGCAGAAUAUGUUUCCUUUACAACGCUGUUAGAAUUCUUGGCAUUGAUAGUCCCUUGUUCAAUGUGUAGCCUAAUAAAUCUGGUAAUAGAAUCAUGUUGUAAUCUUUAGCUACGAACCAUGCCCAAAUUUGUGAUAAGUAGAAAAAUGAUUAAUAUUGGGAUCUAAUUAACCUAUCUUUUUCUUUAGUUAAUGUGCUGCUGGAAAUACUAAAUUUCCUUAGAAUAAAGAUGCUAUGAUUUUUUGCUAUUUGGCUUUUAUAUACAUGUAUGACCUUUGUUUUUUAUACAUUCAUGUAUUACAUUUUUCUUCAAAAAACCAUUGCAAUGACCAAACCAUUGCUAAUGCCAUAGGCUAAUGCUAGAUUUCUCCUGUUUAGUUUCCUAAUCCAUCCAAAUGAAGGACAAUGAGGGUGUAGAUCUUAGACCUAUUGGAUUAGUAUACCUCAUUUCUUGUUUUUUCUCACAGCAUUUGUAAUUUUGACUUAGUCCUAUCUUUCCGAGUAUGGCUUUUGCGUUAUAGUUGGCCUCAUCGGGUUAUCUAUGUUUUAUGCAUUGUGUUUCCCAGAUUUAUGAUUGUUGCUCAGCGUUUGAACAUUUGUAUUUGCUUGUUAGGACUCAUUGUCAUGGUACACCACAUGAGCAAAGUUAAAUUAUCAUGAUCAUGAUUUUGGCUUGACUAUCGACCAUCUUAUGAAUUUUUUGUUGUUCCGUUACAACGCACGGACAAUUACCUAGUGAGUAUAUAUGUAUGUAGCAGAUAUAUAUUCAUUAACUAUUGAAAGUUGUAACCAUAUAUUAAGUGCAGUAGCCUAUGAGAGUUAUUGAGGGCUGGUGUCUUUUUUCUAUUUCUGAUCGACGUGAUUUAUCUUUUUCACGGUUUCAUUCGAUGUCAGACACGUUAUAUACGUCGACCAAUCGAUCCAUCAUUUUCUUACAACCAAUCUCGAUCGAUUAGGCGUACGUAGAUAUAUCCUAUUUUCUCAAUUGUUUUUCUUAUAUUAUUGUUUACUUGUUUAUUAUUGAUUUAUGAUCACUACUAUAGAAAGGAUUUUAGGUGUUGGCGUCCAAAUAUUAACGGAGAUGAGCACAAAAUCCAAUCGCCUCCUAAAAUACCAGGUUAUUAACAGAGGCGAGCACAUUAAGACCAACCAUCUUCAAAAAUAGACUAUUUUAGGACGCAGUUGUUUUAAGAUGCUCGCCUCCAUAAAUUUAUUUUUUAGAGGCGGGCACACUAUAAAGCCCGCAUCCAUAAAAGGUUGAGUUCCAAUAGGCCUAGAGAGGCCCGAUAGCUGCCUUCAAUACAAAUACAAGAAGCUAAGGUUUGGUCCUUGACUCACUCAACCGCACACCUCUCUUUCUCUGCCUCACCAAUAUGAGCGACACACUCAACUGAGACGGCGCUUCUCGCUAUCCUCCUUGUCAUCCUCCUCCAGACAUGGCCAUGACGACGUGCCCCGCCUCUCGCUCGACUCCGCUGACCCCAACCCGCCCCGCAUCCGCCUGGUCCGCCGCUCCUCCCACUCCCACUUGCAGCACCGCCACUCCACUUCCUCCUCCACCCACGCAGGGCGCAGCCCGGCCCGUUGCCGGCCGUCGCCACCUCCACCCCCACGCUGCCUCUCUGUGGACUCCCCGCACAUGAACUCAUCUGGCAAGAUCGUGUUCCAGGGGUUGGAACGCAGCUCCAUCUCCCCCUGCAGCUUCCACGCGGCGUCCAAGUCGCGGUCCCGUGCGGCGGUGGACCGGUUCUACUCGUCUAGCGUCCGCGUCGCGCCCGUGGUUCUCUGGUCGGCGUCAUCCGGCUCCCGUCGGUGUGGGUUCUGCCGGAUUCCCUCGCGUAGGUGACGGGGUGACGACGUCUCGCGUUGGCGACUGCGGCGUGCGUUCUGCUGGGUUUUAGGGGGGGUGAUUUGCAAAAGAAUUAAUUAGGGUAGGAUGAGUGGGGGGUUUAAGUGGAAAAUAUCCCACCAUUGCCUCUAACCAUCGGAUGAUCCUACGCUCCUGAUGAGAGUUUGCAUAGUUUUCAUACGAAGUUGGUUUCCAUAGCAUACGCUCCCAAAGAAGAAAGAGAAAAACAAAAUCCUAUGGAGAUCAAGACAAAGGUAUAAAUAGGAUUUUAGUUUUCGUGAUCGAGACACCAUAGAGGGUGUGAUCAUAUUUAGGAUAGAUAGUCGUACUACAAAGAGGAGAAUUCUUUGGCUAAGCGGUCUAUCGAGUGCCACUAGGUGUUAUUAAUCAUAUGCAUGCAUUUAGAACCUAGUGUGCUGACUUAACCCUUGAAAAUAUUUGUGAAAAUAUGCUAACACAUGUGCACAAGGUGGUACACUUAGUGGUUAGCACUUUUGAGCAAGAGUUGAAGAGGUGGAGAGGAGUUGGGUCGGUAGGAUUUGGCGCAUUUAUGGAAAUGAAAUGCAUGUUUUCCUUUACGCCGGAGGCAAAGUUUGGAGAAGUCACUAGAGUAUUUUUCCACCGGACGCUGAACAAGGGAGUGUCAAUGCUGGGCCAGCGUCCAACGCAUGUUGGAAGUUCUGCACGUUUUUCAGCGGGUCACCAAUGCGUCCAACGUUGUGGCACCGGACGUGGCUGGAACACCGUUGAGCGUCCGAAGAGUAGUGACAUCAGCAGGGUGCAUCAGACGCUGGUUGCGUCUGAUGACUACCCGUUGAAUGCGUCCAAUGCGUCUCUGAGUGUUUCUGGAACUCUCUGAGUAGCGUCCGGUGCUUAGCACCUGACGCAUCUGACACCUUGUGACCAAGUGUGUUAACGUUUAAGUGAUCAUUGGAGAUCAACAGCUCAUGUUUAAUUGAAGACACAUGGGAACAAUCGAGGGCUGCUGGUAGAGUAGCGUCCGACACCCUAGCUUUAGCAUGUCCGACGCCCCCGAUUUCAGCGCAGUGAGAGCCAACGGCUCCAUUCCUUUGGGGUCUUAUAAAUAUGUGGUGUCCAACUCAAAGUGUCUCUCUUGGCACUUUGAUAUACUUGACAUCCUUGUGAGCCUAAGCAAACUCCUUCCACUCAUCUUCUUCAUAGAUUCACCAUCUUAGUGAGAUUAGGAGUGAUUUUAAGUGUAGUUGCUUGAGUGAUUGCAUCUAGUGGCACAUGGAGAUCGUUGUGGCUACGGAGUUCUUGUUACUCUUGGUGGUGACUGCCACCUAGGCUUGGAGCAGCAGUAGAGGUUCGACACUGUUGGUGAUUGUUCGUGGCUGGCUCCAGUGAUCUUAUGAGGGGUUCUUGGGCCUUCUCUAGUAGUGCGCCAAAGAAAACUCUAGUGGAUUACGUGUGUGUCAUUGAACUACCUUACUUGUAGGUAGGUUCUUGUGGUGUCCUACUUGAGGACGAGGUUCAUGUAACACCUCUUAGCCACCGAAGCACUAAGUGUUGGUCGACACAACGAGAACUAGUGUGUCGACAAGCACAUGAACCUCGGGAGAAAAUCAUUAUGUCCAUCUCUUGUGUUUGAUUGGUCUUCAUUAUAUUGAUUGGUUCACUUGCCUCUACAUGGCGGUAUAAGAUCACAUCCUCUCCAUUUAUAUUCAUGCAAAGUAGUGUAUUUAGUUUUUAGUUGCUAGCUUUGUCUUGUGUAGCUUAGUUCACUAGUGUAGCUCGUAGUGACAGAGCUAUUGUGUGCCUAAUGAUCCUAGUAACUAGAAUUGCUGAAUAGAUGGCUUGCAACCCUUGUAAAGCUAAAGUAAAUUUGCUUUACGCCUUUUGUUAUACUAAUCAUUUGUGCUAGUGCUUGGUAAAAUUUUUAAAUAGGUUAUUCACCUCCCUCUAGCCAUAUUAGGACCUUUCAACAGGGCUGACAAUGGUGGGACGUGUCGUAGCGCCUCAGGCCGAGAGUGGUGCGCCUCACAGUGGUGCCGCUCGCCCGACGUGUAGCAGAGUGCCUUGGGCUGGCGGCGGCGGGACGCGUGGUGGCGGUGGAGGUAGACCUCUCCCCCCACCAAUGCGAGCUGCAGCAGGCACACCUCUUCCUCCCCCUGAGCGCAAGCGGUGGUGACCCUCGGUGUUGCUCCCGGCAUAGAUCCGGUGUCGAUCUAGUUGCGAGCAAGUGGAUCCGGCUGCGUGCUCAUCGAUCUGGCUGUGAGCGAGCAGAUCUGGCUACAGGCGAGUGGAUCCGUUCGUGACGAGCUCGGCGAGGCCGGAUCUGUUAGCUACGCGCUCUUGGAGGCUAGAUCCAUCGACGACCUCGACGGUGGCAGCUUUGGAUGGCGGUAGAUCCCGGCGGCGCAUGAUACCGGGCUCAGUGGGCUUUUUUUUAAUUCAUCAAAUUUUUUGCGAAGGCGGGCAUUUGCAACCACCUCCUUUAAUUUCCAUUAAUGGAGGCUUUUGUUUGGAGGCGGUUACCAUGCCCGUCUCUAUUAAUCUGUUUUGCCCGCCUCUAAAAAGCUAUGUGUAGUAUUGUACGGUGAUAGACUAUUCUAGGUUUUCAAUCUUCUAAAUUUAUUUUUCAUGUUGGAUGCUAUCUAAAAAUAUUUGAGUGCUUAGAAAAACUAGUUUAACUAGUAAAUGUGCAUUGCGACAGGAGAAAAAAUGUUUGACUUAUUUGCUUUAGCUUAUUGCACGGCGGCUGCAGUGGCUGCGAUAGCUUAAUUUUAAUAGGUGACAUGAUGUUGUGAAUGAUUGUUGCAAUAAUUACAAACGAACAUGUAGAAACAAGAUGCCAAUGCUUUAUUAUUUAUGUAUUAUUCUUUUUAUGAAUUUUUAAAGAUAUAUUUUUUUGUAUGAUGAUCAUUGUAUCCAUACAAUAAUAUAAGUUAAUAUGGGCAAUAAUAUGUCAGUAUUGUAUUAAUUAAAUAUUGAAUUAAAUUACAAUCUACAUAGGAAUUUUCCGGUCGCGGGGCACUAAAAUAUGUUGUGGUAAUAUCCUAACUUUAGUUUUCAUAUUAUCAUGUAUUGGUUAAGUUAGAUAUCAAAGUUCAAUGACUUAUUUUAAGAAUUUAUAAAAUUAUGUAACGUUACUAUCUUAUUAAAUUUGGCAUGGGUUGGUUGUCAACAUGUUUAAAUUUUCAUAUGUUAGCACUUGUCGAGAAUUGCAUUGAUAUAUACGGAUAAUUGAAAGAUUUGCAUUGAUAUAUGCAAUAUUGGAGAAAAUUUAUUUUGAUUAGAUUGAAUGAAAAUUUGCUUAAUAUUUUAGUUUAUGAUUUAAUUGGCUACACCAUUGACUGAUUCGUAUUAUAGUAAUAAUUUAUAUAUCUAAUUAAAACUAAUAAUUUAGUAAUAGAAAUAUUUGUUUAUUAAAGGUUAGAGUUUCAAAUGUAAUAUUGUAUUUAUUUUUAUCUUUAUCUUAUAAUAGAAAAGCAUAAUACUUUAUUAGAAAUGAAAAAACAAAAUAAAAUCACGGAAGAGGCAAUCAUGGACAUCAUCGUGCAUGAGCGGGGUCAGGGAAGUUGUAAUCCAAUCGGUGUUUUGGCUUUAUUAGUUUUGAAAAGUCUAAAUAUCAUGAUUAGUAUCCUUUUGGAUUAUAUUAUUAUUUCUAUUUUUGGUUUGAGUUAGUCACAUAGUUUUUUCAUUAUUAGUCCAUUACGUGAAGGAGUUAAAGUUGAACUUUGCAACCGAGGGAUUCAAAGAAACCGUAAUUUAAUAGUUGUACCGCGGAUCUAGGAUAAAUAUUAAAAAGCCAUAUCAUAUUAUACGACUUAACAUAGCAUGGUGGCUACCAAGUGCUCGUAGCCCCCUAAAGUCCAAGGUUUCAAUCCUAGCUGCCGUGGCUGAUUUUUAUGCUUGAUUUCUUAUCAUCAAACUGUAUUAGAAUGUGUUGUUUAUGAUUUGGGCUGAUAGGCCGAAAAAAUGACUAGGAGCAGUGGACUGUGGAGAGCAAAGUGUAGAGUGAGCAAGUGUGAGACAGUUCGGCCAGAAGAAUAGACCGAGCUAUUCAUUAUUACUAUAGUUAUUUAUCUUACUAUUUAUAUUUUAAUAUGUAUUACUUGAACAUGAAAAAAGGAAAAAAAUAAUGUGAAAUAUAAACACAAAAUUGUAACAAAAAAAGAAACUGACUGGAGAGGAAAUGUUAUAGGGAAGAGAGAACAAAAAAAUAUAAAUAAGAGAAAACAUGUGCUCUCUUCCUUAAUUAUUUGGGACCAGGACCAGCCAGUAAAUAGGAAAAAAAGCAUCUGCUCUUGAAAGGAAAAGAAAUUGAAACCUAUGAAGCCUUCGGAGUGGACUUUGUGACGUGUAUAUAUACAUUGAUAGGGGACGAAAUUGAUGUGGGGAUGCAUUCAUGACUUUGGAUGAAGAAAGAAGAUGACCCCCACAAAAAGUCAAGGGGUGAGAAAUUUUAAUUUGUCUUUUUAUUAUUAGGUAUAGAUAUAGAUAUAGAUAUAGAUAUAGAUAUAGAUAUAUAGAUAUAUAUAUAUAUAUAUAUAUAUAUAUAUAUAGAUAUAGAUAUAGAUAUAGAUAUAGAUAGACUCUAAUCAUCUUGUUUGUCAAAUAGCCUUUAAUAAAAUCACAGAAACGGCUAGAGAAAGAAAGAGGUUGUUCAUGGGGAAGGAAGGAGGGAAGUUGCUGUGGCGGUGGGCUGAGGGAGAAGGCGAGGAGGUGUAGUCUCAUCAGGACUCGGAAAGCAGCAGCUAGUGCCGGACGGUUGCCGACGGAAGGGAAACGGCGUCUGGUCUCCGAACCGGGAGCGUGAUCGAUCUCCUUUUGCCGCUGCCUUGCCUCUGGCUAGCAGAGGCGGGCCCAGGGAAACGGCGCUCGUCCGUUCGCUGCAGGGCGACGGGGCCGGGUGGGGUGUGCCGUGUGCCCGUGUGCACGCUAGUGCUGCUGCGUGCUGGGCUUUGCUGGGCCAAAAGCACGUGCUGCAGUAUCGAUCACGUACUACUCUGUAGCUUUGACACAAUGAAAUUUGGAAUCUAGCCCACUAUUAGCCCAGUAUUCCCAAAGCGUGAUUUUGAUCAAGCGACUCCUAAGUAAAUUCGAAUAAUCAAAUGGCACAAAAAUCGAGUUUGCCAAUGCUGGAGGUAACACUGUAUGGAUGCACACGAAUUAAAUUAAGAAGAGCCUUUUGAAGGAGGUGAGUGAGAGAGAGAGAGGAGAGUUAAUGUUCCAUUUUAGAGACAAUUGAAAAACAUAUAUGAAGUGGUCUUUUGUCGAAUUUGGUUGAGUUUGAAUUCAUUCAGAUUAUAUUUUAUUUUUGGAGAAAACAUUUUUUUUGAAGUAAUCCUUGUCAUUCCACUGACUCAGUGUAACACCCAAAAAUUGGAUUUUCAAAUAAUAGGAAUUAAUUGAUUUAUUUGAGUAUUUUCUUUUGCGAGCAUUUAAACCCAGCUAAUAAAAUUAGUUUGUGGGGAAUAAAAUUCAUCAUAAGGCUAGCAACAUGCUUUUGCAUUCAUGCUGAGACAUAUUUUAUUUUGUGCUUUCAAAAUUCUAUUUGGAAAGGCUUUGGAAAAAGAAACAGAAAAGAAAUAAAAAAAAAAAAACAGCCGAACCCCUGCAGCCCCGCUAGCGCGGCCCACCUGCGGCCAGGCAGCCCAGCGCGCGCGCCUCCUUCCCCCUCCCUGGCUGACGCGCGUGCCCCACAUGUCAGCAGCGCCUUCGUUCUUCUCCUCAGCGUGGACGAGCCGGUUUCGGCCGGGAAAAUUUCCCAGCGCCGAACCGAAUCCGGGUAAGCACGAUUUCUUACCAAAUCGGCUAAACGGCGCCUAUAUAAGCCCCUAGGUCAACCCCGCGUCCUGCGUGUGCAUUUUAAUCGCGAAACCAAGCUCCAGCCGCCCUAGACUUCGCGAAAUCGGACCUCGCCGGAGCAGCACGCAUUCCGCCGCCGCGACCCGACCUCCUCGCCCUCUCUCGGCCCGAGCCAAGUCCCUAGGUACGUUCGCGGUGAGCUCCUCUACCCUGUGAUGUUUUCCUUUCGCGAAACGGUGCUCGGAAUCGAGAAGCCAGAGGUCGCCGGCGAGGAGCUCGGCCCCCGGCCAUGGCGUCCGCCUGGUGCUCGCCGGCCGGCUGGUGCUCCCCUGAGGAAAAAUCUGAGCCGUCCGAUCGUCAUCCAAAGGUCCCUAAUAGAACAUACUCUUUCGGCCGUCAUCUUGUUAAAGAGACCCUGGAAAAAUUCAGAUUAAACCCGCAGUCCUUGACGCAUUUUCAGCGUUACGCUUUGGAGUUUGGAAAACGUAUUUUCGUCGGUUUGAAUCAGAUUACGUUUUCAGUUAAUUACAGAAAUACCGCUGAUUUUGUUUUGCUCAUAAAAUAUUCAUUAUAACUCCGUUUUUGUUCAUUCAAAUUCCGUUGGAUUCGUAUUCAUGAUCUCUACAUGUUAGAAAUAUUAGUUUACUGUUUUGAAACUUUGUAAUUUUCUGGUACUAUUUAAUUAAUUAUUUCUCUAUAGGAAAUCUUAGAAAAUUCAUAUCUUUCACGUUUUAAUUCCGAUUUUCGUGAACUUUACGUUUGUGUGAUCGUAGCGCUGCGUAGAAUAUUUUGAUAAACUUUUAUGUUUGUUUUACCACUGUUUGGUGUAAUGUUCUAAUUAUACCUUGUUUGCUUUGUGUAUGAUUGUCUCCAUUGGAUUGCGUGUUGUUGAUUGAUGUUUGGGAAAUAGACGGUGAGCCGUACGUUGGUGAUCAAGACCAGGCUUUUGAGGACCAGCAGGCUCAGGAGAGCUUUAGUCAAGGCAAGUAUAACUUGGGAUCAUCCUUGUUACCUAUUCACUUAUAAAUACACAUAUAUAUCAUAUGCAUGCUUUCACCUUGUCGACCUUAGCAAAAUCAUAGAUGAUUGUUACCUGGAUUCCUUGCUACCUACUUGAUAUGCAUUUGGUGUAGAUGUGCUAGUGCUUGAUAUAAUCCAUGAUCUUGUAAGAUGAUUAAUAGCUAUGCAAUGAACGUUAAAAGAUGACAAAUAACUAUAUGAGAUCUUGUCUGUAAGUGAUCACCGGGACAACAGUGCAACCAUGAGGGCUAUAAUGGCUCUGGCUUUAGCUCAGUAUGAAGACCUUUUCUAGCUUGUUAGAGGUUACCCGAAAGGGCGGAGGGGCUGAACCGACACGGGUAUAGUGCGAGCCCCUGUCCCUAUGUGUAUAGGCUGCGCGUCAUUGUGCCAUUCGGAAGGGGGGUAUCUAUAUCUGCUCGCAAAGGAAACCUUGCGGCCCUAACAUGUUAGACGAACUUUUGAAAGGCUUCAUAGUGAUCCCUACCGACCUCCCUGGGAAGGGGGUUAAGAGACUAGCUACCUCGGGCGAAAGGGUAAAUCAUGACUCAUGGGUAAAGAUGUACAACCUCUGCAGAGUGUUAAAACUAGUAUACUAGCCGUGCUCACGGUUAUGAGCGGCCUUGGGGGUUCUUGCUGCGCCGACGAUGAGCUUAUUAAGUUGUUAUGUUCAUUUGACUAUCGUUUAUGCUAUGAAUUAAUUAUGCUUACACUUGAUCAUGGAAUUAAAGGAAUAUUUAUGUUACCUUGACAAUUGCUCAUUAAUUAUGAACAUGCUAUCCACCAUUAAAAGCUAAAUGCAGUCAAACCAGUGUCAGCUGUUUGAGCCUCAUGAACCUCUGGUUAUACUUGUUGAGUACGAUAUGUGCUCACUCUUGCAAUUUCCCAACACCUCAGGAUAUGAUAAUGAAGAUGACUGGAAUGAGGAUUACCGUUAUGAGUACUAGGUUUGGAGUCAACCAGUCAACAGUGUCCCUGUGUGGAGCUUCCGUCGAGAGCGUUGUUUACUUUAUGCUAUCAUUUUUGUAUGAGACUAUGUGAUUCAAUAUAUAUUCCGCUAUGUAAUAAACACUGCAAUGGUACAUUUGAGAUUUGUCUACUUAUGUGUGCGACUGUUUCUGGGGCACAUAUGAGUCUUUUAUGCAUCCUAUUUUGUUCUUAAAAUAUGGGUGUGACAAAUUGGUAUCAAAGCUUUGUUGACUGUAGGACGCAAACCUAGUUAGCAAAUGGUCGAAAACUUAGGUCCUUAUUUUACUUACUUCAUGCUUCCCACUAUGGCCUUGUUAUUUGCUAAAAGUUUUAUGCUUCUCUAUCUUGCUCUAUUGUGAAAUUAUUGCAUCCAUCUGAUCUAUGUCUAAAAACUUUUUGUAGAUGCCGCCCCGCACCCGUAGUGCUGCACGCAUGGCUGCUGAGGAGUACCGUGCCAUGUUCAACCUAGGCGGACAGCAUGUGGAUGGAGUUCCUGAGCUGGAAGAUGAGGAAUCAAGGGUGGAAGCUCAGGAGGAAGUGCCUGAAGAUGAGGAGAUGCAAGAUCCACCUCCAUCACAGCCUGCUAAUGCAAGGAUGGGAUGGACUACUGAGCUGUGGAUUCCAGAGGCAGAUCCCAAGGCCUUCUUCCAUGAGAAUUUGGUGUUAACAUUGAAACACCAUUACCGGGAUUUGCAGGCCACACUGGAGUAUAACUGCACUGAGCACAAACACCCGCUGAGGAGAUCACUUUGGGUUGCAGAGCUGAUAGUCAAGACACUGGAUGCCACCAAGGGGAUUCGAAAGGUGGAAUCCAAACACAUCGCUCGAAUCAGCCGGGACACGAUGAGAGAGAGCAUGGCAGAUGCAGCUUACCAGGCCUUGAUCUUUUACCGUGGUAGACGCUUUGAGGAUGUUCAGUACAAUGCAACAUACCACUAUCCUCGCUUUGUACCAGAGAAGAUGACUUGGGCCAUAGAAGUUGCAGAUGCUUCACAACCAAAGCUUCAAGCACAAGUGGAGUUGACUUAUGAGCUGACACUCAAGGUGAUAGAGUUGGAGAAUGAACUACACCGUGAGAGGAAGCUGCUGGAGAAAGAGCAAAGGGAAGCGGAUGACCUUCGAGCGGAGUUAGGCCGCCCCAAACUUCAUAAGAGGCUGCAUGUUGAACCCAUCCUGAAGGAUGCUGCACCCGAGGAAUAGAAAAAGAACCCAUAUGUAAUAGUAACGUUAGUAGUUGCGAGUUAUUUCGAGUCUUUUGCUAGUGUGGUGUGAACUUGGUGUGCUUGCUGAUUUGUUAUUAUGAAUAUGUGUGAUUUGGAUUUUUGUAAUGAGUGCUGGGACUUUGUGGGCAUGUCCACAAGUUCCCUAGUUAAGAACCUUAAGUAAGAAUAUGAAUAAAUAGUGGGUUGGGGUCAUAUCCUGUUUCUGUCUUUUGCUGUUUUCUGGAGCAGUCUGCCAUGAUUCUGGAAUAAAUCAAAUUCUGUUCGUGCAAUGUUCAUCAAAUUUUUCUGGGAAUAAGUAGACUUUCAUAUCUUUCCAAUGCCACAAGAAUGAUCAUAUCAUCUAUUACGAUCUGUGAGUUAUGACUGUUUAAAGUUGAGGUUUCUGCGCAGUCUGGAAUUCUGGAACAGUUUCGGUUGUACACAGUUUUUGAUUAAACUAACGUUGGAAUCUGGUAAUAUGAUCUAAAUGAAAGUUGUAGACAAUUUCUUUAUCUUUCCAACGGUGUACAGCAUGUAUCCUUUUGAAUUCUGGAACUCGAGAUAUGACUGAUGUUCCGACCUGCUGAUGUUGGAUGUUACCCAGAAAAUUUCAGAUUCCGUUAACUCUUGUAAUUGUCAUAUUGGACGUUACUAAGAUGUGUUUAUGUACCUUGGAAUGCAGAUGGCAGCAAGGGGAAGAGGCAGAGGCAGGGGCCGUGGCAAUGGCAAUGACAAUGGCAAUGGUGGCAAUGCCCCAAUCACUGUGGAGGAACUCAUGCAAACCCAAAAUCAGAUGAUGCACGUUUUCAUGCAGCACCUGCAGCAACAACCUCCACCAACACCACCACCUGUUCAUGUGAGGGACAAGCGUGGAGAGUUUAUGAAGGGAAGACCUCCGGUAUUUACACACUCAGCUGAUCCCAUGGAGGCAGAUGAUUGGUUACGUGCUGUGGAGAGGCAGCUAAACAUAGCACAGUGCAAUGACUUGGAGAAGGUGUUGUAUGCUUCUGGACAGCUUCAAGGUGCAGCUCAGACAUGGUGGGAGUCGUAUCAAGCUGCUCGCCCCAACAAUGCUUCUCCUGUCACAUGGCUGGAAUUCUGUAGGGACUUCAGAGCUCGACAUAUAAAUGAAGGAGUGAUGGAGCUCAAACAAGAAGAAUUCAGAUCACUCAGGAUGGGCUCCAUGACUGUGGCAGAAUAUCAUGACACAUUUGAACAGUUGGCUCGCUAUGCUCCGAAUGAUGUCAGGGAAGAUGCUGAUAAGCAGCGUCUAUUCAUGAAGGGCUUGUACUAUGAACUCAGGUUGCAGUUGGCUGGAAACACCUAUCCUACCUUCCAGGCUCUUGUGAAUCGUGCUAUCGUGCUUGAUAAUAUGCGGAAGAGUCAGGAUAAGAAGAGAAGGAUGCUGGCACAAGGUUCUGGGAGCAACAACCGUCAGCGUUUCAGUUCUCAUCAAGGUCAUCAGCAGAGGUUCCAGGGACCAGUUAGUCAGUGGAACCGCAACCAACAACCCCAGCGUUUCCAGAAUCAGUCACAGAGUGGGAACCAACGUCCUCCAUUCCAACAACGUAACCAUAAUCAACAGCAGCAUGGCCAGCAGGCACCUCGCCCAGGGAACCCAAAUGCCAACUCCACAAAAAGAAGUGCCUCUAACACUCCUACCAGGUGUUUCCGUUGUGGGAAGGAAGGACAUAUGUCCUAUGAUUGCCCAGAGAAGUUUAAUCCGCAGUACAACGACCGGAGAUCCACUCCUAAUUCAGCAAAGGUGAACAACGUGGCAGCAGAAACUGUUCAGGAGGGACCCGAAAUCAUGAUGGGUACGUUCAGCAUCAACUCUAUCCCUGCUACAGUUUUAUUUGAUUCUGGAGCUUCGCAUACAUUCAUAUCACAAGCAUUUGUUAGAGUUCAUAGCCUUCCACUAGUUGCAAUGAAAACUCCUAUGCUAGUUAAUUCACCAGGUGGGACUAUACCAGUUUCGUUAUGUUGCCCCUCGGCAAGUCUUUCGUUAAGGGGGGUAGAUUUUCCUAUCAGUCCCAUGGUUAUGAGAACUUCAGGCAUAGAUGUGAUCUUGGGUUUGGAUUGGAUGAAGCAACAUGAAACAAAUAUUAAUUGCAAAGAGAGAGUAGUGGCUCUGACAACACCAAAGGGAGAACGAAUCAGUGUUAAUGUAACAGUGCAAGCACCACUCACAGCCAAGGUGAACCAACUGAAUGAAGAUGUUGAUCCUCAGAAUUUGGUAGUGGAUGAGUUUCCGGAUGUCUUUCCAGAUGAAUUGCCAGGUAUGCCACCUGACCGAGACAUUGAAUUUAUUAUUGAAUUACUACCUGGUACUGCACCCAUAGCUAAAAGACCAUAUAGAAUGGGGGUUAAUGAACUAGAAGAACUUAAGAAACAAAUUAAGGAAUUGCAAGAUAAAGGGUUCAUUCGUCCUAGUUCAUCACCAUGGGGUGCACCAGUUAUCUUUGUUGAUAAGAAGGAUGGUAGUCAGAGGAUGUGUGUUGAUUAUCGGUCACUUAAUGAGGUCACUAUCAAGAAUAAAUAUCCCUUGCCUAGGAUCGAUGACUUAUUUGAUCAGUUAAGAGGUGCUUGUGUGUUCUCUAAGAUUGAUUUGCGUUCCGGUUAUCAUCAAUUGAAGAUUCGGAAUUCAGAUAUACCAAAGACAGCUUUCACAACAAGGUAUGGGUUAUAUGAGUAUACAGUUAUGUCCUUUGGUUUGACCAACGCACCAGCUUACUUUAUGUACAUGAUGAAUAAAGUAUUUAUGGAGUAUCUUGAUAAGUUCGUGGUGGUCUUUAUUGAUGAUAUUCUGGUAUUCUCUAAAACCAAGGAAGAACAUGCUGAACAUCUGAGAUUGGUCUUACAGAAACUUAGAGAACAUAAGUUGUAUGCUAAGCGUAGUAAAUGUGAGUUUUGGUUGGAGGAAGUUUCUUUUCUUGGUCAUGUUGUCUCUAAUGGUGGUAUUGCAGUGGAUCCUAGUAAGGUGAGAGAUGUGUUGAAUUGGAAACCACCUACUGAUGUAAGUGAAAUUCGCAGUUUUCUUGGUUUGGCGGGUUAUUAUCGUAGAUUCAUUGAAGGGUUCUCAAAACUUGCAAAGCCUAUGACUGCUCUGUUGGAGAAGAAUGCUAAGUUUGUAUGGUCUGAUAAGUGUCAAGCUAGUUUUGAGGAGUUCAAGAAGAGAUUGACUACUGCACCUGUGUUGGUUUUGCCAGAUCUGAGUAAGAGUUUCUCUAUCUAUUGUGAUGCUUCUCGUCUGGGUUUGGGUUGUGUUCUCAUGCAAGAAGGUAGAGUUGUUGCUUAUGCAUCUAGACAAUUGAGGAAACAUGAACUGAAUUAUCCUACUCAUGAUUUGGAGUUAGCAGCUGUGGUUCAUGCAUUGAAGAUUUGGAGACACUAUUUGAUUGGGCAUAAGAGUGACAUAUACACUGAUCAUAAGAGUUUGAAGUAUAUCUUCACCCAGACAGAUCUGAAUUUGAGGCAACGAAGAUGGUUGGAACUGAUAAAGGAUUAUGACUUGGAAGUGCAUUAUCAUCCUGGAAAGGCGAACGUCGUAGCUGAUGCACUUAGCAGAAAGAAAUAUGCUAAUGAGCUACAGGCGACACCUGAAUCUGAGGAGUUGUGUGCUGAAUUUGCACAUUUGAACUUGGGAAUUGUAGUGAAUGCUAUGGAAAUUGAGGUCACUCCUACUCUAGAGGAAGAGAUAUUGAAAGGACAAUUGGAAGAUGAGAAACUAAAGGAGAUAGCACAGAAUGUGGCAUUAGGCAAAGCACCAGGAUUCAGAAUAGAUGACAAUGGUGUAUUGUGGUUUGGAAAAAGGAUAUGUGUUCCGGAAGUGAAGGCUAUUCGUGAUACGAUUCUGAGAGAGGCUCAUGAGUCAGCAUAUUCCAUUCACCCUGGUAGCACCAAGAUGUAUCUAGAUCUGAGGCAGAAGUACUGGUGGUAUGGUUUAAGGAGAGAUGUAGCUGAGUAUGUUGCUUUGUGUGAUACUUGUCAGCGAGUGAAAGCUGAACAUCAGAGGCCAGCUGGACUGUUGCAACCAAUGAAGAUUCCGGAAUGGAAGUGGGAAGAAGUGGGUAUGGAUUUUAUAGUGGGAUUACCACGUACACAAAGAGGGUAUGAUUCAAUAUGGGUGAUAGUGGAUCGUUUAACCAAAGUUGCUCAUUUCAUACCUGUCAAAACUUCAUAUAGUGGAGACCGGCUGGCAGAGUUAUACAUGGAAAGAAUUGUUUGUUUGCAUGGAGUACCUAAGAAGAUUGUGUCAGAUAGGGGUACUCAAUUCACAUCUCACUUUUGGAAAGCAGUGCAUGAUUCCUUGGGAACAAAGUUGAAUUUCAGUACAGCGUAUCAUCCACAGACAGAUGGACAGACCGAGAGGAUAAAUCAGAUAUUGGAGGAUAUGUUGAGAGCUUGUGCCUUGCAGUAUGGGACUAGUUGGGACAAGAGUUUGCCAUAUGCAGAAUUCUCCUACAACAACAGCUAUCAGCAAAGUCUUAAGAUGGCACCGUUCGAGGCACUGUAUGGUCGGAAGUGCAGAACACCCUUGUUUUGGAAUCAGACAGGAGAAACUCAGGUGUUUGGGACAGAUGUGCUUAGACAUGCAGAACAACAAGUGCGGACCAUUCGGGAUAACUUGAGAGUUGCUCAAUCUCGUCAGAAAAGCUAUGCAGAUACGCGUAGGAGAGAGUUGGCUUUUGAAGUGGGUGAUUAUGUCUAUCUGAAAGUGUCACCUAUACGGAGUGUGAAGAGGUUUAAUAUGAAGGGAAAGCUAGCUCCAAGGUAUGUUGGUCCGUUUAAAGUAUUAGAAAGGCGUGGAGAAGUAGCAUAUCGGUUGGAAUUGCCUGGAAGUUUGUCAGGUGUGCAUGAUGUGUUCCAUGUGUCACAACUUAAGAAGUGUUUGCGUGUACUUGAGGAGCAACUACCAUUGGAAGAACUCUCUGUUAAAGGUGACCUCACUUAUGAAGAGUAUCCGGUCAAAAUAUUGGAGACAGCUGAGAGAGUCACCAGAAGUCGGGUCAUCAGAAUGUGCAAAGUACAGUGGAAUCGGCAUUCGGAAGCAGAGGCAACUUGGGAAAGAGAGGAUGAUCUGAGGAAAUCAUACUCAUAUCUAUUCGAGUAAGCACCGUUCAAUCUCGAGGACGAGAUUCUUUUAAGGGGGUAGAGUUUGUAACACCCAAAAAUUGGAUUUUCAAAUAAUAGGAAUUAAUUGAUUUAUUUGAGUAUUUUCUUUUGCGAGCAUUUAAACCCAGCUAAUAAAAUUAGUUUGUGGGGAAUAAAAUUCAUCAUAAGGCUAGCAACAUGCUUUUGCAUUCAUGCUGAGACAUAUUUUAUUUUGUGCUUUCAAAAUUCUAUUUGGAAAGGCUUUGGAAAAAGAAACAGAAAAGAAAUAAAAAAAAAAAAACAGCCGAACCCCUGCAGCCCCGCUAGCGCGGCCCACCUGCGGCCAGGCAGCCCAGCGCGCGCCUCCUUCCCCCUCCCUGGCUGACGCGCGUGCCCCACAUGUCAGCAGCGCCUUCGUUCUUCUCCUCAGCGUGGACGAGCCGGUUUCGGCCGGGAAAAUUUCCCAGCGCCGAACCGAAUCCGGGUAAGCACGAUUUCUUACCAAAUCGGCUAAACGGCGCCUAUAUAAGCCCCUAGGUCAACCCCGCGUCCUGCGUGUGCAUUUUAAUCGCGAAACCAAGCUCCAGCCGCCCUAGACUUCGCGAAAUCGGACCUCGCCGGAGCAGCACGCAUUCCGCCGCCGCGACCCGACCUCCUCGCCCUCUCUCGGCCCGAGCCAAGUCCCUAGGUACGUUCGCGGUGAGCUCCUCUACCCUGUGAUGUUUUCCUUUCGCGAAACGGUGCUCGGAAUCGAGAAGCCAGAGGUCGCCGGCGAGGAGCUCGGCCCCCGGCCAUGGCGUCCGCCUGGUGCUCGCCGGCCGGCUGGUGCUCCCCUGAGGAAAAAUCUGAGCCGUCCGAUCGUCAUCCAAAGGUCCCUAAUAGAACAUACCCUUUCGGCCGUCAUCUUGUUAAAGAGACCCUGGAAAAAUUCAGAUUAAACCCGCAGUCCUUGACGCAUUUUCAGCGUUACGCUUUGGAGUUUGGAAAACGUAUUUUCGUCGGUUUGAAUCAGAUUACGUUUUCAGUUAAUUACAGAAAUACCGCUGAUUUUGUUUUGCUCAUAAAAUAUUCAUUAUAACUCCGUUUUUGUUCAUUCAAAUUCCGUUGGAUUCGUAUUCAUGAUCUCUACAUGUUAGAAAUAUUAGUUUACUGUUUUGAAACUUUGUAAUUUUCUGGUACUAUUUAAUUAAUUAUUUCUCUAUAGGAAAUCUUAGAAAAUUCAUAUCUUUCACGUUUUAAUUCCGAUUUUCGUGAACUUUACGUUUGUGUGAUCGUAGCGCUGCGUAGAAUAUUUUGAUAAACUUUUAUGUUUGUUUUACCACUGUUUGGUGUAAUGUUCUAAUUAUACCUUGUUUGCUUUGUGUAUGAUUGUCUCCAUUGGAUUGCGUGUUGUUGAUUGAUGUUUGGGAAAUAGACGGUGAGCCGUACGUUGGUGAUCAAGACCAGGCUUUUGAGGACCAGCAGGCUCAGGAGAGCUUUAGUCAAGGCAAGUAUAACUGGGGAUUAUCCUUGUUACCUUUUCACUUAUAAUUACACAUAUAUAUCAUAUGCAUGCUUUCACCUUGUCGACCUUAGCAAAAUCAUAGAUGAUUGUUACCUGGAUUCCUUGCUACCUACUUGAUAUGCAUUUGGUGUAGAUGUGCUAGUGCUUGAUAUAAUCCAUGAUCUUGUAAGAUGAUUAAUAGCUAUGCAAUGAACGUUAAAAGAUGACAAAUAACUAUAUGAGAUCUUGUCUGUAAGUGAUCACCGGGACAACAGUGCAACCAUGAGGGCUAUAAUGGCUCUGGCUUUAGCUCAGUAUGAAGACCUUUUCUAGCUUGUUAGAGGUUACCCGAAAGGGCGGAGGGGCUGAACCGACACGGGUAUAGUGCGAGCCCCUGUCCCUAUGUGUAUAGGCUGCGCGUCAUUGUGCCAUUCGGAAGGGGGGUAUCUAUAUCUGCUCGCAAAGGAAACCUUGCGGCCCUAACAUGUUAGACGAACUUUUGAAAGGCUUCAUAGUGAUCCCUGCCGACCUCCCUAGGAAGGGGGUUAAGAGACUAGCUACCUCGGGCGAAAGGGUAAAUCAUGACUCAUGGGUAAAGAUGUACAACCUCUGCAGAGUGUUAAAACUAGUAUACUAGCCGUGCUCACGGUUAUGAGCGGCCUUGGGGGUUCUUGCUGCGCCGACGAUGAGCUUAUUAAGUUGUUAUGUUCAUUUGACUAUCGUUUAUGCUAUGAAUUAAUUAUGCUUACACUUGAUCAUGGAAUUAAAGGAAUAUUUAUGUUACCUUGACAAUUGCUCAUUAAUUAUGAACAUGCUAUCCACCAUUAAAAGCUAAAUGCAGUCAAACCAGUGUCAGCUGUUUGAGCCUCAUGAACCUCUGGUUAUACUUGUUGAGUACGAUAUGUGCUCACUCUUGCAAUUUCCCAACACCUCAGGAUAUGAUAAUGAAGAUGACUGGAAUGAGGAUUACCGUUAUGAGUACUAGGUUUGGAGUCAACCAGUCAACAGUGUCCCUGUGUGGAGCUUCCGUCGAGAGCGUUGUUUACUUUAUGCUAUCAUUUUUGUAUGAGACUAUGUGAUUCAAUAUAUAUUCCGCUAUGUAAUAAACACUGCAAUGGUACAUUUGAGAUUUGUCUACUUAUGUGUGCGACUGUUUCUGGGGCACAUAUGAGUCUUUUAUGCAUCCUAUUUUGUUCUUAAAAUAUGGGUGUGACACUCAGUCAACGGUGUGACAAUGAGGUUGUUGUUGUUCUUGCAAAAAGUUUGAAGUUGAGAUUUGAAACUAGAGUGAGAAAGGAAAAAAGUUUACUUAAGUUGACCUAACACUAUAUUGCAACACAAAUUUACAAGAAUUUUAUAAAAAAAACUAGUUCUGAUUGUCAAAGAAACUGAGUUCUAUGUGGCAUCAGGGUACAAACACCUACCGCCUUCAAUUGUUAGAAUUUGCACGUUCGGCAAGGCAAGCAGGUGCCUUCUUGGUGAAUGCUACUAGGUUACAAAUUGUGAACAUGUAUAUGUCCCGCUAACUCCUGCUAGUUUCGGGCCAUUUAGGUGCGCCCUAACUGGGCUAAAUUAACACAAAUCGAAUGCUAGUGGCCCAUCAUCACUGUUGAGUGUGCUAGAGCUACAGUAAUCCCGAUUCACUGCCUAGUUGUAAGCCUAUCAUCUUGAUAAUGAUAAGGUUCCUAUUCACCUGGCAGUGAAGCCCCUACCCCUAUGGGCUCCACCCAUAAACCAAGAGUGACAUGUCAGUGCUAGGUAAAUCCAUGACCUGAUAGUGAUAAUAGGAGUACCACUGUGGGGCCAGGUCACAACCUUGCAGUGAUAUAUCACUGUUGGUUCAUGGCUUGGCACUACAAUGACAACACAAUAUCUUUAUUGAGUAUUGAUUGAUUUGACGAUGUCCAAGCUACAGUAUAAAACCCUAGGCCCGUUCUUCCUCCUCCCUCUUAGCUCAAACACAACCAUCAAAUGAGGCGUAUCUCUUUCUCCAUUGUUACUGCUCCUUUUUUUUACAAAAAUGCCCAUGGAGGGCUUAGUUUUUGAAGGAUUACAAACAUGAUGUAGUGUUUUGAUUUAAGAUGUGUAACUAGCAAUCACUUGAAUUUGUAGCUUGUUUUGUUGGUUAGAUUGUUUUGGAUCCUCAUGCUUGUUCUUUAUCCAUUCUUGAGAACAUAUUUUCAUAGAAUUAUUCCUAAAAGUGACCUAUUUAAUUUCUAGCUAGUUUGCUUCAUUAUAUUGUUUUUGAUUCUCUAGCAAAUGUGUUGGUUUUCAUUUUAUUUCCUCAUUUUAGUGUAGCAAAGGUGUCACACCCCAAUUUUUUUUAUUUUAGGUUGUGAAUAUAAAGCACAAAUAAAAUAACUGAUUUCAUGAUUUAUCUUAAUUUUUUCAAGAUUUAUUAGGUUCUUUUCAAUUUAUAAAAAUUUUGUAAUGCAAUAUAAAAGAGUUGUUGCAUUCAUGCCAGUUGCAGUUAGUGUCUAUAUGUGCAAAAUAUUUAAAAAUACAUUUAAGAAAUGAAUAUAUCACUUCAUGAAAAUUUCAACUUUUUCUAGAAUUUAAUUUCUUCUUUAUUGAUGUUAAUAUUUUAUUUGAAGCUUCCAACAAUCUUUUCAUGAGAUUCAAAUAUUUAUUUGAGUUUCUCAUCCUUUAAUCUAUCUCUACUGUUUUCUAAGGUUUUUUUCUAAAUUUUGGAGUAUUUUUCGUGAUAUAAAUGGUAAUUUAAGAUUUUUUGGGAUUAUUUUUAAUUCACAAAAUGUAUAUUAAUUUGAAAUUAGAGAAAUCCUAACCUAAUUUUCCACCAACCAUCAAAAGCCCAUGUCUUUAUUCGCUAAUGGGCUUCAAUGUUUGUUUAGGCCAAUUAGUGUAGAUAGAGGGUGGAACAUCUAUUAAUAUCAUAUUGCUAGUUGAUUUGGAGGUGGAGAGUUUACAAGAAAUUCUCUUAUGCAUGACAGUUUACUUUAAUCAUAGACAAGAGAAAAUGUGUCACAGUUAACUCAUGAUGACGAUUGUGAAAAAGUAAUGUAUCCUGCAUCAUAUAUUUAUUGGAGCGAAAUAGACCAUCAUAAAUUAGUCUUUUCGUUCGUCAUGGAUGAAUUGGUUGACAACAAUAGCAAAGGGAAAUAAUGAUAAAAUGAACCAUCACAGAUUGGUAUUUGUAUUCAUAAUGGAAUCCCUGGAAGUCCAUACAGCCAGGCUAGGCCUGAUAGUCAUAGCCAUAUGCCACAUUAGAUGUUUCUUCGUCAAUGAUUUGACUUGCUAUGUAAGAGACAUGUGUUCACUAAAAUUGACCAUCACAAAUUAUAUAAUAAAAUCCACAUAAAGCACAAUGUGUAGAGGCAUUAUAGAUAGUCGGUGCAUAAAGUUGAAUCUUUUUUGCUGUGUAGUGGCAUUCCUUCGAAAGAUCCAUUGUAGCCGAAUAGAAAACCAUAUUGGAAGCACCCAAAUCAGAAUCUUCACUUCCUCCACCUAGGUUACCCAUCAGCGAUAGCUGUCAUCUCUUGUCCUCUAAAAUGAUAGGAGCCUUAUCUAAGCACCUAAAUGGAUGGGCUCAAAUAUGUUUAGUAGAAUUCCAAACAACGGAAAACAUAGCUGAACCUAACAAUGAUGUUUGAUAAGGCACUUAAUAGCAGUCAUAUGGUAGUACCAGAUGAGUAAUAGGCAAAAUGUAAAAAUGAUGUACUACCAAAUUAAUAAGAGAUGCACAAGUGUUUGCAUGUUUCCAUCAGGUAAUGGCUAAAGGCAACUUUUUAGAAGAGUGAGAACUCCAUGGCCAAAGCUGCAGCCUCCAAAAAUUUGGCUUGGCAGUUGCAUUUGCACUCUAGUAUAUUUUGGAGAAGAAUCAUUAAGACAAAUGGACUGUAGAGAUAGGUCGACUGAAUUAUUUGAUAUCAUGGUGAGAGAAGUUGCAGUGUGAUGCCAAGUUACUCCUAUAAAAUGGACUAGGAACAACAUAAUGUUUGUCUGCAUUUAGUGAGCCAGGAUAGUUGGUGGAAAUUGAUUUUAUUAAACACAAGUACCAUGAAAAUCAUUUUGUCGAUGUCUAUAUAAACUAAUUAUAGAGAAGGGUAAAGAGCAAUUACAUGAGAAUGUUUUAGUGCCUUGUGAUGCCAUUGUCACUGACAAGGGGCUGGAUGUCCUCACCAUAAACCAUCUCUAUAGCAAUUAUGUAGCAUCACACUUAUCAAGCAACUAUGUAGCAAACUUGGGGACAUCAUAGUUAGUAAGCAAUAGAUGUUCGAGUUACUACAACAAACUAGCAAGGUUUAUCCAAACUAGUUAAAAAAUCUAGCUAUUUUGACUAAGUGCCCAACAGUCAUGCAUACCAAACCAGCAACUCUAGUUUCAAUAUGUCUAACUAAACUGAACGAAGCACAAACUACAACAGCUUCCUUAUGUUACUAAGCAUGGAGAUUAUUGUAGCUUCCAGUAGAAGUACAAUUUCAUUGCAGUAAACCAAAUGAAAGGUCCUUGUUUGGUUUUGGUAAUUGAGUAACAACCUUAGGUGGACUAAUUGUGUUUAUGUAAGAUACACAAGAGAUUAGUCCACAGGUGAAUAUGUGAUGAUAGAGGAGCUCAUUGCAUAUGAGAAAUGAUAUGAAGUUAGGUGACCAAGAUAGAGAAGAUCAAGAUGAGGCUUGGCUCUCGAUGGACCAGUUGCAAGUGUGAAAGGCAAGUCAGAGGCUUUGAAGCGAGGGACUGCGUGUGAUGGUGAAGUUUGAGCAAGACUUGGUGCCGAUGGACCAGCGCAAUGGCGAAGAGCAAGUGAGGUCAAGAUCGAUGAACCAAUAUGGUCACAUGGUGAUAUGAAGUGGAUCAUAUCAUUUGAUGAUGGUUGGUGCAUGUGUUGCAUUAACAUCGGAGGAGAUAAAAUAGAAUGCACAAGGCAAAGGUAUAACCUAGGGCAUUUUCAUUUCACCAAUCAUAGGUGAGUAGAGAAGUUUAUGACUAGGUUUAGGAUAGAUGGUCAUACUAUCAAAAGGGGCAACCUUGUUUGUAUAUUGGUCAUCUAGUGCCACUUGAGCGAUCUAACUUUGCAUACGUGUUAGGAUCAAGUGGCAUGGCAAUUUGAGAGGCUAACUCCUUUGGGAAAGUUGAAACACAUAUGCACAUGGUGGUGUUAGCACAUUUGCAAAGGAGGCGGAGUUUAAGGGGUAGAGAGGGGUUUUAGACCUCUCUCUCCCUCCCGCCGAGUUUGCAAGGUGGGAUUCAGCAUUUUCAUAGAAAUAUAAUGCCUAUUUUCCAUUUGCACUAGAGAAAAGUUUCAGAGAAGUCACAGGAGUGUUUCGUUGGACUCUAAGGGGAAUAUAAUCUAUGACAUCCAAUCAUGAUGACAACUAAACCAGUCAUCAUAGAUGUAUCAUCUCAGGAAUGAAUCAUCACAAAUGAUAGAAUUCUAUGAUGUUUUCUUAGAAUGUCACUAGUAAACCAUCAUGUAAAGCCUUAUUUCUUGUACCAACACCCCUAGGAAAGACACACCAGAACUAAUGUAAGGGAAGCCCAUAGUUUGGGAGUCCCUAAUAUGCUACAUUAGAUUUUUCCUCUUCUCUUUACUAUGACGCCUCGCCUGCACCUAGGCUCACCGCAACCAUAGACACGACUCCAAGGAGGAGGAAUAUAAAGGCCCCUAAAUUCUGUAACUACUUUAAUGUCCAAAACUUUUGUGUUUAUUCUUGGUUUAUAAAAUAUUUAUAAAUGGGCCUUUUUUAUUUAUGAAUAAGCCCUUGAGACUUUAAAAGCUACUAUCUUUAACUUGUAGCUCCAUUUUCAACAUUUCUUACGCUCUUGUAAUCGUAGCAAUAAUCCUCGUCUUUUUAGUAUGUUUGUUUUAAAAUUUUUUCUUUGAUUAGUGUAUUGUUCUUAGGUGUCUCUAUUUUGUUUGCUUGUAUAUUUAUCUGUGCUUGGUGUCUCCCAUGAGUAGUGUGAGAGCUAUCUAUUAAUGUGAAGGCCAUAAGUUGAAAAAUAGAAGAUAAAGAUGAAGGUUCUCUAAGUAGUUACAGACUAGGUAAAAAGCAAGCGUAAAUGGAAGGCAGGUAUAACAAACCAAACUCCUUAAAAAGGAUGGAUGUAUAGUCUUACUCAUACGCUAGCCAAGUCCCUAGAUCAGAGCUGCACAUCAACAAGAUUAGGAUAAAAUAGGGUCAUAACCUCAUUAAAUUUGUAUCUUGAACCUCAUAUAAAAAAAUGAGAUCAGUGGGACAUAACUAGCCCAAUUUAAAAAGGUGAUCUGCAUGACAUAUUGAAAAGCUUAAAACCACACACAGGUGAUUGGAACCCUUGGUUUUUGACUAUGAUAGAAGUUUUGAAAACUUUUACUUAUGACGGUUGGGCAAAGACCCUUGCACUUAAAUAAACAUCCAUUUCCUACAAAUUUAAGCAUGGAAAAGAUUCGGUAUAACCAAAAGAGCUCAAUGUGGGUCGAACUAGAAUGCCUCUUUUAUUUAUUCAUGACAUGUGACCUUGAUGUUUAAACAUUGAGCUUGUGGACUAUGUAAGAACCCACAUGAUAUGUUACACUAAGUCUUACACCAAUAGAUAAAUAUAACUUGAUUGCAGCUUCCAUUAUGUCCACAUAGUUACCAAGCUAGAAUCACGCAAGGUUGACAUCUACCACUCUAGGAGUCCACUAAAGCAUAUCAAACCCCUCAAAGAAAUACUAAACAAGUACUAAUGGCAGGAACAUUGUUUACUAAUGUUAGAACACAUUUUUACUAUACAUAGAUUUUUAAUUAUUUAGUGAAAUCAUUUAUUAAUUUGCCCUUAAAUAAGUAACCAACCCAUUAACCAUAACAUGGUUUUGCAUAUGAACUCUUAAUUUAAUUGCUUGCAGGUUGAUUUAGAGCUAUUUAAGUACUAUUCCAUGGGUUACUUGAAUCACAUGUGUUUUAUAUUUAAUUAAAAGUCACAUGAAACUUAUCAAGCAUCAAUAUUUCUUGUGAGCACUUAAUUUUGGAUAUGCUAAUGCAUGUGCAUGUAUUUAAGAUGACAAUGCUUACAACAUGCAUAUAUGAUGACCUUGCUUUAACACAUAGGGUGUUACAAUAAUGGCUAUCUUGCACAAUUAAUUGGUGCUGUAAACAAAUUGAAGAUUAGUACCAUUUGGAAGGCAAAACUAGAGGCCAGUACCUUUUUUGGCGUGUACAAUUUUUCACAAUAUGAUCUUAACUCCAGAAAAAGCUUUAGAAAAAGGCUAGCCACAUGAUUUUUCAUGCAAGCUACAUAAUGCAACCAACGAAACAAUCGAUCAUCUUUGCAUGAACUUUCCUUCACAAAUAAAGUAUAGAGCAUACUCCUAAGUUAGGAUAAAUUUUCCAUUGUAUGAGCUUUGUUAACUUUAGGGGUCCCCAUAUAGGUGGUGGAGAAAGGCUAAUUGAAGAUUGAAAAUGAUAGGAGAAGUGACAUCGAUGGCGUAAUCAUGUAUUCAAGCUAGCUCAUGUUUGUAUCUAGGGUCGAUACCAUGAGCCAUACCUUCGGGAUACUAUAAGCUUCAAGCUCAUGUGGUAUUUUAAUGAUGGUGUAAGCUACCAAAUAGUGACUACCACAAACACCAUAUUAGUCCUAAAAUGCAUUACAUAGUUUGUCAAUUGCUUGGAUGAGGGAAACCAAAGUAGAGCGGUAGAUGAUCAUCAAGGAGAGUGUAACCAUGUUGAGGAUCAUGUGCCAAACCUAGGCCAACUAACCGAAUUGCAUGUUAUGCUGGUAAUAGACCAACCAUAGGGUCCAUGAUGGGUUUGCCUAGUAGGAAAGAUAGUAGAACACCAAAGUAAUUUGUAGGGAACAUGGAUACGGUAGGGGAAUGACUUUCAUUUUUUUUGUCUUGACAUGAUAAUCUCAUUACAGUGAGUUUAAGGCUACAAAAAAUAUGUAGACGAAGGCUGAGGUAUUUCAUGAAGAAAUCAUGUCUUUGGAUGGUAUUUCCCAACAACCAACCUUAGCAGGGGCAUGCUUAAACUGUCCACUCUUUCAAAAUGUCAAUUCAUGAAAUAUUGACCUACCUAAGUUGUAUGACAUCCUCUCCUAGGUUGUACUCAAAUGUUUGCCAUAAAGGGAAAAUAUUGGCAUUAUUAGGUGUUGCUAGUUAGGGUGCGACUUAGGCCUCAUUUAGCACGAUUAGAUAGCUUCACGACAAUUCCCUUUUCUUUGGAAAGCUGCCUUCUUAUCAGUUUCCUAUUAAUGGGUUCUCCUCUAUUACGCGGUUAGGUAAGAAACGUAUCCCUUUUAAGAGGGUUGAGUUUAUCUAAAGGGAAAAUAGAUAAGAAAGAAUCAAUAAAAGGAAAAAAAAUUUUAAGAAACUUUUUCAUGAAAAGUGAAUGAUUUUUUUAAAUCUAAAAAACACAAAUAAUGUCACAAUUCAAGAAACCAUUUAAAGCAUUUGUUGUCACAACUUUUUAUGGAAUUAUCCUCACAAAUAGUCACAACCCGAUAAAAUGGUAAAACAGUGAGAUAGAGAAGUAGAUCAAUCCCAUUUCAAAGGCAAAAGUAGAUCCUAGUGUCGUUUUUUUGGCAUGAACACAUUUUCACAAGAUCUAACUAUAGAAAAGCGUCACAAAAUGCUUGGCCACAUGACUCAUCAUGCAAACUGUGUAAUAUGACCAAUGAAAUGAUCGACCAUCUUUGCAUGAACUUCCUAUUCAAAAAUCAAGUCUACAACAUAGUAUUAAGUUGGGAUAAUUUUUCACAAUAAGCUUUGUUAACUUUAGGGGUACCCAUAUAGGUUUUGGAGAAAGGCUAGAUUGAAAAUUGAAUAGGAUAGGAGAAGAGACUUUGAUGGCUUAAUCAUCUAUUUAUGGUGGAACAUCAGAAGAAAUGAAAUCAAAGAACUUUUGGGCAGACUUCAAAAUAAUGAUCAGAAGUUGCCCUCCUCAUAAAGGUAGAGACCAUGGAAUAUAGUCUUGCUCAGUCCACAAAUAAGUUAUACCUUUAUUACUUUUGCUUCUUUGUUGUUAGUUGGCAUUUUUUUAGCUAGUCUCAUUAGUGAUACCAUGUUCUUUUGUUUUGAAGAUAUGUAUGUUAUCUUAGUAAGAAGGGGGCUAGGUUUUUAGAUGUUGGUUGUAUGUUAGUUGUACAAUUGAUGUUUCUUAUUUUCUUUUUUCCCCAAAUAAAUGACAAAGCUUUUACCAUCCUUUCAAAUAAAGUAUUAGCUUGUCAUAUUCCUUGACAAACAAAACUUACAACCUCUCAAGAUCCUUGUAGUGUAACUAGAGCUAGCGCAUGUGUGUAGCUAUGGCCAAUGUCAUGAGUCAUAGCUCUUAAGGAUACCUAAGCCCCAAGCUCAUGGUCUUUUCAUGAUGUCCUAGACUACCAAAUAGUGAUUGUUGAACCCCAUACUUGUCUCCAAAUGCAUAACACAGUUUGUCAAUUAUAUGAUCCAAGGGAGAUCAUAACUGCAAUAGAGAGUUGGAUGUUCAUCAAGGAGAGUUUAACCUUGUUGAGGAUCUUGUGACAAGCCUAUGCCAAUUAACAAGAUUGCAUGUCAUGCUAGCAAUCCAUCAUCCAUAGAUCCACAAUGAAACAUGAAUAAAGACAUUAUUUAAACAAUCAUAAAAUUAGAAAAUAUAAACAAUGUCGCAAAUUGGAGAAACCAUUUAAAGCAUUUCUUGCCAUAACUUUUUUAAUGAUUUAUCCUCACAAAAAAUCACAAAUAACCAAUCAAAUGGUAAAAUAGCGAGAAAGAGAAGUUGAUCAUUAGUGAUGUAAACAAAUUGAAGGUCAGUCCCAUUUGGAAGGCAAAAGUAGAGCCUAGUGCCAUCUUUUGGCAUGGACAAUUUUCACAAGAUCUUAACUGCAGAAAAGCUUUAAAAAAAGGUUGGCCACAUGAUCUACAAUGCAAGCUAUGUAAUGCAACCAAUGAAAUGAUCAAUCAUGUUUGCAAGAACUUUCCAUUCACAAAUCAUGUCUAGAGCAUACUCUUAAGUUGGGGUAAAUUUUCCAUCAUAAGCUUUGUUAAAUCUAAGGGGUCCGCAUAUAGGUUGUGGAGGAAGGCCAGAAAGGCUAGAUUGAAGAUUGAAAAGGAUAGUAGAAGAGAUUUUGAAGGCUUAAUCAUAUAUUUAUGGUGGAAUAUAAAAAAGGAAGAAAAUCAAAGAACUUUUGAGACCAUUUGAAGUCGCCUUCCUCGUAAAGGAAGAGAUCAAAGAAUAUAGUCUUGCUCAGUCUAUAAACAAGUUCUAACUUUAUUGCUUCUUUCUUCCAUGCAUCAGUUUGUAUUGUUUUAGCCAAUCUCAUUAUUGCUACUCUCUCACUUUGUUUUGAGUGUUUCUGUAUGUAAUCUUAGUAACAGGGGGCUUAUGGAGUGUGUUCUAAGGAUUUUUUCCCUCAAGGUUGCUUGGUUUCUAUUGUAUGUUAGUUGUACAAUAUUGUUGUUUCAUCUUUUCUUUUGUUUCUCCUAAUAAAAUCAAUGCUAAGGUUUUUCCAUCCAUUUGAAAAAAGGUAUUGUCUUGUCAUAUUCCUUGAGAAGCAAAACUUAGAACCUCUUAAGAUCCAUCCUUCGUAACUAGAGCUAGUGCCUUUGUGUGGGGCAAUCCCAUGAAUCAUAGGUCAAGGAUCCCUAAUCCCCCAAGCUCACAUGGUCUCUUCAUGAUGUCCUAGGGUAUCAAACAAUGACUGCCGAACACCAUAUUAGUCUUGAAAUGCACUACAUAGUUUAUUAAUUGCUUGGAUGAUACAAGGGACAGGGAAACCAUAGUAGGGAGGUACAUGAUCAUCAAGGAGAGGUUAACCUUAUUGAGGAUUAUGUGACCAGCCUAGGUCAACUAACCAGAUAACAUACCUUGCCAGCAAUCAAUUGGCCAUAGGGUCAUCGGCUCGUCCACUUGCAAAGACAGUAGAACACCCAAGUAAUUUGCAAGGAACAAGAUUGCAGGGGAUGUGGCUUUUCAUAAUUUUCCUCUCUACUUUAAAAAUCUAAUAAAGUAAGAUAAGGUAUUUCACAAAGCAGCCAUGUCUUCGGAAGGUAUUUCCCAUCAAUCAACCUUAGGAAGGGGCAUGCUUAAACUGUCACUCACUACUAGGAACUCGAAUACUCCUAUGUGUGAUGAAUUUUUGUGUGUGGUUUUUCGGUACACAUAGAAAACUAGUAAUUAUUCUAUGGUUCUGAAAUACCGAUAGAAAAAUAUAAAAACCAACAAAAUGAUUGCAUGGUUGUUUUGUGUGUGCUGAUACACAAAAAAUUCAAUUAUUCAAUGGGUUUCUAUAAAAUAUCAAUUCCCAAAAUAUGGACCUACCUAAGUUGUAUGAUGUGAUCCUCUUAGGUUAUGCUCAAAUAUUCGCUGCUAAGGGAAAAUGGUGUGAAAAAAUAUUUGCAUUGUUAGGUGUUUGUAGUUAGGGCAUGAUGCAAGCCUCAUUUAGUAUAUGAUCCGACUGCUUCACGAUAAUUCCCUUUUCUUUGGAAACUUGCUUUCUUAUCAUUUUACCACUAAUGGGUUCCUGCUCCAUAUCUCGUUGGGUAAGCAACUCAUCUCUUUUAAGAGGGAUCAGUUUAUCUCGAGGAAAAAUAGAUAAGAAAAGAACAAUAAAAUGUACAUAAAAUACUUUGAGAAUCAUUUUCAUGAAAAACAUGAUGAAAUUCUGAUAAAAAAAAUCAUAAAAGCAGAAAACUACAAGCAGUGUCACAAUUUGGAGAAAGCACUUGAAGGAUUUCUUGCCAUAACUUGUGCUAAGAAAUUAUUUUGGAGCCACCAAACAGUGAAUUACCAAUAAAAUGGUAAAAUAGUGAGACAAGUUGAUCAUGGUGCCCUUACCAGUGGCCAUGAUCGCGUUGCCGAGCCCUUGUUCUUUUGUCGAUCUGAAAUCUGUGCGUGUGUGUGUGUGUGUGUGUGUGUGUGUGUGUGUGAGAGAGAGAGAGAGAGAGAGAGAGAGAGAGAGUUGAGGGACACCGAGAUAAAUCAAACAAAGUAGCAUAGUAUUAUAUGGCUCUUGUGUCAUAUAACAUGGAAGCCACAUAUUUUUCAGACGUGUGUAAUUGGCGAUCUUCUUGCGUGAGUGCAUGAAUCAAGAAUAUCACGUUUUGUUACCUGGCUAACUGCAUAUCAUAGAAGUUAUGUUAGAGGUCAAAAUAGUAUUUUUGAGGCCCUAAACUCAUUUGGCAGGAAAUGGCCCACCCAAAACUGGCCUAUAGAGGUACAUGGUCAUUGUUAUGCUAUGAGCUUGGCAUGACAGCUGUAUCACCACUAUAUAUGUCAAACAUUGACAUCUUGAAAAAAAAUGGGUCUAAAAAAGGCAUCUUACUCCUUUGUUGGGAUAUUUUUCUACUAUCAAUUUCUUUGUUUAUAUAUAUCUCAGGUCUUCAAUUUUCAUCACCUAAGGUAAGGUUGGUUACAUAACUACUAUCCUAAUUAUGCAUAUUAGCUAAUAGUUUAGUCUACUCAUUGGUCCUCCAGUGAUGCUACAACCAUAUGUGACUGGAAUCAUGGACGAGAAGCUAAUAAGGAUGAUGCACCCUCUUAAAUUUGACGCAGGACAUCAACCAACUACUUGACGACCGUGGUAGCUAGAUGAAUAUAUACACGUACAAGUCUCCAAGAAAUACACCAUGUGUAGGCCUUUUCCUGCCAAACGAAACAAGAAAAAAAAACUAAGAGUGUGGUAAAAAACAUGUAGGCCAUGUUUGGAUACAGUCGGAUUCAUCUCAAUCUAUGUGUACUGAGGUAGAUCAUGGUAGAUUGAUACGAAUCUAACUACAUCCAAACAAAAUCGUAGUAGGUAGAAUACUUGGAGCUCAUUAAUUAUUCCUGCCAACUGCUCUAUUGGUGACAAAAAAAAGGUAAGUUUCAGUUUCCAUUGAAAACUUAGUACUUAAGGAAAACCAUAUCACACCAUCGGUCCUUAUGGGUGGUCGAUGGAGCCACGAAACGACGAUCGAUUAGAGUGCUGCAGGAGUGAACCACACCGGGCUGUGCAUGGGGCGGUCGUCUCUAAACGUACAGGCAGCCAUUAGGCUACCUGACACUUGGCAGCCAAGGUGUUGGCUGGGCGUUAUAGUUGUAAAGGUGUUGGUGUUCAUCUCUAGUCUCUUUCGCCGAAGCUUCCUGUACGUAUUUCCAGGGACUGUUUCACUCAAUUCCUGGGCACCCCCUCCUUCCCCAGGCGUGCAUGCUUCUCAUGUGGCGGCAGUGCGUGUAGCCGUUGGAUUUUUUUUUUGACAACCUUGUAGCCCUUGGAUGGAUGGUGCAGCCUCUUUGCUACUCUCCAAAACAUUAAAUGUGCUGGGAACAGGUAGUGGUUCCAGAGGGGAAAAAAAGGAAAAAAAUAAUUAAAAAAAUAAAGCUGGCAUGUAUUUUCACCACACUACAACUGUUAAUAUCAUUUUUAGCUGGCAUUAACAAAUAUAUUUAAAAUGGAACCAAAGGGCCAAAUCUGCAGAUAUAGCACUGGAAGAAAUAUUUAAUACUAGUAUAUCUCAAGACAGGUGAUAUCUGGUGCAGAUACAUAUUACAUUAUUAAAUACCAAAACCAUAUAUGAAAGAAAAGUCUGGCCCACCAAACCAAGGGGCUCCCUUCUCUUUUGCCUACAAAAGGGAGGAGCAGGGGUCUCGCGCAGUCUCCUGCACGUACAAACCAUUUUCCCAAAUCCACAACACCCUUUGACUGUGUUGCUCUAGUCUCAGCCUAGAGCCUAGCUUUGGGAUUUGGGAAAUUCUCGAUCGAUCUGCAGAUCGAUCGAGAAUUCCAACAGGAAUCUGCAGGUUUGUAGCCUGCUUUGUGUUCCUGGGUUUGUGCGAUCUGUGGAUAGAUCGUGUCACAAACAGAUCUGAAAUGGAUUGGUCGGGUGGUCAUGAGCUGCCACCGGAAUGGCAGCAUCCAGGGUCGUAUGGCUAUGAUCCAUACACCAACACCUUCGUGCCAUUGCCAUACUAUGGCUAUGGAUUUGGCCUAGAGUAUAGCUGGAUUCCUCCGGACCAACAACAAGGCCCUAUUCCAGUUCCUUAUUCCGGCUCCUCACAAUCAGGUGCAUUUUUUAUUUUAAAUCAGAAACGAUUUUUUUACUUUUAUUUUUUUUGAGUGCACAGAUUUUUACUUUUCUUCCCUGUGCAAGUACUGUUUUUUAUUUAUUUUUGCGAGUAGUACAAGUAGUUCUUUGAUGGAUCUAUGGGGAGCGAGUAUUGUCAUGCGUUUAGCUGUCACAUUUUUUGGGUUUCCGAUGCAAGGAGAUCUGGAUUAUGCAUAUACUAUUAUUUUCUGUGUUUCAAUAUAUUUGCGUAGAUAAAUUUCUGAUAUAAUACAUACUCCGAUCCUACAUGUUUUCUUCGAUUUUUUGUCUAAAAAAAACAUGUUUUCUUCGAUCUACAUGGUUGUAGUGUUGUCCAUCUACUCCUUGAGAGUAGUGUGCUUGUAUAUACAUGCGUAUAUGACCACCGUCAAGAAGGUUUCUCUCUCUGGCUGACUUUAGGUCAUCGAUCUUGUGAUGAACGCAUGCAGGUCCUCCUCACAUGGCAGGGGCACAACGAGGAAGGGGUCAUGGUCGUCGUCAAGCACAACGAGGAAGGGGUGGUCGCCCACCACCUCCCCAGCACGGUGGCCCUGGACUGCUAGGCGCCGACCCUUCAAGCCAGCCACCUGCGCAGAUACCGCCUCCAGUUCCUCCUCCUCCUCCCUUAGAGAAGAGGGAAAAGACUCCUCCUCCACCACCUGCUUCCUCAUCACCAAGCUCCUCCCAUGCAAUGUCUCCUCCAGUGUCAGAUCUGGUGAAAAAAUCCCAUGUCGUCGAUGAUGUGAGCAUGACUGCUGAUUCUAAGAUGGAUGAUGGCAAAGAUGAUGUGUUAGUAGGCUUAAGUGGUAGCAGCAAAGGCGCCGCCACAGGCAAGAAGAUGUCGUUGCUGCCACUAGAUCGACCACCAGCACCCAUGAAAAAUUCUGAUGUUGAUGUGAGCAUGACUGCUGAUGCUAAUAAGAUGGAUGAUGGCAAAGAUGAUGUGUUAGUAGGCUUGAGUGGUAGUAGUAGCACAGCCGCCACAGGCAAGAAGAGGUCGUUGCUGCCACUAGAUCGACCAGCACUCUUGAAGAAUUCUGAUGUGGAUGUGAGCAUGGAUCUCAAGGAUGAUGACCAGGGUGAUGAUGUGCUAGGGUUAAAGGCCUACAAGGCAAGGAAGAGGCUGCUUUCAACAAAGGCCUGGUCUUUGCCAACUGAUGCUGAUUCUUCUGUUGACGCGGCUAGGAAGAAGAAGAGUCGCCUUGGCUGGGGUCAGGGCCUUGCAAAGUAUGAGAAUCGUGGGUACAAGAAGGAUGACGAGACUACACAUAAUAAACUUGUAGCUCAUGAUGGAGCCACUGGUGAAGCUGCUUCUUCUUCUCAUGGAUCAAGUCCGCCAGCAGGUAAUAAGCCAUACAAACUAUGCUAUAUAUGGCAUAAAUCUCUAUGCUAUAUAUGAUUGUCUGUAGAAAUUAUGUUUAUGUGUGCUUAACAAAAUCUCUUUGGUUUCUCUCCUGUGUACCUGUAGGAAGCAAAGGUCAUGGUGGCAAUAACAGCUUGGACGACAUGGCCGGAAUGAGGGUUUCCCAUGCUACUACUGUGCCUGAAUUGUCCUCCAAGGGGACUAGACUUCCACUAACAGGUGACCACAUGUAAACUUAACUUGCCGGUAUAUAAUAUUAUAUAUAACACCUGACCUAUGCUUGCCAGUUGCCAGGCAUGUUUUUAUGAGUUUUACUUAUAAAAUUGCUGUGAAUUUCCACCUGCAGGAGACCUCAGCCAUCCUGGGAAGAAUGGAAGCAUAGGUAGCUUGACUAAGAAAGCUGUUUCCCCUGCUGAAAUGCGUAGCUUGACUAAGAAAGCUGUUUCCCCUGUUGAAGUGCCUGGACUUGAAGGCACUUCAGAACAUAACCAGAACUUGAAGGAAGAUGGUAAGUUUUAGGUGCUCCACUCCAUUUGUGAUCUGCAUAUAUAGGAGGUUUUAUAAUUCGUCUCUCUGAUGUAUUUGUGCUGCCUUAACGAUCUUAAACUCUGCUGUUCGAAAUGGGGAAUGGGAAUCACCUCUGUUCGAAAAAAUUAGAGAUCUGCAAUAUAUAGGAGGUGCAUUAGGUCAUUCACUUCAGGACUUGGGAUAAUACCUUUACCCUUCUGAGAAGUCAUAUUGCAACUCAAUUGAAUACCAUUGCACUGUUUUGAAGCAACACUUUGCACAGGAUUUCCUUUCUUACUUUUGACCUUAGCAUCAUUAUUUUCUGAGUUUCUAUAAGCCCUCAGUCGCUGUAUAAGACCAUCAUCUCUUACUACAGAAGCAUUAGUUGCAAAGCAGGGACUGUUGCCCUUUGUAGGAUUUUCCAUGUCUGCAUUGUGAUCUUUUCGUUCUUGGCUUGGGAUACUAUAUGAACUUUUCCCAUCUCCUUCUGUGAAUUCACUUCGCAGCUCAACUGAAUACCACUUCAACGUUUUGAUGCAAGACAGAGAACCAGAUUAUUUCCCUGCUUCGCCUUUGACCUUGUCGUCAUUUUUUUCUGGUUGUCUCCAUUGCUUGAUCUAAUUUCAUCAUACAUAUUCUCUUUUCUAAAAAAAUGCUUUACAAAUGCAUCACCUGUUAACAUAGCAGGAUCAGAAGUAAUGCAGGGGUUGUCUUUGCUAUUAGGGUUUUUCAUAGUUCAUGUGAUCCACCAACAAGCAACUGUGGCGUUCACUUGCAAGUUGCAAGUAGUAAUGCAUCAACGAUUUUUCGUCAUGUGAUAACCCGUUUUACUAGUUAUCUGUGCACUAUACAUAUACGUAUCAUAUUAUAUCAUUUGAUUAUGACAGUGAUAAAUAUUUUUGGUUGCUGCUCUUUUAUUUUUGGAUGCAUAGAAAAAACUUAAUUUUACCUUUGAGUUCCUGACUUCCUGGUGGUGCUUCCUCCAGAUUUGUGUCUUGCUAUUUCUUUAUGUGUUGAUUUGUAUAUAUUUUUUUUCAUGUAAUUUUUGUGGUCCGAUACAUUGUCAGAAGGGUAUGACUGAUGCUGGAAUAUUAAUAUAUAUUUGAACUUCUAUUAAUGCUUUUCAUCAUUAACAGAAGCGAACUGUUUUAUGUUGGUUAAUUUUGCCUUAGAAAUAACGAUGGUUUCAUACUGUUUUAUGUUUUAGUAUUCCUGCAAUAUGUUUUUGGAGUUGAAAUUCACAAAAUAGAUUAUUCAAAAAGCCUAGAAUAAAUUCUUCCUGGGUCGAUGCCCAAGUGGUUAAUGGGGACAGACUGUAAAUUCAUUGACGAUGCUAUGCAAUUGCAUUUGCUUUUGUUCCAUGGAAAUUGGCGUAUCUAAAUUAUACUUCUCAGUCUAUAGCUAUACUGCCCAGAUAUAUGUUUAUGAGUUUACCAAAUUAUUACUGUAAUUUCUAUCUCUACCUGUAGGAUUCAUUGGUGAUCUUCCAAUUAUCUUCCCUAAAGUGUAUGAUUUCCCACGCAAAGGUAGCCUGCCACCAGGUGACUAUUUUGUACACUUUCAACUAAUUCACAUAAUAACACCAGAGUGAUCACCAACAUUUUUGUGAUUUUUGAGCUGCAGAGGACAAAAGCAUUAGCGGUUCAAGUACGAGGGAAAUUGCAGUGUCUGAUCUUGCUUCUUCCUCUCAGGGAUCUGAUCAUGAUGCACCACCAGGUAAACUGGACGGGCAAUUCAAAAAGCUUAAUUUGUCAUAUUAUCCAUGCUUGAACUGUAGAGAUGUUUUGAGAUGUUUAACACAGUACGUCACCACAAAAACUUUUUUGCUUGCUCUUUUAUUUUUGGAUGUGGAUACCAACUAUAGAAAAAUUAGUUAUACGUACCUUUGGGUUCCUUGGUGCUUCCUCCAGUUUUAUGUCUUGCUAUUUUUGCAAGCGUUCCUGGAUGUGAAUAUUUUUUGUCAUAUAUUGAUUAAUUAUACCUUAGAAUUUAUGCUGGUUCUGUGGUGUUUUGUGUCUACUAUUCCAGCAACAUAUUCCUUGAGGUGAAAGUCACAAACUAUGCAAUUGCAUUUCCUUUUAGCUCCAAGCACCAUGCCAAAAUAGCAAAAAAAAAAGACAUCCAAUUUAGUGAUGAUGACUGAAAUCUACAUAUACACUUUUGUGCUUGGAAUUUAAUUGACCUAGAUAUAUGACAUUAAUUGGUAAUUGAAAAUAUAAUAUGACUACUUAGUUUUGUCCAUCUUAUGAAUGAUAUGCCAAUUUAUACCAAUUAGAGUUGUUUUGAAUUCAAUGGAAAAGAAUGGAUUAUCAUAAUGGGUGUAAUCUUCAACACUGGGUAGAUAGUGCCCGUUCGUUUCUCUAAAAAGCCAUGAAAGUACUGUUCCCUGAUUUGUUAUGAGAGAAAAACACUGCUGAAUAACUGACAAAAAUGAGUGGUUUGAUGUGUAGUGAACUUGAUGGAGGUGAUUUUGAUGCUCCCUUUAUAUUAUUAGUCUUUAAGUUAGUUUAUGAUAACCAAAAUUUUGUGUUGUAAAUAUAUGAUUCUUUCAGUACCACCUUACUAUAUACUCUCUUCUUGAUUUAAUGAAUGAGAAAGCCAUGUUUAUCAUCAUAUGUUCACUGUUGCACUUGUUAUAUAACACAUGAGGUGAAAGAAUCAAUUGCACAUAUAAAUCCUAACAUGCAUGGAAUAGAGCAUCUCAGGUCAAAAAUGAUGAUUUGCAGUCCGUAAUAAGGAUCUUGAUUUAUAAUGUAUAGUAAUUUAUAAACUAAAAAAGGAACCUUGAGACUUUCAUUAGGUCCCCAAGAUUUCUUACCAUCUAAAACUUGACUGCUUAAUGGGUAUGUUCUUCAAAGUAGCUGUUCAUAGUUAAAUUACUUAAAAAUGUUGCUAGCUCGAAAUUAAUUUUUUAAUAAAAAAAAUGAUAUGUUCUGAGUUAUAGAAAUUAUCAUCAUGAACAUAUAUGUUUUACAUGUAAAAGUAAAUAACUGAAAUCAGUUAAUUUGUUAUGCUUUCAGAUUUUUUUUCCAAUUCUCUUGUAGUACAUAAAUAGAAAAUUUUGCUGUGGGACACUAAAAACAUGUCACGUUGGCUGUGGGAUGCUAAAAUAUUUUUUCUUUGCUGUGGGACAUUAUUUUCUUUCCUGUAGGACACCGCCUAGUGUAUCUAUAGCCAAUUUUACAUAUUUCAGUAUCCCACAACCAGUGUGACAUGUUUUUAGUGUCCUGUGGCAAAAUUCGCCUCUAUAAAUGAAUCGUUACUGUUUCAGCUACUUUUAAUUCUAUAUAUUGAAUUUCAAACCAUGCAUAUACACAAACAUUGUUUUGUCUAAUUUAUUCUUUCCUGAUAUCCUGUUUUGAAGCUGAUGAAAGUAGCAUUGAAUUUUCAGAGGCUGAAGAUGAUCCACCAAGAACGAAAAAAAUAGUUAUUACAAUGGUACAGAGGCCUAGGAAUAUUAUUUUGCCGAUGAAUGUUUUGUGUGAUGAGGAGCCAGAAACUUCUGAGCUUCAGGGAUUGAAACUUAAGGAAUGGUCAGAGAAAGAAAAAGAUAUAUUUUCGGUGAUGAUUACAAUAUUUGGUAUGAACUUUUCCAAGGUCUCAUCUUUUCUGACGCACAAAACGGCAGUAGAUUGCAUGAAGUAUUAUUCUGAGCACUAUAAAUCAGAAUGUCAUAAGGAAGCACAGAAAUGUCUGCCUACUACUGUGAUGCAAUCUCAAGAAAAUUGUUGUAGUGAGAAUGAUGCUGCAGCUCUUGUGUCUGGGAUAGCAACAGUUACAGCUACUAAAAAAUACGAAAGGAUGAAUGCCAAGGCAGAAGAUGUAAAGAAGCCUGAAAAUCAAAUUUCCCAUGAAUCUACUGCUAAUCUUCUAGCACACAGCCUUCCAGAUAAGGGGCAUGGUGAAUCAUCUGUGGAUGAACAUGAACAUGUAACUGGAAAAGUUUUAGUAGGUGAAUCGAAUGCUGCUUCAUCUCCACUUGGGACGAGAUCUAGUCAAUCUGCCUGGUUGACCAUCUCCAAAACUGAGGCACCAGUGUUGGAGAAUUUCAAUGAGGACAGCUGUUCCAAUGAGGCAGUUUGCAUCACAAAGUCUUCGUCUAAGGUGAAGGAAAAUUUACCACAGAGUGUUCUGAUUGCAAACCAAGCUGAUGAAGAAAAUUGUGUGGCUGGUGGGUCAUUUGGACAGGAUACCUUGAAAAUAAUAUUUUUCCCUGAUGAGAGGAGUGCUAAGCUAGCAAAUGGUAUCAUUAAUGGUGAUCAGAUCAGAAAUGGAGCUAUAACUGCUGAGCUGUAUUCUUCACUGAAGGAAUGCAAUGAUUCUGCUAAACAUCAUUCAUGGAAAGCAACAGAAAAGAAGCUGGCUAACUCAAAUAUUGAUGAUGGUAGAAUGGCCUCAUCUGAUAUGAAAAACCCUAAGAGCAAAGACAACCCCUGCAUUACUUCUGAUCCAGCUGCUAUGUUAAGAGGUCCUGCAUUUGUACAGCAUAUGAUGGAAGUUGAUGAAGCAAUGGAGAAGAAAGAAUCAGAAAAAAAUGACGACAAGGUCAAAGGCAAGGAGGGAAAUAAUCCUGUUCUCUGUGUUGCAUCAAAACAUGGCAGUGGUAUACAGUUGAACUGCGAAGUGAAUUCACAGAAGGAGAUGGAAAAAGUUGAUAGUAUCUCAAGCCCAGAAGGAAAUGAUCUCAAUGCAGACAUGGAAACUCCUACAAAGGACAGCAGUCCCUGCCUUGCCACUAAUGCUUCUGUAGCAAGAGUUGAUGGUCUCAUACAGCUACUGAGGGCAUCAGAAGCAAUUGCUAGAAACUCAGAAAAUAAUGAUGCUAAGGUCAGAAGUAAUAAGGGAAAUCCUGUGCACAGUGUUGCUUCAAAAGAGAGCAAUGGUAUUCAAUUGAGUUGCAAUGUGACUGCUCAGAAGGGGAAAGGUAUUAUGCCAAGUCCUGAAGUGAAUGAUCUCAAUGCACCUCCUAUGCAGAUCUCAAAUGGACCACGCAACACUUACCAUCUGUCAUCAAGUUCUGGUUCUGCUGCCUUGGACAUGGUUCAUGCAAACUCUUCUUACAUUGCAAUGGAUAUAGAUCUGAAUAUACCUCUUGAUGUGACACCAAUAGAUUUGACCUCAGUAGACCUGGGGAGCAGUACUGAUGAAGCUUCCGUGGGUCGCAGCAGCGAGGCAACAGAUUCUGAUGCAACAAUGGAGAUGAUAAGUGCCUCACAGACUACUACUACUGUAACUCAAACUGCUCAGCAGCAGCCUGCUAAUCAACCUGGCUCUAUUUUGCUUUUUGGUCGUGUCAUCUAUCAAGCUCUAUCCACUGGGACAACAAACCAUACUCCCAAUCAGGGAAACCAGACUGUUGUCUCCUCAAGCAACAUGCCGUCUAAUCCAAUGUUUCCUCUGCUAAGGGGAAGAGGCCGUGGCCAAGUAUAUCCUUCUUGGGCUACUACUACUAGCGUUUGGAGAAAUAGUAUCCAAAACAUACAGCACAGCCAGCAAGCAAUGUUGUCAAACAGGCUGCUUUACGGUAGUUCGACUACUGGUGCUUCAGCUUCUGCAGCUUCACCACUCCAGCUUCAGCCUGGGAGCAGUGCUCUUAUCAACAUGAUGAACCAGCAGAGACAACCAGCUCUGGCAAACAUUACUCCAUACAGCAUAAUGAGAGGUGGUGUAUCUGUAGUGCCCUCUCCUCUGGUACCAGGAAGCAGCGGCGGUGCCGCCAGCUUCGUUAACUUUAAUGGCUUCAGUGCAGUCCAACAACAGCAGUGGUCAUACCCUCUCGUGGAUACAAGCAGAAUGGUGCUUGGCCACCCUUUCUACUACCCUGGCGCCACUGCAAGCCAAGCUUCUGCUACAGUUACUACCCUUCUAUCUAUUGGAACAAAUAAUGGAGAAGGCGCAUCAACAAGCAAUGCUAGGUAAACAGACGACUCAAACUAAUUAAAUUCUUUCUCUGUGUCUGUCUGUCUGUGUGUAACAAUGUUUCUUUGGUAUCCUAUUGUUAGGGCUCCACCAGCAGCAGGAAGAGGAAGAAGGACAGGCGGUCAUAAUUCAUGGCUCUCACUUGGCCGCAAUUAAUCAACAAUGGAGUGCAAGGAAGCAAUCAUGUGGCCGCCAAUGCUCUUAUCGGAGGCUGCUUGAGAGCAUCGUCGAUGCGUCAUCGGUUUUAUGUUAUUGCCGUUCUGCCUAGUAAUGCAGAAUUAUCGUACAUUGGUUAUUUAAGUCAGUUGCUGUGCUCUCGGUGGGAGCUGAAACCCGUAUUUUCUAUCCCUGUUUUCGUCUUAUCUCUUUGCUGAAACUUGAUUCUCCGUCGGAUAAUUUGGUUUUAAAUUUCCCUUUCCUUGUCAAAACAAUUAUGUCAGUUUGUUGGUGAUGAAAUAAUGACAUCUGUUUGACAGUAAGUUAAUUGGAGUAUGCUUAAAGCCUUAAACCUCUGUGAUUGUAUAUGUUCUUGUUUAGAUUACCAAUCCAGCUUUGCAAAAUGUGGUUUUCUUUAGCUUGAUGUCUUCUUUUAAUCAAGAAAGUGCACAUGUAGAGACGCUAGAGUAGGCAUGCACAUGAUGAGUUUAUUACCCUGUGAUUGAUCAUUUGAUAGGGUUUCCAUUUUUUUCAAACUGCAAGAUUUUUUUACUGUUUGCAUAUGUCCUCCACUGUAGGCUACAUAGAAUUUUGCAAGUCUGUUUGAUAUUUGCAACACAUAAGAUACAUGCUAGUAGCAGAAUGCCAUGUGUUGAUCGGAAUUUUUGUUUAUAUAUGAAUCCUGAUAGUUUACAUGCAGUGGUUCAUAAUUAUGAAUAAACUAGGAAGAUCUAUAUACGUCGUAGUCUGGGAACUCAAAUGUAGCAGCGGUGUCUCUUGGGGUUCUUGACCAGAGUCAUAGACAUGACCUGUAUGUCCAGGCUAUGUAGGUUGGAGGAUUCUAUUUCUAUGAAAUGCUGUGAGUUUAACAAAGAAGAGACUUUCAUGAUAUGUGAAAACAAGGAUGCAAAAAUAUAAGAAAGGUUUGACAAAUAUAUUAAUUUACUCUCUACAAACCGGUUAAGGUCUGGAGCUUCUCUCCUUUCCACAGUCAGCCAGAAAUUUUUCAACUGCUUGUGUUCUUCUUUUUACAGCCUUCAAUUACCCCACCACUUGUUACUGUAGAUGGAGAUGUAUCAUCACCCUAACUGGUUCGAAAGGAAAUAUAUCCCACCCUCGACCGCAACCUCACCUUCAUUGCUGCGCGUUCUCUCGCAUGCGCCCUCAUCAGCCUUCUCCUCUCCUUCCACAUGUCCUCCGCUCAUCCGCGGCACACUUCACGGAUAUGGAGGCCCUCGCAACUCUAUCUCAACUUCCUCACCCGUGCCACCACCGCCGCAACAUGACCUAGGGAUGGCCAGCCUCAUCUGCGCCACCACUGCAACAUUGCCUAGGGCUUCGUUGUUGGCAAAAUCCUCGACCAGGACAACUGCCCGGCAAUUGCUCCAAUACCGAUUCCCUUCCCUAUCUCUGGCAUGUGACAAAAUUCCUCUUUUCUUUUUGUUGGUUCUUCAUGGUUUUUCUUAUCAAGCUUAGUUUUUCUUUAUCUAUUGAAAUGCAAAACAAUGGAUGGAUUCUUACGCAACGCUUACUUUAUUGUGUGUAUAAACUUUAAAUUAAGUCGUCGAUUCUUAGCAGUCAUCGGCUUCUGCCCUUUUUUAGAUAAAGUAUAAUUUAUAUCUGGUUUCAUCUAUCGUCCAGAAUUCAGCCCGUAGGCUAGCAAACGUGCUGAAUAGUGUUCCAACUUACAGCAAAACACAAGGAAAAAAACAAAAAACAAGCGUAAAGUAUUGACUAAGUAAGGCCAAUAACUCUAGUUGACAGCCAUCCAUUGGAACCUAUCGAGACUUUGUUGUUCACUUCUCAUAUAUCUGUUCAUCUUUCGUGUUAAAUUCAUUGUCUUGGUCAUAUGCUUUUGCAGUGUGGCAAACUCUCAUUUUCACGCACUCAAUUUUUAUUUAUCGUGUAGUGAACACUCUUCAAUCACUAUGCAGUCUUAGUGAUCUUCUCUGCUUGCUUCCAUUGAAAAAUCGAUCGUGGCAAAUAGUGUGUCGGAACAUAAGAGGGCUUAAUGACUCGAGUAAAUGGGAUGCAGCUGUGUGAAAUAAAGUUGAAGAAAGCGCAUGUGGCAUCUUUUGCCUCCAAGAAACCAAGAAGCAGCAUUGUGACAGUGUGUUCAUUCACAAUUUUGCACCCACGCUUUGAUAAAUUGGAUUUUGUGCCAUCAGCGGUGAUAUACUGCUUGUCUGGAGUAGCUCGAUCUAUCAUCUCAGCCGCAGUAUUGGGCAAUAAACAGCUUUUUGCUAUUACAUAUUCCUUCACCUCGACCGUAGAGAGACCUGAAUCUGUCCUCGGUGUAUAGUCCUUGUGUUGAAUCGGCACGCUCUCAGAGUUCCUUACCUGGUUCAGGGGCCAUGCCAUUGGGCCAGAUGACAACUGGUUGGUCAUGGGGAAUUCAACUUCUACCACUCACUUGAAACUCGCAACAAACCAGAGGGUAACUUUCAUGGCACGCUUGAAAGCCUAAAUUUGAUUUUGAAUAAUUGAUAAAACUUAAAGUACUAACCUCUAUGCUAAGUGUGUAGAUUAGAUAAGGUUGGUAUAUACCAAAUGGUGGAGCCUAAAGGAUUAUGGUGAUGGUGGUGAUGACUACAAGGUGAUCAAGUGCUCAACUUGAAAAGAAAGAAGAGAAAAUCAAAACCCUACAGAGAUCAACACAAAGAUAUUGUUUAGGGUUUUUGUUUUGGUGAUCGAGAUAUCAUAGAGGGUGUAAUCAUAUUUAGGAUAUAUAGCCAUAUUACAAUAGGGCAAUUUUUUUUGGCUAAACGAUCUAUCCACUACCGGAAUCCGCAUCUUUGCCGAGUGUUAAAUACUUUGCCGAGUGUUUAUUUUCGAGCACUCAGCAAAGAAACUCUUUACUAAGUGUCCAAGAAGAACACUCGGCAUGACACUCGGCAAAGACUUCUUUGCUGAGUGUAAAAAAAACACUCAACAAAGACCUACUUUGCCGAGUGUUUUUUUGACACUUGGCAAAGAAGUCUCUUUGCCGAGUGUUUUCUUUUGACACUCGGCAAAAAGCUUCUUUGCCGAGCGUAAAAAAAACACUCGGUAAAGAAAAUUUCAAAUCAAAUUUUGAAGCCCUAAACGAACUCAAAUCAAAAAGUUUUUAACUACAAAGUUGUAUAACUUCUGAAGAUCUACAACAUUGAUUUUGAUCAUUUCUUCAUUUGAUAAAGCUAAAAUAAAUCUGUUUACAAAUUUUACAUCUCUCUUAUAGUUUAUGAAACUAAAAGAGAGUUACAUAAGAUUUUAGAAAAAUAUUAGAAUCACUAUGUCGGAUGAACACAUGACCAAAUAACCAAAAUAAACUCUGUAGAUCUUGAGAAGUUAUGAAAUUUUGUAUUUAGCAACUUUUUCAUUUGAGUUCAUCUUGUCAUGCAAAACCGCAUUUUUAAUUAAAAAUUUUAAAAUUUGAAUUUUUUAAACAACCUCAGAUGGAAAAACUCUCUAAAUAAACUUUGUAGAUCUCAAAAAGUUAUGAAACUUUAUAGUUGACAACUUAUUAUUUUGGAAUCAUUUUGUCAUGCAAAAACUACGUUUGAAUUUCUUAAAUUUAAAAUUCAAAAUUUGUAGGAUGGAGAAACUCUCUAAAUAAAAAUUGUAGAUCCCAAAAAGUAAUGAAACUUUAUAGUUGACUACAUUUUGAUUUGAAAUCAUUUAGGACCUCAAAUAAUCAAUUUACACACAAUUUGGUAUAAUAUUUGGGGAACCGAAAUGUACUAUAAACACAAGUCAUAGUGUGGUGUAGUGGUUAAGAGCGGGGAUGGGCCGCAAAAAAUUCCACAACUUGGCCAGUAGGUAGAGGCUGGUGGGCGCUGACCUCCUGUAAAUUUUUUUUAUUUCUCUUUUAUUUUGGAUUUUUUGGAUUUUUUCGUUUUUAUCUUUGCCGAGUGCUCGAAAAAUAGCACUCGGCAAAGACCCCUUUGUCCGCUAAAAUUUUGCCGUGUGGUCUUUGCCGAGUGUGGCACUCAGCAAAGGCUUUGCCGAGUGUAUUUGGGCGUUUGUCGAGUGCCACAGACACUCGGCAAAGCAUGGGUAUCCCGUAGUGAUCGAGUGCCACUAGGUAUUGGGUAUCCCGUAGUGAUCGAGUGCCACUAGGUAUUAUUAAUCAUGUGCAUGUAUUUAGAACCUAGUGUACUGACUUAACCCUUGAAAAUAUUUCUGAAAAUAUACUAACACACAUACACAAGGUGGUAUACUUGGUGGUUAGCACAUUCGAGCAAGGGUUUAAGAGGUGGAGAGGAGUUGGGUCUCUCUUUUGGCUUUUUUGUGGAAAUGAAAUGCCUAUUUUUUGUUGCGCCAGGGGCUAGAUUUGGAGAAAUCAUGGGAGUGUUUCUCACUAAAAAACACUCACUGGACGUUGACCGAGGAGCAUAGGACGAUGCAUGAGUGUUUCUGAUGCGUGCUGAAGUUUUGAUGCAGCAUAGAGUGGGUCACCGACGCGUUCGACGCUCUGGCACUGGGCGCAGCUGGAACGCUGUUGAGCGUUUAGUGAGUAGUGACGUCAACAGGAUCGCGAGCGAGGUUUUCGAGUGGUGUGCGUGUCAGACGCUGGCUAUGUCCGAUGGCACCCCAUAGGACGUGUCCGAUGCGUCCUCGAGAGGUUUAGAAACUCUUUGUGUUAUGUCCAGUGUGAGGAAGGCGCGUUUGAUGUGUGGCACCAGGCGCAUCCGACGCCUCCUGACCAAGUGUGUUAACAUUUAAUUGAACGUUGGAGAUCAACGGCUCAUCAACAUGGCAGCAACUAGGAGUUGCUGGGAGAGUAGCAUCAAACGUUGAGGCGCAUCGAAUGCCUAUGCACUGGAGCGUUUGAUGCCUCCAUUUUUCGUGGAGUAAGAGAGCUAACAGCUCUAUUUGUUGGGGACCCUUAUAAUAGUAUUUUGCCGGCUUACGACUUACUCUCUUAGCACUCUAACAUAUCUAACAUCCUUGUGAGCCUAAAAAAAUACCUUCCACUCAUCUCCUUCAAAGAUUAACUAUCUUUGUGAGAUUAGGAGUGAUCCAAAUGCAUUUGCAUGAGUGAUUGUAUCUAGUGACUCUUGGGGAUCGUUGUGGCUGCAGAGUUCUUAUUAUUCUUUGUGGUUGCCACCACCUAGACGGCUUGGAGCAGCGGUGGAGGUCUGGCAUGUGUUGGUGAUUGUUCGUGGUCAGCUCCGGUGAUUUUGAGGGGUUCUUUUGCCUCCCCCGACAUCAAAGGUAACUCUAGUGGAUUGCUUGUGUCAUUGAGCUACCUCACUUGUAGGUAGGUUCUUACGGUGUUUUACAUGAGGAUGAGGUUCGUGCAACACCUCUUAGCCAUUGAACCACCAAGUGUUGGUUGACACAACGGGGACUAGCGUCCUGGCAAGCUCGUGAACCUCGAGAGAAAAAUCUUGUGUCUCAACUAUGAUUGAUUGGCAUUCUUCUAGUGUUUGAUUGGUUGAUAUCUUGGUGAUUGAUUCAUCCCCUACACGGUAGUAUAAAGAUCACAUCCUCUUUAUUUAUAUUCUCGCAAAGUAGUGUAAUUAGCUUUAGUUGCUAGCUUUGCUUUGUGUAGCUUAUAUCACUAGUGUAGCUUGUAGUGACAUGGUUUUUGUGUGCCUAGUGACUUUACCAACUAGAAAUAUUAGAUAGGUGGCUUGCAAAACCCUUAAUUAGAGCUAGAGCAAAAGGCUUUGCUUUGUUAUUUAUGAACCCUUUGCCCUAGUACUUUGUAGAGUUUUCUAAAUAGGCUAUUCACUCCCUCUAGUCAUAUUAAGACCUUUCAACGAUCCUCUUCAAUGAAGCCAUCGGUCGUCUUGGCUUGGAUGAACUGCCGCUCAAAGACAGAGGGCAUUCACUUAGAGCAAUAUGUAGUAGAAACCCCUUUUAGAGUAGCUCAACUGGUUCCUUGCUUCGAUCAACUAGACCAACCAUACCCCUUGAUAGAAGUCAUUCCCCUAGCAAAGAUCACAUUAGACCAUAUUCCUUGUAAAAUCAUCAUCAACAAGCAAAUCCCCAAAUCUAGUCUUUUGUAGAUUUGAAAACUUUUGGACAGAGCACAUUGACUUCAUUAGUGUAGUAGAGAGCUCUUGGAUCCAACAAGAUCAACACGUCAACUUAGCUAACAAUCUUACAGCCAAGCUUAAGAAACUCAAACAUGCUCUUAUAUCCUAGAGCAAGGUUCCAUCAAUUUCAAACCUCAACUUGUUGAUUAGUAACUGUAAUGCAGUAAUUUGUUUUUAGAUACUUUAGAAUGAAGGUGUGCUCUCUACAACAUUGAGAAAAACCUAAGAUCCAUAGUGAAGAAUCAAUUAGCCAAGCUUCUCCACUAUAAGCACCUUUAUUUAUGUCACACCCAAAUUUUAAGAACAAAAUAGGAUGCAUAAAAGACUCAUGUGCACCCUAGAAAUAGUCGCACACAUAAGUAGACAAAUAUCAAAUAGUACCAUCACAGUGUUUAUUACAUAACAUAUAAAUAUUCAUCACAUAGUCUUAAACAAUAAUAAUGGUUCUAAUAAAUAAACUCUCGAUGAAAGCAUCACAUAGGUGAAAGCCCUAGUUUGGUUUUGGAUAAUUGAUGAAAGCCUAGUACUAAACUCUAUGCUAAGUGUGUGUAGACUAGAUGAGGUUGGUACAUGCCAAGUGAUCGAGCAGGAGAUGAUCAUGUUGAGGAUGGUGAUGACCAAAAGGUGAUCAAGUGCUCAACUUGGAAAAGAAGAAAGAGAAAAACAACACCCUUUGGAGAUCAAGGCAAAGGUAUUGCUUAGGGUUUUGGUUUUGGUGAUCAAGACGCCAUAGAGGGUGUGAUCACAUUUAGGAUAAAUAGCCAUACUAUAAAGAGGGGAAUUCUUCGGCUAAGCGGUAACCAAAUGCCACUAGGUGUCAUUGUUCAUGUAGAAUGCAUUUAGAACCAAGUGAGCUAACUUAACCCUUGAAAAUAUUUGUGAAAAUAUGCUAAAACAUGAGCACAAGGUGAUACACUUCAUGGUUAGCACGUUUGAGCAAGGGUUGAAGAUAUGGAGAGAGUUUGGGAAUCAGUGCUUUUGAGAAAAUGAAAUGCAUAUUUUCUAUUGCACCGGUGGAAAGUUUAGAGAAGUCACAGGAGUGUUUUUCACUAAAAAAGCACUUACUGGACGCUGGCCACGGAGGCAUCAAACGCUGGCCUAGCGUCGGAUGUAUAGUGGCUAAGCAACGUGUUGUUGAACUGUGUGUCGGAGCGUCUGAUGGGUGAGCGUCGGACGCAGCCCGAGCACUAUUCCUGCAUCUAGUGAGUGUUGAUGUCAGUUAGCGUGGAAGUAAGCACUUUUGACUGUGAGCGUUGGACGCUAGGGAGUGUUUGGUGAGGCAGCAUCAGACACAUCCGACACCCAUGCAUUUUAUAGAGCUCCCUAAGUAGCAAACGGUGCUGAGGGGUGCAUCCGGUGCGUUGCACUUGACAUGUCCAACGUAUUGUCUUUGAGAAUUUGAACAUUUAAGUGACCGUUGGGGAUCAACUAGUCACAUUUAACUGAGGACACAUGGCGUAAUUCAGCACGCCAAUCAAGUCAGCGUCGGACAGGGCAAGCCGAGGAGCCUAAUGGCUCUAUCUAUUAAGGGGGCUUAUAAAUAGUAUUUGGUGGGCUCAAGGAUAACCGUCUUGGCAUUCUAGCAUACUUGACAUCCUUAUGAGCCUAAGGAAACAUCUCACUCAUCUCCUCAAUAGAUUAACCAUCUUUGUGAGAUUAGGAGUGAUUCCAAGUGCAUUUGCUUGAGUGAUUGCAUUUAGUGGCACUUGGGGAUCGAUUGGCUGUGGUUUUUCUUGUUACUCUUGGUGGUUUCCGCCACCUAGAUGGCUUGGAGCAGUGGAGGAGCAUUUGCUCGAGUUGAUAAUUGUUUGUGGCCAUCUCACGGUGAUUGUGAGGGUCUUGUACCUUUCCUGACAGAGAGCCAAAAGGUAACUCUAGUGGAUUGCUCGUGUCAUUGAGCUUCCUCACUUGUGGGUAGGUUCUUAUGGUAUCCUAGUGAGGACGAGGUUCAUGCAACACCUCUUAGCCACCAAACCACCAGGUACUGGUCGACACAACGGGGAUGUAGCGUGCCGGCAAGCAUAUGAACUUUAGGAGAAAAAUCUUGUGUCUCCAUUGUGAUUGUUUCAUUGGAUUUCUCCUGGUCAUUGGACUUUAUAUUAUUGUGAUUGGUUCAUCCCCUCUACAUGGUGGUAUAAAGAUCAAAUCCUCUCUUUUACUUUCCCGCAAACUAGAGUAGCUUACUUACUUGUAUAGAAACUUGGUAGCUGUCUAGUGUAAGUAGUAACAUAGCUUCUGUGUUACUAGUGACAAUAGCAAAUAGAAUUGUUGGAUAGGUGGCUUGCAAACACCCCAGGAGCUAGAGCAAAAAGCUUUGCUUUUUUAUUUACUAACCUCUUGCUCUAGUGAGUUUGUAGAAUUUUUAAAUACGCUAUUCACCCCCUCUAGCCAUAUUAGGACCUUUCAAUAGGGACAACUGUCAACUGGUUGACUCCAAGCCUAAUACUCAUUAUGGUAGUCCUCAUUCUAUUCAUCUUCAUUAGCACAUCUAGGUGUUGUCAAAUAGCAAGAGUGAGCACAUAUGAUACUCAACAAGCAUAAGUAGGGGUUCAUGAUGCUCAAAUAGCUGACACUGGUUUGACUACAUUUAGCUUUUGUAUAUAGUAGCAUAUUCAUCAUAUAGUAGCAAUAGCAAGGUAGCAUAUUUAAUGCCAUAACCACAUGAUCAAUAUAAGCUUAAUUAUCUCAAAGCAUAAAUGAUAUGUAAAUGAACAUAAUUAACAUAAUAAGCAUCAUCAUCUUUAAUGUAAAUGUCCCCAAGGCCACUCGUGUCUGUGAGCACGGCUAGUAUACCAGUUUAUUAAACACUCUGUAGAGGUUGUACAUCUUUAUCCAUGAGUCAUGAUUUACCCUUUCGCCCAAGGUAGCUGGUCACUUAAUCCCCUUCCUAGGGAGGUCGACAAGGUUCACUAUGAAGCCUUACAAAAGUUUGUCUCACAAGUUAGGGCUGCAAGGUUUUCAAUCGUCGAGUAGAUGUAGAGCCCCCCUUCAAAAUGGCACAAUGACGCACAACCUAUACAUAUAAGGACAGAGGCUGCACUAUAUCCGAGUUGGCAAGCCCCUCUAGCACCCUUAUGGGUACCUCUAACAAGCUAAAAAGGGUCUUCCAACUAAGCUAAAGCCAGAGCCGUUAGCCCUCAAGGUUGUACUGUCAAUCCUGGGUGACCACAUACAAAUAAGAUCUCAUAUAGUCAUAAGUCAUCUUUUAAUGUUCAUUACAUAGUCAUUAAUCAUCUUACAAGAUCAUUCAUUAAGUCAAACACUAGCAAGUACUACCCAAAUGCAUAUCCAAUAGGUAUCAAGGAAUUUCAAGAUAACAAUCAUGUAUGAUUUCACUAGGGUUGGCAAGGUGGACACAUGCAUAUAAUAUAUAUAUUAACAGUGUAUAGGUAACAAGGAUAGUCCCAAGUUAUACUUGCCAUGAUCAAAGCUUUCAUGUGGCUCCUGCUGGUCGUCAAAGUAUUGGCCUUGCUCACCAACGUAUUGCUCAUCGUCUUCACUCGAUCAUUAAUCAACAACACACAAGCAAUUAGAGACAAACAUAUACGAAGCAAACAAGCUAUGAUUAGAACAGUACACUAAAAGUAGCAAAGCAAAUAUAAAAUUUUAUAAAAACAUUCUACGUAGUGCUACGAUCACGUAGACGUAAAGUUCACGAAAAUCGGAAUUAAAAUGGAGAAGUUAUGGAUUUUCUAAGAUUUCCUUAGAAAAGUAAUUAAUUAAAUAGGGCCAUGAAAUUAAAAAAUUCCAAACUGAUGAACCAGUGAUACUAACAUGUUGAUCUCAUGAAGACAAAUCUAUUGCAAUUUGAACGGGACAAAACAGAGUUAAAAUGAGCAUUUUAUAAGCAAAACAAAUUUAGUGGCAAACCUGUAAGUAUUGGAAAACGUAUUUUUGUUUAAAUAGAUAGAAAAUACACUUCUAAAAUUGGAAGGCAUUUUCCUGCAAAGGCGCCAUGGACUGCGGGUUAAGACCAUCGAAAUUCUAGGGUUUCUUUAGCAAAAGUCGCAGAUGAAGGGGUAUCCUUCAUCCUUGGCCAUUGGAUUACAAACAGGCGACUCAGAUCAAGUUGAGGGGGGAGGGGCGGCUGGCCGCUGGCGGUCAAACACGGUGGUGCGCCAUGGCCGGCGUCGACCUCCUCACUGGAGCUCGAGGUUUAGGCGAUUCUAGGCGCCCAAAUUCAAAAGAAAAAUACCAUAGGGUUGAGAAGCUCAUCGCAAACUCACCUAUGCCCUUUUCUCGGGUCGAAGGAGAGCGGAGAGGGCACUUGGUGAUGGCGAUUGAGACUUGGCUCAGCGAGACCCGCCAGGCACGUCAUAGCUCAUAGCUUGGGUUUGAGCGGUUCAAUGAGGAGAAAAUGGGUUACGGUUAGGGAGGCCUAAUACUUAUAGGGAGACUUGGAGUGUUCCCUGUAUCAAAUCCUAGAAAAUCCAAGUAUGGUUGCCGUCGGGGGAGAGUCCUACUCAGUUUCAUGCUAGGAAGAAGGAAGGAGGAAGCACUGAUAGGUGGGACCUGGACAUUAGCGACAGAAAGGAAGGAAAGAGCGCUGGGCUAACUGAGUAGGCCGUGAUUGGGCCGCUGCCAAACCAUCACACGCGAGCAGGCCGAACACGCGAGCGCUGAGCUAUAGGUCUGUGAGGGGGAAAUGCUGGCCUCUGGCCCAAACCAAAGAAGAAGAAGUUUUUUUCUUCUAUUUUCCAAAGCUUUUUCAAAAGAGAUUCAAACAAAUUUGAGUUUUGAACAAAACUGCACAAUACAAAAACAAAAGAAAAACCAGCAUGUGUGCAAAAACAUGUUCCUAACCUUAUGAUGGAUUUUAAUUUCAACAAAAUUUAUUUAUAUGCUAAAUUAAAUACCCACAAAAAUACUUCAUUAAAUCCAAAUUAAUCCGAUUUAAUUGAAAGAAAAAUUUGAGUGUUACAAUUUAUUGGAAAAAGAUAGAGUGAAUAUAAUUAAAUUAGGUCAUGGAUGCAUCAAAUUACACUAUUAUGGUGUAGAGAUAUAGUAAUACUAACUUGUGUUACUAUAGGUUGAAAAAAGAGUUACUAGCUCUCUUAGUACAAAAUGUGCUGACCUUUUGUAUCACACAACACCUCAGGAGGUGCUACCGAGAAUGAUUGGAAUGAGGACUAUCGUAAUGAGUACUAGGGUUAGAGUCAACCAGUCGAUGUUUGUCCUUGUGUGGUGCUGCUAUCAAGAGAUUAUUUAUUAGUUUGCUACUAUUAUUGUUUAAGACUAUGUGUUGAAUAUUCAUUUAUUAUGUAAUAAAAAUAUAAUGAUACUAUUUGAAAUUUGUCAACUUAUGUGUGCAACUGAUUCUGCGUGUACAUUAGGCUUUUAUAUAUCCUAUUUCAUUAUUAAAAAUUAGAUAUGACAAAUUGGUAUCAGAGCUUUGUUGACUGUAGGACAAAAGCCUAGUUAGUAAUAGUCGUUUGUAGCACCCUUGCUUCACUUGUUUCAUGCUUUUAACUAUAACCUUGUUAUUUGUUAAAAGUUUUACUCUUCAUGCUUGUUUAAUCUCAUUCUAUUAUGAAAAUUUAUUGCUUCUGUCUAAUCUAUAUCUAAAGUUUUGUAGAUGUCUCCCUAUCCCCGCAAUGUCGUUUGUAUGACUGGUGCAAAGUACCGUGCUUUAUACAAUCCCAUGGAGCAACACAUGGAUGAUCCCUGAGAGAUUUCGGAUGAAGAGUCAAGAGUGAGAAACACCCAGAGGGAAGACAUACAUGAAGAGGAAGAGGUGGAACUCCUACCACCACCCCCAUCCGCUCUCUGGUAGUUACCCCACCUAUGGGUUGGACCAACAAGCUCUACUUUAUGGAUCCAGAACUUGAUGUCUUUUUUCAUGACCUGCUGGUGAAGACACUAGAUCAUUACUAUUCAAACUUGCAAGCCAUACUGGAGUACCAUAGCAUGGAGGCAUUCUUAGAGGAGCUAAUAUUGGGAUACUAAGCUGUGGGUUAAAUCCAUAGAUGUGAACAAGAAGGCUCGCAAGGUGGAGUCGAUUCACAACACCCGGGUUAGUCGGCUACUAAAGAAAAGAGCAUUGCAGAUGCUACCUACAACGCACUUGUUUACUACCGUGGAAGGGGCUAUGAUGCUAUGCAGUAUGAUGGGUUGAUAUACUAUCCUCGUUUCUUGCUAGAUGAAGGUACUUAGACCAUAGAGGUCGCUGAUGCAAAAUCACUAACACUCCAAGUGCAAGUUGAGCUGACCCGUGAACUAGAUAACAAGGUGGUGUGUCCCUGGAAGAUGAACUGCACAAUGAAAGGAAACUCAAUGAGCAAGAGCGCAAGGUGUCAGAUGAUCUCCGAGAUGAGAUAGGCCAUCCCAAGCUUCAGGAGAAGAUUCGUACACCUCUCAUCAAGAAAGACUCAGCCCUAUAAGGAUAUGGAACCCAUAUGUAAUAGGAAAGAUAUUAGUACUGUGAGUUGUGUCGAGUUUUAAGUGUGGUGUGAACAAUUGUCUGCUUGCUUGGAUUAUUAUUGUGUUAAUGUGUGAUUUGGAUCUUUGUGAUGAGUGCUGCAACUUUGUGGGCAUGUCUAUAAGUUCCAUAGUUGACAAUGUUAAGUUAAGAACAUGAAUAAAUAGAUGGGCUGGUUAUAUCCUGUUUCUGUCCUUGCUGUUUUCUGGCGCAGUCUGCGAUGUUUCUGAUAUAUAUCAAAUUCUGUACAGGCAAAAUUUAUGAAAUUCUUCUGGGAACAACUAGACAUCUGUAUCUUUCCAAUUCCUUAAGAAUUACCUUAUUAUCUGUUCUGAGAUGGGAGUUAUAACCAUUCUAAUUUGAGGUUCUUGUGCAGUCUGGAAUUCUGGAACAGUUUCGGUUACUCUCUGUUUUGACUAAAUUAAUGAUAGCAUCUGUUAAAAUGAUCUAAAUAAAAGUUGUGGAUAAUUUCUUUAUAUUUCUAUCCAAAUAAAUUACAUCCCUGUUAGACAUCUGGAGCUUGAUAUAUGACUGUUUUUCCAAACUGGUGAUGUUGGAAUUCGUCCAGAAAAAUCAGAUUUACUUAUCUCUUGUAUCUAUCAUAUUGGUUAGUACUGAGAUUUGUUUCUGUGCUUUGGAAAACAGAUUGCAGCAAGAGGUAGAGGCAGAGGUGCUAGUCCACCAAUCUCAGUGGAAAUCAUGAUGAAAAUCACGAUGUAAACAUUCAUGCAACACCUUCACAACCAGCCUGUAGGAGCACCACCACCUGUCCACAUGAGGGACAAGCAUGGUGAAUUCAUGAAAGGACGACAUCUAGUUUUCUCUCAUUCUAUUGAUCUUGGAGGCAAAUGAUUGGCUACAUGUUGUGGAAAAGCUGUUAAACAUAGCUCAGUGUAAUGACAUGAAGAAGGUGCUUUAUGCCUCUGGACAGCUACAUGGAGCAGCACAGACUUGGUGAGGGUCCUACCAGGCUACUCGUCCCAACAAUGCCCCCACCAUCACUUAGCAGGAAUUUUGCAGAGAUUUCUAGGCAUGCCAUAUUAAUGAUGGGUUGAUAGAGCUUAAGCAAGAAGAAUUCAAAUCACUCAGGAUGGGGUCCAUAUCUGUUGCUAAGUAUCAUGAUACCUUUGAACAGUUAGCUCGUUAUGCUUCUAAUGAGGUCAGUGAAGAUGCUAAUAUGCCAGGUCUAUUUAUGAAGGGUCUCUAUUAUGAACUCAUGUUGCAACUGGCUGGUAAUACCUAUGCUAACUUCCAAGCUUUAGUGAAUCACGCUAUUGUGCUUGACAAUAUGCACAAGGAGCAAGAUAGAAAGAGGAUAAUGCAAGGACAAGGCUUUUGGAGUAACAACUUCUAGGGUUUCAACACACAACAAGGUUCUCAGUAGAGGUACCACGGACCAGUUAGUCAGUGAAACCAUAGUCAGUAUCCUCAACCCUCUCAGAACCAGCAGUAGAAUGGGAAUGAAUGAUCACAAUUUCAGCAGCGUAACUCUUAUCAACAGCACGGUGGUUAGCUGACACCCCAUUUAGGGGAUUCAAAUGCCACUCCAAUGAAGACUAGUGCUCCCAACACUCCAAGAAAAUGCUUCUGUUAUGGAAAAGAGGGACACAUGUCUUACAAUUGCAUAGAGCCACCAAGAUAGCCGAACCUCCAGGGCCAGAAUAGCAACCAUAAAGGAUAUCAGGCAUCUAACUCUAGAAGAGUGAACCAUGUGCUUGUGGAGACAACUUUUGAGGAACCAAAAGUCAUGCUUGGUAUGUUUGAUGUCCAUUCGACUCCCACUACUGUUCUUUUUGAUUUUGGUGCUUCAUAUACAUUCAUUUCACAAGCUUUUAUUAGAUCACAUAGCAUACCUAUUUGUGCUAUGAAAAACCCCAUAAUAGUAAAUUCAUUGGGAGGGACUAUACUAGCUUCAUACUGUUGUUUCCCAAUUAGUUUGUCUUUAAGGGGGCUAGACUUUAAAUUGAGCCCCAUAGUGCUAAGGAUAGCUAGAAUUGAUCUCAUCUUGGGCAUGGAUUGGAUGAUGCAACAAAAGGUAGUGAUUCAAUGUAAAGAGAAGGUAACUGAACUGACAUCACCAACUAGAGACCAACUCAAGGUUGAGGUUAUGGUGUAGAAACAACAGACAACCAAAGUAAUCUAGCUGGAUGAUGAUGCCAAUCCUGAGGACCGUGUCGUAGAUGAAUUUUUGGAUGUAUUUCUAGAUGAUUUCCCAUGUAUGCCACCUGACUAUGACAUUGAGUUUAUAAUUGAAUUAUUACCUAGUACUGCACCCAUAGCUAAGCGACCAUGUAGUAUGGGGGUUAAUGAGUUAGAGGAACUUAAGAAAUAGUUAAUAGAGUUGCAAGAGAUAGAUUUUAUUCGUCCUAGUUCUUCACCUUGGGGUGCAUCGGUUAUUUUUGUUGAUAAGAAAGAUGGAAGUUAGAGAAUGUGUGUUGAUUAUCGGUCACUCAAUGAGGUAACCAUUAAGAAUAAGUACCCUUUACCAAGGAUUAAUGAUCUGUUUGACCAAUUAAUAAAUUCUUGUGUGUUCUCUAAAUUUGAUUUACGUUCUAGCUAUCAUCAGUUAAAGAUUUAGAAUUAAUAUAUACCAAAAAACAGUGUUCACAACAAGGUAUGGGUUGUAUGAGUACAUAGUUAUAUCUUUUGGUUUGGCCAAUGCACUGGCUUACUUUAUGUACAUGAUGAAUAAAGUGUUUAUGGAGUAUCUUGAUAAGUUUGUGGUGGUAUUCGUUGAUGACAUACUAGUAUUUUCUAAGAUAGAAGAAGAACAUGUCAUGCAUCUGAGAUUGGUUUUGUAGAAACUUAGAGAGCAUAAGUUGUAUGCUAAGUGAAGAAAGUAUGAGUUUUGGUUAAAGGAAGUCUCUUUUUUUGGUCAUGUUGUCUCCAAUGGUGGAAUAGUAGUGGACCCUAGAAAGGUGAAAGAUGUACUGAAUUGGAAGCCACCUGCUACCGAUGUAAGUGAGAUCCAUAGUUUUCUUGAUUUAGCUGGUUACUAUCAGUGAUUCAUUGAAGGAUUUUCAAAGCUUGCUAAACCUAUGACUGCUUUCUUAGAGAAGAAUGCUAAGUUUUUCUGGUCUAACAAGUGUCAAGCUAAUUAUGAAGAAUUGAAGAAGAGAUUGACUACUGCACAUGUGUUGAUAUUGGUAGAUUUGAGUAAGAGUUUCUCUUUUUAUUGUGAUGCUUCCCAUCAAGGUUUGGGAUGUGUUCUUAUGCAAGAAGGUAGAGUAGUGGCCUAUGCAUCUAGGUAGUUGAGGAAACAUGAGCUGAACUAUCCUACUCAUGAUUUAGACUUAACAAUAAGUGGUUCAUGCAUUGAAAAUCUGGAGACACUAUUUGAUUGGAUAUGAAAGUUAUAUAUAUACUGAUCCUAAGAGUUUGAAAUACAUCUUCACCUAGAUGGAUAUGAAUUUGAGACAACAUCAUUGGCUGGAAUUGAUAAAGGACUAUGAUAUAGAGGUGCACUAUCAUCCUGGAAAGGCAAACAUUGUUGCCGAUGCACUUAGCAGAAAAAGAUAUGCUAACAAGCAUCAGGCAACACGUGUGUCUGAUGAGUUGUGUGCAGAGUUUGAGCACCUGAAUCUAGGCAUUGUUACUACUGCUAUAGAGAUAGAAGUGACUCCUACUUUAGAGAAAGAAAUACAAAAAGGUUAGCUAGAGGAUGAGAGACUCAAGGAAAUAGCACAGAAUGUGGUACUUAGAAAGGCGCCAGGAUUCAACAUAGAUGAUAAUGGUACACUUGGUUUGGGAAGAGGAUCUAUGUGCCUGAAGUGAAGGCUACUCAUGAUAUGAUUCUACGAGAGGCUCAUGAAUCAACUUACUCUAUUCAUCCUGGUAGCACUAAGAUGUAUCUGGAUCUCAAAAAGAAAUAUUGGUGGUAUGGGUUGAAGAGAGAUGUAGCUAAGUAUGUUGCCUUGUGUGAUAUUUGUCAAGAGGUGAAAGCUGAACAUUAGAGACCUAUAGGUUUGUUUAAAACAAUGAAGAUACCUCAGUGGAAGUGGAAAGAAGUAGGCAGGGACUUUAUAGUGGAUUUACAUUGUACUCAAUUAGGUUAUGAUUCGAUAUGGGUAAUGUGGAUCGAUUGACUAAAGUUGCACACUUCUUGCUAGUUAAAACCACUAGUAAGGUUGGAAAAAUUGUACAUAGAGAGGAUACUAUAUUUGCAUGGAGUUCCUAAGAAGAUUGUAUCUGAUAGAGGAACUCAGUUCACAUCUACUUUUUAGAAGAAAGUACAUGAUUCAUUGGGCACCAAACUGAAUUUUAGUACAACCUAUCAUCCUAAGACAAAUGGACAGACUGAGAGGAUCCAUCAGAUACUAGAAGAUAUGUUGAGAGCGUGUGCAUUGUCCUAAUUAUAAUCCUUGUUUGCUAUGCAUGAUUGGCUCUGAUUGCUUGUGUGUUGCUGAUUGUUGAUCAAGUAUAGACAGUGAGUAGUAUAUCAGUGAGCAAGACUAGUACUUUGACGACCAGUAGGAGCAGCAGGAAAACUUUGAUCAAGGCAUGUAUAGCUUGUGACCGCCUUGAUUACUUAUCCACUAUAUAGAAUGAAAUACAUGUGCAUGUGUCUUUUGAUACCCUUUUAAGGAUGACUUAGUAUUGAAUUACCUUAUACCUUGUUUUCCUUGGGAUAUGUGCAUGUGGGUCAUAAUUGCUAGUGCUGAAUUUAUGACCAUGAUAUUGCAACAUGAAUAAUGGAAUAUGCAAUAAACAUUAAAAGAUGAUUUUUAGCAACAUGAACAAAAAGGUUGAGAAGAGCUCUGGCCUUUAUUGAAUGUUCUUGACCCUCCAUAAGGACUUAUCCUUUGGCAAAAGCUAGGACAAAUCAUACAACUGUGAGGGCUACCUCUAGCUCUAGUUUCUUAAGAGAUCUUUUCUAGCUUGUUAGUGGUUACCUUAAAUGGCGUAAAAAUGGCUUGACGCAUUGGGUAUAGUGUGGCCUUUGCUGUUGUAUGUAUAGGUUGCUUGUUAUGUGCCUUGGCAAGGGGAGCCCUAUAUUUGCAUGUUGAGUGAAUCUUAUGGCCCUAACUUGUUAAACGAACCUUUGAGUGGCUAUAUAUGGUUACUAGUGUUAUGGGCCUUGCAAACAUAUGCAUUUGGAAAUCAGGACUCACAAUGAAAGUGUACACCCCUGCGCAGAGUUUAACAAUACGAUAUAUUAGCCAUGCCCAUGGAUAUGGGUAGCCCAGAAAGCUGAUGAAAUAGAUUAUCACUAUUGAAUGAAGUUAACGAGUAAUUAUGAUGAAUGAUGAAUAAUUAUGUUGUUUAUGUAUUAUUCUCUAUUCUUGUAUACAUUGAUCAUGUGGUUAUGGAAAUAAAUACUACCUUGAAUGCUAUAUAAUGUUAAACAUGAUACAUAUAGAAAAGCUAAUGCAGUCAAACCAGUGUUUGCUUUUUGGGCUUCAUGGACCCCUGUUUAUACUUGUUGAGUACAAAAUGUGCUCACUCUUGCUAUCUUAGAACACCUCAGGGUGAGCUACCAAGGAUUAUUGUAACGAGGACUAUCGUAAUGAGUACUAGGCUUGGAGUCAACCAGUCGACGUUUGUCCUUGUGUGGUGCUGCUAUUGAGAGAUUAUUUAUUAGUUUGCUACUAUUACUGUUUAAGACUAUGUGUUGAAUAUUCAUUCGUUAUGUAAUAAACACUAUGAUGAUACUAUUUGAGAUUUGUCAACUUAUUUGUGCGACUGAUUCUAGGGUGCACAUGAGCCUUUUAUACAUCCUAUUUCAUUCUUGAAAAUUUAGUGUGACAAGUUUGAACAUACAAACAUCAAAGGACAAACACUUUCCUGGGUUGGGCUUCACCAAUAUUGUUGCAUUCAGGGGUCUCACUUAUGGCUCAUCUUCUGCUAUUGCAUGAUUGAUAUGCAUUUUGUGGAAUUGACAUCCUAUAUUAGCUUCACCAACAACAACUUCUGGAUCAAUGUUCAAGAGAGUUGCAUAGGUCACAUUAGUCUUAUUAGGAUAGUUUGAACUCAAUAGUAGCACCAUGGACCCAACCUACAUUAAUUUGGCAUAAUCUCUUAGUGAGAAACAACGAUUAGUUUGUACAUCAAGAUCAUGCAAUUAGAACAAAUGAUAUUAUAUUAAUCUACCUUCAUUGGAAGAAGUUGUUUAUGUGUUUGACACUAGUACAGAAAUUUUGGCAUGUAGCCUUGUCAUGAGUCACCUCCUAGUGCGCAAUGGUUGUAGUCUUUCCAAGCCUGACGUGAUGAACCUUCAACAUAUAAAAUGAAGUAGACAAAAGUUAUACUAUAAUGAAAGCAAAGUGUUCCUAGGCACCCUUUGUUUCUUUAUCAUUUUAUUUGUGGGGGAAUCCUUUGUGGAUAAAAGUAGAUUGUCAUCAUCACUAAAUUCAUACUAACAUGUCUCUUUAUUCUAGUAAAGAGAAAAAGACGGUAGCAUGAGUUAUUAUUAAAAAAUCCUUUGUGGAUAAAUAAGUAUUAAAUUCACAAGCAAGCGACUUUACCCAUUCAUCCCUGUGUUUAAGGAAUCCAUCAUCCUAGUUGGGUGCAACACAUUGAACUAUCUAAAAAUUUAAACAAUAUUAAAGCCAAAAGGCUAGAUUAGGUGAAAACAUGGAAAGUAGAGCAAAUACCUUUCUUUUAGAAUGCACCGCUAGAUUUUGAGAAUUGCUAUGAUCACUCCUAGCACAGUUUCCCUAGAAAAAAUAUAACGUUUGAGUAACACAUUUUAUAUGGAGUUACAAAUUAAAAUAUACAUUUUAUUUUGCAAUAACUUUGUUUUGCAUUCUAGAAUGCUCUUUGGGUUGCCUUAUUUCCUCCAACAUGUGAGUCUCUGCAUUAGAUAAUGAGCCAUCUAUUGAAACUAUAUAUAUUAAUGUCUUUAAAAUGGUGUGUUGUCUGACCAUAAAUUUUUUUAGGAACUAGCAGCAAUCUGCCAUGCUCUUCUCCAGGUUUCUCUUCUCCCAACACAUGACGUAAUGCAUCACCUUUCCAUGCAGCUCCUCCCUCACUAUGUGCUAACUCUGGUGUGUCUAGAAUAUUUUCCAAUUGAACAUACAAGCAAGAAAUCCCCACACGUUAGAAAAUAGAAAUAGUAUAUUUGCAAAAAUUCCCAUGUGCAUGUAGCGUACCACUAGUUCAUCAUUUCACUAGUAGAAAGAGGGUCAUUGCUGGCGCCCCCUUUUUAUACCACAGGCGGUUCCAGUUACGACGCGCCUGUGGUAUAAAUCGGGAGGUGUCAGAGAUUUUCGGCCGCCUGUGGAGACGUUUAUCACAGGCGGUUGACUUAAGCCACCGCCAGUGUUAUCUCUGUAUAAAUACCCCUUCUUCCUCCCCGACCAGAACACAGUAUCUCGCACCCACCUUCCAUUGGGGGCGAUUUUGGAGUUCCAGAUUUCUCAAAAUACAAGGGGAGAGGUUUUGAUCUUCAUUUCUAGGAAGGAGGUUGCUAAAAGAGGUUAGUUUAUGUCCCUAUUGCCUCAAUUUGCUCAUUCUAGCUCAAUUUGAGCCACUUUUUGGAUCUAGGGUUUCACCAUGAGUGAGAGAGAAGAAUUGCUAGCUUUUUGUCUUGAUUUGUUGAUAUGGUUAGAUGGGGUUGUUUAAUAUGGUUGGAUAAUGUCUCUCAACAUGUUUGCUUCUCAAUUUAGCUAGUUUUUACAAGAUUAAACCAAUGGUGUGUUCUUUGUAUACUUAGAUUAUUUUUUAAUUAUGUAACUUAGGUUUUUUCCUUUAAUCUCAAGCUUAACCAUAAACCCUAGCUAAUAAACCCUAGAUAAAUUCUUUGUAAACCCUUAGAUCAAAUGAAUGGUGUUUUACAGGUAGUGAUGGAGAGGUCAUUUUGGAUGUAUAAUUUAUCAAGACUAGAUCCAUCAUACAUAACUGAGGUCCAGAGGUUUAUUGAUGCUGCUCAAAACCAUGCUUCAAGAACAAGAAAGACGCACGNNNNNNNNNNNNNNNNNNNNNNNNNNNNNNNNNNNNNNNNNNNNNNNNNNNNNNNNNNNNNNNNNNNNNNNNNNNNNNNNNNNNNNNNNNNNNNNNNNNNNNNNNNNNNNNNNNNNNNNNNNNNNNNNNNNNNNNNNNNNNNNNNNNNNNNNNNNUUUCUAGAGCAAUGUUGCGUCGUAUCGGAAGAUCCAUUAGUGUUCUUCAUGAAAGGUAUGGAGGCCCUAAUGAAGGCAGCAGAAGAGCCUUUGUAUGAUGAGUCCAAGGGUUGCACCAAAGAGUUCACGACGCUGCGGUCUGUGCUAAAAUUGUUGGUGUGCAAAGCUAGAUAUGGUCUUUCUGAUGCUGGCUUUGAUGCGUUCUUAAGCAUUAUCGCAGACAUGCUUCCUAAGGAUAACAAAGUGCCUGCUAAUACAUAUUAUGCAAAGAAGCUAAUCAGCCCACUCACAAUGGGUGUUGAGAAGAUCCACGCUUGUAGAAAUCAUUGUAUCCUAUAUCGAGGCGAUGAUUAUAGAGACUUGGACAGCUGUCCCAAGUGUGGUUCAAGUAGGUACAAGACAAAUAAAGACUACAUAGAGGAAGAGUGUGUUGCCUCUGUGCCUAAGGGCAAAAAACGAAAGAAGGCCCAACAAAAGACCCAGAAGAGUAGUUCGAAACCCACCGGCAAAGAAAAGGAAGAAGUAGACUAUUAUGCGCAGAAAAAGAUUCCUGCUUUGGUAAUGUGGUACCUUCCUAUGAUCGAUCGAUUGAGGUGCUUGUUUGCUAACCCAGAGGAUGCCCAACUUAUGAGCUGGCAUGCUUCUGAUGAGCACAAAGACGAUGGGAAGCUUCGGCACCCAGCCGAUGGCCAGCAGUGGAAAGAUUUCAAUGAAAACCACAAGGACUUUGCUAAUGAACCAAGGAAUGUUAGGUUCGCACUGAGUACUGACGGAAUGAAUCCAUUUGCUGAGAGGAGCAGCAAGCACAGCACAUGGCCAGUGAUCCUCACCAUCUACAACCUCCCUCCAUGGUUGAUGCAAAAGCGAAAGUACCUUUUACUAACCAUCCUUAUCUCUGGACCUACACAACCUGGAGUUGAUAUGGAUGUUUUCUUGGAGCCCUUAAUGCAAGACAUGAAGAUACUAUGGGAAACAGGUGUUCAAAUAUUCGACGAGUACCGCAAAGAAUCAUUCACACUGAGAGCAAUUAUCUUUGUUACGAUCAAUGACUACCCAGCUCUCUUUACAUUAUCAGGGCAGUUCAAGGGAAAGUUUGGUUGUGUGGUAUGCAUAGAUGACACCGCUUACGUGUCCCUAACUGCAUCUAAGAAGAUAGUGUACAUGAGGCACAGACGCUUCUUAUCAAAAGGACACACGUACCGACUGAAAAAGAUGGAUAAGUACUUUGACAAUAAUAGUGAACUACAGACUACUGCUCCAUCAGGUAACAGUAAAGGCCAAAGAGUUUUCAGCAUAGUCAGCAAACUCAAAUUUGUUUUUGGGAAGAAGACAAAAGAUGGAAAACCAAGAAAGAAUGUCAAGCCAGCUCCAGGGGCUACAUUCAAGAAGAAGUCAAUUUUCUUCGAGUAUUUGGAAUACUGGCCAGAGUUAGACGUCCGCCACGCGAUCGAUGGUAUGCACGUUCAGAAGAACGUGUUUGAAAGCGUAAUUGGCACCUUGUUGGACAUGAAGGGCAAGACAAAGGAAGGAUUAAAUUCACGCUUGGACAUGGUACAGUUAGGCAUAAAAGAAGAACUUCACCCUGUUAGGCUAGAAAAUGGGAAGUACCACCUCCCGGCAGCAAGCUACAACCUCAACAAUGAAGAGAAACAUGAGAUGUGUGUGUGGUUGAAGAAAUUGAAAGUCCCAUCUGGAUUCUGCUCUAGCAUACGGAGUAUUGUGUCAAUGAAAGACCUUACACUCACCAACUACAACUCACAUGAUUGUCAUGUCAUAUUGACUACUUUUCUCCCUAUUGCCAUUAGGGCUAUAAACCCAGUGUGGAUAAAGGUUGUAGUUACACGGUUGUGCUACUUCUUCAACAGGAUCUCACAGAAGGUGAUUGAACGUGAUGAGUUAGCGUCUCUUAAGGAAUUCGCAGUGGAGACAGUUUCACAGUUUGAGAUGUGUUUCCCCCCAGCAUUCUUCGAUGUGAUGGUUCACCUUGUGGUGCACUUGGUUUCACAAAUAGAGGCAUUGGGUCCCAUGUAUUUACAUGAGAUGUGGACGUAUGAACGCUUCAUGUCAAUACUAAAUGGCUAUGUAUCAACUCGUGCUCGUCCAGAGGCGUCUAUGGUAGAGGGGUACUUAACCGAAGAGGCCAUUGAGUCCGGAGGUCCAUUCUGCAAUAGGGUCCUAAAAGACCAGGUUGCAAUAGGUUUGCCUCCGUCACGACACGAGGGUAGGCUGAAUGGAAGAGGUAGGAUGGGAAAGAAAUCAUACGUCCCAAAAGAUUACAAUUCAGUCCUCGAAGCACAUCACAGCGUCCUGCAUCAGCUCUCGAUAAUGGAGCCUUUGAUCAAUCUACACAUUGAAGAGCUUCAAAAACAUAAUCAUGGGCACACAGAUGAAUGGAUCAUGAAGGAACAAAAGAAUCAGUUCACCUCAUGGCUAAGGGAGCAGGACAUUCCACAUGGAGAAACACUCGAGGAUCGCACCAUCAAGGUCUUGGCAUCUGGGCCAUCACGCCAGGUCACGACUUGGCAAACCUAUGACAUUAGUGGCUUCACGUUCUGUACCAAGUCCAAAGACCAAAAGAGCAUGGCACAAAAUAGUGGUGUUCGAUGCGACGCCUUAGACUCUGAAACUGGUGAGGAAACAACUUACUUUGGCUUCGUUGAAGACAUAUGGGAACUAGACUAUGGUACAUUUCAGAUCCCUGUAUUUCGGUGUCAAUGGGUUGAAGACAAACAUGUCACAGUGGACAACUAUGGGAUUAGAGUUCUAGAUCUAAGCAAGGUAGGCUACAAAGAUGAUCCAUGGAUAAUGGCUAACCGUGCUGCACAGGUCUUCUAUGCUGAGCAGGUCCUCUCUCCUAAUGAUAAGAAGAAAAUUACAGACCAUCCAAAGCACAUAGUUUUCCCUGGAAAGCAACAAGCCAUCGGAGUUGAUGGUGUAUCUGACUUGGAUGAAUUUAACCAGUUCAGUGACAUGUCUCUCUUUGUAGACGACCAUCCAGUAAAGAUAAGGAAUGUUGAGCGAAGCAUUCCACAGAGCUCGUUGCCCUGGGUGCGUCACGAUGGACAAGGAAGAACAGUAGCUGUCUAGAUGUCAUUUGUCAUUUGCCAUGUAAUCUAUUUAUGAUAAAAUGUGUACCUUAUGCUAUGUGCCCUUUUCUAUUUCUACAUGUAAGGGUUACUAGUGCCAUUGAUGUCGUAUUGGUCUCAAACUUUUACUAAGGGUUACUAGUGCCAUUGAUGUUCAAUCCACCAAGUUUGGGAUUUUUCUGAUGUGGUUUGUUACUUUAUCCGGUUUAAUUGAAUUUUCGUGCGACGUCACCCACUAAUUAGCGCUUGAACUAAGUCUACCCCUGAAAUGACUCCAAAUGGUGCCAAACUUCUCCACAGGGUCUUAUAUACCAUAGGAAAUAAAACUUCCUUGUGGUUGGUGGAAAAACCUAGUGGGAUCUAGGUAUAGUCCACCAAUUUUCCUCUCUUUUAGCACAAAGAAAAAUGUAAUAAUAGCUUGCAUGACCAGAAAAUCCUAAGAUCUUGUGUGGGGUUAUCAUUUGAGUGUAGAAGCUUGCCAAAAAAAUUUCAAGACAUUUGGAAAGAGGCAUAACAUACAUGCUUCACAAACGUAUAAGAGUCAUUCCACCGAACUAUGCUCAAACAUAUGGGUUCCUCACAUUUAUAUUGUCAGCAAUAAAUUGCACAAAGGAAUAUAUUUUUCAUAGCAUUUACACACUACAAUAAAGCUAACAAAAUUGGAUUUACAUUUUUCUGGUAUUCCUAGAAUUAUUUAUGUAUUAAACAAGAUAUGAGGCACAUAUUCAAUUUAAAUCAUUUUAAAUAAAGCUGCAUACAAAAGUACCUCAAACAUGAAAUUUCAUAUUUUUAACAUGUGUCUCUGGUCAAGAGGAACACAACAAAAAUUUUUUCACUAAUUUAGGACAAAUAUUUUUGAAGAUAUGAUUUUUUGAAUUAUUUAAAUAAUUUCUAAAAAUAUAUAUAAGGAAAACUUUAAAUAAACUGAAAAUCCAUUAGUACUGGCGGUUGGCUAAGCCAACCGCCUGUACAAAUGCAUUAGUACAGCCAACUACAGGCGGUUAACUAAGCCAACCGCCUGUACUAAUGCCCGCCUAUAUAACCCUAGGUCUUCUCCGCCCGAAAAUUUUCUAAGUCUGGCGCCCUGUUCAUUCAAACUAAGCCGACACGCUGCCGAAAUUUUCCACCGCCAUCGCCGCCAUCGCCGCCGUUGUUGCCGACCUCGACGCCGUCACGCGGUGACCGUCUCCUCUGCCCUCGACGCCGACGCCGCCCCGCGGUGAGAGCCUCUCCUGCUCGCGCGUUCCCUCUCUCUCUCCCUGCGCAUCCUCGACGUGGCGGUGGUGGUGGUGGGGGCGCGAUGGUGGCGCUGCCCGGACGGGGAAGGGGGGCGGCCGCGGUGGUGGUGGUGGAAGGGGAAGGGAUGGCCGCGGUGGCGAUGGUGGAUGGGAUGGCCGCGGUGGCGAUGGUGGAAAGGGCGGUGCAGUGGCGGCGGCGGCUGGAGGUAGGGGAUGACCCCGACAGGUGGGGCCCACCUGCCAGAGAGAGGGAGAGAAGGGAGAGGGAGUGACGGCCUGCUGGGCCUGUUGGGUUGGAAUUUUUUCUUCUUUAACAAUUUUUUUAUGAAAAAAUUGAAUAAAACCGUAAAAACAGCAGAAAAUUUUAAAAAUAAGAUAAAAUAAAAAUAAAAUCAGGAAAUAUUAUUAUGUCUUUUACAUGUGAUUUUAUUCAUAGUUAUUAUUUUAUAAAAUACUUGUUAUUCUUUUUGUAAAUACAUGUUAUAAUGUUAUAAUAAAUAGCAAAAAAUAAAAAAAUCAGAAAAAAUAAAAAAAAAGCAUUCAUAAUUAUUCCUUUUAUAAAUACUUGUUAUUAUUACUCUUUAUAUAUGUAAUAGCAUUCAUAAUUAUUCCUUUUAUAAAUACUUGUUAUUAUUUCUCUUUAUAUAUGUAUUUCAUACCCCAGGAUACAUAAAUUUAAUUUAUGCAUAAAUUACAUAGAUUUCUGCGAUGAGUUCUCCACACAAGGACGAAGCACUGCAGUCCCAACCCACGGAGCAAGUAGAAGGGUCAACUGACCCUAUGGAACAAGCUCGUGAGGUCACGAAACAAGUAGAAACGGGCGAAGCAUCAGGUUCGUCCUAUGAACAAGAAGCUAGCGACGACAUGGAGCCUCCAGAAGUGAGGAAGACUCGUCGUGAAUUGGCACGUGACCCCGAUUACAAUCCAGAAGCCGAUGAGGUAAAUUAGAGACAUUCACGAUUUCAUGUAAUUAAAUGAUUUCUAUUCAUAGUUCCUACAUAUAAACAUGCCCAUGAUUCACAUGUCUAUACUCAGGAGGCAAUGUCUCAGUUUAGAGAGAUGAUGUCUCAGGAGGAAGUGGCACACGAAGACGCACCGGAACCGACGACAGGAACGACGAGCCCUGAGAGGCCAAGUCAGUCUAGAAAAAGAAAGCGACAAGGUUUGAAACGAGGCGAGAGAGGGUUGAACCAAUUUCCAGAUGACACAUAUGCCAUCACAGAUGUGAGCCCUACGGGACAGCCCCUAGCUCCAGAGGAGGCCCUACCCAAAUACAGGAACGCAAUUGGUUUCUGUGUGAGGGACUUUCUUGAUAUCACAGUUAAGAACUGGGCCGGUGUGUCGAAUAAUCACAAGAUCAAAAUUUGGGAUAAGAUUAAGACCAGGUUCCAGUUUCCUAGGAAUGUGCCAGAAGAUUUAGUGAAGGCAUAUACAAUGAAGCAAUGUGCGGUUAGUUUCCGAAAUUGGAGGUCGGAGAUGAAUGUCAAGUAUGCAAAGACAGGGAUGGAUCCGACAUCCAAAUACAAUAUUACUAAAGGGCAGUGGGCUGUUUUUCUAGAGCAAAGGAAUGACCCUAACUUCUUAGCUCGGAGCGAAGCCAACUCUCAGCUCGCAAAGAGGAACAAGUACCACCACCAUCUAGGCACAGGUGGUUACCGGCACCAAGUUCCUAAAUGGAGGCAAGAAGAGGCUGCGAAGAAGGCAGUAGGGUUGCCAGUGUUGUCCGAGCAAGUCGGUGAAAGGUCCGCGAAUUGGAUCCGUGCUCGGAAACCAAAGGAAACCGAGACGGGUGUGUCCUUUGAAGACCCAAUGCUUGAUGAAGCAAUGAAGAGCAUCUUUGGUGUGGCAGGCAUGCAGCAGGAAGGCAAGUUUACGCCACGAAGGGAGAGGGACAUCCUUAGUGUUGGCCUCGGUAACCCCGAGCAUCCUGGCCGUGUUCGAGGCAUCUCAUCUAAAGAAGGAUGGAAGGAUGGAUUCGGCCCUCAAUGGGCAAAUGAGUAUAAGAAACGUGAUCGGUACAAGGAUCAAAUGGCAAAUUAUUUUCAGGAAGAGGCUAAGAAAGGGCUAAACGGCAGGUGACCGACUGUUUACCGUUUAGCGUUUAGGAAAACAUUGACUACACCAUAUGAGGUUUUUUUAGACAACUUGAAAACUCCUGUGCCUCAUAUAGUAUUAUCAGAAAUUACGUGCAUCUGUUUACAAGUGUUCCAUCACAUAUUUCAUAGAGUAUCAUCCAUUUAAUAAACUCAUGGAUGCUACAACUGGAGUUUUGGUUGUGUAUAGAUAAAAAUGACCAUGAAGUGUAUGGUAAUUUCUAGAAAAGUUCCAAAUGUUGGAUUUACGGUGUUGCAGGUGCCAAAGAUGUUAGGCUAUUUAUAUAAUUUUGGUGCUCAGAGGACGACACUCCAUCUAGUAAGUCAGCAUUGUUGGGGGCAGUUGUNNNNNNNNNNNNNNNNNNNNNNNNNNNNNNNNNNNNNNNNNNNNNNNNNNNNNNNNNNNNNNNNNNNNNNNNNNNNNNNNNNNNNNNNNNNNNNNNNNNNAACUGACCUUAUAGUAACACACAUAGUAGUUGCAUCAAUUUCAAUAUCUGACAUGCUUCUGUCUUGCAGAAUGUUAUAUGCAUCACCAGAUAUGUAUUUUGGUUCGGACCUAAAUUAUUGUGCCGAAGAAAGGAAUGCCUAUCUUUGCCCAAUAGAUAUAGCCGAAGAUCAGCACACAUUCAGGAUCGGGAAUAACAGCAAAGAGGUACAGGGUUUGGAAGGUGCAGAACGGGAUGAGAAACUCCGAAAGUUGAAACUUGAUUUUGAAGCUAAAUACGCCUUCUACAUUGGACAUUCACUAAUAAAGUUUCAAGACAGGAAAGCGGUGGUGGCCCCGUACCACUUUGGGUAAGUGUGAGUUUACAAAUAUCUAUCUAAAUUAUUCCAAUGCAUAAAUGCAUCAUGGAUUUAAUUCGAGCAGGAGGCACUGGAUAUGCUUCAUCAUUUAUCCCAAGGAGGGAAGGGUGUUGGUAUUAGACUCAGCAGAUUUCCCGAAAGAAACCUAUGCUCCAUUCAUCAAACUGCUAGAGCUGUAAGUCAAGCUAUGCAUGCAUACUUAAGCAUAGUGAGAAUUUGACAAUAACAUGGUGAUUCUAUUUGAGAUCAUAGGGCAUACAGGUUCUAUAGGAUAAAUCAUGGAAAGUGCGAGUCCAAGAGACCAGGGCAACCAUUGGAGGUUAUACAUAACUGGCCGGUACGUAUAGAAAUUUACUAUUAUAAAUACAAAUCAUACACAUACGACCACAGUUGCAACUAUAAUUAAAUAACCACUCUCCUGUUAUACAGUGCAUGAAGCAACCACCGUUAUCUGUCCUCUGUGGCUACUACGUGUGCGAGAACAUGAGAGAAAACGGACGAUAUGCAAGGAACCCUGACAAGGUAAUAUAAGUAAUAGUCUAUUAAAGUUGGAAGUCAUAAAAUAUAUAAUGUUUAUAAACUUUCUUUGCAGGUAUAUAAGCAAGGGACGGCGGAGCGCAUGGACGAACGUGCUUUAGACAACAUAGUUGAGGACAUCUGCUCGUUCAUCAUGAAGCAUGUCAUUCCACGUGAAGGCAAAUAUCAUGAUGAUGAAAGCCAAUUAUCCAGGCCAGAGUUCCGAGUGCUAACAGAGAUUAGUAAGCUCAGGCUUACUAAAGAGGGUUAUUAGAGGACAGAAACAAACUUUGAUGUAUAUAUAUAUGAUGUGUGAUGAUGGAUAUACUCUUGUAAUUAACUUUAUGUCUUUGAGCACCAAACUUUGAUGUAUACAAAUGUAUGUAUGUAUGUAUGUAUGUAUGUAUGAGAUGAAGUAUUUAAAUUACAUGUUGCUAUGUUACAAGACCAACCAAUAUCAAUAUAUUUAAAUAAUAACAAUAAAAUAAUAAAUAAAUAAAUAGAUAAAUUAAAAAAUAAAUAAAUAAUACAUAUUUUAAUAGGUUUACACAGGCGGCUCUCUUAGGAAACCCCGUGGGAAUGGGCGAAUUGACCCGGGCUCCAUNNNNNNNNNNNNNNNNNNNNNNNNNNNNNNNNNNNNNNNNNNNNNNNNNNNNNNNNNNNNNNNNNNNNNNNNNNNNNNNNNNNNNNNNNNNNNNNNNNNNUGUAAUGUUUAUACUGGCGGCUCUCAAGUGACCGCCUGUGGAAAUGGACGAUUUGUACUGGCCUCCAGCGCAGGCGGAUCCGGAAAACGCUUGUAGAAAUAUGUUACCAACCGCCUGUAUAGUGUGCCAAUGUACUAGUGUUUAUCCCUUUUUCCCCUUUUCCUGUGAGUAGCUAGGUAAAACUUUGUUCUAUAUGGCUGUUUUUUUUUCAAGAUCAGCUUUCCUCGAAAAAAUAGCAGUAAAGAAAAAGUAAGAAGAAUUAUAUAUAAAAUUUAUAAAUAGAAGAUGACUCACUAUAUUCUUAGGCCAAUCAGCAUAACUCUUUGUACCCAUUGUAUGUGUUGUCUUCUUCAUUUCAUGACUUAUUUUUGUUCUACUCACUAAGGGUUUUAAUAAAUAAUGAACCAUUAUACAUAUAGAAAUCAACAAUAGUAUAGAUACUGAUUUUUAAAAAAAGUUCCAAAUAGCAUCAACAAUGGUGCCUUACUUGUCGUUCGUUGGACUUCCAAUAUUUUAUCAAGGCCUUCAAUUCAUCUUCAUCAAUAACAUUUGGACAAUGUAUGUUUAAAAUAGACUUCUUAUUCAUUGGAUUAAAUAGUGUCUUUUUAAUGGUGUCUUGUAUUUCUCCAAUCUCUUCCAAUUGAUUUUAGUAUCCACUUCUCACAUGAACGAGGAUACAAGAACUUUGUCUCAAAUAAGAAAGUUACUAAAUGAAUGAAUAUGACUUCAUGACAUAAUAACAAGCAUAUAUAUACUUAAAUUGACAACAUUAUGUCUUGUAAAAUUUAGCUAACCUAUAUGAAUUAAAUUAUGGUUUUUGCAUUGUUUUUCAUAACUUCUCUCCGAUCUUUGUCAGCAACCGGAUAGUAACCACCAUUUCUUGCUAUGGUGCCCAAAAAUUGUCCUAAAAAGGCCACCUUCUUUUCCAAUGGGCUAUCCAAGCAUAUUACAUCUUACUACUAUCCAAUCACCUUCCAGUAGAUCCCAAAGAUGUGUUCCAACAGAUUAUCCUAAAAGGCCGCCUUCUUUUUGCUUAGAUACUUUGUCACUAUCACCUAUUAAAAAACAUAUUGAUAGUGAUAGUAAUUAGUUAAUAUGUAGUCCACAUGAAUGAGAUUGAUCUAACUACAUUUGUAUUUGAUGUGCUCUGAUUCUAUAUAGUGCUUCAGUAUGCAUUACAUGAAUGACAUUGGAAGCUCAACCUCGUUACUAUAUAGUGCUUCAGUAUGCAUUACAUUUAAUGCUUUCUUUUUCUUUGUACCCCUUCUUCCUGCUAAAUAAAUGUUCGGUAUAUGAACACGUGUUUAUAGGAAAUAUAAUAAAACACAUUUGUAAUCUUUUAGUAAACUAAAUAUCUUUAUUAUACUAUCAAGACUGUAUUUAUUAAGUCACAUACCAGGUGGGGUGAAUAGGCUAAUAUUGGAUGAAAAUAAAUCAUUGAUGACUACCCUAAUUCAAAAUAGUUAAUUUGUACUUGAAUAAUCAGGUAUACAUCUAGAAGAGUAAAUUAUAUGUUCAUUCUAAUACCUUUAGUUUUAUCUAGUUUAUAUUUGGGUGGUUCUUUAUUGGACUUGGUAGGCACUAAAGUGGCUAGUCUCUGCAUCAUCAUAAGCAAGCUAACCAUCAUUUUGCUCUCACACUCGUUGAGCAUUUACAUCACCUUAGAUCUUGUUCUAUUACAACCAUGCUAUUUUUUCUCCUAUAGUAUAUAUAGUCGACCGAUGUUUGCCCAUAAUCCUUGAUCAACUCAACCAAGUUGAAGAAGCAUAUCUCAUCUCUAUCUAUUUCUGUUUGCACAUAUUUUUGUCCUUCAGCUGCCCCAUCAAAUUCAAGAUUUAUAUGGUCUAAUUAUCCACUUCUAUGGUUGAAAGCCCUAGUUUGGUUUUGGAUAAUUGAUAAAACCCAAAAUACUAACCUCUGUGCUAAGUGUGUGUAGACUAGAUGAGGUUGUUAUAUGCCAAGUGAUGGAGCAAGAGAUGAUCAUGGUGAUGAUGGGUGAUGACCACAAGAUGAUCAAGUGCUCAACUUGGAAUAAAAGAAAGAGAAAAACAAAACCCUUUAGAGAUCAAGGCAAAGGUAUUUCUUAGGGUUUUUGUUUUGGUGAUCAAGACACCAUAGAGACUGUGAUCAUAUUUAGUAUAGAUAGACAUACUAUAAAGAGGGGAAUUCUUCAGCUAAGCGGUUAUCAAGUGACAUUAGGUGUCAUUGUUCAUGUGCAUGCUUUUAGAACCUAGUGAGCUAACUUAACCCUUGAAAAUGUUUAUGAACAUUUGCUAACACAUGUUUACAAGGUGAUACAAUUGGUGGUUAGCACGUUUGAGCAAGGGUUGAGGAGGUGGAGAGAGUCUGGGUUUCUCUCUCCCUCCCGCCAAGCUUGUGAGGCGGCACUCGGUGCUUUUGAGAAAUUCAAACACAUUUUUUUAUUGCAUCGGAGAAAUGUUUCGGAAAACUCACCGAACGCUAGUCUCGGAAGCGUCGGACGCUAGGGAGCAUUAGGGGAGAAAAAUAUGUGUCGGAGUGUCUGACGGGUGAGCAUCGGACACGGCUCCGACACUGUUCCCGCAUCCGGUAAAUUGGUGAUGUCAGCGAUUGUGCGAACGAGCAGUUUCUACAGAGCGCAUGGGAUGCCAGGGAGCGUCUGGGGAGGACGCGUCACACGCGUCCAAUGCUCGUGCAUUUUGUAGAGCUCUCUAAGUAGCAUCCGGUGCUGAGGAGCAUGUCCAGUGAGGUGCACCUGACGCGUCCGACGCGUGAUCCCUGAGGAUUUUAACAUUUUAGUGAUCGAUGGAGAUCAACAGGUCACAUUCAACGUGGGACACGUGGCAGCAAUCUGAGCACAUGUUAGGGGAGCUUCGGACACUGGUGGCACGCCCGACGCCUUGUGUUGGAGUGUCUGACGCCCCCGAUAGGGCACCCCCAAAUGAGUAACGGCUCUUUUCUUUGGGGUGGUUUAUAAAUACUAGUGGACCGGCUCAAGGAUGUCUCUCUUUGAAUUUUGACAUACUUGACAUCCUUGUGAGCCUAAGCAAACACCUCUUACUCAUCUCCUCAUAGAUUAACCAUCUUUGUGAGAUUGGGAGUGAUUCUAAGUGUAUUUGAUUGAGUGAUUGCAUCUAGUGGAACUUGGAGAUCGAUUUGGUUGUGGUUUUCUUGUUACUCUUGGUGGUUGCCACAACCUAGAUGAUUUGGAGUAGCAGAGGAGCAUAGGCACAAGUUCGUGAUUGUUUAUGGCCUUCUCCCGGUGAUUGUGAGAGGUUUUGUGCCUUCUCCGAUGAAGCGCCAAAGGCAACUCUAGUGGAUUACACGUGUCAUUGAGCUACCUCACUUGUGGGUAGGUUCUUGCGGUGUCCUAGUGAAGACGAGGUUCGUGCAACACUCUUAGCCGCCGAACCACCAAGUGUUGGUCGACACAACGGGUACUAGCGUAUCGACAAGCACGUGAACCUCGGGUUGGUGUCUCAAUUGUGUUUGAUUGGCAUUCUCUCGGUGCUUGAGUUUAUAUUGGUGAUUGGUUCAUCCCCUACACGGUGAUAUAAAUAUCUAAUCCUCUCCAUUUACUUUCCGCAAAGUAGUAUAACUAGUUUAUUUGCUAAUUUAGCUUUGUGUAGUCAAGCUCACUAGUGUAGCUUCUUGUAAAGACAUAGUUUUUUGUGUGCCUAGUAAUUUUAGCAACUAUAAUUGUUGGAUAUGUGGCUUGCAAACCCUCUUUAGAACUAGAGCAAAAAACUUCACUUUGUUAUUUACUAACCUCUUGCUCUAGUGAGUUUGUAGAUUUUUUAAAUAGGCUAUUCACCCCCACCCCCUCUAGCUAUAUUAGGACAAUCUAAAUAAAAUUUAGCACCAGUAGGAAAAAAAGAAUAAAACAUAGGAUAAUUCAUUCAAGUAUAACAUAAAGUAAUAAUUAGACUAAAGUGCAUAUUUGUAAUGUUAUUUGUCGACGAAAGCUAGUCGGCAGUCUACCUUGGGGUAUACCCACGGUAGUAGUUUAUCGGUAGACGGUGCGCAAACUACGAACUCGAUGGUGACGCAAGACACGGACAAGCUUUUUAUCCAGGUUCGGCCGCCGAGUUGGCGUAAUACCUACGUCCUGCGUCUGGUUGUAUUGGAUUGUGUUGAGAGAAUAUUCUGUCCUAGAGGGGCCCCUUGCCCCUCCUUAUAUAGUCCGGAGGGCAAGGUUACAGAUCUGGAAACUAAUCCUAGUCGGUUACAAUUGCCAUAGAUAGUUCGAUAUCAAUUCCUAUUCUAACCGACUAGAAUCCUGCUUGAUUUUCACGGCUUGUUCCCUUGCACUAAACUCCAAGGUGUCAGAUCAAGCUUUGAGCUUGUCUCGUAAUGGGCCAAGUCUCCUGGCCCAAGUCUAGCCGUAAGGGUAUAGGGGUUUAUACCCCCACAGCUAGUCCCCGAGCACCAUGUAUUGUGAAGUAACACGCCAUCUUGAGCUUCUUCGACCAAUGAAAUUUUGGCAUCUUCAAUCAGCAUGAAAUUCACCCAUACAGUUGUGAUAGUAUUUCGACCAACUUAAAAGACAGUUGAUCAGCAUUGACAUCGAAGAAGCAGAUUGUUCGAAGAAUGCAUGGGGCUCGUAAUUUAAAAAAGAUUUCUUUCCUGGUGAAGUGUGCCCACUUUACUUUUCUGAUAAAUAUAGACCUCAGAAAAGCAAACAUAUUCACCGCAAGGUGAAGUGUGCCCACUUAGUCCCCGAGCCUGGUAGUAGGUGACGUAGGCACGUGGUGCCAGGGUCUAAAAAGAAAAGUCAUCAAAGAAAUUCUGAAACUGAGAUGCAUCGCCAGAUGCAUCGUACCGAUGUAGUCCCCGAGCUUGCUGGAAGGCGAAGUAUGAGCCUUGUAGCAAGGUCUAAAAAAUUGAAUUUACCAGUCCCCGAGCAUAUCAUGCUCGUAUGCAAUUGAAUAGACUAAUCGACCAGUCCCCGAGCAUAUAACGCUCGAUGGUCGGUACAGUCCCCGAGUUCUCAAAUUGGUGGGCUGGUCGACCAGUCCCCGGGCGUAUAGUGGUCGGUGGUCGGUGCAGUCCCCAAGCUCUUAAUUUGGUGAGCUGGUCGACCAGUCCCCGAGCGUCAAGCGUUCAUUGGACGCCGGAAUUUUCGAAAUUCCAGGCUGAUAGACUGGGCGACCAGUUCCCGAGCAUCAAGUGCUCGGUAGUCGGUGCAGUCCUUCAGAUCCGAGUUAAUAGACUGGGCGACCAGUUCCCGAGCAUCAAGUGCUCGGUGGUCGAUGCAGUCCCCAGAUUGUUGACUCUCUGCCACAUUUGUCUUCUUAUUUUUGAAAAAAUCUUUCCAGUUAAAGUUGACGUGACGAGGCCUCCUGACGGGGUGUCAGAUGGAUGCAUGAAAAGUUGUGCCUGGCAACUGUGCGGCCACCCUUUGCAUGGUUUGAGAAAGGGAACCAUCAAUUGGUACGAAAACUCCACCGCAUUAACUGUUUAUAAUCAUUGAAAACCGAAACGCCACAUCCACCGCAUGGCCCGCCCACUUCCCGAGAAUACGGGAAGUGGGGGAGGUGGAGUUGCGGGUUAUAAGGGCUCGACAGAUCCGCCUGUACUACUUACCCUGCCAUUGCCUUCAAGCCUUCCACCUUUGCCUCCUUCAAUCACCCUUAUCUUCAUAACUCAAGCCCACUUCCUCACCUCCAAUGGCGAAGAGCGAUUCCAAGAAGAGGGCCGAACUGAUGGCCAAGGAAUGGAAGAAGUCCCGCAGCACCGCCAAGUCCCUCGGUGACCUCGUCGACAUGGGGCUCCUGCACAGCUCGGAACUCGGCGGCUGGAGAGCGCCGGAAGGAGAAAGCUUCCCCGACCCCCGUGCCGGUGAGAUCGUCGUGUUCGAAGAUUUCAUUAAAAGGGGCUUUGGGGUUCCUGUUCAUCCUUUUCUUCAAGGUCUCCUUUUGUAUUAUGAGAUCGGGAUUUGCAAUCUGCACCCGAACUCAAUUCUCCUCAUCUCCACUUUUAUCCAUCUGUGCGAGGCCUAUGUUGGCAUAGAGCCGCACUUCGAUCUCUUUCGUUAUCUUUUCUGCUUAAGGAAGAAGGGAGCAGUUGGAGGCUCCAAGAUUGCAGGUGGAGUAUACCUCAAUCUUCGGGACGGGAUGAAGAACCGGUACCUGAGCUGCCCAUGGAAUACCUCUCUUACCGAGUGGUAUAAGAAAUGGUUCUACAUCAGGGAAGAGCCGGGCAGCUCCACGUUCUGUGACGUAGGGUACAUCCCCGAGAAGAGGAUCAGUUGGACCGACCGCCCAGAAUUUGACGGACAAGUAGCAAGCUUGAUGAAGCUGAUCGACUGGUCGCGCUUGGACGGGCUAGGGGUGGUCGGCAACUUUGUUUGCCGCCGGGUGAUGCCCUGCCAGAAGAGGGUGCACUCGGCGUACGAGUACGCCGGAAGCCAGGACCCGACCAGGAUGAGGCCUGAGGUCCUGGAGAAGGAAGAGGUGCAGCAGUUGUUGAACGAAUUGUUCAACUUUGCUGACGGGGGCUUCAUCCGUGGUAGUGAUCGGGUACAAGCUUUCAAGCUGGGACGACCAGCCCCUAAGGUGAUGUCCUUUACUUGACUGUGACUCCUUAGCAUUAGUUAUAUCAUCGGAUGCUGACUUCUCCGUAUUUCUCUUUGUAGAUCGGAGAUGUAGACAGGUACGCAGUGUAUGUAUCACUGGCGCCUGGGAUGGAGGAUCCCGCAAGGGAGGAUCCGCCGAUAGAGGACGCUGCACGGUGUGAUCGGUACACCAGCAGUGAAGAGGACCAGGCCCGUCCCAUCCCGACCACCGAGGAGAGGGUGGUGGGGAAAAGGCCAAUGGCGAUAGAUCCUUCGCCUGCGGCGACGCUGCCAGCGGAGAGCAGCCAAGCACCGAAGCGCCGUCGGCUCGUCCGGAUUACCGACGACGACGACGAAGAGGAGGAAGCCGCACUGUCGCUAGUCCGACGGCCUCGUAGCCGUCCAGACAGUGCGCCGACCACCACUGGUCGGGUGGCCAGCGAUCCUCCUUCGCCGCGCGUUACAGAGACGGGAACCCAAGCACCAACCGCCCGGGCUCGAAGGAGGUUCACCACGACCCACCGUCGAUCGGAUCUGUAAGUGUUCGACUUACGUAUUUUGGCGUUUUUUUUUGCUGAAAAUGCUGCUUUGAUUUUUAGCGCGGCGUCGGAUGUCAACCCCGACCACGCCGCCGGACAAAAGGCGGCCGAGCCUGCUUAUGCUGCUGGAGACGCGGCGCCGCAGACAACGGAUCAGCCUGCGGCGGCAGCUGCUGCUACAGGCAUCGAGGGAGAGUCUGCUCCGGCGAGUGCCGCGGCGAGCAUUCCGCCGAGGGAUGGGGAGGCAGGAAGGACCCCUCCCCCGAGUACUAUUGCGGAGGAGGGGAGCAGAGUCCCGACUCCUCCGGCCGAAGAAGGGGGGAUGCCGACACCGCACCGAGCAGGGGCUUCUUCACCCGUGGGCUCCCCUGGCCCAUACCAGGGACCAGUGAUGCCCUCGACCGCAGCCGGAGGCAGUGCGGCGAACGAGGAGCCCCAGGAGGCCUCCGAUGACGACGUGGAGGAGGUACAGGGUCGUCCCCAUGAUGGUCGUCAGCACAUCUAUGUGUGGCGCCAGCGCGGGGACCACUUUAUUGGUCACGAGGAGCUCGCGGAGACGGAGGAGGCCGCGAGGGUAGAGCGCGUGGCUAAGCGCUUCGUGGACGAGGUUAAGGUAGGUAAUCCUGUGUGUUGCUUGGAUAAUCUUUGUGCAGUGUUCCCGUAUUCGACAUGUGUUCUUCUUUGUUUUGCAGGGCGCAAUGAAAACGGCGAAGUACCGGAAACGGUGCUUUGACCAGAUCGAAGGGAUCGUGGCCGAGAAUAAGGCCUUGUCCGCGGAGGUAGACUGGCUGCGGUCGGAGGUUGGGGAGAAGGUAGCCGAGAAGAGCGCUCAGGAAGAGCGCUGUCUCGAGCUUACCCGACGCUUAGCCGACCAGUAUCGGCUGCGAGAAGGUUAGUCUCGAACAUUUGGGCGGCUGUGUGCGACCGCGUUAUUUGAAUUUGCUAAUCUGGGAAUUAUUCGUGCAGACAUGGAGGAGGAGGUCGCGCGCCUUCGGCAGGAGAAAGAGCAGCUCAGCCAAGAGCUUGCCGGGGCGCUGGAGGCCGGACGCCGAGCAGGGGAGGAGCUGAGCCGAAAGGACCAGGAGUUGUCUGGUAAUACGCACCGCCUCCGUUAGUCGUCGUUUAUCAUUUUUUUUAUUUUUGACACACUGAAUCUAACAUCUUGCUUGUCUUGCAGUGCUCAAGGUGAACGCCAAGAAGCACCUAGAGGGACCGGGACUCCUGGAAGGUCAACUGUUGUAAGAUCUGGAAAGAAGUGUCCCCGGUCCUGGACUUGAUCAGCCUCGUGAAGGACGCUGGGGAGUUUGCUGGUGCGCACAUCCUUAGCAUGGUGCGCGCCCACUACCCCCUGGUCGAUUUGACCAGGCUGGAGAAGGGGUACCCCAAGGAGGUCGGCCCGCAGGAGGCGGACGAGCUUCGGGGUGGUCUGCUGGGCUUGUCGUCGACGGUGAUCGACGACAUCAACCUGUGCGGAACGGCCACUCCCCCCGACCAGCCAGGUUCAGACAGGUCGGCCAGGGAGCUGUCGGGCGCGUCUAUUGCGGGAGAUGGGCGGUCGACGCCUGCGGUCUCGACCAGCCAGGCGCCGGUGGCCCCGACCCCUUCGUCCGGGCAGCAAGGCCAGGCGGGUGAUCAGCCCGAGCAGUAGGCCAGUAGGAUAGUCUGUAGGAGUAGACUAGUGUCCGCCCGUCAGGGUGUUUAUUGUAAACUUUGUAUGUAAAGUUUGUAAUAAAGUUUUGAAUUUGUCAUGACUACUAUUUUGAGCGCUGUGAAGUUGUCGGAGUGACAUGUCACUGUGCUUGUUUCAUGGUCGUUAAGAUUUUCCGUCGCAGAGGAUAUUGUUGUUCUUCGUCGAAAACUCUGCGUGUAAACAAAGUAUAGCCAAAAAAGAAAAACUUUUAUUACUGCCAACUAUAAGAGACUUACAAGCAAAAGUUACUGGAAUUUAUGGAUAAAAUCGGCGCAGUUUGUCUAUAUGCCAGGAGUUAGGCACGCGUGUUCCGUCUGGAUGCGCCAAUCUGUAGGAUGUAGGUAGUGUGACUUCGGCGACCAUAAAGGGUCCUUCCCAGGGAGUGGAUAGCUUGUGCAUUCCUUCUUGGUUUGUUUUCCACCUAAGUACCAGAUCGCCGACCACGAAGGAACGGUCCUUGACGUUCCUGUUGUGGUAUCGCCUGACGGCCGCGAGAUACUUUACUGUUCGGAGACAAGAAUUCAAACGCUUUUCCUCCAUGCAGUUGAUUUCGAGCUCUCUGGCGCUGUCGGCUGUUAACUGGUUGAAGUUUUCGAUCCUAGGAGAACCGAAGGUUAUGUCAGACGGCAGGACUGCCUCAGUGCCGUAAACCAUGAAGUAGGGAGACACCCCUGUGUUCCGACUGGUCUGAGUUCGGAGGCCCCAGACCACAGCCGGUAACUCUUUCAUCCAUCGACCGGGUGCUCUGUCGUUCUCGGCAUACAGCCGUUUCUUUAGGGCGUCAAUGAUCAUUCCGUUUGCGCGCUCAACUUGACCAUUUGCCCGUGGGUGAGCUACUGACACAUAUUUUAUGACUAUGCCCCUAUCAUCGCAGAAGUCCCAAAAAGUGGUGCUAGUGAACUGAGUACCCAGGUCGGUGAUUAUGCUGUUCGGGAUGCCGAAUCUAUGUAUGAUUUGACUGAGAAACUCCACAGCCUUCUCGGAGGUUGCUUUGACCAGAGGCAUGUAUUCGAUCCACUUGGAGAACUUGUCGAUUAACACGAAAACAAACUUGAAGUUGCCGGGAGCUGGUUUAAAAGGCCCAAUCAUGUCAAGCCCCCAGCAGGCAAAGGGCCAGGAUGACGGAAUGGUUUGAAUUUCAUGAGCAGGUACGUGUGUCCUUUUAGCGAAGAACUGACAUCCCUCGCAGUGUCGGACCAGUUUUUCUGCGUCACAUACCGCGGUUGGCCAAUAAAAACCUGCUCGGAAGGCUUUCCCGACCAGCGUUCUGGAUGCGGCGUGAUUGCCGCAAGAUCCGGCAUGUAUGUCUUCUAGGAGCUUGAUACCAUCAUCUUGGGAUAUGCAUUUGAGCAGUACUUCGGAACUUGCGUUUUUUCGCAUGAGUUUGCCGUCGACCAGGAUGUAGUUUUUUGACCGUCGAAUGAGGCGCUCGUUCUCUGUUUUGUCCUGAAAGCCUGACCCGUCCAAUAUAUACUUGAUGAACGGGGUACGCCAAUCACGACCACUGGUUGUCGGAUCGACAUCGUCUAUGAGCAUUGCCUCAGCGAGUUGCUUUUCGACUGGGCCGGAACCUACGCUUGGCUCGUGAAUGUCCUGGACGAAAAUACCCCGCGGUAUCUGGGCCCGAGAUGACCCUAACUUUGACAACGCAUCUGCUGCCUGGUUCUUAUCCCGGACCACGUGGAUGUACUCUAUGCCGUAGAAGUUGGUUUCCCAUUUGCGAAUUUCUUUGCAGUAGAGAUCCAUCUUCUCGUGGGUUGCAUCCCACUCCUUGUUGAGCUGGUUGAUAACCAAAGCAGAGUCGCCAUAGACGUAGAGGCGCUUGACUCCCAGCUCGACGGCUAGCCUUAUGCCGUGCAGGCAUGCUUCAUAUUCGGCGACGUUGUUUGACGCCGGAAAGAGGAUCCUAAGGACGUAACGUAGUUUGUCCUUGUUAGGCGACACGAACAGUAUCCCAGCGCCGGCACCGUUGAUGUUCAAGGAUCCGUCAAAGAACAUUGACCAGUGGUCGGAGACAUCGGGAACGGGAGGUUCGUUAAGAUCCGUCCACUCAGCAAUGAAAUCGACCAAGGCUUGAGACUUAACUGUGGUGCGGCUCUAGAACUCCAGGGAAAAUGGGCAUAACUCCAUCGCCCAUUUUACGAUUCUGCCGUUGGCAUCUUUAUUGCGCAGAAUGUCCCCGAGAGGGAAACUGGUGGUCACCAAGACUCGAUGGCCGUCGAAGUAGUGUUUCAGCUUUCUUGACGUUAUUAGGAUGGUGUAUAUGAGCUUCUGUAUUUGUGGGUACCUGGCCUUGGACUCGUUUAAGACCUCACUUAUGAAGUAAACGGGUCUCUGGACCUUAUAGGCAUGACCUGGUUCAUCUCGCUCGACCACUAUUGCUGUGGAAACAACCCUGUCGGUUGCAGCAAUGUAAAGGAGUAGGUCUUCAUCGGGCUGAGGCGCUGUAAGGACAGGUGGUGAAGUGAGAAAAGUCUUGAGCUGAGUGAAUGCGGCGUCGGCUUCCUCUGUCCAAGAAAAUUUUUCCGACGCUUUCAAGAGUUUGAAGAAGGGGAGGCCUUUUUCCCCUAGUCUUGAGAUGAAGCGACUGAGGGCGGCCAUACAUCCGGUGAGCUUCUGAAUAUCCUUGUCAUUCUUGGGUGGCCGCAUGUCGAGUACUGCUUUUACUUUUGAAGGGUUUGGUCGUAUGCCGUCACGACUGACAACGUUGCCGAGCAGUAGACCAGAAGGAACACCAAAGAUGCACUUUUUGGGGUUAAGCUUCCACUUGAACCUAUUAAGCGCUUUGAAGGUUCGGUCUAAGUUGUUGAUUAGGGUGCUCGCGUCCCUUGUUUUUACGACCACGUCGUCGACAUAGGCCUCGACGAGGUCGUCAUGAAUCUCAUCGUGGAGGCACUUCUGGAUAGCCUGUUGAUAAGUGGCUCCGGCGUUUUUGAGUCCGAAGGACAUGGUCGUGUAACAGUAUGCGCCAAAGGGAGUAAUGAAGGAUGUUUUUAUCUGAUCGUCUUCCUUUAGCGAGAUCUGGUGAUAACCAGAGUAGCAAUCCAGAAAAGAGAGGAGUUCGCAUCCGGCCGUUGAGUCGACCACCUCGUCAAUGCGAGGGAGACCAAAAGGAUCUUUAGGGCAGUGUUUAUUGAGAUCAGUGUAAUCAACGCACAUUCUCCAUUCAUUAUUCUUUUUGCGUACAAGAACCGGAUUGGCGAGCCAAUCGGGAUGAUACACUUCUUUUAUGAAUCCGACUGCUAGAAGCCGUGUUAUUUCUGUCCUGAUAGCCUCCUUUUUGUCACGAGCGAACCGUCGCAGCUUUUGCUUGAUUGGUCUUGCGGUCUUCGAGACAUUUAAGGAGUGCUCGAUCAGGUUUCGUGGGACGCCGGGCAUGUCUGCGGGUUUCCAUGCGAAAAUGCUCAUGUUGUCCCUUAGAAACCUGACGAGCACGUCUUCCUAUUUUGGAUCCAGAUUGGCCCCGAUGAGGGCCGUCUUCUCGGGGCUGCCGUCGACCAGCUGUACUUCUUUGUGCUCCUUGGAUUUUGAAUUCUUCCUGGCUGUCUCCUGCUCGGGUAAUUGGAGCUGGUCGGGGGGCAGCUGCGCGGCUUGGGUCGCUGUUUCUGCCAUGCGGAUUGAGAGGUCUAUUGCUUCGGUGAUCUUGAAGCUCUCUUCUUCGCAGGUAUACACGGUGUAGACAUUGCCUCUGACGGUUAGGACGCCCUUCUCCGUAGGCAUCUUAAGGACCAGGUAAGAGUAGUGCGGGACUGCCAUGAACCUUGUCAGCGAUGGUCGGCCCAGUAUAGCGUGGUAGGUCCCGUCGAAGUCCGCGACCACGAAGUUGAUGAAUUCUGUCCGAAAGUGGUCGGGUGUGCCGAAUUGGAUAGGCAAUGUUAUCUGUCCGAGGGGCACUGAACUCUGUCCUGGCAAAACCCCCCAGAAUUGGGCAUCGUAGGGUUUUAGCUGUGCAGGAGAUAUCUUGAGAGCGGGCAGGCUGUUGCGGAAGAGGAUGUCGAUGGAGCUUCCCCCGUCCACGAGCACGCGCUCGAAUCUGAUGCUGUUGAUGCAAGGGUCCAGGAUCAGAGGAAAACGACCUGGCUCUGGGAUAGCGGCCCACUGGUCCUUCCUGCUGAAUGAGAUCUCCCUGUGCGACCACGAGGGGAAUUUUGGGUCUGCGAUCAGCCCGUCCGUGCUGUCUAUGUUAAGGCAGGCUCUCUUUAAAAGCUUUCUUUCUCGCUUAGAUUCGAUGGAGACCUUGCCCCCAAAGAUGGAGUGGACCACGUCAGUGGGGCUGACGUAUUGGUGUCGGGGGUCCCUAUCUUGGUCUUCAUCCUCGUCUUCGUGGUGGUGCUCGUCUCGCUUGCCAUUUUUCUUAGCGGAGUUGUCUUGGGCGGCCUGCCGUGUAUAGAUGCUUUUGAGGACGCGACACUCUUCCAUGGUAUGAUUAGACUUUGGAUGUAGUUGGCACGGUCCCUUCAACGUUUUGUUGUAGUCUUCUUGGUAGUCCCGCCGCCCGUUGGGACGCUUUACCGUAUUUACUUCGUGAUCGUAGUCGCGGGGGCGCUUUCCUCUGAAAUCGUCGCGGUUGUCGCGUCGCCGAUCCCAACCUUCUCUGUGAUCGCGAUUGUCGGGGCGGCGGUGGUUCCUGUUGUCGAAGCGACCGCGACCGUCAUCUCGCCGGGGAGGCUGGUCGGGACCUCUCGCAUCGUCUCGGAUUAGUUUUUCUGCGUCGUCGGCGUCGGCAUAAUUUUUGGCUGUGGCGAGGAGCUCUGCCACCGUUGUUGGCCGUUUACGCAACAACUUGUUCCUUAGCACCUCAUGGAAACGCAGGCCCUUGAUAAAGGCAGAGAUGGCCUCGUCGUGGGAAAUCUUCGGGAUCUUAAGGCGCAUAUCCGAGAAUCGUCGGAUGUAAUCGCGAAGAGGUUCGUUCUUCCUGUCCCUUAUCCUUUCGAGGUCAUACUUGUUUCCAGGCUGCUCGCAUGUGGCGAUGAAGUUGUCGAUGAAAGCCUGGCGUAGCUCUCCCCAAGAGUCGAAGGAGUCCUCGGGCAAGCCAAGAAGCCACUGAUGACCAGCCUGGUCGAGUACUACGGGGAAGUAGUUGGCCAUGACGUGCUCAUCUCCCGCUGCUGAUCGGACGGCGAUUUCAUAGAGAGUGAUCCAGUUCGCUGGAUUUUCCUUGCCAUCGUAUUUUUUAAGUUUUUCGAGCUUGAAAUUGCGGGGCCAUACGACCUGGCGGAGGUGUGAGGAGAACUGUCUUAGGCCCGGAGGGCCGUGCGUUGCAUCGUACUCGAUACGGCGCAGGUUUUCGUGGACUGCUCUCUCUAUGGCGCGCCUGUUGAUGCGGUCCCGGGCAUCUUUGGGAGGGAUGUUGUGCCGGAGAUCCCUGUGCUGGUUUACUUCUUGACCGCGUCUGCGGUUCUGCUCGCGGUGACCGUCAGUGUCCCGACCACCAUCGUCACGCCGUGAAUCUUUUCGACGGUUGUCGGGAGAGCGGCUGCGGUGACACCUGCUGGGAGGCGGUGAAGUCCGGCUACGAUUAGUCUGGUCGGAGGUGGCUUCCGUGUAAGAGACGUCCUGGACUCUCUUGAGCAGAGUGGCUGUCUGUCCCAUUGCGGCGAUCAGGUGUGCUCGGAUGCUGGUCCGGACUCCCUGGCACUCAGGGGUAUCAGGGAGCCGGUCUAGGUUAGCCAUGGCGACAGCCACGUUAGCACUUGGCGUCUUGUAGACUGGCUGAUCCCCGACCAUGUCAAAAGCGUCGUUAAGAUUAUGCGGUGGAAUUUGUUGUUGCUCGUCUGCACGUCGACGGGCGCGAUCGGCGUUGCGCUGCUCGCGGAGUUGCCUCUGCUGAUCUGUUUCUCCAUCUACGACCGGCUCGUCGGCGCUGACGUUGAAAACAAUAUCUCCUCGCCGGGGGGGAAUACCGGAAAACGAGGGAAACCCGGAGGGUGUGAAGACAAAUCCAGGUCGUAGUCCUCGUCUUCGGUGUUUAUAACUUCGGUGGGGACGUAACCGAUGCUAGAGUUGGUGCUGGAAGCCUGGCCGUCCCGUAGUUCUUGGACUGUCACCAUGUUGACGUAGUGACGACCGUUCCUUUUUGGCGGCCAACCCGCUUUGCUGAAAACGGAUUGGAUGUGCCACGAGUAGAGAGAGGCCGAGUUGUUCAGGCCGCAAGGAUAGUCUCCCUUCUUGAGCUUGACAGAUCGUCCUGAGGGAGUUGAGGUUAUCGUCAGAGACGUGCCCAGCCGUUCGUGUGUAACGACACGAGUUGGCCGACGGGAUUUGAAAAAACCCGUUGGAGCAGCUUGAUCAGGCUGACGCAGGAUUCCAUCCACUAGUUGGGAAGCUUCGAGUAGCUUGGAAUCAGCGCGAUCGAGCGCUUGGAGAAGGUCCGAGCAGUCGAUCUUCUUUCCCUUGUAGAGCGGGAGCGGUGGUCGGGCGCUCGGUUCCGCCACGCGAGUGGUCAGAGACGACGUGUUCUCAGAUUGGAUCUGAGUUUCUUUCGGAGCCGUGGUCGUGAGGCCGCCGCUGCGCGUCGUCCACGUGAUCUGGCCGAUGGUGAACGUGAGGCCUUCAGGCACGGCCGCGGAAGCUGGGAUCGUGACCAUCUUGUUCGCCGAAGAAGUUGCGCGCACACCCCCUACCUGGCGCGCCACUGUCGACGAAAGCUAGUCGGCAGUCUACCUUGGGGUAUACCCACGGUAGUAGUUUAUCGGUAGACGGUGCGCAAACUACGAACUCGAUGGUGACGCAAGACACGGACAAGCUUUUUAUCCAGGUUCGGCCGCCGAGUUGGCGUAAUACCUACGUCCUGCGUCUGGUUGUAUUGGAUUGUGUUGAGAGAAUAUUCUGUCCUAGAGGGGCCCCUUGCCCCUCCUUAUAUAGUCCGGAGGGCAAGGUUACAGAUCUGGAAACUAAUCCUAGUCGGUUACAAUUGCCAUAGAUAGUUCGAUAUCAAUUCCUAUUCUAACCGACUAGAAUCCUGCUUGAUUUUCACGGCUUGCUCCCUUGCACUAAACUCCAAGGUGUCAGAUCAAGCUUUGAGCUUGUCUCGUAACGGGCCAAGUCUCCUGGCCCAAGUCUAGCCGUAAGGGUAUAGGGGUUUAUACCCCCACAUUAUUUGAACUUGGAGUUUGAGAACAAGUAAAGUGCUAUGGUUUAGAUAGGAUGGUCUAGAGCAUGACAUAUUAACUUUGUGUAUAGUAGUGUUCAGUUAUCUUGAAUAAAAUAAACAUGCUAGCAUACCAUGGCAAUACUGAAACAAUCGAGCAGUAAGUAUUGCUUAUGUAAAGUAUAUCCUCAUCUAAGUAUUUCAACUAAGAAAUGCCCUGAAUGUAUGUACCUCACCACCUUUGUGUUCUCUAGUCUGAGCAAUCAAACAAUAAGUAUCUCGCUAGAAUAUUUAUAGUAUGCAUACCAAGUUACAAUCUCACAUACUGAAGUGUUUUGUAACCUAAGUGACCAAAUGCUAGCUACUUUGCCUCUGCCUGUGUGAGCGAAUGAAAGCUGCUUCAUAAGUUGCCGACGCAGUGUGCUUACCUAAAUGUCAAAGUGUAGCGGCUGAGCUCCUCCUGCUAUCAUUGUUUUGUAGAAGUGCUUAGUUUUCAAUGCAAUAACACCAAUUGCAUUAAGUCAUCUCUAAUUAAUCUGCAAAACAAAUUGCUAACGAAAUAUUUGCUUAUACGACAUUCAUCACAAUAAUUCCCAGGUCGUUUUGACUUAAGGCCUAGAUUAUGGAUCAAACUUUCUAGAAAAAAACAAAUGAAACAAAAUGUCACGUGCAGCGGUCAUAACAGAAAGGAAGCAAUUUAGGAUGCCCUAGUGAAAUUAAAAUAGCUUUUAGUCCAUGAAAUUCUGUUGUAUCAGUUAUACAUUAACUCGACUUGAGCACAUCAAAUAUAAUUUCAGAAUCCUUUUCAGGUUCAACCGAGUCCACACUAUAUGAAUGAGCACAAACUAAAACAACUACUUAUAUAAGGAGAGUGGAUAAUUGAUAUUAUUGAGCUAAACUAUUCUAGGAAUUUUUCUGUGGUACUUUUAAAAUGUGAAUGUGUUGAUUUUCUAUCUAAAAGAGGAAUAAAGGAGGACAAGUAUGGCUACACACUUGCUAAUUUCUCACGCCUGAUACAUAUAAGUGAAAAGAUUGAUCUUGAAAUAUACAUUUUUCUUAACCAAACUGACCAGGUGUUUUAUGCUAAAGAUAGACAAACAAAACCCUAGGUGGGCUGUAGUCAUGAGGAUGAAGUCAAGGGAUAUACAUGACAUAGGUUGUGAUGAAUGGGAAGAUGAUACAGAAAAUGAGCUAUUCCAUGUCACACACCUUAGAGAUAUGUUCAAUAAUGCAAAUGGAAGACAUCAAUGGGCUAGAAGAGACAUUGAAGGAACCACAGUGGAUGCCAGUGAUAUUGUGGAUGCUAGUAACAAUGGAUUGAAUGACCAAUCAUAUUCCAUGAGGUGCAGUACAAAGACUCUUUAUCGUGCAAGCUCAUUUCUUCAAUGCUUUAUUAUUGUUUAUUCGAGUUAAUGUAUAGAAACAUUCUUAGAGACUACUUCCUUUUUCUAGAAUUAAUUGUAGGUUACUAAUGUUAUGUGGCAUCCUUAGUCACCUUGUUCAAGCCUAAAGUAUAAUGGAUUCAUGGUUGUGAAGUUGGAGAGGAUACAUUUUUCUUUCAUUGUCAAACCCUUUGAGAAUUCACAUUCUAUAUGUAAAUAUUCUCGAUGAUAGUUCAUGGUAUUCUAAAUAUUACCACAAAACAUGUUGGAGGUUGUUUUUGAAUUUUCUAUUUCAUUUGUGACGGCACUUGUUUCAUAUUGCCUCAAAUAUCAUUUUAGAUGCCUUGCUAAGUUGCAUUCUUUUGCGGCUUUUCUAUGCGUUUUAUAACAUUGAGACAAUUAUUUUAUUGUUGAUUAAUUGUUUGAUUUAACUUUUUUUGGCUGCCAUACAUGAUAGCUUUUGCAAGACUUUAUGUUUGACUCAACCACAAAAAACCGUUUGCACUCAGGUUUUGAGCAUAGAAAAUAAUAAUACAUGACAAUGUGUUGUAAAUUUGACUAGUAUUUAAGUGGACCAAAAAGAUGAAAAUCUUGAUCAACCUAUAUAGUGGUAGGUUAGUGGGUUUGGGCAACAACAUCAAUUUUUCCUUCCACAUUGUACUUGUUUGGCUCCACCUAGAGUGUCUUGAUCUCAGCCUGUUACCUGUGUGCCAUUAUAAAAGUUCAAAAUGCCCUACAUACCAUCGAAACAAAGAAAAGUUCCUCAGUGCCCUUGCUAAAUUAUUUCUUUACCUGCGUACCAUUUCCGUCACACUGCUGUGUGUUUCUAACAGAGUUGGAUGGCAAAUUACUCUUUUGCCCAUCACUCUUUCCAGUCAAUCCCUAUAGAGUCCAAAGUCUUCACUUGGAGCACUCCCUUCACUCUUUCCAGUCAAUCCCAAUCGUUCUUCACUUCAAUCCCAAACCCAAGAGGAGAGGAGAGAGCAUUGGGUGGCGUGGAGGUGAGCGGUGGCAUCAAGCACUAGUGUUGGGUGAGUCCGUCCCGAGGGAGCCGAGCACCACGGAUCGAGGGGCACAUCGCAUGGGGGUCUAGGCGCCGCCGUCGUGUGAGCUGGGCAGCCUUGUCGCGCGGGAGAAUGGCGCUGCCAUUGCGUGGGGGAAGGGCGCUGCAUCGCCCUCACCAGCGAGCGGGUGGGGAAGAUUGCAGGAGUUGUUGGUGAGGAUCCAAGCAUCGGAUCGAGGAGGCUGUAGACACUGAUGGCGGAUGGGCGACCAGAUGAGUGAGUUUCUCCUUUCUUGCUUCGAUUAUUUUGGAUACAUUGCAAAUUUAUUAUUACAAUUAUUAAAGUUUUUCAUAUGCACAUAUACAGAGAAAAGGGGGAAUCAUAGGAUUACAUUGGCGCCAUUUGAUGCAUUCUGUAACCAAGGGCAAAAACAUCUUUUCUGUUGGUUGUUAAGUGCUGUUACAAGCAAAACUAACUGAAGUGGCACCCGGGGAAAGAAAACUUUGGACAAGGGUACCGAGGAGCUUUUUUUUUGUCUCGAUGGUACAUAGGUCAUUCUGAACUUUUAUAGUGGCACACAGGUAAAAAGCACAAUAAAUUGACAAGACUCGUAUUGUCGGUACGGGAUCCUCAGGGUUCCUCACCGGCAGGAUUCCAGAAGAUGGGCCUCGGACUGGCCCAUGAUUCCAGAGGGAAGAGUAUUGAGGCGUGACUCCAAUGAGUAGAAUAAGACCGGACUAGCUGGAUUCUUAUAAAAUAUAUCUUCUGCAUUAAAAAUGGAACACUAUCUAUGAAUCUAUCUAGGAUAAUAAGCCACCCCUCAUCCGUCUCUACCGAUAUAGAGCCUGAGAGGACCCCUUGUAAGAACGAACAAUAAAACACUUUCAAUACAACGCAAAGGCUAACACUUGAUUGGACAUAAAGGUUAUUACAUGAGAUCGAACUUGACGGCCCAAACUAGGAUAAAUCGCUAUCUCUUAUGUUAACCAUCGAGUUCCAGUAUACGCGGAAGCCCAAAUAAUUGUCCCGAGUGGUAAAACAUCAAGAGCUGGUGCGUCGUGUUAGCACCAGCAGCGGCGACACCACUAGCGCCUUUGUUGGGUAUUUUAAACACAAACAGAAAAAUCCGCAAGCACAUAGAUACCGAUGUAGCUUUCACCCGGGAGUAUUCCAGAGUAUCAAUUUCCACGGAGAACUUGAAGUGUACUAGAGAAUCAAGGCCGUCCAAGGAUAAAGAUAAGAGAAGAAAGAUAUAUAUUUUUGGUGGGUAGAGAGGAACCUUCUAGAGUUUUCUAAGUUGAUUGGGUGAUCAAGAUCAGGCUUACUAUACUAUAUUUACUAUGGAGCAGCAGGUCCUUUCCAACUCUCGAAUAAGACUAGAAAGAAAGUAGUUGGGAGAAGGCUGCAUAAAGCUCUACGAAACACCAAUCCGAACAUGGUGGAUUACAAAGGCCUGACAGGGCUGUCAUCCCUGGGGCUACCACAACUAUCCGUGGAAUUGGGCGCAAACUCAGGUAAACUAUAGCCUAGACACCAUGUCUACGCUAGCGUUUAGUACUCUAGUUAUCUAGAAUAACUAGAGCACUCAAUACAAACGGAGAUCAAGUAAGUAUAAUGAAGUAAGAAUACAAUAAAGAACUAAACUUAAAAACAAUAAUUAAAGAACCUAGAGAUUGCUGAGCGACGAACCAGAUGCUGCAAAAGUACAAUGUUGAGGAAGAUCCGACAGAUCCGGCUGCUCCUCAGCUCUAUCCUCCUCUCUCUCUCCCUUUACAACUUGAUGAACUAGACAAAGAACAUGAAGAACUAGACGAACUAAAUCUAGAACUGGAUGAACUAGAUCUAGAACUAGACUACAACUAGACAACUAGAACUAGAACUAGAUGAACUAGAACUAGAACUAGAUGAACUAGAGGAACCUCUACUUCUCUACUAGAUGAAACCUAAUUUCUUUUGUAGAUGUAGCUAAUGAAGGAGACGAUCUCUAGGGGGUCAGGGUUGUAUUUAUAGCCCCCUAGGAAACACCACAGCCCUUGGAUCAAACUGACUUAACAGACGAAGAUCCUUGCUCCUCAAAGGCAGUUAUAGCUCGAUCCACGAGACUACUCCUAAUUGGUCUGGAGGGCAGGGCGGCCGCCCCCUCUAGGCGCCCUUCCCCGGACUCCGCCUCGUGUUCUGCUUUGUUCUGGUGGAUUUUCGACUCUUCUAGAUCCUUCUUUUGUAUAUGUGGCGUAGAUAUCUUGUUUCUCUCUUUGUAAUCAUGACAUGUGGGCCUCCAAGGGGUCAAUUCCUGAUAACCCCCUGCAGAAACAGCCAUUCACCAAAACCUAUGGAAAUCUGUCAGUGUAACCUGUAUAACUAGGUGAUAUACUUGUUUUAGUCCUUUCUCAUGAUAUGUUGACGGUUAAAAAGAGGACUUAUCUACCGUCAACAAACUCCCACCUUGCCACCUUACUCUGUGUCUGCACCGCCAGCGCCCUCCCCCUCACCACCUUUCGUUGCGCUACCAUACUCCAUGUCAUCACCAUGCCGUGCAUAGUAGAAAGAUGAUGGUGCCACUGGUGGAUAAGGUCAAUACGAGAUAGAGAAGGCACCAAUCUAAAUAAGAGAUGUUCUUGAUCAAAACCAAGGCAAUGAUGGUUCAAAUGCCGAGGGAAAUGCGAAGGAUACCUAGGCGGUGAUGGUUCAAAUGCCAAAGGAAUCUCAAAGAAAACCCUAGCUGUAGCGGUUGAAAUGCCACAUAAAUCGUGGGUUGUAUGCGUGCCCUAGCCUAUGUCGGCCCAUGUCUCCUGGAAAAUGUGAACACGAGAUCUUAGGAGUACGCCAAGCAAUGGGCUGUGAUGCGGCCCCAACCGCUCUGCAACCCUACUGCGCCUUACCAGACGUCGACGAGAGCCAAGCUCCUGCAUGCCGCAGUCCAGGAGCAGCAGCGGGUCAUGGAUAUUGCUUGGGAGAAGGAGUUGCGAGGAAAUUUGUAGAAAGGGAAGAAAAAGGGACCAUCAGACCGAGACACAGAAGGUGUUGGACCAUCACGACGGGUCUUAACUCUCACUGUCUAGUGCGAGGAACAGGGUGCGCGUACCGUCCGACGAUUCUUGUCUUCCUGGUCCGACGAUCGCUGGUUGUGUGUGUUGUAUCCACAGUUUCGUCGGCCAUCCGACGGCAUGCGUAGGCCCGGGUCUAACAAGGAAUAACCUCUGUGCAUAGAUUCUGGACGGUGUCAGACUAGGGAGACAGUGGAGUCUUCCGUCAUAUCUCAGUCUGACGGGCUGCAGUCGCUGACUACUCCGCUACUGUGUACGUACCAUUGUCUGUCUGAUGAUGGGCGUUGGCCCGGUCCGACGUUGAAAUUUUGAGGCAGGAUACAUGGAUUCAAGACUAAAUUCUAUUCCAAAAAGUUUGAAAGCAAGACACUCACGGUUUCGGUUCACAUAUAAACACAGAACUUAUUGAGGAGAGAAAAUAUAUAUGCUUGAUUGAAUUCUCAUUUUAAUUUCAGGUUCCUAAACUAGCAAAAUUAAAUAACCACUACACUACUGAAACUGUGACCAUCUAAGGCUUCUUCUAAGGCUUCUUAAUCUUGGCAGCGACCACCUUUUUGAGGUCCUUGAUCUCGACAUGGCUUCCUGAUUCUGUUGGAGAAAGUCGAUCCGCCUAUUCAAUGCUUUGUUUUUGUCUUUCAGCAUCUUGAUCUACACUUCAUGAAUGUAUGUGUUCGGCGAUAAUUGUGGUGACUGUGGAAUGAAAAUAAAUUUCAUUAAUUAUAUAUUUUCCACUAGUACGGGAUGUAAUGAUCCCUUUCAACUCCCAAUCCACAUGGAUUUUGGAGUAAAAUAAAUAGGCCCUUAGGAACAACCGUGCAAGAAGGUACCCCGUAGAUUGACUCGUCGGUGCUCGUAUCCGCACUUGCCUUGCCAUCGGUGUUGGUGGACAACAAACAUCCAUUUAUGCAGUCGUGCCACUCUGGGUUCAAGCAAUUACAACAUAUGUUGACGAUCCGAUAGACACGGACGCCGUCCGUACCUAUAGUUGCGGCACGUCUUGAAUCCGUCUGCGGCCGCGGAUGGCUUUGCAGAGGCUUUUCCUUUGUUUGCUAUCGACGACAGCUUCAUGACAGCUUUUGCUGGCUUUCUCAUCUCGGCGGCGGCAGCGACAGUGUUGGACGAUGAGAGGAGAUGAACGCGGAGGGGAGGACGAAGCUAUGACCUGGAAAAGAGCGAGCGAUCCUAUAUUUAUGGAGGCCCCAUGAUCUCAAGAUGGGGAGUUUCCAAAUGAGAAGCACGCCACAGCCACGCCGAGUGGCCCAUGGAAGCCCGCGAGGGUAGAUAGGAGGCCCAAGCCGAGUGGUGACAUCAACAGAAAUGAAGUAUCCAGCAUGGAGGCCUAGUGUUGAAUUAUAGCUUUUUGCAUUUUUAUUUGAUUUGCCAAUAUUGAGCAAGAUAAAAAAUAAAGUGUAUUUUGGGCACGUGGUAUUUUCCUUUUUUUAUUCCAUACUCACCUUAAAAUUGAUUUUAUCAAUUUAUACUUCCCACAUAUUGACUGAGUUGACUCAUUGUCAUAACACGAGAUAAACACUACUACAGAAUGAGGCAUUGGUCGAUGCCCAAAAUGGCCAAAAACCUCGGCCUUUUUGCGCCCCGGGGUUAAAGGCCCCUUUAGCACCGGUUCGUGCCCUUUAACACCGGUUCGUAACACGAACCAGUGCUAAAGGGUCCUGCCCAACGGCUACUGACAGGUGUUGUCGGGGCGGGACCCUUUAGCACCGGUUCGUGUUACCAACCGGUGCUAAAGGGUCUCCUUUGGCACGCCAGUGCCACGGGCCGAGGCAAACCCUUUAGCACCGGUUUGGCACACAAACCGGUUCUAAAGGGUGACCUUUAGCACCGGUUUUUGCCCUGAAUCGGUGCUAAAGCUCCGGUUUAUAGGCCCGCCCCCUCCCCCCCGCCCAUUUGAAACCGAGAGCACCAUUGUUAUUCUUGGAGCUUUUUCUUCCUUGUUCUUCAUUUCCGACGCCCAUCAUUGAUCUUCUUCGACUCCGUCAUCGUCUCUUUGUGCUUGGAGGUGACUAACUUCAGCAUUUCUUGUCUUUUUCAUGUUGUUUUUGGCUUGUGAUGUUCUCAUCAUUUUUAGCUCAAAUCCACUUUGUUAUUUUGAAUCAUUCACAUGAAUUAGUAUCCAUAUAUAUAUAUAUCAUAUUUUAUGGUUGACCUAGUAUUAAUGUAGUUUGCAAGAAUGAAUUAUAGUAUCUUUUUAUGAUCUUAGAAAGUAGGAUAGUUUAAAUUAAUUGGUUUGUUAAUAUCACUUGAUUUAUUUUUAUUACUACAUAAUGUCCAUUGUAUAAUUUAGAAGAGUUGUUGAAGUAACUAGACAAAUAAAGGAUAUUAUUAGGUUCUUCUUUAAUCAUACAUGUUUACUAGUAAAUGUGGAAUUUAUAAUUGUUUAAAAAUUGAGUAAGGAUAGUAGAUGGCAGCCGUGACCGGGUAUUCGGUCUCUCAACGAGUUCAAAAGUGAUACCGGCCGGAACUCCCUCUCAUUACUUGUGGCAAGUGUGGGCACAAGAUUGUGAUGGAGUACAAAGUGUCGAAAGAGGGAGUAAACAAGGAUCGUAUAUUCUACAAGUGUCCGGAUCAUAAUGUGAGUUAUUUCCAGAUAUUUGCUUAUAUAUGUGCAUAUUUUUUAAAUGAUAUUAAUUAAACUUUUGAUUCUCUCUUUUAAUUUCAGUGGGAUGGUACCGGCGGAUGUACAGGUUGGUACUGGGAGGAAGAAUACAUUGAACACAUUAAGAAAUCUUUUGCACAGGUGGUAGAGGCUGAAGGUGGUGAGGCAGUGAGCCGACGAAAGGAGUUCAAUGAUGUAUAUAUAUGUAUGUAUGUAUGUAUAUAUACUAUUAUUCUUGUAUCAUUUUAUUCUUGUAUCAUUAUUUUAUACUAUUAUUUUGUAUCAUUAUGUAUAUAUACUAUUAUUUUAUAUGCACUUAUGUACUAUUAUUUUGUAUCAUUAUAUAUGCACUUAUAUUUUAUACCAACAGUUUAUAUACUAUUAUUUUGUAUCAUUAUGUAUAUAUAUGCACUUAUAUUAUUCUUGUAUCAUUUUGUAGUAGUAUUAAUUUUUUUAGUAUAUUAUUCUAGGUGCAAGUGUAUUACUUGGCUUAAAACAUAUACUAUUAUUGUUUAUACUAUUAUUAUAGUAUUAUUUUUUAGUAUUAUUUUUUAGUAUAUUAUUCUAGUAUAUUACUUGGCUUAAAAGACUUUUUAGUAUGUUAUUCUAGUAUAUUAUGAAUUGUAGUGUUUUGAAUUGUAAUGAAAUAUAUUGUGCUAGUAUAUUAUUCUAGUGUUAUUGUCCGUAUUAUUUUUUUAAGUAUUAUUUUUUUUAGUUUGGAGCACUCUAGCACUUAUAUUAUUCUUGUAUCAUUUUGUAGUAUUAAUUUUUUAGUACAUUAUUCUAGGUGCAAGUGUAUUACUUGGCUUAAAACAUAUACUAUUAUUGUUUAUACUAUUAUUCUAAUAUUAUUUUUUAGUAUAUUAUUCUAGUAUAUUACUUGGCUUAAAAGACUUUUUAGUAUAUUAUUCUAGUAUAUUAUGAAUUGUAGUGUUUUGAAUUGUUAUGAAAUAUAUUGUGCUAGUAUAUUAUUCUAGUGUUAUUGUCCGUAUUAUUUUUUAGUAUUAUUUUUUAGUUUGGAGCACUCUAGCACUUAUAUUAUUCUGGUGUUAUUGUUCAUAUUAUUUUUUUAGUAUUAUUUUUUAGUUUGGAGCACUCUAGCACUUAUAUUAUUCUAGUGUAUUUCUUAUCUUAUAUAGAAUAUAUAUAUAUAUAUAUGGUUGCAGACAUAGAAAUGGCCGACCUUCCUCAUGAUGAUCGUGAGUAUAUGGAAGAUGCCAUUCAUAAUAUGAUCGACGACGGUAGUCAGUACUUUAUUGAUUACAACGAGAUUAUGCAAGGCAAUCCGACUGAGCAACAAGAGGGCAAUGCCCCUGAGCAACAGGGCAAUGCGCCUGAGCAACAAUUUAUCAUGCAACAAGAAGGAAAUAUCGGCGAGGUAUGUAAAUGUAAACAUAUAUAAUGUAUCUCUUACAUUAGGUUUUAGACUUACUUGGUUAUUAAUUUAGUAUUUUUGUUUCUAUAUCUACGUGUAGCCUUCUGGAUCGACCUCUACAGGGAGAAGCAUACCUCCACGAGGGCCAAAGAAGCCGUUGGAGGGCCGCUAUGUAAUCUCCGAGUUUGAGAUAGCUAUAGGCAGACCACUUGGUGAACAUGCAAAUAAAUAUGUUAGUCACUGUGGAUACCUUGUGAGAGAUCAAAUACCGAUUAGUGCUCGUGAAUGGAGAUAGAAGCGAGGUGCUCCUGAGAUCAGUUUUGUCUCUGAUCGUGACAAGGAGUUAGUUUGGAAAGCCGUCACAGACGUUUUUACCUUCCACACCAACGAUGAAGAGUUGAAGGUGCGAAUUUAUGACUGGACUAUGAAGAAGAUGGUGGUACUGUUCCAGAAUUGGAAGAAGACUUUGUACAAUAAAUUUGUCAAGAAAAACGAGACUCCAAAUUUCAACCUCAAGCAAUACGUAAAGCUGAGGGCCUUCUGGGAUGACUUCUUGCAGUACAAAACAUCAUUAAGAGGGCGAGGAUCGAGCCAUUAGAAACAAAGAGAAUGCAAGUAAAAAAACAUACCACCAUCAUAUGGGAUCAGGUGGUUAUAAGAGUGCUGUUCCCAAGUGGGACCGAAAGGAACAGGAGAUGCUUGCUAGGGGGGUCACACCCGAGACAAUAGCAAAGAAUUGGAGCGAGCGCUCCAAGCAUUGGUUCUACGGUCAUGGGGGAAGCGUGGACCCAGACACUGGGGCGCUAGUUUGGGGCCAAGAAAUCUCUAGAGCAGUAGAGAGAAUAGUCCAUGCACGAGAGGCGGUUCAGUCUAGUGAGUUCAGGCCUAACAGGGAGAAGGAUGAACUCACCUAUGCGUUUGAAAAUCCUGAGCACGGUGGGCGUACGAGAGGCUAUGGGGCAGUUCCAUGGCUACAGUCAUUCCAAGCCGAUCAUGAUACCUACAGAAGCCGCCAGAGAAAGAAGGAUGAGGAGGCAGAGCGGAUCCGUCACCUGGAAGCUUUUGUUCUGCAGUCAGAAGAGCGCGAGAAAGCUCGUGAAGAAUGGAUGCAGGCGGAGAUUCAAAGGCAAGUGCAAGCAGCACUUAGUCAAAUGAUGAAAGGGCAAGGUACAUCACAGCCUGAGGUCAACGUUAGUUCUCCAGGCCAGUUG